rnacentral:lncRNA from 1 species
UAAGGUAGCCCCAGGUUCAGAGUUUCCUGGCAGACGUUGAAAAUAUUGUUGAAGGGAAGGAGGUGUCAAGUCCAAAAGUUUAACCACUGAAAAUUGGUGUAUGAAUGAUCGAACAUGCCAGUCGAAUGAAGCCCAUAAAAUUUGUCAGGUGAAGCUGGGGAGUCGUUCCUAUACUCAUCCAUUAUUAGAAAUUCUUCUCCGCCCUGCCCUGUUUGCUUUACAUCAUCUCUCUCGUUUUCAGUUUGUAAGCCGAGGCAUUCCUUGUGUUGGAAACUUGGCUGCCCUUCAGCCUCAGUCUCCCACUUGUUCUCUCCAUAUUUUGAACCACCACCACCACCACCACCAUCCGUGCUGCUUCCAUCAAGACCCUUCCUGCCCUUGCGAGGUUCCUCCAGCAGUUGGCUCAACUUCUGAAUCUGCCAUUGAAAACAACAGUUAUUUUCAUUUUCUUUAUAUAAACUGACAGUGAAAGUGAAGAUCUUGGACGUGGGGUACCAGUAAAAUCAAGGACUGUUUCUCUUUCUUCAAGGACUCGAAUCUUGACUCCAAGUUGUCAUAAUUAGCUUUGAGUGUAUUGUAGUCUUGUUCUUUUUGUUUGGACUUCCAUCUGGCUCUUUUGUUUUGGAACCAUAUAGCUACUUGGCGAGGCUGAAGCCCUAGCUCCCUCGCCGGUUGCAUCUUCUUUCUCGGUUCGAGCUUCGUCUCCGAUUCAAAUAUCGACUCGAGUAACCUGAUUUGCUCAUCACUAAACCUCCUCUUCUUCUUCAGCUUAUUCAUCUUCUUAUUCCUUGGAAUUUGAGGUGCCUGUCCUGCUAUUGCUUCAUCUACUGCUGGAUGAUACUCUGUCUCCAUUAUUGGAGUUUUUUUUUUUAGGUUUUAAUUAUUACAGAGGGAGUUUGAAUAACAACAACCCUUUGUUAACCCUUUGUUUUUUUAUCCAUCUAAUUUGAUGGUAAAUUAAUGUGUUUGGGAUUAGAAAUAUAGCAAAGAAGGGUGGCUGGAGAUAUAGAGUUGGCUAAUGAUUGAAAAUUACUUGAAUUAUAUGGUUGCUUUCAAGUGAUUGAGACAAAUUAUUGAUAGGUUCUCUUAACCAAUAAAGCCAACUAUCGUGUGACAUUCUCUUUCUUAUGCCUUUGUGGAUAUCUCUGUCUUCAAAUCUUUUUCCAUUUGUAUACUACAAUCCACAUGUUGUGUGAUUGCUGCCUUGAUCAGGCUCUAUUGAAUAAACGAAUUUAUAAAUGGAAAUGAAUCUUCUCUUGCUUGUCCCCCUUUGCAAAUUAAAAUCCCUGUUUAAUCUAGAAGAGGAAAAGUUCUAAAACAUCACGAACUCAACCAUUCUUUUCUUGUAAAAUAUCUACCCUAUGUCAUAGGAGCAAAAACAAUUAUCAUGAAUUGCUAUUUAGUAAAUAAAAAUAUUUUCUACCUGAAUUUUAAAACUUCUUUUAAUUAUUUCAUACAACGAAAUAAAUAAACCAGUAAGCAUUUUGAUAUUUAUUUCCAUCAUCAUACAUGUUUCAUGUAGAACAGUGGAGGAGCCGGUGCCCUCUCCCUAAAAUUGAAUAGUUUUUGUUAUAAUUUAUAAAAUUUUAAAUUUAUAAUGAUAAAAUUAUACUUUAGUUUUUUAAAAAAAUAAAAAAAUAAAAAUAUUUUUUUAAAAUUAUAAAGAUAUAUACUGUUAAAAUUAUUAACAUAUAUAUUUACUAUCCUAAAAUUAUACAAAUUAAUUUUAUUUUUUCCUUCCUCUCCUAUAAUGCAAUUAACCUAGGUGGAAGACGAGAUUUUUGGAUUCAACUGCUCCAAGGGGUGAAAGCAACGUUACUAAUAAAGAGGUGAUAUCUUUGUUGACUUUGUUGGUCCAAAGAUCACUUUUGUAUCUAGUGAAGUCUGGGGAAUUCCAAAUUAUUCAAAAAAUUUGACCUUUUCUCUAUUUUCUUUCUAUUUGUAGUUGUAUGGUAGGGUACUUUAAUUUUUAUUUUCCUUUUCACAGUGAAAACUCCAGUUCUGGAACAUGAAGAAAGGUGUAGUGAGAUUAAAUUAAAUGUAUACUUUGAAAGAAAACUGCAUGGUUAUCCAUCCAUCUGUCUAUAUUAUAUUUUAAUAUUUAAUUAAGUUAGUGUAAAACAUCAAUUUAAUUAAAAAUAGUUUUCUUUACAAAAUAAUAAAAAUUAUUAUGUGUGCAUUUUAUCUUUUUAUAAAUUAAUUUAAACCUAUGGUAAAUCUAUUACGAUCGGAGUUUUAAGAUAUUAUAAUUUGUUAAUAGGAGUUACUUAUAAUUGCUUAAGAAUUAAACUUGUUAUAUUUGUUGUUGUCAUAUUGGUUUCUAACAUUGAAGCCGUAAAGCAGCACUCGAAAAAGAGAAACAAGUAUAGCAGGAAAAGACAUGUUUCUAUGGCUCAAGAAUUGUAAAAAACAAGUCUUGUAGCUUCGCUUUUGGCAGGGUCAGGUAAGAAACAGAGGUGGGGAAGUUACAAAAAGAAAGAUGAUUUUGAAUUCUCGGUAAAAAUAAAAUAAAAAUUGAGAAGAAUUUGGUGGAAAAAAUAAAAUAAAAUAUUAUUGGUGAUAAUGUUUGAGGACUAAAUUGAUAUAAUUUAUAAAUAUAAAAAAGGUUAAAUUUAUUGAAUUAUUUAGAAUUAGAAUUAAUAUAUGUAAAUUUCAAAGAUUAAAUAUAUUAUUAUACCAAUUAAAAAUAAGUUAUGCCAAUCAUUCCUAUUAAUGAUUUAAUGAAGAGUAGCCAAAUCAAAAUCAAAUGAGAAAGCUAGUAACUAAAUUGAAACUUUCAUAAUUGGGUGAUAAAAAAAAAAAUUGACUACUUACAGAGUUAGCCCUAUAAUUAAUUUAACCAAACCGAAUUCAAUACUUAUGGAUUUUGCUAUAGUAAUUGCAACGAACGAGGGUAGUUAUAUAUAUUUGUCCACGCAUAGAAGGUUCAUACAUAUUAUAUAUAUUUCGUUAGUAAUAAUUUAUAUAUUUGUCCACUUUUGGAUUUCUUGCAUUCUUUAAUACUUUCUAAUCUAUGUACUUAAAAACACCUUUAUUUUUAUUAGAAAAAAAACCCUUUUUAUUUCGCUAUGUAAAAUAAAUAGAAUGUCGGUAAUUACAAUAUAUCACAGAGAAAAGAGAAAUAAAAAUAAAGAACACACAUAUUUUUACGUGGAAAUCCUUUCGGAAAAAAAAAACUACAGGCAGAGGAGAAAAAAAUUUACUAUGUCGAAUUUGAAUAAUAUACAAGAGAAGUAAACUAUGUCUAUUUAUAGGCUUGUAAAACUAUAUUCUAAUAGGAGUGUAGUAAGAUUAAAACACCUUAUUCUAAUCAAUAUCAAAUAAAUGGAGUUUAAUAAGGUUUAAAAAACCAUAUUCUAGAAUAAAAUAAAAGAAGUGUAGUUCUCUAUGGAUGUUACUUUUAUUUUAUUUUACCAUUGUAUUUUAUUUAAAUAAGGAUUCGGGUCACUCAAUUCUAAUAAUCUCCACCUUGACACAAAUUCUCAAUGAACAAGUUCUUCAUCGCGAACUCUCAACGAACAAGUUCUCCACCUCUUCCAUAAAACCCCUUAAAGGUUUAACUUCAACAAUGAACACCAACCAAGUCUAAGCAAUGCUCAAACUUGGUUAUAGGAAGUGAUACGGCCACGCCCUGAGCACACUCUUGGACCAGCUCCCUAAGCGUUGCUUGUAAUCCCUUGCGAGCUGAAUUAGUUCGAUUCCAGCUCGUUGAGCUCAAUUUAGCUCGUUUGCAGCCCUAUGAGCUCGUUUGCUCGUUUUGAGUUUAUUUUAGUUUUAUGCUUUCUAAACUUGCUGGAAUAAAUCAAUUAGUUUAGCUUAGCUAGUUAAUUCGAUUUAACUCAUCUAUCUUUUUAGUUCUUGCGUUUUAUUUGCUGGAAUAAAAUAAAUAUUUUUAGUUAAAUUAGUUUGUAACAGCCUAAUUUUGGGCCUAGUCGGAACAGUGGUUUCGAAAACACUAACCCGAGGUCAGAGAAAUUAUUAUUUUUAUAUUAUUUUAUGUGUUAUAGCAUGUUUGUAUGAGUGCAUGAAAAUUUUGGUGAAAUAAAUUUAGCGAUUGCAUGUUCAAAUGCAAAAAAAGAGACUAAAUCGCAUAAGGGACAAAAGUUUUAUUUCAUUAGCUAAAGGUGUCAAAUAGCUAGAGAACCAAAAUUAAGGGUAUUUAAAGAGAAAAUAGGCCUUUAUUAAUGGCAUAGCUGGCCAUAGGGACAAGAAAAUCAAAAAGGUCAAAAUUAGGUGAAAUUUGGUGACCAAUUUGGCUAAAAUAAAAUAAAAAAGGAAAAACUAUCAUUCUUUUUUUCUCUUCUUCUCUUCUCCACUUUUCAGCAAGGAAGGCGUCUUGAAAGCUUGAAAUUUUCAGCCAUUAAGUUCUCUCAUAAGUAAGUGAUUUUGAUGACUUUUCUUGAUAAUUUUUGUACUUUUGGGACCCUUGUAGCAUAAGCUAACUAAUGAGGGGAUUAUUUUGCAAAAUGGUUGAGGGUCUAGGGUUUUUCCAUGAGCGUAUUCAUGUUUUUUUCUGAAUUUUUAUGGAAGAAAAUGAAUCUUGAUUGUUAAACAAACAACUUUUGUAAAGUAGUUUUCAUGGAAACACUAACUAAGGACCAUUUUGCAUAAGUUAUAAAUUAUGUGGUAAAUGUGUGAAAUAAUGGGAAUUGUGGGCUACUUAUAGUAUAAAAAGAACUUGGCUAGGCUUGGGUACUGAGAAAAUUCGAUAAAAAUUAAUUUAUGAGCCUAGGGGUAAAAUAGUAAUUUUGUGAAAGUUCAGGGGCAAAAUGGUCAUUUUGCCAAAAUAUGAAUUAGGAAAUGCAUUGAUUAAUAUGAUGAUUAUAUUAGUGAAUUUUUACCAUUUUAGAUCAAGAAAUACAAAAUUCGAACCUAGACCGGGGAAAGGCUAAGCAAGUAGAUUAAAACCAAUUAGUCGUCCACUUUUUUAUACCGAGGUAAGUUAUACGUAAGUAAGUCAACUUUAUUGCUAUUAUGUGUUGAAUGAUUGAUUUUGCAUAAUAUGUUUGAACAUGAGUAUGAAUAAUGAUUGAUGAAAUUAAUGGGGUAAAUUCCCGAUUGAGCCUAGGAAUAGAUUGGAUAUCCAAGCCAUGACAUUUGGGUGAUAUGUGUGCCAGUAUAAGACUAUGUUUGGGAUAUGGCAUCGGCCACGAUAUGAGAGCCAGUGUAAGACCAUGUUUGGAACAUGGCAUCGGCAAUGUAAUGAGAGCUAGUGUAAGACAAUGUUUGGGACAUGGCAUCGACAUUGAUAUGUGCGCUCGUGUAAGACUAUGUUUGGAACAUGGCAUCGGCAUUGAGAUGAGAGCUAGUGUAAGACUAUGUCUGGGACAUGGCAUCAACCUCGACAUGUGAGCCAGUGUAAGACCAUGUUUGGAACAUGGCAUCGGCAAUUCACCCCUUUGUGUAAUGCUUGUCAGAUAUCCUUCAGUAUUCCAAAUGGUCUCACGGAUUAUUUUGAAGCUUAUGAUAAUGAUAUGGAAUGAUAUAAUCAUGUUGUGAGUGGUACAGGUUCUUAUUCAAAAUUCAUGAGAUAUGAGUCUAGUUAUGUACAUUGGUGGUAAGAAAGACACGAGUAAGUUCCAGCUAUGAAAUGAUUUUGGGACGAUAUUGAAAUCUUUGGUUUAUACUUGUGGUAUAAACAUGUAGUGAUAUCUACCCAUGUUCACUCAAGAAUUUUGUAUUGAUUUAUAAUAUGCAUGGCUGAUUUUGUUACUUAUUUAUAUGCAACUUACUAAGCUUUAUGAUUACUCCCUCUCUUUUCCAUUUUCUUAUAGUGUCGCCAAGCUAGUAUCGGGGAUUAAGAGACGUCGGAGGCAUCGAACACACUAUCACCUGAAGCUUUUGGUAUAGCUAGUUUAAAUGUUUUGAUUGUGGCAUGCAUAAGGACUUGAAUUUUUUGUUUAAAGUCUUGUUAGUUUAGCCACAAGUGUUGGCUCAUAAGAUAGAUGUGAUAUUCAUUUUGUAUAGGCUAUUAAUGUUGGCUAAUAUUGAUUAUUAUUAAAUGCAUUUGAUGCAUUUCUCAUGGUUGUGGUUGAUUUCAUUAUAUGUGUUAUGCUUGGAUUGGUUGGUUAAUAUUGUGUAGGUUGGUGCAUGUAAGGGUGGCAAAGAGGCUUGGUAAAUAGCCUUAUUUUUGUCUAUACGGGCAUACACACGGACGUGUGUCUAGGUCGUAUGUGACAUACGGUUUGCCCCACAGGAGUGUAGUCUGGCCCUGUGUCCCCUGCACCUCAAUUUUAUAAGUCAGUAUGCAUGGUAGUAAGCACAUUGGCAGAGACACAGCUAUGUGUCCCAACCGUGUGGAGGACACGGCCUAACAGACGGGCGUGUGCCUUGGCAAUUCGCCCUUAAUUGGUUGAUGACGUAAAAAAUAGAAUGUCGAGGUUUUUGUACACGGGCUGAGACAUGGGCGUGUCAUAGUCGUGUGAAAACCCAUGUAGGUUCGAAUUGAGAAAUAAAUCCACACGGGUCAAGGACACGGGCGUGUCGAGAUAUGCCCAGGCCGUGUGAGCUAUACGGGCCUUCAGCACAAUCAUGUUAAGAUGACACACGGGCGUGUCACUUUUCCACACGGGCGUAUGCCUUGUUUACCUUGAAAUUUUUCAAAGUUUUUCAAAAUACUCAGUUAAGUCCCGAAUCUUUUUCAAAAUGUGUUUUGGGCAUCGUGGGUUUGUAUUAGGGCUUUUAUGUUUGGUUUUCAAAAAGCUUUAAUUUAGACGAAAAUUUAUGGCACAAAAAUGUUUGUAAGCAUGUGUUUAAGCACGGUAACACCUCAUAUCCUAUUUUGGCGUUGAACUCAGAUAAAAGGGUUACAUUUAGUGGUAUCAAAGCUAUAGUUUAAUCGAUUCUUGGCCUAACCUAGAAUAAGUACAAGUCUAGCUAUAAAUGCCAUAAAUAUAUUAUGAUAUUGUGACGACUCCUGACAAAUUUAAAUUGUGUUUUCAUUUAGUAAAUGGAUCCCAAUGAAGCAAUGGCAGAUGAUGUAGAGAUUAACGUACCGGCUCACACUGAAGGGACCGCGCCAGUAGAGAACGGAACCUUGACAAUGAGUCAGGGUGGAAGGGUUAGAUAAGCCUACCUUCGUAUGAUGGAUGCCUGGUAUUCAGAAUUUGUUCGAGCAAAUCUGAACACUCCACCUCCCCCACCUCUGAUUCCUCAACCUACUAAUAUGGCUCCCCAAGGAGUAGAAAUUGUUAGGAGAAAAAAACCUUCGAUAGAUUGAAUUUGUAAGCAUAGGGCCGAGAAAUUUCGUGCGAAAAUUGAUGAUGACCCAGAGAGAGCAGAAUUCUGGUUGAAAAAUUCCAUUAGGGUAUUCGAUGAAUUGUCUUGCACCCUUAAGGAGUGCAUAAAGUGUAUUGUGUCACUCCUGUGAGACUCGGCCUACCAAUGGUGGAACACCAUUGUGUCAGUUGGACCAAGGGAAAGAAUUACAUGAGAGUUUUUCCAGGAGGAAUUCUGAAAGAAGUAUAUUAGUUAGAGGUUUAUAGACCAGAAGAGAAAAGAAUUUAUAAAAUUGAAGCAAGGCCGAAUGACGGUAACAAAGUAUGAGUGUGAGUUUGUGAGACUCAGCAAAUACACUAGGGAGUGCGUAUCUACCGAAGCCACUUGUGCAAGAGGUUUGAAGAUGGUUUGAACAAAGACAUCAGAUUGUUGGUUGACAUUUUGGAGUUAAUAAAAUUUGUAGUACUUGUUGAGAGAGCAUGUAAGGUCGAAUAAUUGACUAAAGAGAAGAGGAGAGCUGACAUUGAGUCACGUGACUCAAAGAAAAGAAAAAUGGGAAGAUCAUUUCAGACCUAAUCCAAGAAAUUGAGGGAGUUUCCUACUCGAACAAAUGCAUCGAUAGGAUUCUCGAGAAGAAACAAGAAUAAGCAGUGUGCGGCGUCUAAAGCUCAGACCACUUUUAUUGCGAGCGUUGGUAGUGGUCGACCAAAUAGACCAGAGUGUUCACAGUGUGGUAAAUGACACUUCAGUGAGUGCCGAGGUAAUGAUAGAGGUUGCUUCAAGUGUGGUUCACUAGACCACUUUAUUCAAAACUGUAUUAAAAUGGAGGAGAAAGACAAAAAGGAAGAUGUGAGAGCGAGUAAUGCUCCCUCGAGAGGUAGACCACAGAAGAACCCUGAGAGUGGAGCUAGCAGCAGAGGUACGCCUAGAGAUUCUACUGUGAGGUCCGAGGGCAGAGCGCCUGUAAGGACAUACGCCAUUCGUGCCCACGAAGAUGCUGCAUCUCCCGAUGUGAUUAUGGGUACCUUUUCUAUCUAUGAUAUAUCUGUGAUUUCUUUGAUCAACCCAGGGUCUACCCACUCUUAUAUUUGCAUGAAAUUGGUACCUAGUACGAAUAUACUAGUGGAGUCUACUGAAUUUUUGGUAAAAGUGUACUAGUGGAGUCUACUGAAUUUGUGGUAAAAGUGUCCAACUCGUUAGACAAACAUGUAAUUGUUGACAAAAGUGUGUAGAAAUUGUCUUUUAAUGGUUAGGGGCCACUAUUUUCCGGCUAACCUCAUGCCACUACCGUUUGUUGAAUUUAACCUAAUCUUGGCAUGGAUUGGCUAACUGUUCAUAACGUGUUAGUAAACUGUGGUAGUAAGUUUAUUGAAUUGAGAUGUGAAAAUGAAGAUACUAUCUGGGUUGAAUCAGGUGAAUCGAACAGCUUACCAUUACUGAUUUUUUCUAUGAUUGCUAAGAAAUACAUGAGAAAAGGGUAUGAGUCCUACCUUGCAUUUGUGUUGAAUACCCAAGAGUCGGGAGUAAAGAUUGAGUCAGUGCCAGUGGUAUGUGAGUACCCAGAUGUGUUUUUGGAAGAAUUGCCCGAAUUACCUCCAGCUUGGGAAGUUGAGUUUGGUAUCGAGUUGGUCCUUGGUACAGCACCUAUCUUGAUUGCUCCAUAUAGGAUGGCUUCAAUGAAGUUAAAUGAGUUAAAAGUACAGUUACAAGAAUUAACAGACAAGGGUUUUGUGAGAUCGAGCUAUUCCCCGUGGGGUGCUCUGGUACUUUUUGUGAAAAAGAAAGACAGGUCGAUGAGGUUAUGUAUAGACUAUAGAUAGCUCAACAAAGUGACAGUGAAGAACAAGUAUCCCUUGUCAAGGAUCGACGAUUUGUUUCAUCGACUAAAGGGAGCCACGGUGUUUUCUAAGAUAGACUUGAAAUCCGGCUAUUACCAACUAAGAGUUAAGGAGCAAGAUGUGCUGAAAAUUGUGUUUCGGAUGAGAUAUAGGCACUACGAAUUCCUCGUCAUGCCUUUUUGCUUAAAAAACACCCCGUCGUGUUUAUGGACUUGAUGAAUCGUAUUUUUUGGCCGUACUUGGAUAAGUUCGUGGUUGUUUUUAUUGAUGAUAUAUUAAUUUAUUCUCGUGAUGAGAGUGAGCACACGGAGGAUUUAAGAACUGUUUUGAAGACAUUAAGAGAUAAACAGUUGUAUGCCAAGUUUAGUAAAAGUGAGUUUUGGCUCCGAGAGAUCGGAUUCUUAGGACAUAUUGUGUCGGAUGAUGGAAUUAGAGUUGACCCGAGUAAGAUCUCGGCUAUUGUCGAGUGGAAACCAUCGAGGAAUGUAUCAGAGAUUAAAAGAUUUCUAGGCUUAGUGGGUUACUACAGACGAUUCGUUAAAGGAUUCUCUAUGAUUGCUACUCCAAUGACAAGGUUGCUACAGAAAGAUGUCAAGUUUGAGUGGACGGAAAAAUGGCAACAAAGUUUUUAGAAACUAAAGGCAUUGUUGACAGAAGCUCCAAUUUUAGUGCAACCGAAUCCGGGAAAAGAAUUCGUAGUGUAUAGUGAUGCAUCCUUGAAUAGAUUAGGAUGUGUGCUCAUGCAAGAAGGUAAGGUGAUAGCGUAUGCCUCAAGACAACUGAAGUCGCAUGAGAAAAAUUAUCCGACUCACGACUUAGAGUUAGUAGCCAUAGUGCUCGAACUAAAGAUUUGGAGACAUCACUUGUAUAGUGAGAAAUGCCGGGUAUUCACUGACCAUAAAAGCCUAAAAUACUUGAUGACUCAAAAAGAUUUAAAUCUACGGUAGCAAAAGUGGUUAGAGUUGAUUAAAGAUUACGAGUUAGUAAUUGACUAUCUCCCGGGAAAGGCGAAUGUGGUCGCUGAUGCAUUAAGUAGGAAGUCAUUGUUUUCCUUGAGAGGUAUGAAUACUCAGUUGUCUGUAAUCGAGGAUGGUUCGAUUCUAACAGAGUUGAGGGCUAGACCUAUGUUUCUUCAAAAGAUUUGUGAAGCUCAGAAGAGUGAUAAAUAUUUGCAAGCCAAGAUGACUUAGUGUGAGACAAUUGAAGAAUUAGAUUUUUAUAUUAGUACCGACGGUUAUUUGAUGUUCCGAGAUAGGGUCUGUGUACUUAGAGAUGAUGAGCUUAUUGGGAAAAUUCUUCACGAGGCAUAUAGUAGUUGUAUGUCAAUCCAUCCCGGUAGUACUAAGAUGUAUAAUGACUUGAAGAGAUUGUAUUGGUGGCCGAGCAUGAAAAGAGACAUCUUAGAGUUUGUGUCAAAAUGUUUAAUUUGUCAGCAAGUGUAAGCCGAGCACCAAGUACCUUCGAGUUUACUUCAGCCUGUGAUGGUUCUCGAAUGGAAAUGGGAUCGAAUUACCAUAGAUUUUGUGACAGGCUUGCCAUUGUCACCCAAAAAGAAAGAUGUUGUUUGGGUCAUAGUUGAUCGACUAACGAAUCAGCUCACUUUGUUUCGGUGUGUGACAGCCCUAAAUUGACCCUAGUCGGAAAGUAGUUUCGGGACUACAAAACCGAGUCAUAAAAAUAAUUAACUAUUAAAUUCUGUGUUUAUUAUAUGUGUAAAUCAUGUGUGAAAGUUUCAUGCUUUGAUUUGGUUAUUUGUAUGUGAAAUUUUUAAGAUAGGACUCAUGUGAUAAAAAUUGAAAGUGUGAUAGGUAAAUUUUAAAGUACUAAAUAAUGCAUGAAGUGAUGACAUGAGGGAUUUGCAUGUCAAAUGCACCAAAUUUUCCAUAGUGGCCGGCCAUAAAUGAUGUUUGAUGUAAGAUAUAUGUUUUGUUUUAGAAUUAUAAUAAGGGAUGGUUUUAUUUUUAUUUUAAAAUAAAGUGAUUAGUAAAACAAUAAAAGAAAAAAAAAGUAUACAUGCUCAUCUUUCUUCUUGAUUGCCGAAAUGGGGAAAGGGAAUUUUGAAGAGGAAAAACCAAGGUAUUCGGCCAUGGCUAUCCUAGUUUAAGGUAUGCAUUGUGAUUUUUCUUUUUAAUUGACUAUGAGAUUAAAUUAAUAAGUACAUAGCUUAUUUAACCCAUGAUUUAAUUUCAUGAGUCAAUAGAUAAAUAUCCAUUCCGCAAGUGCUAAAUUGGUGUCAUUUUGAUAAGUUUUUUUUGGGAUGUUAAUUACUUGUUAAGUAGCUUAAAUGAUGUUUGAAUGAGUAGAAUUCAUGGUUGAAAAGUACAAAUUGAAAGUGGCCGUAUGAGUGUAUAUACAUUUUAGAAAGAAAAAUGUUGUUGUUAGUUGAGUUGCAUUUGAUAAAUAUUCAUUCGGUCAAAUGGGAGAAGAAUAAGAUGAAUUUAAAUGUUGUGGUUUAUUAUUUUAGUUGGUUAAAUGAUGUGGUCAUUGCCGAAUACAAUUGUGUUAAAGGAAAUAGGAUUAAAUGUUGGUUUGAUGAACUAAAUGCUAAUAGAUAUUAGGAUAAAAGGAGAAAAAGGUUUAAGUUAUAAGAGAAUUGAGGGAUAUUCAUAUUUAGACAUUUAGGGUUAUAUAAAUUUUGGUCAUUGAGUUAUGCGUUAUGUGAAAUAUUUAAUUUAUAUACAUAAUCGGUCAUGGUUUGACAAAUAUGUAACCUAUGUGUAAAUUGCUACAAUUGAUCAUGAGAUAGAAUUUGUAUAUAAAAGUUAAGUUGUGUGGUUAGGGCCGAAUGAGAUAUAUAAGAUAUUAAAACAUGUUAUAAUUAUAUAUUGGUGUACAUGGCUGUAAUUAAUCCUCUACUUGAAUUCGAUUAGGUAUCGUCAUGAUAAGAGUUUAGUAGGGUUAAUACCUUAAAAUUGAAUGGAGUUUUAGUUAAUCUUUUGUGUCGUGUUCGUUAAAAUAGCUGAGGAUUUGGGUAUUAUUAUACGUAUUUAGGCUAAAGAUAUUUCAGCUAUGUUUUAUAUCUAUGAGAUAAUUAUAAUGGAUAACAUGUAGGAGUAAUUUCGGCUUGUUAAAAAUGUGGUACAUGUAUGGCAAAUUGUAUAUACAAUUUGCAUUGAAGUUACCCUCUAAGGUCGAAAUGGGUAAUUAAAUUUUUGGUGUGUAUGCAAUUUUUUUUUUAUUUGUAACUUGGCCUGCGAAAUGGAUGUAUGAUAGUUAAUAUGUGUGCUUAAGGUGAUGUGAUAAAAUAAUUAUGUAUAUGGUUUGGUUUCAUUAUUGAGUAUAAGGGUUAAAUGCUUUAAAGAAGCUUUUAAUAUUCGAAAUAAUUAAACAAAUUCAUUUGUUUAAAUUAAGCCCAAGAGCAAAGAGGAACUAGACCAGACAAGGGAAAGGAGAAAGCGAUCGAAUAGCCUACCCGCAACUGUUCAAAAAUAUCCGAGGUAAGUUUUCGAGUAAUGGAACUUAGAUCAUGAUUCGUUUAGAUCAUGUUAUAAAGCGAAUCAAAACCAUGCUCUUUGUAUGUGGUUGUUGAGUCGAAAAUGGUAAUGGUAGAUAAGUGCCUUGUGUCUGAGUUCUAGUAAUGAAAACGAAAUAAAAAUGUGUUAUGAUUUGUGGACAUAUGUACAUGAUUAUUCGGAUGAUAUCCGGGCUAAGUCCCGAAGGCAUUUGUGCAAGUUACUAUAUCUGGGCUAAGUCCCGAAGGCAUUUGUGCGAGUAGUUGCUAUACCCGGGCUAAGUCCAGAAGGCAUUUGUGCUAGUGACUAUUUCCGGGCUAAGACCCGAAGGCAUGUGUGCGAGUUACUAUAUCCGGGUUAAGUCCCGACGGUAUUUGUGCGAGUUGCGAUAUCCGACUAAAUCCCGAAGGUACUUGGUUUGAGAAUGAGCGAUCUCGCUGUAAUAAUUUCAAUUAAUACGCUCGUAAAAUCCAAACGAUGAGGUAUGUUUCGUUUAUGCAUUGGAAUAGAUGAUUCCCUUUAAAUAGUAUUCGCUCAAUCGAUUAACAAGCAUCUGGCCUUUAGUUAAGUUGAUCCCAUAUAUAUGAAUAUAAGGGUUGGAAAUGUGAAGUAAGUAUGAUUUUGAGAAUAUGUGUAUAUGAAAUUAUUCGUUUAGUCAUAUGAAUGCUAUACUUCAGAUGUGCAUAAUUUCAUUACUCAAACUUACUAAGCAUUAAAUGCUUAUUCUGUUGCUUUGAUUUUUCUGUUUUAUAGAUUUUGUUCGUCAGCUAUCAGACUCGGGAGUGUCAAAGUUGAAGUCGUCCACACUAUCAAAGCCCUUUUGGUACUCUUUUAGUUGAACUUUGAAAAUGGCAUGUAUAGGACUGCCCUUUGUUGUUAGUCAUGUACUUUUUGGUAAUGUAUAUAUUUGGAUAGCCAUGCGAAAAUGGCUUAUAUAUACUUUGAGCAUAGCAUUGUAAUCAUUUUGUAUGUUGUUCAUUGAGAGGUAUGGAAAUGUUUGGUAACGAUUAGCCAUUGGAAUGGUUAAUCAUGAUCAUUUUGGUGCUAUGUAUGACAAAUUCUAGUUGAUUCAUGGAAAACCAUGAAAUAGGUAAAGUUUACCUUAAAAAUAGAUGCUGACAGCAGCAGUGGUGUGGAUUUGGAAAAUCACUAAAAAUAGUAGGAAUGGAAUUAAAUAGUGAAUAAAUUAUUUAAUCGAACCUUGAUGAAUAUAUUUUCAUAGGAAAGUAACUAAAUGAUCAUAUGAGCCAUAUUUUAUGAGAUGUUUAAGUUUUCGUGAAAUAGGGCCAGAGCAAUUUCUGGAUCCCCUGUUCCGACUUUGGAAAUUCACUAUAAAUCAACCAGAGAUAAUUAGAAGUCAUGCCCUAUAUGUACAGAUUCCUUUUCGAGUCUAGUUUCUUUAGAAACAAACGAAAUAAGUAUUGAAGCCCUGUACAGGGAGAUAUCUAAGUUGUAAUGCAUGAAGGUCAGAGUAGUCGAACCCUGAAACAGGGGAGACUUUAACUAAUAAACUGUACUAAUUGGAUUGACCAAAAAUUCUAGAAAUAAAUUUGUAGAUGGAAAUAUGAGUCUAGUUUCAGGAAAAAUUUACAGAACCGGUUUUUGAGUUUUGGAACUUGAUAUAUGAUUUUUAAGGUGACAGUGAUGCAGUUAGCCAGCUUGUCUGGAAAUUUUAAAAUGGACUGUGCAAAUAAAUGAAUUAAGUCUGUUAGCACCUCGUGUUCGACUCCGGCAACGGUCUCGGGUACGGGGUGUUACACGGUGCGUACUGACUACUUACUUCAUAAGCUAGCCGAGUUAUAUAUUUAUGAGAUUGUGAGACUUCAUGGAGUGCCUUUGUUGAUUAUUUCGAAUAGGGAUCCGAGGUUUACUUUGCGGUUUUGGAAAAAAGUUUCAAGAAGCUUUGGGAACAAAGUUGAAUUUUAGCAUGACUUUUCAUCCGCAAACUGACGACCAGUUGGAGAGGGUCAUUCAGAUUCUUGAAAACAUGUUGCGGUGUUGUGUCCUUAAAUUCCAAGGCAGUUGGGAAAAGUAUUUACUGCUGGUAGAGUUCGCCUACAACAAUAGCUAUCAGUCGAGUUUGAAAAUAGCGCCUUAUGAGGCUUUAUAUGGGCGUAAGUGCUGAACGCCUUUGUUUUGGACUGAACUUAGAGAAAGUCAGAUUCAUGGGGUCAACUUAGUUAAAGAGACCGAAGAAAAAGUUAAAGUAAUUCGUGAUUGUUUGAAGGUCGCUUCGGAUAGACAGAAAUCUUACGCGGAUUUGAAACGAGAGAAAAUUGACUUUCAAGUGGGUGAUAAAGUGUUUUUGAAAGUGUCCCCGUGGAAGAAAGUCUUUAGAUUCAGUAAGAAAGGGAAAUUAAUUUCACGUUUAUUGGACCUUAUGAGGUGACAGAGAGAAUUAGACUGGUAGCUUAUCGACUAGCCUUGCCAUUCGAGUUAGAGAAGAUCCAUAAUAUUUUCCAUGUGUCGAUGUUGUGCCGUUACCGUUCUGACCCUUCACACGUUCUUUCGCCAACAGAGGUUGAGAUUCGUUCAAACAUGACUUAUGGCGAAGAGCCGGUUAAGAUCUUAGCCCGGGAGGUUAAGAAAUUGAGAAAUAAAAGUAUCGCACUCGUGAAAGUACUCUGGCAUCGAUAUGGGGUUGAAGAGGCCACAUGGGAACCCAAAGAGACUAUGAGAGAUCAAUACCCUAACCUUUUCACCAGUAAGAUUUUUGGGGACGAAAAUCCCUAAGAGGGAGAAUUCUAACAGUCCGAUUUUAGGCCUGGUCGAAAUAGUGGUUUCAAAAACACUAACCCGAGGUCAGAGAAAUUAUUUUUUAUAUUAUUUUAUGUGUUAUAGCUUGUUUAUAUGAGUGCAUAAAAAUUUUGGUGAAAUAAUUUUAGCGAUUGCAUGCUCAAUUGCGAAAAAGGACUAAAUCGCAUAAGGGACAAAAGUUUUAUUUCAUUAGCUAAAGGUGUCAAAUAGCUAAAGAACCAAAUUUAAGGGCCUUUAAAGAGAAAAUAGGCCUUUAUUAGUGGCAUGGCCGACCAUAGGGACAAGAAAAACAAAAAGGUCAAAAUUAGGUGAAAUUUGGUGACCAAUUUAACUAGAAUAAAAUAAAAUAACGAAAAGCUAUCAUCUUUUUUUCUCUUCUUCUCUUCUCCACUAAAAUUUUCAGCAAGGAAGGGGCCUUGAAAGCUUAAAAUUUUCAGCCAUUAAGUUCUCUCAUAAGUAAGUGAUUUUAAUGACUUUUCUUGAUAAUUUUUAUACUCUUGGGACCCUUGUAGCAUAAGCUAACUAAUGUGGGGACUUGAGGGUCUAGGGUUUUGCCAUUUGAGUACUCAUGUUGUUUUUUGAAUUUUUAUGGAAGAAAAUGAAUCCUAGUUGUUAAACAAACAACUUUGUGAAGUAGUUUUCAUGAACACCCUAAGGACCACUUUGCAAAAGUUAUAAAUUAUGUGGAAAAUGUGUGAAAUAAUGGGAAUUGUGGGCUGCUUCUAGUAUAAAAAGAAUCUGGCUAGGCUUGGGUAGUGAGGAAAUUUGAUAAAAAUCGAUUUACGAGCCUAGGGGUAAAAUAGUACUUUUGUGAAAGUCUAGGGGCAAAAUGGUUAUUUUGCAAAAAUAUAAAUUAGGAAAUGCAUUGAUUAAUAUGAUGAUUAAAUUAGUGAAUUUUUAUCAUUUUAGAUCAAGAAAUACGAAAUCCGGACCUAAACCGGAGGAAGGCCAAGCAAGUAGACUAAAGCCAAUUAGUCGUCCACUUUUUGUAUACCGAGGUAAGUUGUACGUAAGUCAACUUUAUCGCUAUUAUGUGUAGAAUGAUUGAUUUUGCAUAAUAUGUUUGAACAUGAGUAUGAAUAUUGCGUGAUGAAAUUAAUGGGGUAAAUUCCUGGUUGAGCCUAGGAAUAGAUUGGAUUUCUAUGCCAUGACAUUUGGGUGAUAUGUGUGCUAGUGUAAGACCAUGUCUAGGACAUGGCAUCGGCCACGAUAUGAGAGCCAGUGUAAGACCAUGUUUAGAACAUGGCAUCGGCAAUGUAAUGAGAGCCAGUGUAAGACCAUGUCUGGGACAUGGUUUCAGCAUUGAUAUGUGCGCUAGUGUAAGACCAUGUCUGGGACAUGGCAUUGGCCAUAUUAUGAGAGCCAAUGUAAACCCAUGUCUGGGACAUGGCAUCUAUAUUGAGAUGAGAGCUAGUGUAAGACCAUGUCUGGGACAUGGCAUCGGCCUCAACAUAUGAGUCAGUGUAAGACCAUGUUUAGAACAUGGCAUCGACAAUUCACCUUUUUGUGUAAAGCUUGUCAGAUAUCCUUUAGUAUUCCAAAUGGUCUCACGGAUUAUUUUGAAGCUUAUGGUAAUGAUAUGGAAUGAUAUAAUCAUUUUGUAUGUGGUACAGGUUCUUAUUCAAUAUUCAUGAGAUAUGGGUCUAGUUAUGUCGCAUUAAUGGUAAGAAAGACAUGAGUAAGUUCUAGCUAUGAAAUGAUUUUGGGACGAUAUUGAAAUCUUUGGUUUAUACCUGUGAUAUAUAAGCAUGUAGUGAUAUCUACGCAUGUUCACUCAAGAAUGUUGUAUUGAUUUAUAAUAUGCAUGGCUGAUGUUGUUACUUAUUUAUAUGCAACUUACUAAGUUUUAAGCUUACUCCCUCUCCUUUCCAUUUUCUUAUAGUUUUGCCAAGCUAGUAUCGGGAUCAAGAGACGUCGGAGGCAUCGAUCACACUAUCACCUGAAUCUUUUGGUAUAGCUAGUUUAAAUGUUUUGAUUGUGGCGUGUAUAGGGACUUGAAUCUUUUGUUUAAAGUCUUGUUAGUUUAGCCACAAGUGUUGGCUUAUAAGAUGGAUGUGAUAUUCAUUUUGUAUAGGCCAUUAAUGUUGGCUAAUAUUGAUUAUUAUUAAAUGCAUUUGAUGCAAAUUUCUCAUGGUGGUGGUUGAUUUCGUUAUAUGUGUUAUGCUAGGAUUGGUUGGUUAAUAUUGUGUAGGUUAGUGCAUGUAAGGGUGGCAAAGAGGCUUGGUAAAUAGCCUUAUUUUUGUCCACACGGGUAGAUACACGGGCAUGUGUCUAGGCCGUGUGUGACAUACAAUUUGCCCCACAGGCAUGUAGUCCGGCCGUGUGUCUCCAGCACCUCAAUUUUACAAGUCAGUAUGCAUGGUAGUAAACACACGGGUAGAGACACGGCCGUGUGUCUCAGCUGUGUGGAGGACACAGCCUAACACACGGGCGUGUGCCUUGACCGUGCACCCUUAAUUAGUUGAUGACGUCAGAAAUAGAAUGUCAAGGUUUUUGUACACGUGCUGAGACACGGGGGUGUCAUGGUCAUGUGAGGGACACGGGCCAUAGACACGGGUGUGUGUCAGGCUGUGCGAAAGCCCCUGUACGUUCGAAUCGAAAAAUAAAUCCACACGGGUCAGGGACACUAGCGUGUCCAGAUAAGCCCAGGCCGUGUGAGCUACACAGGCCUUCAGCACGAUCAUUUUAAGACGACACUCGAGCAUGUCACUUUUCCACAUGGGCGUUUGCCCUCUUUACCUUGAAUUUUUUCAAAGUUUUCCAAAAUGCUCAGUUAAGUCUCGAGUCUUUUUUGAAACGUGUUUUGGGCCAUUUGGACUCGUAUUAGGGCCUUUACAUUCGAUUUUCGAAAAGUAUUAAUGUGGACAAAAAUUUAUGGCACAGAAAUGCUUGUAUGCAUGUGUUUAAGUAUGGUAACACUUCGUAUCUUGCUCCGGCGUUGAACUCGGGUAAAGGGUGUUACACAGUUAAUCAACUUCAGCUCAUAAAUAUGUCUUAAUUUGGACAUUAAAUUUUUUUAUAAAUGUAUUAAUUUUAUUACCUGUUUUUAAUUUUCCUAGCUAUAGCCGAAUUUAAGAUGUGUCUUAGUUUAUUACUUGUGUUUAAUAUGUCUUAGUUAUUACUUGUUUUAAUGUGUCCUAGCUGAAUGCAUGAUUUUAAUGUGGUUUGAGCUGCCAAAUUAAUGUGUCUUAAGAUGAAUUAAUUUGCUGAAUUAAUUAGCUGCAGGUACAUGCUUGGGAUGGCAUAAAUGCAAGGAGCUGAUGGUUCAGCUCUUCCAGGCACCCUUUUCGUGAACAACAAGGGACAAGGGUGAGCUGCUGUUUCUUCUUCCCAAGUUGCCUAUUUGGCUCACUAAGAAGCUUUUAAAAGCUUUCACACCAGCUGGGCAUUCCAUUCACAUUGAGUGCCUAUUUGAUUUUGUGUGUUCAUACAUGGAGGGCUGUUUGCAUUAAGUUUCACACUUGAUAUCUAUUGUAAUACUCAAGCUGAUCACUACUUAAUCACAAGCUUUCCAACUGAUCAAGGCAACUUAAUUCCAACUCAUUAAACCCCUUGGCCGAGCAUAGACAAGGCAAUUCAGCUCCCAACCACAUCAAUUAAAUUUUUAGCUGAAUGUUCAUCAUUUAGAAGCUGACUAGUGGCGUUCCAAGGCUGGAGAAGCUUUCUGGAAUUUUCUUGAAAUUUUCUGGAAUUUUCAGCUCAUUAAAAGCUGAAAUCAAGUGUCCAUUUAGUUAUCCAUUUGACUAUUCGGCUAGCCUAGACUUCUAGCUAUGAAUACUUAGCUAAUUUCAUUUUGUAAGGACUUUUGCAACUUUGAAUGAAAUUCUGUUAUUUUUUUGAGAUUUACUUCUUUUAAAUUUCAUCCAACUUCUUACCUUAUUAGGUAACGGGUCAAGGUUCCUUUUCUUUCAUCACCCAAAUCCCCUUAAGAUCUUAUAAGUUUCGGGUUAGCACUCAUAUUUAGUAUUGGUUGACACUUGCAUCUUAAGUCUAUUUUCCAGUCCAUCCACAAUCACCUACUUAACCGUACAAGUUAUUAUUUAUCCUUUUAAUUCUUGUUAGACGAACCUAUAACCAUCAAUACUUAACCCUUUUUGAACCCAUCUUUGUUACCCAACUCCAAACUUAUCCUAAUCCCAACCAUACUUUGCAAAUCAAAUGACACUUAUUCGUUAGACGAUUGGGCAUCUAAAUGACUCAACUCAUCAUAUCGAGGCGAGAUCAUAUCAUUUGGUAUCAGAGCUACUUAAAAUGAGAAGUACAGAUGUUCGGAGCUAUCCCGGAGUAUGUUUGUGAAAAAAAUUCGAAAAAUAAUUUCAUGUACCAAAAAGUCCUUAUUGUAUUCAGGAUUUUGUAAUUGAAAAAAAUAUUCGAAAUUAUAAAAAAAAAGUGUUUAGUUCUUUUGUUAUUCAAUUUCCAAAGUUCUGUCGAAAGUGUUGAAAGUUUGUAUUCAUCUUUUGUAAUUCCCGAUCAUCAAUUUCCUGCUGCUAUCACCAUCUACCUUCACGCUACACUUAAAACCAAAUUAGUUUCUUUCAGCCAACCUUGCACCCAACAUCGUUACCAUUGAAACCCCUUUUGAAGCCGACCCCUAGACUACGAUAAAGCCUAAACGAAUCUUUUUAUGAAAUCACAAGAGAAGAAACGAGUGGAAAAAGGCACGAGAGAAGUGAGAGCAAUAGAGAGAAGCAAAAGCCAAUCAAAGAGAGAAAACACGAGUGUGAGUGCCAUUAACUCUUUCUUUCUGAGUGAACGUGAGACUUUGUGGUAAGGUUUUCUGUUCCUAUGUCUAGAAGUCCAGAACGCAAUAUGGCAGAAGGCGGAGGUUGACAACCCGUUAGAAACUUAAUGGCAGGAGGAGGAGUACCGGAUUUAACUCUCUAAGCACUAUUGCACGAAGUGGAGCGGUUGUUCGACUAAAAACUCGAACCUAUCUAAGAAAGGUUAGAUCAAGUCGAGGAGAGAGCCCAAUGAGAGAGGAUGCCCCAAAGUCCACAAAGAAAUCGAGGCUGAAAAAGAUUCAACGAGGACAAACUAUAUGGCCCUAGUGACACUGGAAGUGACCAAGGGUCCAAUCAUAGUGAACAACGGCGGGGAAAAAUGAAUCAAGGCCAAAGAGAACGUGGGCGUGUAGACGACGAUCUUAAAAACAUCAAAGUUUCCAUCCUACAUUUUCAAGGAAAAUCGGAUCCAAAAGCAUACCUCGAGUGGGAGAAAAAGAUUGAGUUGGUGUUCGAGUGCUAUAAUUAUUCUGAGACCAAAAAGGUUAAGUUGGCAACAAUUGAAUUCUUCGACUAUGAGAUGAUUUGGUGGGACCAACUCAUCACGAGUCAAAGAAGGAACGGAGAACGGCCUAUCACAACUUGGGCCGAGAUGAAAGCAGUGAUACACUGGCGGUUUAUCCCAUCCUAUUACCACUAGGAACUUUAUCAAAAACUCUAAAAUCUUACCCAAGGAUCGAGGAGUGCUGAAGACUAUUUCAAGGAGAUGGAAAUUGUAAUGAUAUGCGUGGAUGUUUAAGAGGAUCGAGAGGUUACAAUGGCAUGUUUCUUAGCUUGCCUCAACCGAAACAUCGCCAACAUCAUGGAGCUUCAACACUAUGUCAAUUUAGUAGUCAUGGUGCACAUGUCUAUCAAGGUCAAGAAGCAAAUAAAAACAAAAAAGACUAUGCGAGGCUAUUCCAACCCCAAUGCAACUUCAAAAUGGGGCCAAGGAAAUAGCAAAGAAGAUGUACCAAGUUGUGUAAAUGAUCAAGUGGUGCUAGCAAAAUCUAACAAGCCCGUUGGCGAAACUAGCAAAAACAAGAUCGAGGUUAUUCCUAAUCGAUUAUGGGAUAUCAAGUGCUUUAAGUGCCAAGGGAGGGGACACAUUGUUAGCCAAUGUUCCAAUCAACAAGGUGAUUUAAGAAAAUGGUGAAAUUGAAUCUGAGGAGGAUAAGAAAGAGGAGCUCGAAGCACCCACCGAUGAGGAAGAAGACUUGGAAUACGCAGUUGAAGGUGAAAUGCUCAUUUUCAAAAGGAGUUUGAGUAUCCAAAGUGUUGAGAGUGAGCAACAACGAGAAAAUAUAUUUCACACACGGUGCCAUGUACAAGGCAAAGUGUGUAGCUUGAUUAUUGAUGGCGGGAGUUGCACCAAUGUUGCCAACACAUUAAUGGUGGAAAAAUUAGGCCUUCCAACGACUAAGCACUCGUAUCCAUACAAACUACAAUGGCUCAAUGAAGGUGGUGAGUUGAAGGUGACCAAGCAAGCCCUAGUCACAUUUUUAAUCGAAGAAUACAAUGAUGAAGUCCUAUGCAAUGUGGUACCACUACAUGCAGGACACUUGGUUUUGGGACGACCGUGGAAGUUUGAUCAGAAGGUCAAACACGAUGGUUUCACAAAUUGGUAUAUCUUUGAGCAUCAUGGUAAACAUGUGACUUUGGCUCCAUUAACGCCAAAGCAAGUCUACAAGGAUCAAGUUAAGUUGAAAAUGUCUGUGGAAAAAUCGAGAGAAAAGAACAAAUUUUGCGAGAAUAAAAUGAGUGGAGAAAAGGAGAGUGAACUCAAAAAUGAAAUGAGUGAAAAGGAUAUGAAUGUUUUUACUAACCGACGUGUGAAUUACCUUUGUGUUUUUCCUUCCAUUCAGGUUCCUAAAGGUUCAAGUGGCGAGAAUCAACUUUGAUACCUUUCAAAGGAGAGAUGGUUCACAUUGAUUAACAAAGGUAAGAUUGUCGAUAAUCCUAGUCCACAUGUGUCUAAAGGUAAGCAAGGUAAGUGUUCUAAAUCGUUUAAGUCUCAACAAUCCCACUUGAAUGUUGGUGAUAAUAUUACUGAUAAUUUAGUCUUUGAAAAAGCUUCGUACCUUGAUGUAGUUAAAUGCCAUUCUCUGAUUAAUGUUGAUGCUUUCAUUUUAAAUGGUGGCAAGAAGAGCUUUCCUAAUGAAAAUUAUUGCGAUGACAAGAAUGUGGGUGAAGUAAUAUUGAAUUGGCAAGGGAAAAACUUGGACAUGUGUGAUAGCGAAUUUUUAUGUAAGCCUAAUUUGUUUGAUUGUGAUGACAAAUUGAAUUCUCUGAUUUGUUGUGUAAAUUUCACAUGUUUGUGCAAAUCUGUUCGAAUGAGAUUUAAGUGGUGUGAUUGUUUGUACAUGUGCAUGCUUGAAGUCCCUUCGUUUAGUAUGUGGGGGUUAUUUGAGGAAAGAAAAUUAUUGCUGAAUUUUGGUUCGAGUGACCAAACUCAUGUGUUCACACCUUGAAUCCAUUAUUCUGGUUCGUCAUUGAGCAUAAGUGAGCAUAUUGAAUUUUGUGAAAAUAAACGAGGGCACAAUUUAUGCUUACUUGAUGUCUAGUCUUUAACUAAGAAAAUGAAACUUGUGCAUUCUGUUUGGAACUUUAAAUUGAUUGCUAUUCCUUUAAUGUUGCUAGACAUGAAGUUUUUGAUUUAUUAUGGACAUGUACGAUCAAUUUAUAUUUCUCAAUCCAGCAAUGUUUAUGUGCUCUAGUUGGGAAUGAGAAUUCGGGACGAAUCUUGGUGUUUGCAAAUCAUAGUGGGCCCCAAUCUUUUCAAUUUCGUGUAUGAGGCACUUCGAAUUGGUUCCCUCCUAAAAAGGGAGGGCAUAUAAGUGACCUGUUUUGUUUUUAGGUUAUGUGUAAUUUUUAGGUUAGUGGAAGCAAUUUUGUCCAAUUCGUCAACCAAGGAGCUGGUGACGGUGAAAGAUUUGUCGCGGGUAAGUGGCCCAAUUUAAGGACAAAUCACUUUAAAAAGAGAGGGGAUGAUACGACCAUGCCUUGAGCACACUCUUGGACCAGCUCCCUAAGCGUUGCUUGCAAUCCUUUGUGAGCUGAAUUAGUUCUAUUCCAGCUCGUUGAGCUCAAUUCAGCUUAUUUCCAACCCAAUGAGCUCGUUUGCUCGUUUUGAGUUUAUUUUAAUUUUAUGCUUUCUAAACUUGCUGGAAUAAAUCAAUUAGUUUAGCUUAGCUAGUUAAUUCGAUUUAACUCAUCUAUCUUUUUAGUUCUUGCGUUUUAUUUGCUGGAAUAAAAUAAAUGUUUUUAGUUAAAUUAGUUAAUCAACUUCAGCUUAUAAAUAUGUCUUAAUUUGGACAUUAAAUUUUUUUUAUAAAUGUAUUAAUUUUAUUACUUGUUUUUAAUUUUCCUAGCUAUAGCUGAAUUUAAGAUGUGUCUUAGUUUAUUAAUUGUGUUUAAUAUGUCUUAAUUAUUACUUGUUUUAAUGUGUCCUAGCUGAAUGCAUGAUUUUAAUGUGGUUUGAGCUGCCGAAUUAAUGUGUCUUAAGAUGAAUUAAUUUGCUGAAUCAAUUAGGUGCAGGUACAUGCUUGGGAUGGCAUAAAUGCAAGGAGCUGAUGGUUCAGCUCUUCCAAGCACCCUUUUCGUGAACAACAAGGGACAAGGGUGAGCUGUUGUUUCUUCUUCCCAAGUUUCCUAUUUGGCUCACCAAGAAGCUUUUAAAAGCUUUCACACCAGUUGGGCAUUCCAUUCACAUUGAGUGCCUAUUCGGGUUUGUGUGUUCAUACAUGGAGGGCUGUUUGCAUUAGGUUUCACACUUGAUGUCUAUUGCAAUACUCAAGUUGAUCACUAAUUAAUCACAAGCUUUCCAGCUGAUCAAGGCAACUUAAUUCCAACUCUUUAAACCCCUUGGCCGAACAUAGACAAGGCAAUUCAGCUCCCAAUCACUUCAAUUAAUUUUUUAGCUGAAUGUUCAUCAUCUAGAAGCUGACUAGUAGCAUUCCAAGGCUGGAGAAGCUUCCUGGAAUUUUCUUGAAAUUUUCAGGAAGUUUUAGCUCAUUAAAAGCUGAAAUCAAGUGUCCAUUUAGUUAUCCAUUUGACUAUUCAGCUAGCCUAGACUUCUAGCUAUAAAUACUUAGCUAAUUUCAUUUUGUAAGGACUUUUGCAACUUUGAAUGAAAUUCUGUUAUUUUUGUGAGAUUUACUUUUCUCAAAUUUCGUCCAAAGAUUUAGCUUGGCUUAUCUAUUAGUCAUUGGCAUCAAUCUUGGUCUUUUGGAACUUAUGACUUUGAUUCGAGUGUGGCGUUGACCCAACUUAUACCUUUGGUUCUUACCUUAUUAGGUAACGGGUCAAGGUUCCUUUUCUUUCAUUACCCAAAUCCCCUUAAGAUCUUAUAAGUUUUGGGUCAGCACUCAUAUUUAGUGUUGGUUCACACUUGCAUCUUAAGUCUAUUUUCCAGUCCAUCCACAAUUACCUACUUAACCAUUCAAGUUAUUAUUUAUCCUUUUAAUUCUUGUUAGCCGAACCUAUAACCAUCAAUACUUAACCCUUUUUGAACCCAUCUUUGUUACCCAACUCCAAACUUAUCCUAAUCCCAACCAUACUUCACAAAUCGAAUGACACUUCUUCGUUAGACGAUCAGGCAUUUAAACGACUCAACUCACCAUACCAAGGCAAGAUCGUAUUAAAAAGUGACUUAGCCAUCAUAUCUGCAAGAUUUUCAUGAGUACUAAUUUUGCUUACAACAAUAUCACCACAAGUAAUAAUAUCACGAACAAAAUGAUACUGAACAUCAAUGUGUUUUGUUCUCAUGAAACAUUUGGAUUUUUGUAAGGAAGAUGGCACUCUGACUGUCACAAAAUACUGUACUGAUUUAAAGGUCUUCAUUGAGAUCACAAAAGAGUCCCUUCAACCAAAUAGCUUCUUUACAAGCUUCAGUAAUCGCCAUGUACUCAGCUUCAGUGGUAGACAAAGCGACUAUAGUUUGUAAGGUGGCUUUCCAACUAAUUGCACAACCUUCGAUUAUAAAGACAUAACCUGUGAGAGAGCUUUUUCUAUCAAGGUCUCUAGCAAAAUCAGCGUGAACAUACCCAAUGACUCCAUCUCUAGUUCUUCCAAACUAUAAGCAAACAUCAGUAGUACCUUGUAAGUAUCUUAAAAUCCACUGAAUUAUUUUCCAAUGUUCUUUACCGAGAUUCGCCAUGUAUCUGCUAACUGCACUGAUUGCAUAUGAUAAAUCUGGACGUGAACAAACUAUAGCAUACAUGAGAGAUCCCACUGGACUAGAGUAUGAAACAUGUGACAUGUACUCAAUCUCAUCACCUGAUUGUGGAGACAAAGCUGAUGAAAGUCUGAAAUGAGCUACUAAAGGAGUACUAACAGACUUAACACUCUGCAUAUUAAACCUGCAAAGGACUUUCUCAAUGUACCCCUUCCAACUUAGGUACAAUUUACUUGCUUUUCUAUAUCUAAGAAUCUCCAUACCAAUUGUCUUCUUUGCUUGUCCCAAAUCUUUCAUCUCAAAUUCUUCACUUAGUUGGGCUUUGACCUUUCUUAUCCCUCCUUUAUUUUUUGUUACUAUCAACAUGUCAUCAACAUAAAGGAGUAGAUACACAAAAGAACCAUCACUAUUUUCUUAAAGUAAACACAACUAUCAAAGCUACUUCUUUUGAAAUCAUAAGAAGUCAUAAAGGAAUCAAACCUCUUGUACCACUGUCUUGGUGACUAUUUCAAACCGUAAAGGGACUUUUUCAGCAAGCAAACAUAGUCCUCUUUUUCUGAGACUAUAAAACCCUCUGGUUUUUGCAUGGAAAUAUCCUUAUCAAGUUCUUUAUGCAAAAAAGUAGUUUUUACAUCUAACUGCUCAAGCUCCAAAUCAUGCAUGACCACGAUACCAAGCAAAGCUCGAAUUGAACUAUGUUUCACAACUGGGGAGAACACAUCUGUGAAGUCCACUCUUGGAAUUUGACUGUAACCUUUUGCAACAAACCUUACUUUAUACCUGGGUUCUUCAACUCCUAGAGCCCCUUUUGACUUGCAUAGUUUAUUAAGCUCAUCAGAAUAAAACUCUAAGCCAUUGUCUAUGUGAAUGUAUUUUAUUUGUUUUCCCAUCUAUUUUUCAAUCAUAGUUUUCCAAGAUUUAAAUGCGAAAAACACAUCACUUUUCUGCUUCAGGAAGAAUGCCCAAACUUUUCUGGAAAAAUCAUCAAUAAAAGUUAGCAUAUAAUUAGCUCCACGUCUUGAAGGCACUCUGAAUGGCCCCCACAGAUCAGAAUGAAUAUAAUUUAACAUUCCCUUCGUGUUAUGGAUUCCUCUAGUGAAUCAAACUCUCUUUUUCUUCCCAAAAAGCACAGUGCUCACAGAACUUUAGUUUACAAAUUCCUUGCCCAUCAAGAAGUCCUCUUUCGCUUAAUUCUACCAUGCCAUUCUCACUGAUAUGCCCUAGGCGCAUAUGCCAAAGUUUAGUAAUAUCAUCAUCUGACAAGGAAAAGGAAGCGACAACUGCAUCACCAGUAAACAGUAGAACCUACAAAACAUAUAACUUGGCAGUGUUUCUCUGCCCUUUCAUCACAAUGAGGGAACCUUUGGAAAUCUUCAAAACCCUACUUCAGCUGUGAAUCUGUAUUCUUUUGAAUCAAGAGUACUCAACGAAGUUAAAAUUCUCUUCUAUUCUGGAACAUGUCGCAGGUCACUAAGUGUUCUGACAACUCCGCCAAACAUCUUAACUUUAAUCAUUCCAACACCUGCAAUUUUACAUGAAGCAUUCUUUCUCAUCAAAACAACCCCUUUAAACACUGUUUCAUAAGUUGUAAACCAAUCCUGAUUGAGACUCAUGUGGAAGGUGUAGCUUGAAUCAAGGAUCCACUUCUCGCUCACUUUAGAAUUGUAACAGCCUAGUUUUAGCUAAAUCAGAACAAUGGUUUCAGAACCACAAAUCUGAAGUCGUAAAAUUAUUUUAAUAUUAUUUUUUGUGUUUACAGUAUGUUAAUUGAUAUGUGUGAAAGUUUCGUGUGAAAAUUUUAUCGUUUGUGUGUUCGAUUUGAUAAAAGGACUUAAUCGUGUAAAAUGCAAAAGUGACUUGCUAUUUGUUAAAGUGCUAUAUUUCUAUGGCUUUUAUAAUGUGGGAUCCUUAUGUUGAUAUUAUACCUUUGAAAUUAUGAGUGGACUUUUAUAGACAUGAUUAGUUAAUUAUUAAAGUUAUUUCAUUAAGGGGAAAAUGGUAAAAUGUGUAAUAAUAUGUAAUAAAAUAAACAAAAUAAAAAAAUGGCCAUGUAUUCAUCUUUCGUAGCCGAAAGUUGUGAAGGAAAGCAUACAUUGUUGGGGUUUUUACAUUCGGUACACUUAGGGCCUUAAUUUAAGUAUGUAAUUUGCUCGAUUUUUUAUGGUUUUUACGUUUCUAAGAUAGUUGCUUCGAAUACUAGCUAGCCCAUGCUUGAAUUUUUGAAUUGGUUGUGGAUUUUGUGAUUCACCAUUGUUGAUAGCUUGAGAUUUUUGUGGCUUGAUGAUGAAAUAUAAAUCUUUGUUGAUAGAUUAUUAUGUUUAAUUAAGUGAUUUUUGAGAAAAAUUCAAUUAGGGAUUAAUUUGUGAAAAUGUAUGGUUAAAUGUGUGAAUAAAUGAUAAAUAUGGGCUGCUAGGGGUACUUUGGUAAUUCGUCUAAGCAUGGAUUAAAUUGAAUUGUGUUAAUUUGAUGUAUUUGUGAAAAUGGACUAAAUUGAAUAAAUGUGGAAAUUUAGGGGCUAAAAUGUAAAAAUGCCCAAAUUGUGUGUUUUUGAUAAAAUUGUUUGAUUUGGUGAUUAAUAGAUAAAUUUUGAAUACAUAUAGAUCUUGAAAUAAAGAAAACGGAUCUAGACCGGGGGAAAUCAAAAGUUGACGAAUAGUGAAUCUAGUUCCUCUAUUCCAAUUAUGAGGUAAGUUCAUAUGCAAAUAAAUGUAUUUGAAUUGAUUUAUUCAUGCUUAUAUGAUAUUGAAAUGUAAUGAGUGGCCAUGGAAUAUGAAUAUGUGAAAUUGGGAAAGCAUUGAUAGUGUUACGAUGUCUGAAAGUCCCGUACGAACCCUUGGAAUAGAAUAGGGUACAUAUGUCAUGACAUAGGAUUCUGAGAUGUGAUAUUGUGUAAGACCAUGUCUAGGAUAUCGGCAUCAAUUUGAUAUUUAUGUGUAAGACCGUGUCUGGACAUUAGCAGCGUAUAUAAUUUCGUAUAAGACCCUGUCUGGGACAGUGGCAUCGAUAUUUGAUAACAUGUAAGACCAUAUCUAGGAUAUGGAAAUGUACCAAUUUUACGAGUUAUCCGAGUAUCCUUAUUGAUUCCAAACUGUUCAAUAGGCAUUAUCGAGAAAGGAAUUAACAUGUGAAUGAGUGUCUGAUUCAGGUACGUAUGAAAUAUACAUGUUAUUCAAGAAUGAAAGGUGAGUAUGUUAUAAAUGAUGACAUGUAAAUUAUAAGAGAAUGAAAUGUGAUUAUAUGCAAGUGAACUAGAUGUGAUUUAUGAAGUGAAAUUGUGAUUUGUAUGAUCUUCCUAUGGAUGAAUUGGUUUAAGUUUAUCUCAUGUGUUAUGAUUAUUUGUAUAUGGCUUACUAAGCUUUUAAAGCUUACUUUGUGUGUUCUUUCCAUGUUUUUAUAGAUCAUUGAAGCUAGUUCAAACUCUGGGAUGGUCAGAAAAAGUCAUCGCACUAUCGAUCAACUCGUUGGUAGUUUUUUUGGAAGCUUUGUAUAUAUGGUAUAUGGCAUGUAUAGGAUAGAGUCAUCUUAAUAUGUUUUGAGUUGUGAUUUUAGCCAUGUGAUUUGGCUUGUAAAUGUUGGUGUGAAUUUGGCAAUUUAAGUUGGCUUAAGUUAUGUGUUUGAUAAGCUAAUUAUAUGAUGUAUAUAAUGCCUUAUAUGUUAGCUUAUUUGGUGUGAUUAUGUGUUGGUUAUUUUGAUUAGAUGUUAAUUGAUGUGCUUAUGUUUGGAAGCUAUCAUAUUAUGGUUUUAUUUGAGAUAACCAUAAGGUAUUUAUUGAAGUAUGGAAUAGGUAAUAAGUUGAUGGAUAAAUGCAUUUAGUUGUUAUGUAUGUUUGAUGUUUUUGGUAUAGUGAAAUGGUAUGUUUUGGUUGUGGAAUUGAGUAGUGGAAAUGGUUGUGAGUAGAUGGCAUGAUGUGUUUGAAAUGGUAAGUUUUUGGUCACUUAAAGAUGUAUUGAAUUGGUGCUAUUUGGUUUCUAUGUAUGCUUGUGGUUAGGGUGGCAAAUUGGCUUGGCAAAUAGCCUAUUUUUGUCUACACGGCUAGAGAAACGGGUGUGUGUCUCCGCCAUGUGCGACACACGGUCUUGUUGCACGGUCGUGUAUCCCCAGGGGUACCCUUCGAAUUAAAGUUAGUAUACCCUACAAUUUUGACACGGCCUAAACACGCGGGUGUGUCUAUUGGCCGUGUGUGGGACAUGGGCUGGCACAUGGGCAUGUGGUCGGCCGUGUGGAUUAAGUCAGUAACCCCUUUAGAUUUCACACUGCCUGGAACAUGGGCGUGUCCUCGGCCAUGUGGUGCAAGUCAAUAUGUAUGAACUGUUUUUACACGGUUUGUGACACGAGCGUGUCUGGUAGCCAUGUGUGGCACACAGCCAGUUCACACGGGCAUGUGACCCUUAUAUCUUUGAAAAUUUUCUAUGUUUCCCAAAGUUUGUGAAUGUUAUCAGUUUAGUCUCGAACCACUUCUAAGCAUGUUUUAAGGUCUCGUAGGACCUUAUAAGGGACAAUUUCAUUAAUAUGAAUAUAUUUUGAUUAUGAAUGUAUGAAUGAAUGUGAAUUGUGUGUGAUUUUCGGUAAUGCCUCGUAACCCUAUUCUGGCGACGGAUGCGGGUUAGGGGUUUACAUUUAAUUGCUAUCAGAGUUACGAUUUAGUCGAUUUUAGGACUAACGUAGCGUGUGAGACUCUAGCUAUACAUGCCAUAUAUAUAAACUACGAUAUUAUGAUGAUUCCUGACAAUAAAAAUGUGUUUAUCGUAUAGUAAAUGGAUCUCGAUCGAUCCAUGGCUGAUGAUGUGGCAAGUAAUGCACCCGCUCCUACUCAAGGGGCAGCACUGGCUGAUUCUAGGUCGAUUACGAGUAACCAUGAGGGUGAGAAUAAGCAAGCCUUCUUCCAGAUGAUGAAUGAGUGGUUCACUCAGUAUAUUAGAACUAAUCUGGUUGCUCCACAACCUUCACCCUCUCAUAAUCCUCCAUAAGUCCCUGUCAUGCCACAGGUUGUGAAUCCAAUUCAAUUGAGUAAGCCUCCAGUUGAUAAAAAUAGAAAAUAUAGGGUUGAAGAGUUUCAUGCUACUACUGAUGAUGAUGCUGAGAGAGCUGAGUUUUGGCUCGAGAAUACGAUACGAGUGUUUGACGAAAUGUCAUGUGCUCCUGAUGAAUGUCUUAAAUGUGCUGUUUCACUUCUGAGAGAUACGACGUACCGUUGGUGGAAGACAUUGAUAUCAGUGGUUCCGAAAGAACGAGUCACUUGGGAGUUCUUACAGACUAAGUUUAGAAAGAAGUACAUUAGUUAGAGAUUCAUAGAUCAGAAACGCAAAGAGUUUCUUGAGUUGAAACAGAAAUGUAAGUUUGUUAUGAAAUAUGAACGAGAGUUUGUGAGAUUAAGUCAAUAUGCACGAAAAUGUGUCUCGACUGGAGCAAUUAUGUGUAAGAGAUUUGAAGAUGGCUUGAAUGAAGACAUCAAGUUGUUAGUCGAGAUUCUAAAAAUAAAAGAGUUUGUUUGGUUUGUUGAAUGAGCGUGUAAAGUUGAGGAACUCGGGAAAGAAAAAAAGAAAAGCCGACUCGAAAACUAGAGAGGUACAAAGAAGAUCAUUGAAUAAGUCAUUUGAUUUAGCAUCAAAUAAAUUUCGAGAUGAUUUUAGCCGUUCAAAGGCUACUGCGGGUUAUUCUAGAUGUGAUUGAGACAGAUCACCUGUGAGUUGAAAAGCUACCUCAGUAGCUAGUGUUGGCAACAUUAGUCCUAAUCAACCUGAGUGCAAACAUUGUGGUAAAUGACAUCUGUGCAAUUGUAGAUUCAAUGAUCGAGCUUGUUUCAAAUGUGGAUCAUUAGAUCAUUUCAUUCGUGAAUGUCAUGAGUUGGCCGAGCAAGAUACAGUGCAGAAUACGAGGUCGAGUAACAUUGCAACUAGAGGUAGACCACCCAGAAACAUGGGUAAUGUGAGUAGUAGCCAGAGGUGAACUAAAGACACUGCUGUUAGAUUUGAGGCUCGUGAACCUGCUAGAGCUUAUGCUAUUUGCGCUCGCGAAGAAGCUUCAUCUCUAGAUGUUAUAAUUGGUACUUUCACUCUCUAUGAUACUAUUGUAAUUGCAUUGAUAGAUCCAAGAUCGACUCAUUCUUAUGUAUGUGGAACUUUAGUAUCCAGUAAGACUUUGCCUGUAGAGUCUACUGAAUUUGUGAUUAGAGUAUCGAGCCCCUUAGCCAGAUGUGUAUUGGUUGAUAAAGUAUGCAAGAAAUGUUCGUUGAUGAUUUGAGAUUUAUGUUUUUCGGCUGAUUUGAUGUUGUUUCCAUUUGAAAAAUUUGAUAUAAUUAUAGGUAUGGAUUGGUUAACACUACAUGAUGCGAUAGUGAACUGUAAACGAAAGACGAUUGAUUUGAGAUGUCAGAAUGAUGAGAUAAUUCGGAUUGAGUCUAAUGAUUUGAAUGGUUUGCUAGCAGUGAUUUCUUCGAUGUUAGCUCGAAAAUAUGUGAAUAAGGGUUGUGAAGCUUAUUUAGCUUAUGUGCUUGAUACUAAAGUGACUGAAAAGAAGAUUGAAUCUAUACCAGUUGUGUGCGAAUAUCCGGAUGUGUUUCCUGAAGAGUUAUCGGGUUUGCUGCCAAAUCGAGAGGUAGAGUUUGGUAUUGAAUUAGUUCUAGAAACAACUCCUAUAUCAAUAGCUCUGUACAGAAUGGCUCCAACAGAAUUAAAAGAAUUGAAAUCUUAGUUGCAAGAGUUGAUGGAUAGAGGACUUGCACGACCGAGCUUCUCGUCAUGGGUUGCACCAGUUUUGUUUGUGAAAAAGAAAGACAAAACUAUAAGAAUGUGUAUCGAUUAUCGACAACUUAAUAAAGUGACGAUCAAGAACAAAUAUCCAUUACCGCGAAUUGAUGAUUUUUUUGAUCAAUUAAAAGGGGCUACAUGUUUUCAAAGAUAGAUCUGAGAUUAGGUUACUAUAAGUUGUGAGUUAAAGACUCUGACGUGCCAAAAACUACUUUUCAAACGAGGUAUGGACAUUAUGAGUUUUUAGUUAUGCCUUUUGAACUAACGAAUGCACCUGCCGUUUUUAUGGAUUUAAUGAAUCGGAUUUUCAGACCGUAUUUGGAUAGAUUUGUUGUUGUGUUUAUAGAUGACAUCUUGAUUUAUUCCCAGGAUGAAUCCGAACAUGUUGAACAUCUGAGAGUAGUGUUAAACUCCUUGUGAGAUAAGAAAUUAUUUGCAAAGUUUAGUAAAUGCAAAUUCUAGUUGCACGAAGUCAGUUUUUUGGGGCAUAUUGUGUCAGCAUCGGGUAUUUGAGUAGAUCCGAGUAAAAUUUCAGCAAUAUUAGAUUGUAAGCCUCCUAGAAUUGUUUCCGAAGUCUGAAGUUUUCUGCGACUUGCUGGUUAUUAUAGAUGAUUCGUAAAAGGUUUCUCAAUGAUUGCAACUUUGUUGACGAGAUUACUUCAGAAAGUUGUUAAGUUCGAGUGGCCAAAAAAGUGCCAGAAAAGUUUUGAUCAGUUGAAAGCCUUAUUAAUUGAAGCUCCAGUGUUAGUUCAACCAAAAUCGAGUAAAGAAUUUGUAAUUUAUAGUGAUGCAUCAUUGAAUGGUCUAGACUGUGUUUUGAUGUAGGAAGGAAAAGUCAUAGCUUAUGCCUCGAGACAAUUGAAGCCUCAUGAAAAGAAUUACCCGAAGCAUGAUUUAGAGUUAGCAGCUAUCGUGUUCGCAUUGAAGAUUUGGCGCCACUAUCUGUUCGGUGAGAAAUGUCAUGUUUAUUCUGAUCACAAGAGCUUAAAAUACUUAAUGACUCAGAAAGAUCUGAAUUUGUGACAACGAAGAUCGUUGGAAUUGUUGAAAGAUUACGAGUUAGUGAUUGACUACCAUCCAGGAAAGGCUAAUGUUGUGGCUGACGCUUUGAGUCGGAAAUAUUUGUUUGCACUUCAUACGAUGAAUACUCAUAUGACUCUUUCUAAUGAUGGCUUGAUUGUAGUUGAGUUGAAAGUUAGAUCGUUGUUUUUACAACAGAUUUGUGAAGCUCAGAAAGCUGAUAAUCAAUUGUUAGCUAAAAGAGCUCAAUGUGAUUUGAAUUCUGAUUCAGAGUUUCGAGUUGAUGCUGAUGAUUGUUUAAGAUUCAGAGGCCGAAUAUGUGUUCUGAGAAAUUUAGAGUUGAUUCAAAUAAUUUUUAAUGAAGCACAUAGUAGUUAUUUGUCUGUUCAUCCGAGAAGUACGAAAAUGUAUAACGACCUGAAAUAGCUUUAUUGGUGGUCUGGUAUAAAGUGUGAUAUCUUUUAAUUCAUUUCGAAAUAUUUAAAUCUAUCAACAAGUCAAACCUGAGCAUCAGGUACCGUCUGGGCUACUUCAGCCGAUUAUGAUUCUCGAGUGGAAAUAGGACAAAAUCAUGAUGGAUUUUAUUUUGGGUUUGCCUCUGUCACCGAGUAAGAAAGAUACGAUAUAGGUAGUUGUUGAUAGACUGAAUAAAUCAACUCAUUUCAUUCCAAUACACAGAUUUUUCACUUGAUAAGCUUGUUGAGUUGUACAUCUCUCAAGUUGUGAAAUUACACGGAGUACCUAUUUCUAUUGUUUUGGAUAGAGAUCUGAGAUUCACAUCGCGUUUUUGGAAGAAAUUGCAAGAUACACUGGGUACGAACUACACUUUAGUACUGCUUUUCAUCCACAGAUGGAUGGUCAAUCCGAGCGGGUUAUUCAGAUACUUGAGGAUAUGUUGAGAUGUUGUAUUCUUGAGUUUGAAGGUACGUGGGAAUGAUACUUACCUUUGAUUGAAUUUGCAUAUAAUAAUAGCUUUCAAUCGAGUAUAAAAAUGGCACCGUACGAAGCUUUAUACGAUCACAACUGCCGAACACCUUUGUAUUGGGCUGAGCUCACUGAGAAUAAGAUACACAGGGUCGAUUUGAACAAAGAGACUGAAAAAAAAGUAAAAGUGAUUCGUAAAAGUAUGAAAACAGAAUCAGAUUGUCAGAAAUCAUAUGCAAACUUGAAAAGAAAAGAUUUUGAGUUCAGAUUGGGGAUAAAGUGUUUUCAAAAGUAUCUCCGUGGAAGAAAAAACUUCGGUUCGGUCGUAAAGGCAAGUUAAGUUCACGAUUCAUUGGGCCGUAUAAGAUUAUUGAGUGAGUUGGACCAGUUCCUUAUCGGUUAUCAUUGCCAUCUGAGUUAGAAAAGAUUCAUAAUGUGUUUCAUGUAUCGAUGCUUCGACGAUACAGAUCUGAUCCUUCGCAUGUUAUUUCUCUGACCAAAGUUGAGAUUCAGUCAGAUUUGUCGUACAGUAAAAAAAACGAUCCAAAUUCUAGCUCGUGAGAUCAAAAAAUUGAUAAAUAAGAAAAUUGCAUUAGUGAAAGUCUUAUGGCAUCGAAACGGGGUUGAAGAAGCUAUGUGGGAACCCGAGGAUGUUAUAAGAAAGCAAUAUCCAAACCUAUUCGCGGGUAAGAUUUUCGGGGAUGAAAAUCCCUAAGGGGGGAAGAGUUGUAACAACCUGGUUUUAACUAAAUCGGAACAGUGGUUUCGGAACCAAAAAUUCGAAGUCAUAAAAUUAUUUUAAUAUUAUUUUUGGUGUUUUGAUAAACUGUAAUUUAUACAUAUUUUUACCCCAUGCUUAACACAUUUUAUGGAUGAUUUUUCCUUAGAAUUGGUGAAUUCGAUGCUCCUAAUGCCUUAAUUUCAUGUUUUAUACUUAGGUGAGCAUAGAAGAGCGAAAGGAACGAGAAACGGGCCAAAAACGGGGAAAAUGGGCCAACGUACAAAAUCAACACGGCCUGAACUUUCCCAUACGGGCAGACCACACGGCCGUGUCAAUUUGACAGAAUCGAAGAACGACUCACAUGGGUAGAACACACGCCCAUGCCAUUCUAACAGACUCGAGCACGGCCUGAAGUAAUCGCACACGGGCGUGUCCCUACCGAGCCCAAGUUUAGUUCAAUUCGGAAAAGGCUAAUUUUGCGGGCUUUUAGGCAUUCUAAAGCCUAUAAAUACACCCUAAAGGAAGAGGCACAGGGAGGCACAGAGAGGAAGGAAGGAAUUACUCGAAGAAAGCCGAUUGAUCCAUCUCAGAAGCCAGAUUCAUCAUCAAGACUGAAGAUCUCCCCUCAAUUUCCCUUCAGGAGUUUUGGGUUUUCUUUAUGUUUUGUAUUCAUUAUUCUUCUGAGAUGUUUUCCUUUUUAGUUAUGAACUAAAUCCCCUAAAUACCUAAGGGGAAUAAAACCUAAGACGAAUCUUGUUAUUAUUUUCUGAAUUGUAUGAUAAAUAUUUGAUUUGUUCUUAAUUAUGUGUUAUUAAUUCUUUUUUUGAUAUUCUAGGAUAUUGAUUCAAGUUAAACUUUUAUUUUAGAGAAGGAAUAGACCCUGUCUAAGAGUAAAAUUGUCAUAACUAAGCGGAGUUGAUUGCAUGCCUAGAGAUAGGGUGACAAGAUUUUGCCGGAUUAGGGUGAAACCUAAUAAGGGGAUCCAUAAAUCGAGUUAAUUCAACCCUAGGGUGUUAAUUAGAGAAAAGUCUCAAUUAUUCAAUCUAGGGAUUAGACGUUAUUAGUCUUGCAUAGGGAUAAUAACAUAACUUAGGGAUCUCCACGGAACAAGUUAAAUGAAUAAAUCGUCCGAUUUAGAGUCAGAAUAACAAGUGAAGUCUAGGUGGAUUCUUCCUUAGGUUUUGUCUUAAUUCAAUCGUUUUCCAAAAGUAAUCCCCCAGUUCUAUUUUCUGUGAAUUCUUAGUUUAGUUAAUUAGUGAGUUAAAACAAACCCCCUUAUUCUUAAGCUAGAUAAUAAGAAGAUAGUCAUUACUAGUACUUUUAGUUCCUUUGGGUUCGACAAUUCGGUCUUGCUAAAGCUAUACUACUGUUUGAUAGGUACACUUGCCUACAUCAUGAUAAUAGUUAGUUUCAAGAACGAUUCAUUAUAAAUAUUUAAAACCUGUCACGAAUAUCACGUACCAAUUUUUUGGCGCUGUUGUUGGGGAACUAAGAUAUUAGGAACACUGGAUUUUUAUUACUUUAGUCAUUUAUUUUUACUGUAAUUUAAAUUUUAUUCUAAUUGUUAUUACUAAUUCUUCUUUUUCCCUCUUUCUAGCAGGUUCUUAUAGUUUAUGACUAGAAAAAACCCGUCAGGACCAUUACUUUUUGAUAGUGAGAUCGAUCGUACAGUUUGCAGAAACCAAAGAGAAAUAAGGAGAAGCUUAAGAUACACAGAGAACGAGCAAGAGGAAAAUAUUUAAACCAUAACCAAGGAGAUGGCUGAAACUCAGGAAAACCUGAUACCUCCUGCGAUUGCUGUUAAUCCAGUAAAUCAGAAUCCUGCUCCGUGCACUACGUAUGAUUAUGGUAAACUUUCUUUAAUAGGAUCUGAAUCAAGCAUAGUUAGACCUGCUGUAGCUGCAAAUAAUUUUGAAUUGAAACCUAACACAAUUCAAAUGAUACAAUAGUUUGUUCAGUUUGAUGGUUUGCAGGAUGAGGAUCCAAAUGCUUAUUUGGCAAAUUUCCUGGAAUUCUGUGAUACAUUUAAAAUCAAUGGCGUUUCUGAUGAUGCUAUACGUCUUCGAUUGUUUCCCUUUUCGUUGAGAAACAAAACUAAACAGUGGUUGAACUCGUUACCACGAGGGUCAAUUACUACUUGGGAACAAAUAACUGAAAGGUUCUUAUUAAAAUAUUUUUCGCCGGCUAAAAUAGCCAAAUUACGUAUUGAUAUCUUUUCUUUUGUGCAGAUGAAUUUAGAGACAGUCUACGAUGCAUGGGAGAGAUACAAGGAUCUCUUAAGACGAUGCCCUCACCAUGGGUUACCACUCUGGCUACAGGUUCAAACUUUUCAUAAUGGCCUGAAUCAUUCUACUCGACAAAUGGUUGACGCAGCUGCUGGCGGAACCAUCAAUAAUAAAACACCUGAAGAUGCCUAUGAAUUUAUAGGGGAGAUGUCACUGAAUAACUAUCAGUGGCAAGUCAUGAGGUUAAAGCCAACGAAAACAGCCGGUGUUUAUAACAUCGAUUCGGUCACCAUGCUCUCUAAUCAGGUAGAACUCUUGAAUAAGAAAAUUGAUGGUUUUCUUAGUUCUUCACAGGUUCACCUAGUAAUGCAGUGCGAAGCAAAUAGAGGUGGAUCGAGCAAUUCAGAAUACCUACCUUAUGGCCACAACAUGGAGAACGACCAGUUAAAUUACAUGGGUAAUAAUCCUCGAUCUCAAAACAAUCCUUAUAGCAAUACUUACAAUGCAGGUUGGAGGAAUCACCCAAAUUUCUUAUGGAGAGGCCAAGGAAAUCAGAAACCACCACCCCCUCUAGGCUUUCAGCAACCACCAUACCAACAGGAGAAAAAGUCGAACCUUGAGGAGAUGCUAACCAAAUUCAUCUUGGUGUCAGAGACUCAUUUUCAGAAUUCUGAGAUGACACUAAAAAAUCAACAAGCAUCAAUCCAGGGGCUCGAAACUCAGAUUGGACAGCUCACCAAGUUGAUUUUCAAAUGACCACAAGGUAGCCUGCCAAGCAACAAUGAAUCUAACCCAAAGGAGCAACUCAAUGCAAUUGUCAUUCAAGAUGAGGAAGGGUUAGUGGCAAAACCAAGGCCAGAACCGGUGGUAAGCGAAGGUAAAAAUAAGGUAUGCCAAAACAAACAAAAAUCUGUAAGUCCAGAAUAUAAACCUCGUAUGCCAUACCCCAAUGCGACAAGGAAAGACCGCUCAGAAGAACAAUUUGGUAAAUUCCUUAAACUUUUAAAGAAACUACAUAUUAAAUUACCGUUUAUUGAAGCAUUUUCGCAGAUGCCAAAUGUAGUCAAAAUUUUAAAGGAGCUUUUAGCAAAUAAACUAAAGUUAGAUGAAAGGUCGUACGUAGAGCUGAAUGCGGUUUGCUCAGCCAUUCUUCAGAAUAAGCUACCCAACAAACUAAAAGAUCCAAGAAGUUUUACAACUUCUUUCUUAGUUGGUAGUUUAGAUGUUAAUAAUGCAUUAGCUAAUUUAGGGGCUAGUAUUAACGUCAUGCCCUACAAAAUGUUCAAACAAUUAGGUCUUUGGAAACCCAAACAGACUAGGAUAAGCAUUCAAUUAGCAGAUAAAACUAUAAGAUUUCCUAGGGGUAUUAUUGAAGAUGUCCUAGUUAAAAUUGAUAAAUUUAUAUUUCCCGUUGACUUCAUUGUUCUAGACAUAGAGGAGGAUAGCAAACUCCUUUGAUUUUAGGAAGGCCCUUUUUAGCAACUGCUAGAAUGAUUAUUGAUGUUGGCACAGGUGAGCUCACACUUGUGUGGGAGACGAAACAAUCACCAUUCAAGCUCGUAAUUCCCGCAACACAUCGGAAAUUGAAGGUGAUCGUCUAAACCAUUCUACUAAAACUGACAAUAUGGUGCAACCUACUUUGCCGGAAAUGAGUCUGAAGGAAGUACAUGAGCCAUUUUCAAACAAUAGUAAAGGACCUAUUCAUGAAGAUCGAAGGCUACAAAUCGAGGAGCUAGAUGAAUGGUGGAUGCAUAAACCGAGAACCUACGAUAAACCAAAACUACGCUAGAACGAGCUCAAUACCUUCCCAAAUCAACUUAAGGUUGGAGAUAAAGUUUCAUUAGAUGCAGCAGAUCCUCACAUUGUCACUACCAAACUGAAUGAAGAAAUCCCUCUUAUGAUACUUGGCAUUUUCCCUUUCGCUACAGUCGAGGUAAGUCAUCCCAAGUUUGGCACUUUUAAGGUAAACAACACCUGUCUAAAACCUUAUUUUGAUGAGAAUGAUAGAAGGAAUGAGGAGUAUAAACUCCUCGAACCACUAUGACCAUUCAAUGGAGAGGUAAGUCGAGCUUAGACUAUAAAUAAGUGCUUCUCGGGAGGCAACCCGAGCACUAACUGUAUUAACUUCUUUAAAUUUUAGUGUUUAACACCUAACUUACUAACGGAGCUCUUGAAUACAGGUUUCCCACACAGACACGGCCUAGCACACGGGCGUGCCUUAGGCCAUGUGGAAAUAGGGCAAAGAUUUCCCCCAGCACGGGCUAUGAUAAAUAGCCACGGCCAAGCGACAUGGUCAUGGGCUAACCUGCCGAAACAACACGGGCGUGCGACAUGCCUAUGCCUUGAAAUUGUGGCCAAACCUGUCAAAUUAACACGGGCGUGUGACAUGCGCAUGCCAAGCAAUCAUGGUCGAACCUUUUAGACUAACACGGGCAUGGGACUACAUACACAGGCGUGGGAGAAGCGAACAAAGAUAGACACAGCCGUGUGGCACGGCCGUGUGUACCCACACGUCUAAGAAACACGGGCAUGGGCCAAUUGUGAGACGCGCCCAAAUUUCAAAUUUGUGAAUCAUACGGGAAAAAAUUGGGGAACACGGGCGUGUUCCCUUACCGUGUAUCCGAAAAUCUAUAAAUACCCUGCACUAUUCAUUGUCUUCUUCACUCAAAAUCCCCAACCCUAGCCGCUGCAAGUCCACAUGGCCUCCCUACCACACCCUUGCGCCGCUUCUCACUCCAUUUUUGAUGCCCAAUCUCUUUCCCUUUGUGUUUGUUUACUCUUUUCACUUCUAUUUUACUUAUUUCUAAUGCUUAUUAUCAAAAUAAUCUUCAUUUUCCUCAUACUAUUUUCAUUUUGCUCAUUAUUCUAUCAUUUAAUUUGCAUUCUUAGGUUAUUUAUCAUUCAUUUCAUGUUGAAUCGAGUUGUUAGUAAAGCCUCACACUAUUGUCAUACAUAUGCCAUUACUAUGCUCAUUCUCAUGCUAUUACCAUGCUAAUGUCACGAAAUUAUGCUAUCAAAUUGAUUAUUUUGGUUGAGUUUGGUUAGUAUUAGUAGUUUUGGCUGAAAUUGUUAGUUCAAAUUCAUGGCUUUUUCCUUUUCAAAUUCGUUUACCUACUAUUAUUCUUUUUUAUAUUACAGGUAUACAAUAUCGUCUUCACGUGGUAAAAAGGCCGCCGUCCCUACUUCAAAGAAAAGGAAGGGAGUGUCAUCUUCCUCGGGUCCUACCGCGAAAAUUCGUCACCCUUUCCUGUAGUUCCCCAUUGGGCCCCAAGAAGAACUUUUCCAAAUACUCUGGGCCCGACCUUUAAUUGCGAGCACCUGCAUCGACUGGGCUACAAAAGAACAAGUUCAGUUGGCUGAUGCGAUUCGGGCUCUCCUAACCACAGACCCUUGGGAGCUUUUCUUUGGGAUCAUCGAGUCGACAUAUCUUGAGCUCACGAUGGAACUAUGCUCAACAUUUCAUCUUCAGACUGUAAUGAAAAACUACGAUGAUCCCAGCACGGUCUAAUUUUUCCUAGGCAGAUUAGUCCACCAGCUAAGCGUCCUAGAAUUCGGUAAUGCACUGGGCUUAUAUACGGAGGAGUUCAAAGUGGAGAAUGACUUACAUGCUCUCAACCGCCACAUCCAUUGCUCUCCUUCACGGUGCUGGGAUGCACUAGUACCAGGUUCGGCCACCUACAAUCCUAGCUGCUCCAAGGCAUCGGCUCUCCCUCCAUCUCUGAGGUACCUACACGUCAUUUUGGCUCACACGUUAACAGGAAGGCGAGAGAGCACUGGCAUCGUCAACGCCCACGACACCUACUUUCUAUGGUGUAUGUCGCACGAGCAUGUCAUAGACCUUGCUUAUUUCAUUACCCUCGCCAUUCAGCACCAUACGGAGCGGCAUACGAAGGGGGUCAUCUCCAUUGGCCCCUAUGUUACUCGGUUGGCUCGACACUUCGGGCUCCUCGACACCGUGGCCCAAGAAUCAUCCUUGACCCUCAUCGACCUGAUGUCUCCACAAGGCAUCUCGAGUAUGCUCAGCAUGAGGAUGAUCGAAAAGCACUGAGGAACCUACCCUCCUCAAUAUCAUCUCACCCAAUCUACCGAGGAGGAGGCACCUGAGGACAUUACUGAUGAUGUCCCUCCACAGCAUGAGGACCCACCGUCUCAGCCACCACCACCUUCUCGUCUAGUUCAUGCAGCGGCUUCAUAUGCUGACAUCUCUGAGCGCCUCACUCGAUUCGAGCAGUAGUGUUUUCAAUGAUUUGACAACAUUGAUGCUACUCUACAGUAGAUUUGUCAGCACCUCCACAUCUCAUCGCCAUUCCCACCUCGCGAACCAUCUAGCGAAGAAGAUGUUUAAAAACAUUUAUUUAUUAUUUUAUGUUUUUAAUUUUUAUUAAAACUACUUUUUAUUUUUAUUAGAUUUUAAAAUUUCAUUUUAUAAUUAUCAAUUUCGGUUAUUUCAUUAAGAGUAAUUAUUCUUAUUUAUACCCUCUAAAAAGUUCCUAAUUUUGUCACAAUUAUAUAGAGGCCCUAAGCUCAUCAUCGCAUAGGAACUAAAAACUCCACCGGGAAAGGUUCUCCACGACUGCCAUGUCCUGCUCGACCACGACCAUAGCUACCACUAGAUAUAAUAUUCUUUUGGCGCAGGACUUAUGGACUAAUGAACCUAUACCACCACCGGAGUAUCCUCCUCCACCCUCACACCAAUUAUUCUCCAAAACUCCAGUUCAAGGAAGUUUCACUUCUCUCCCUAACUUAUUUUUAUAUUCUUUUCUAUAUAUCUAUCUUUGUACAUUGAGGGCAAUGUACACGUUAAGUGUGGGGGGUAUUUAUUUCACUAUCAGAAAAAUCUAUGAAUGAUUGCUUAUUCUCUUGAAAAGCUCUCAUAUCAUGUUUAAGAUAAAUUUUGAUUGAUUUAUGAUUUUUAUUGAUAUAUCUUGAAUUAAAACGUAGGCAUUCAUGCAUUGAUGGUUUAAACUUUAAGACAUUAGGGAAGCAAGCAUGAUACGUUGAUUUUUAAGAGUUUAAAAUUUUAGGUUGUUUCCUCAAGUUUAGGUAUUAUCUUGAAUUAGAAUUCACAAGUUUAAACAUCAAAAAGCCAUAAUUUUUGUGGGAUCUUGAGCCUUUAGAGCAUCUAUUAUUUCUUUCAUGCCCACUUUCAUUAUGAGUGCAUCAGUAUUGAAUUGUUAUUCUAGAGCUUGCUUGAUUAUGCAUGUCAAGACCACACCAUUUGAUUUGAUAUGUCAAAAUGAUAGAGGCACUUAGGAUUAACCUACUCAUGCCAUGAAAAGCCUACCUCCACGAUUAACCCUUCGUAAACCCCGUUGAGCUAACAAGCCAUUUCUUGUAUUACCCUUAACCUUAACCCUUAACCCAUUAUUGUUGAAAUCCCCUCAAUUAAAUUGAUCCCUAUUUUUUUGAGAUUUGAUUUGAAUAAAUUGCUUAGCUAUGUCCUGUUCUUAAUAGUUAGUUGGCUUGUUCUUAAAAAAAACAUGUAUACAUAUUAGUAGUAGUGAUCUUUUGAGCUAAAGAAGUUAAAUUCUAUAUUCUUAGAAGAAGCUCUGUUGUACGCAAUUAAUGACUAGUCAUUUUUCUAGUUAGGUAAUUUUUCAAUUCAAUCUCGAUUCUAACCUUUUCUUUAAGCUUGUGACCACACCCCCUAACCAAGCCUCCUUACAACCCUCUAAAGACCUUUUGAUUGAUGUGUCAUCUCAAUUUAUAGUGGUGGAGAUUUAAUUUUAAUGCAAGCCUAUGGUAAUAACUUUCAUAUUGACUGAUGAGUGCUAAUUUCAUUGUCCUUAAACACUUUGAGUGAUUUGAGUGAGUCUUUAGUGAGGAUGUUAAACUCUGUGAGAUUUCGAAUCGAGGUAAUCACUUAGAUAAGGGGAGAUGCCUAAGUUUUGCAUGAUUAAAUACUCAACUUGGAAUGUUUGAAGCUCUCAUGUUCUUUUAGUUAAAUUCUCAAUGUACGACUACUCAUGAAUUAGUUUAAGAUAUUUUUGAUAGAGAUUAUAAGUUGAGAAGAAUUCAUUUUGAUUAUGAUUUGAGAAUUUUGCUUGAGGAUAAGCAAAUGCUUAAGUGUGGGGGUAUUUGAUGAACCGUAAUUUAUACAUAUUUUUACCCCAUGCUGAACACAUUUUAUGGAUGAUUUUUCCUUAUAAUUGGUUAAUUCGAUGCUCCUAAUGCUUAAUUUCAUGUUUUAUACUUAGGUGAGCAUAGAAGAGCGAAAGGAACGAGAAAUGAGCCAAAAAUAGAGAAAAUAGGCCAACGUACGAAAUCAACACGGCCUGGACUUCCUCACACGGGCAAACCACACGGCUGUGUCAAUUUGGCAAAAUUGAAGCAUGACUCACACGGGUAGAACACACGCCCGUGCCAUUCUAAUAGGCUCAAGCGUGGCCUGAAGUAAUCGCACACGGGCGUUUCCCUGCCGAGCCCAAGUUUAGUCCAAUUCGAAAAAGGCUAAUUUUGAGGGCUUUUAGGCGUUCUAAAGCCUAUAAAUACACCCUAAAGGAAGAGGCACAAGGAGGCACAGAGAGGAAGGAAGGAAUUACUCGAAGAAAGCCAAUUGAUCUAUCUCAGAAGCCGGAUUUAUCAUCAAGACUGAAGAUCUCCCCUCAAUUUCCCUUCAGGAGUUUUGGGUUUUCUUUAUGUUUUGUAUUCAUUAUUCUUCUGAUAUGUUUUCCUUUUUAGUUAUAAACUAAAUCCCCUAAAUACCUAAAGGGAAUGAAACCUAAGACGAAUCUUGUUAUUAUUUUCUGAAUUAUAUGAUAAAUAUUUGACUUGUUCUUAAUUAUGUGUUCUUAAUUCUUGUUUUGAUAUUCUAGGAUAUUGAUUCAAGUUAAGCUCUUAUUCAUAGGAGGAAUAGACCCUGUCCAAGAGUACAAUUUUCAUAAUUAAGCAGAGUUGAUUGUGCGCCUAGAGAUAGGGUGACAAGAUUUUGCCGAAUUAGGGUGAAACCUAAUAAGGGGAUCCAUAUGUAAUAUCCCGAAUCAGUGCUUAAUCGGAAUAGUGGUUUUGUGACCAUAAAUCCGAGAUAGAAAUAAUUAUUUUAUAAUUAUUUUGAGGUUUAUGAUAUGAUUGCAUGAUUGUGUGAAAAUUUCGUGAUGAAAUUCUAUGCCUAAAGUGCUUAAAUUGAAAGUAGGGACUAAAUCGAAUAAGUUGCAAAACUUGUAUUCUAGAAGUUUUUAGUAUGAAAUUGCUUUGAAAUAUUUAUUAGGAGGUCUUAAAUAAUAAUUUUACCAAUUUUAAGUUCAUGGAAAAAUUUAGGACAUGGAAGGAAUUUUUGGAAAGUUUAGUAGUAAGGGUAUUUUGGUCAUUUAGUUAUUAAAAUGAAUUAAAAACAAAAUUCAAAGCCAAUUUUUGUCCAUCUUCUUCAUUAGGCCGAAAUUUCAAGGGUUCUCCAUAGCUAGGUUUUGUUUCAAGCUUCCAAGCUCCAUAGUAAGUGAUUCCAAGCCCCGUUUUUAAUGAUUUUUACGUUUUUGAGAUCCCGAUAACUCGAUAAAGCUUAUGUUAGCAAUAAUUUAACCUAGGGUUUAUAUUUGGAAAAAUACCCAUAGGUGAAAUUUGUGUAUUUUGAUGUUUUAUGAUAGAAUAUGAAGUUUUAAAUUAUGUUAGACAACUUGUACUACUCGAUUUUAAGCAAAAACGAGUAAAAGGGCUUAAUCGGUAAAAAUACCUAAUAGUCACAAGUACAUGUUAGAGUGAGAAUUUGAUGUUGCCAUAGAAGAGAAAAGUGAUCAACAUGUUGUAAAACAUAAGAAUAAGGAAUAAAGUUUAAUCCCGAGCCUAGGGGCAAAAAUGUAAAUAUGCAAAAGUUUAGGGGUAAAAUUGUAAUUUUUCCAAAAUUUGAGUUAAGGAUUAAUUUGAUAAUGUGAGUAUUAAAUAAGCUAAAUGUGUUAUUUUAGAUCAAGAAAGACAUGGAAUCGACCUCAAUCGAGGAAAAGAAAAGAUUGUGGACUAAAUUGGAAAAUCCUUGUAUUUUGGUACCAAGGUAAGUUCAUGUGUAAAUAAUGUAGCAUAAAUGUUAUUUUUAAGUUAUUAAUGUUAAUUAUAUGAUAUGCUGAUUUUUAAUCGUGAAAUAUUAUGCUUUGUGGUUAAUGUUGAGUAAUAUGCAAAUUAUGUUUACUACUUGAUAAAUAUGAAUUGCUACCGAGUAUCAGUUCUGAUAUUCCAUGGAAGACGGCAAAUGUCAGAUCGAGGGAAAAAGCCCGUUUGAACCUUAGGAAUAGAUUAGGAUACAAGUGACAUGUCACUAGGAUGGUUGAGCAUCCGAACUCGUUGAGUUGAGUCCGAGUUCAUUUAUGGAUGCGAAUGUUCGAACUCAUUGAGUUGAGUCCGAGUUCGUGAAAUGUAACUAGGCAUCCGAGCUCGUUGAGUUGAGUCCGAGUUCACUUAUGGAUGCGAACGCCCGAGCUCGUUGAGUUGAGUCCGAGUUCACUUAUGGGCGGGUUACAUGACUGCUUGAUUGCAUAUAUGGCAGUUAUGUGCAAGUUAUCCAUGUAUCCGAAUUAUAUUCCGAUGUGUUCAACGGGUAAAGUUCUACUCAAAUGGAGGAAUAUUCGAGAUGUAAAGAGACGUAUUGGUAAGUGAUGUGAAAUGGAUAUUUUGGACAGGUAUGUAUUUAACCCUCGGGUUGAGUAUUGAUACAACCACGAUAAGGUAAUAAGAUGAUGAAAAUGAUUAAAAAUGUGAUAUGUGUUUUAGUGAUACAUGCUAAUGUUGAUUGGUAUGACUGUUUGUUAUGUUACUUAUUAUUUGCAUAUGAACUUACUAAGCAUUUAUGAUUAUUCCCUUCUUCUUACUCAUUGUAGUUUUGGACAAGCCAGCUCAGGAGUCGAGAUAGGUCGAAGGCUCAGUCACACUAUCCAGAAGACUUUUGGUAAAUGGCUUGUAAAUUUAAGUAUGGCAUGUAUAGCAAUAUACCUAUUUUGUGUAAAUGAUCUUAUGGUAUGGUUGUGAAAUGGUUGAGGAAAUUCUUGAUAAUGAUAAAUUAUGAAAAUGGUUAGUUUAGAUUAUGUUUGAUGUUAAGGAAAACUAUUAAUAUACUUAGUGCAUAAAAACUCAUAAAAAGGAUGAAAUUUACCAUAAACAGAAUACCGCAGCAACACUAAUGCGAGUUUGAAAAUUUACUACAAAUCAUAGAAAUUGAAUUUGGUGAUGUACUACAUAUCAAAUUUAAGCUUAUUAUGUCUAGUUUCACGUGAAACAAAUGAAACAAGUAAAGAAAUUAUAUGUUAGAAGAUAUUUGAAUUUUAGUGAAACAGAGUCAUAGCAGUUUCUGAAUCCCCUGUUCCUACUUUAGAAAUUCACCAUAAAUUGUAAAGAUAUAAUUAGGUGGUGUAUUUUAUAUCCUCAGAAUCCUUAUUGAGUCUAGUUUUAGUAGAAACAAUUCUUAUAGUCAUAUGAAUUUUUUACAGAGAGAAAUGUGGUUCGUAGUAAACAGAGGUCAGACCAGUCGAGUCCUGAAAUAGGGAUAAAUUUAACUAAUAAACUGUACUAAUUGGUCAAACCAAAAAUUCUAUAAAAAAAUUAGUAGAUAGGUAUAUGAGUCUAGAUUCAGGAAAAAUUUACGGAUCUUAAUUUCGAGUUUCUUAACUCGAGAUAUUAUUUUUCUUGUGACUGUGACGCAAGUAGCUUAAAAGCUGUGAAUGUAGAAACAAAUAAUCCAAAGUUCUAAAAAUGUUAAACUAAGCUUAGUAACACCUCAUACUCGACUCCGGCGACGGUCUCGAGCGUGGGGGCGUUACACCAUAGAUCGAGUUAAUGCAACCCUAGGGUGUUAAUUAGAGAAAAGUCUCAAUUAUUCAAUCUAGGGAUUAGACGUUAUUCGUCUUGAAUAGGGAUAAUAACAUAACUUAGGGAUCUCUACGGAACAAGUUAAAUGAAUAAAUUGUCUGAUUCGGAGUCAGAAUAACAAGUGAAGUCUAGGUGGAUUCUUCCUUAGGUAUUGUCUUAAUUCAAUCAUUUUCCAAAAGUAAUCCCCCAAUUCUAUUUUCUGUGAAUUCUUAGUUUAGUUAAUUAGUUAGUUAAAACAAACCCCCUUAUUCUUAGGCUAGAUAAUAAAAAGUCAGUCAUUACUAGUACUUUUAGUUCCUUUGGGUUUGACAAUCCGGUCUUGCUAAAACUAUACUACUGUUCGAUAGGUACACUUGCCUACAUCGUGAUAAUAGGUAGUUUCAAGAAUGAUUCAUUAUAAAUAUUUAAAACCUAUCAUGAAUAUCACGUAUCGAGUUUACAGUAUGUUGAUUGAUAUGUGUGAAAGUCUUGUGUGAAAAUUUUAUCGUUUGAGUGUUCGAUUUGAUAAAAGAACUUAAUCGCGUAAAAUGAGAAGUGACUUACUAUUUGUUAAAGUGCUAUAUUGCUAUGGCUUUUAUAAUGUGGGGUCCUUAUGUUGAUAUUAUACCAUUGAAAUUGUGAGUGGACUUUUAUGGACAUGGUUAGUUAAUUAUUAAAGUUUUUUCAUUAAGGGCAAAAUGGUAAAAUAUGUAAUAAAAUAAACAAAAUAAAAAAAUGGCCAUGUAUUCAUCUUUCUUGGCUGAAAGUGGUGAAGGAAAGAAGACGUUGUUGGGUUUCUACAUUUGACACACUUGGGGCUUUGAUUUAGGUAUGUAAUUUGCUCAGUUUUUGAUAAUUUUUACGUUUUUGAGAUCGUUGCUUUGAAUACUAGCUAGCCCAUGCUUGAAUUUUUGAAUUGGUUGUGGAUUUUGUGAUUUGCGAUUAUUGAUAGCUUGAGAUUUUUGUGGUUUGAUGAUGAAAAAUAAAUCUUUGUUGAUAGAUUAUUAUGUUUAAUUAAGUGAUUUUUGACAAAAAUGUCAAUUAGGGGUUAAUUUGUGAAAAUGUGAAAAUGUGAAAAUGUGUGGUUAAAUGUGUGAAUAAAUGAUAAAUAUGGGUUGCUAGAGGUACAUUGGUAAUUCACCUAAGCAUGGAUUAAAUUGAAUUGUGUUAAUUUGAUGUAUUUGUGAAAAUGGACUAAAUCGAAUAAAUGUGGAACUUUAGAGGCUAAAAUGUAAAAAUGCCCAAAUUGUGUGUUUUUGAUAAAAUUGUUUGAUUUGGUGAUUAAGUAGAUAAAUUUUGAAUACUAUAGAUCCUGAAAGAAAGAAAACAAAUCUAGAUCGGGGGAAAUCGAAAGUUGUCGAAUAGUCGAUCUAGUUCUUCUAUUUUGAUUACGAGGUAAGUUCAUAUGCAAAUAAAUGUAUUUGAAUUGAUUUAUUCAUGCUUAUAUGAUAUUGAAAUGUAAUGAAUGUCCAUGGAAGAUGAAUAUGUGACGUUGAGAAAGCAUCGACAAUGUUACGACGCCUGAAAGUCCAGUACGAACCAUAGGAAUAGAAUAGGAUACAUAUGUCAUGACAUAGGAUUCCGAGAUGUGAUAUCGUGUAAGACCAUGUCUAAGACAUCGGCAUCGAUUUGAGAUUUACGUGUAAGACCAUACCUGGGACAUUGGCAUCGUAUAUAAUUUCGUAUAAGACCUUGUCUGGGACAGUGGCAUCGAUAUUUGAUAACAUGUAAGACCAUAUCUGGGAUAUGGCAAUGUACCAGUUUUACGAGUUAUCGGAGUAUCCUUAUCGAUUCCAAACUGUUCAACGGGCAUUAUCAAGAAAGGAAUUAACAUGUAAAUGAGUAUUCGAUUCAGGUACUAUGAAAUGAACAUGUUAUUCAAGAAUCAAAGGUGAGUAUGUUAUAAAUAAUGGCAUGUGAAUUAUAAGAGAAUGGAAUGUGAUUAUAUGCAAGUGAACUAUGAAGAAGUUAACUGGAUGUGAUUUAUGAAGUGAAAUUGUGAUUUGUAUGAUCUUUCUAUAGAUGAAGUGGCUUAAGUUUAUCUCAUGUGUUAUGAUUAUUUGUAUAUGGCUUACUAAGCUUUUAAAGCUUACUUUGUGUGUUCUUUCCAUGUUUUUAUAGAUCAUCGAAGCUUUGUAUAUAUGUUAUAUGGCAUGUAUAGGCUAGAGUCAUCUUAAUAUGCUGUGAGUUGUGAUUUUAGCCAUGUGAUUUGGCUUGUAAAUGUUGGUGUGAAUUUUCCAUUUAAGUUGGCUUAAGUUCUGUGUUUGAUAAGUUAAUUAUAUGAUGUAUAUAAUGCAUUAUAUGUUGGCUUAUUUGGUAUGGUUAUGUGUUGGUUAUUUUGAUUAGAUGUUAAUUGAUGUGCUUAUGUUUGGAAGCUAGCAUAUUGUGGUUUGAUUUGAGAUGACCAUAAGGUAUUUGUUGAAGUAUGGAAUAGGUAAUAAGUUGAUGGAUAAAUGCAUUUAGUAGUUAUGUAUGUUUGAUGUUUUUGGUAUAGUGAAAUGGUAUGUUUUGGUUGUGGAAUUGAGUAGUGGAAAUGGUUGUGAAUAGAUGGCAUGAUAUGUGUUUGAAUUGGUAGGUUUUUGGUCACUUAAAGUAGAAUCAACCCUAGAUCUUUUUUAUCAAACUGAACCUCCAUUGCCUCCAAGUUUGAGAGAAUUUCUUUAAACACUAUUAAGUGUUCGUGCACAGACGCACCUUCUUCCAAACGAUGAGCAUAAAUACGUUGCUUCAUAUGCAACAUCCUGGUUAAAGUUUUCGACAAACAUAUUUUUUCUGGCCUCUUCCAUAAUUUAGCAGCGGUCUUCUUGUAACGCCUCGUACCCGAGACCGUUACUGGAGUCGAACAUGGGGUGUUAACGGACUUAAUUCAUUUGCUUACACAGUUCAUUUUAAAAUUUCCAGACAAGCUGGCUAACUGCAUCACAGUCACUUUAAAAAUCAUAUCUCGAGUUCCAAAACUCGAAAACUGAUUCUGUAAAAUUUUCCUGAAACUAGACUCAUAUAUAUAUCUACAAAUUUUUUUCUAGAAUUUUUGGUCAGGCCAAUUAGUACAGUUUAUUAGUUAAAGUCUCCCCUGUUUCAGGGUUCGACUACUCUGACCUUCAUGCAUUACGAGUUAGAUAUCUCCCUGUACAGGGAUUCAAUGCUUAUGCCAUUUGUUUCUAAUGAAACUAGAAUCAAAAAGGAAUUUGUACAUAUAAUACAUGACUUCUAAUUAUAUCUGGUUAAUUUAUAGUGAAUUUCCAAAGUCAGAACAGGGAAUCCAGAAAUCACUCUGGCCCUGUUUCACGAAAACUUAAACAUCUCAUAAAAUACGACUCAUAUGGUCGUUCUGUUUCUUUCAUAUGAUAAUAGACUCAUAAAUAUUAGAGUACAUAAUUUAUUCAUUAUUUAAUUACAUUUCUACUAUUUUUAGUGAUUUUUAAAACUCACAUCAUUGCUGCUGUCAGCAUCUAGUUUAAGGUAAAUUUCACCUAUUUCAUAGUUUUCCAUGAGUCAACUAGCCAUUUGUCAUACAUAGCACCAAAAUGAUUGUGAUUAAUCAUUCCAAUGGCUAAUCAUUACCAAGCAUUUCCAUUCCACUCAAUGAACAAUAUACAAAAUGAUUAUAAUGCUAUGCUCAAAAUAUGUAUAAGCCAUUUUCGCAUGGCUAUCCGAAUAUAUCCAUUACCAAAAGGUACUUGAUUAACAACAAAGGUCAGUCCUAUACAUGCCAUUAUCAAAGUUCAACUAAAAGAGUACCAAAAGGGCUUUGAUAGUGUGGACGACUUCGACUUUGACACUCCCGAGUCCGAUAGUUGACGAACAAAAUCUAUAAAACAGAGAAUCAAAGCAACGGAAUAAGCAUUUUAAUGCUUAGUAAGUUUAAGUAAUGAAAUUAUUUACGACUAAAGUAUAGCGUUCAUAUGACUAAAUGAAUAAUUGCAUAUACGCAUAUUCCCAAAAUCACACUUACUUCACGCUUCAACCAGUAUAUUCAUACACAAGGGAUCAAACCUAACUAAGGCCGGAAGUUUGUUAAUCAAUUGAGCGAAUACUAUUUAAAAGAAAAUCAACUUUCCGAUGCAUAUACGAAACAUACCUUAUUGUUUGGAUUUUAUGAGCGUAUUAAUUGAAAUUAUUAUAGCAAGAUCGCUCAUUUCCAAACCCAAGUACCUUCAGGAUUUAACCGGAUAUAGCAAAUUGCACAAAUGCCUUUGGGACUUAGCCCGGAUAUAGUAACUCGCACAAAUGCCUUCGAGACUUAGCCCGGAUAUAGUCACUAGCACAAAAUGCCUUCGGGUCUUAGCCCGGAUAUCGUCACUAGCGCAAAUGCCUUCGGCACUUAGCCCGGAUAUAGUCACUAGCACAAAGUGCCUUCGGGUCUUAGCCCGGAUAUCAUCCGAAUAAUCAUGCACAUAUAUCAAUAAAUCAUAACACAUCUAUUUUUCAUUUUCGUUACUAGAACUCAAACACAAGACACUUAUCAACCAUUACCAUUUUCGGCUCAAUAGCCACAUACAAAGAGCAUGAUCUCUUUACACAUUCGGCUACUAGUCAUAGUAUAAACUAAUCACCUCGAUAUAUAAUUCAAAUAGAAUCAUUAUAUCGUCGUUUAUUUGUUAUGAUUAUAUGUCAUGGCUUAAUCAAAUCAUAAACUAAGUUCCAUUACUCAAAGACUUACCUCGAAUGUUGUCGAAUGACUUCAACGGCUAUUCGAUUACUUUUUCCUUUCCUUUAUCGGACUUAGUUCCCCUUUGCUCUUGAGCUUAAUAAAAUAAAUGAAUUUAUUCAAUUACUUAUCCAAAUUUACUAUAUACAAAUAUCUAUUUAUUAAGAUUCAUUUCAAACUAAAUAUUAGGCAACCGAUCAUAUAUUCUCCCCAUAGUGAUAUUCAAACAUUGUAGCCAAAGAAUCACAAUUAUCGAAUGUUUAACUAUGAUUGGACAUAUGAUAUUGCCCGUAUGUCUUAAGCUAAUUACCGAACCUAUUGCCUCAAUUCAUGUACAUAUCGAAUAUAGUAAUCUUUACUUGAACUAUUAGCCAACCUUAUCAAAUGAACAAUUAUACUUAAAAUACCAUAUAUAUGUAUAUCUACAUAAGUGCAUAGAUACUAUGUUACCAACAAUUAUUUCCUUGCUUAGUAGCCAAACCAAUAUACAAAUUAAUUCAUACUGUAACACCCCGUACCCGAGACCGUUGCCGGAGUUGAACGCGAUGUGCUAACAGACUUAAUUACUUUGUUUUCACAGUCCAUUUAAAAAAAAACAUUCCAGACAGGCUGGCUAACCGCGUCACUGUCACCUUAAAAAUCAUAUCUCGAGUUCCAAAACUCGAAAACUGAUUCCGUAAAUUUUCCCUGAAAUUAGACUCAUAUAUACAUCUGUGGAUUUAUUUCUAGAAUUUUUGGACGGGUAAAUUCGUACAGUUUAUUAGUUAAAGUCUCCCCUGAUUCUGGGUUCAACUACUCUGACCUUAACGUAUUACGACUUGGAUAUCUCCCUGUACAAAGCUUCAAUACUCAUACCGUUUGUUUCUAAUGAGACUAUACUCAAAGAGGAAUCUAUUCAUAUAAGGCAUGACUUCUAAUUGUCUCUGGAUAAUUUAUGGUAAAUUUUCAAAGUCGAAACAGGAGAUCCAGAAACCGUUCUGGCCCUGUUUCACGAGAACUUUAAUAUCUCUUAAUAUACUGUUCAUAUGAUCGUUUCGUUACUUUCAUAUGAAAAUAGAUUCAUAAAGGUUCGAUUACAUAAUUUAUUCACUAUUUAAUUCCAUUCCUACAAAUUUUAGUGAUUUUUCAAAUCCACACCACUGCUGCUGUCAGCAUCUGUUUUUAAGGUAAACUUUACCUAUUUCGUGGUUACCAUGGACCAACUAGAGUUUUGUCAUACAUAGGUCCACAAAUGAUCAUAUUUAGUCAUUCCAAUGACUGAUCAUUUGCCCAACACUUCCAUUUUAGUCCAUAGUCACAUCAUGAAACCAUAUAUAUAUACAUAAACACAAAUGGUCUAAUGCCAUACUCCACUUCUACGAGCCAUUUUCGCAUGGCUGUACACACAUACAUCACAAAAAGUACUUGGAAAAAACAACAAAGGGUAGUCCUAUACAUGCCAUAUCCAGAGUUCAACUAAAAGAGUACCAAAAGGGCUUUGAUAGUGUGGAUGACUUCGACUUCGAUGAUCCCGAAUCCGAUAGCUAACGAACAAAAUCUAUAAAACACAGAGCCAAAGCAACGGGGUAAGCAUUUUAAAGCUUAGUAAGUUUCAAGUAAUGAAAUCGGCUUUGACUAAAGUAUUACAUUCACAUAGCUAAAUGAAUCACUUUAUUAAUACACAUUCUCAUUAUCAUACUUACUUCACACUUCAUCAACAUAUACACAUACAAGGUAUCAACCUAUCUAAAAGCCGAAAGUUCGUUAGUCGAUUGAACGAAUACUAUUUAAAACGAAUCGACUUUUCCGAUGCACAUGCAAACAUACCUUAUCGUUUGGGUUUUUCGAGCGUAUUAAUUGAAUUUAUUACAGCACAAAAUGCUCACCUUCAAACCCAAGUUUCUUCGGAAUUUAGCCGGAUAUAACCACAAGCACAAUUGCCUUCGGGUCUUAACCCGGGUAUAGCAACUCGCACAAAUGCCUUCGGGUCUUAGCCCGGAUAAAAUCACUAGCAUAAAUGCCUUCGGGACUUAGCCCGGAUAUCAUUCAAAUGCUCAUGCACACAUAUAUCAAUAAUCAUGACACAUCCAUAUUUCAUUUUCGUUACUAAGGCUCAAACACAAAACAUUUAUUAAACCUUUCCAAUUUCGGCUCAAUAGCCACACACAAAGAGCAUGAUUUCAAUUGGCUUUAUAACAUAGUCUCUAUGUACAUUCGGCUAUCCGUCAUAGUAUGACUAAUCAUUUCGAUAUAAUUCAAGUAGGGUCAUUACUCGAAGACUUACCUCGGAUGUUGUCGAACGGGUUCGACGGCUAUUCGAUCACUUUUUCCUUCCCCUUAUCCAACUUUGGUCCUCUAAGCUCUUGAGCUUAAUUCAAACAGAUAGAGCUUAUUUAAUAAUUUAUCAAUUUAACUAUUCGAUUAAAUACAUUUAUAUUAUACAAUUAGGUGCGAAUAAUUUUAUUGACUAGUUAUUCAAGCAUUAUACAUGUGCUCUACUCAUGCACCACCGAAUAAUAGGACCAGCUUAAUACCUUGCAUUUUCGAAUUCAUAUACAUCAUUUAGUUCCUCAUAACAUACAUUUUGUCCCUAACCAACACAAGAGCCCAAAGCAUCACUUACAAUGCCGAAUUCCAAUUAUGUCUACCAUCAUAGCAUUAUCAUAUUUAUGCACUUGGUAAGUUGCGUUUGAACACAUUCGGCACUAGGUGUCCAAACCAAUGUUCCUCGAACACUAAACCCAAUUUAUAACCAACUCAAAACUCCUUAACAACAAGCAUUUAAUAACAAUGUACUUAACCAAUUCCUUAAACAUGCAUUCGGCAAUUACACCAAGACCAUCUUAACUCGUUUCUCAUCUUGCUAACAAAAACAUAGUAAAGUAAAUCUUCAUACACAAUGGUUAUCAAUUCAUCCAUUCACUAGGGACAGGACCUAAUGUUCAAUAACAACCCCUCCUUUACCAAGUACACAUUCGGCCUUGGUACAUAAUAAGGUAGCCGAUUUCUUUCCCUUUAGCACCCAUUGCUCACAUAUGAUUAUUUGUAUAGUUCAAACACUCAUCUAUCUUUGCUCAUCUAAAUUUAACAUGGAACAACAAAAUUUACCAUUGUCAAAUACCAUAGCCGAAAGCCCUAGUCCAUAACACAAAUCAAAAUUUCUACAUGGGUUACAAAAGUAGUUUGAUAUCUUACUCAAGAUUAACCAAAAUUUCAUGAACUAAUAUAAACUUCUUACCUUGCUAUUAGCCUAGGAUGACCGAAUGCCUCCCUCCCUACUUCCUCUUCACAAUCGGCCAAGAAGAACAAAAUGAGAAAGACUUUUUGUUCUUUUUUUUUCCCUUUUCCCCCUUCUACAUGGCUAAGAAGAACUAAAGUAUGAAGCCUUUCCCUUCUUUUUUUUUUCGGUCAUGCAUGAGAAUGAUGAACACAUUUUUUUUUCUUCGUUUUCUUCCUUCAAUUUCUUAUUAGUUUAUUGCCCAUGCUUCUUAUUUUAUUUUUCCAUUAACACAACAUGUUUCAUGACAUGUUUUGCCCAUCAUCCCUUGUCAUGGCCGGCCACUAGUACUUAAAUGGGGGGAAAUUGACAUGCAAGUCCACCCCUUUGAUUACAUGCACUAUUAGGCCACUUGCAUUUGCCUAGCACAUUUCUAAAUUUUCUCACAUAAGCCCUAUCAACUAAAUUCACAUGCAAUUAACUAAAUCGAAGCUUAAAACUUUCACACAUUUAUAUUCACUUAUUUUGGACAAUAAUUAUCACAUUCAAAUAAUUUGGUGACUCAGUCUAGCGGUCCCGAGACCGCUUUCCGACUAGGGCCACUUUAGGGCUGUCACAACUCUCCCCCACUUAAGAAAUUUUCGUCCCCGAAAAUCUUAUCGGUAAAUAGGUUUGGGUAUCGUUCUUUCAUCGAGCUCUCGGUUUCCCAAGUAGCUUCCUCGAUCCCGUGUUUAAGCCAUAACACUUUUACUAACGAAACCCUUUUGUUUCGCAACUCUUUCACUUCACGAGCUAGGAUACGCAUCGGUUCUUCUUCAUAACUCAUAUCGUCUUGAAUUUCAACCUCUGAUGGGCUAAUUAUGUGCGAUGGAUCAGAUCUAUAGCGUCGAAGCAUCGAAACAUGAAAGACGUCGUGAAUCUUUUCAAGUUCAGGGGGCAAAAUCAAUCGAUACGCAACUGGACCGACUCGUUCGGAUAUUUCGUAUGGCCCGAUGAACCUCGGACUCAAUUUACCCUUACGCCCAAAUCUGAGUAUCUUUUUCCAAGGUGAAACUUUAAGAAACACCUUAUCUCCCACCUGAUACUCAAUGUCUUUUCGUUUCAGAUCCGCGUACAACUUCUGGCGAUCUGAGGCUAUCUUUAGACUUUCACGGAUUACUUUUACUUUCUGUUCAGCAUCUUUAAUCAAAUCCACUCUGAAAAUUUUACUUUCACCGAGCUCGGUCCAAAACAAUGGUGUACGACAUUUACGCCCGUACAAAGCCUCGUAAGGUGCCAUCUUAAUACUUGAUUGAAAACUAUUGUUGUAAGCGAAUUCAAUCAAUGGUAAAUACCGUUCCCAUGAACCACUAAACUCAAGGAUGCAACAUCUCAACAUAUCCUCAAGUAUCUGAAUUACCCGCUCGGAUUGACCAUCGGUUUGUGGAUGAAAAGCGGUGCUAAAAUGCAGCUUGGUACCCAAAGCUUCUUGCAAUUUCUUCCAAAAUCGCGAGGUGAAUCUCGGAUCUCUAUCCGACACAACAGAAAUUGAUACCCCGUGUAAUCUCACAAUCUGAGAAACGUACAAUUCAGCUAGUUUAUCCAAUGAAAAAUCCGUACGCACGGGGAUAAAGUGAGCCGACUUAGUCAGUCUAUCAACAACAACCCAAAUCGCAUCCUUCUUACUUGCUGACAAUGGCAGUCCGAACACAAAGUCCAUUGUGACUCGAUCCCAUUUCCACUCGGGUAUCAUGAUCGGCUGAAGUAAUCCUGAAGGCACUUGAUGUUCCACUUUCACUUGUUGACAUAUUAAACAUCUCGAAACAAAGUCGGAGAUGUCUCGUUUCAUACCAUGCCACCAAAAUCGACGUUUCAAAUCGUUGUACAUUUUCGUACUCCCCGGGUGAAUUGACAUUCGGCUACAAUGGGCUUCAUUCAGAAUCAUCGAAAUGAGUUCCGAAUUCCUUGGAACACAUAAACGACUUCUGAACCUCAAACAAUCAUCAUCAUCAAUUUGAAACUCCGAUUCCUUGUUCGGAACACACUCGGCCCUUUUUGUAACCAAUUCAUCAUCGACUUUCUGAGCUUCACGAAUUUGAUGAAUCAAUAAUGGUUUGGCUUUUAAUUCAACUACUAACACAUUGUCGGGUAGAACAGACAAGUGUACAUUCAUCGCUCGCAAAGCAAACAGUGAUUUCCGGCUUAAGGCGUCCGCAACCACAUUAGCCUUUCCCGGGUGAUAAUUAAUGACAAGCUCAUAAUCUUUCAACAACUCAAGCCAACGCCUUUGUCGCAGAUUCAAGUCUCGCUAGGUCAUCAAAUAUUUGAGACUUUUGUGAUCCGAAAAUACAUGGCACUUCUCACCAAACAAAUAAUGUCGCCAUAUUUUCAAAGCAAAUACGAUGGCGGCUAGUUCGAGAUCAUGGGUCGGAUAAUUUCUCUCGUGUGGCUUCAAUUGUCUCGACGCAUAGGCCACAACUCGACCUUCUUGCAUCAAUAUGCAACCCAACACAAGUAGGGAUGCGUCACUAUAAAUGACAAACUCUUUGCCUGAUUCGGGUUGCACUAAAAUUGGAGCUUCAGUCAAAUAAGUUUUCAGUUGAUUGAAACUUUUCUGACAUUUCUCCGUCCAUUCGAACUUAACAUCCUUUUGAAGUAGCUUCGUCAUUGGUGUGGCUAUCAUCGAUAAACCUUUUACAAAUCGUCGGUAAUAACCGGCGAGCCCCAGGAAGCUCUGAAAUUCGACAAUAUUUCUUGGAGGCUUCCAGUUAAGUAUGGCUGAAAUUUUGCUCGGAUCAACUCGAAUGCCAGAUAUAGAUACUACAUGACCCAAAAAGCUAACUUCUCGUAACCAAAACUCACAUUUACUGAACUUGGCAUAUAACUGCUUAUCCCGUAAAAUUUGUAACACUAAUCUCAGGUGCUCAGCAUGUUCGGUCUCAUCUCUUGAAUAGACCAAGAUGUCAUCAAUGAACACAACUACGAACCGAUCCAAAUAUGGUCUGAAGAUCUGAUUCAUCAAAUCCAUAAAUACCGCAGGGGCAUUAGUGAGCCCAAAUGGCAUCACUAAGAACUUGUAGUGACCAUAUCUCGUUCUGAAGGUAGUUUUGGGUAUGUCCGAAUCUCGAAUUCGCAACUGAUAAUAGCCCGAUCUCAAAUCUAUUUUUGAGAACACUGGGGCUCCCUUCAGUUGAUCGAACAAAUCAUCGAUACGCGGUAACGGAUAUUUGUUCUUUAUUGUCACUUUAUUAAGCUGACGAUAGUCGAUGCACAACCUCAUGGUUCCGUCCUUCUUUUUCACAAACAACACUGAUGCACCCAAAGGUGAAAAACUCGGGCGAGCGAAACCUCUAUCCACCAACUCUUGCAACUGAGCUUUCAACUCCUUUAAUUCCGUUGGUGCCAUACGAUACGGAGCUAUCGAAAUCGGUGUGGUCCCAGGUACCAGUUCGAUGCCAAACUCUAUUUCCCGAACAGGUGGUAAACCCGGUAAUUCUUCGAGAAAAACAUCCGGGUAUUCACAAAUUACUGGUACCGACUCAAGUUUCUUUUCUAAUUCCUUGUUAUCAAGUACAUACGCAAGGUAUGCUUCAUACCCCUUUCUUACAUAUUUCUGAGCCAACAUUGAGGAUAUUACAGCUGGCAACCCAUCCAAGUCCGUAGACUCAACUCGGAUUACUUCGUUAUUUGCGCACCUCAAAUCAAUAGUUUUUCUUUUGCAAUUCACAACCGCAUCAUGCACGGUCAACCAAUCCAAACCGAGAAUAACAUCAAAUUCAUCAAACAGUAGAAGCAUCAAGUCCGCCGGAAAACAGGAACCUCGAAUUACUAGGGGACAUUUCUUACACACUUUGUCGACAAGCACGUAACGACCCAAGGGAUUUGACACCCGAAUUACGAACUCAGUAGACUCAAUAAGUAAAGUCUUACUGGAUGCUAAGGUUUCACAUAUAUAAGAAUGAGUAGAACCGGGGUCAAUCAAAGCAAUUACAUUAGUAUCAAAGAGAGUAAAAGUACCUGUAAUAACAUCAGGCGAAGAAGCAUCCUCGCGGGCACGUAUAGCAUAAGUUCUAGCAGGCGCACGAGCCUCAGAUCUGGUUGUAGCAUCUCUAGAUCCUCUCUGACCGCCACUAGCAUUGCCCGUGUUUCUAGACGGUCUACCUCGAGCAGUAGUAGCACCUGGUUUCCCACUCUGACUUACAUUUUGUUCAGGCAACCUCGGGCAAUCCUUGAUAAAGUGGUCAGCUGAUCCACACUUAUAGCAGGAGCAGUCAUGGAACCUACAGCUCCCCGAAUGCCAUUUACCACAAUGCUGACACUCCGUUCUGUCUCGACGUUCAUUCCCAACACUGGCGACCGAAGUGCCUCGUGUACCCACAGGGGGUCGAUCACGAUCUCGUCUAAAAAGGCCCGAAGUGCCUCUAGACCGGCCCACAUCAUCUCGAAAUUUCUUCGAUGCCUGUUGAAGAGACUUUCUCGAGGAUCUUUUACGAAACUCUCCAGUUCCCACAUCAACUUUUUGUUUUUCUUUUCUAAGCUCUCCGGCUUUACAAGCUCGCUCGACAAGUACUACGAACUCUCGUAUUUCAAGAAUGCCAAUGAACAUUUUUAUAUCUUCAUUCAGCCCAACCUCGAAGCGUUUGCACAUGAUAGCCUCGGACGAAACACAUUCCCAAGAGUAUCUACUAAGUUUAACAAAUUUUCGCUCGUAAUUAGUAACUGACAUAGAACCUUGCUUAAGCUCAAGAAAUUCCUUCCGUUUUUUAUCAACAAAUCUCUGACUGAUAUACUUUUUCCGAAACUCAGUUUGGAAAAACUCCCAAGUUACUUGCUCUCGGGGCAAAACAGAAGUCAGAGUACUCCACCAAUAGUAGGCAGAAUCGCGUAGCAAGGAGAUAGUACACUUUAGGCAUUCAUCGGGUGUACAAGAUAGCUCAUCGAGUACCCGGAUAGUGUUGUCCAACCAAAAUUUAGCUUGCUCGGCAUCGUCGCUAUCCGUAGCUUUAAAUUCAGUAGCCCCAUGUUUUCGGAUUUUGUCAACUGGGGGCUUAUUUGACCUUAUUUGGUCAGUUACCAGAGGUAUUGUAGGUGCGGGGGUUGUAUUAGUCGGGAAUGGAGGUUGUGAAACAGCCGUAUUAGUUCGAAUGUAUUGGUUGAACCAAUCAUUCAUCACGCUAUAAAAAGCUUGCCUAGCCUCAUCAUUCGGAUUGCUAGCAAUAGGUUGAGAGUCCACCGGCGCUGUCCCUUGUGCGGGAGCAGGCUCCACACUCUCCACAUCAUCAGCUAUCGCUCGGUUGGGAUCGGGAUCCAUUACUAUAAAUAAACACAAAUUCAAAUGUCAGAAAUCACCACACUAUCAAUUAAUCACAUAAUGGCAUGUAUAGCUAGACCCAAACGUAUUACGGUAGUCCUAGAAUCGACUAAACCGUAGCUCUGAUACCAAUAAAAUUGUAACACCCCGUACCCGAGACUGUUGCCGGAGUCGAACGCGAGGUGCUAACAGACUUAAUUACUUUGUUUUCACAGUCCAUUUAAAAAAAAAUUCCAGACAGUCUGGCUAACCACAUCACUGUCGCCUUAAAAAUCAUAUCUCGAGUUCCAAAACUCGAAAACUGAUUCCAUAAAUUUUCCCUGAAAUUAGACUCAUAUAUCCAUCUGUGGAUUUAUUUCUAGAAUUUUUGGUCAGUCCAAUUGGUACAGUUUAUUAGUUAAAGUCUCCCCUAAUUCUGGGUUCGACUACUCUGACCUUCAUGUAUUACGACUUGGAUAUCUCCCUGUACAGAGCUUCAAUACUCAUUCCGUUUGUUUCUAAUGAAACUAGAUUGAAAGGGGAAUCUAUACAUAUAAGGAAUGACUUCUAAUUGUCUCUGGAUAAUUUAUAGUAAAUUUUAAAAGUCGAAACAGGAGAUCCAGAAACCGUUCUGGCCCUGUUUCACGAGAACUUUAAUAUCUCUUAAUAUACUGUUUAUAUGAUCGUUUCGUUACUUUCAUAUGAUAAUAGAUUCAUCAAGGUUCGAUUACAUAAUUUAUUCACUAUUUAAUUCCAUUCCUAAUAAUUUUAGUGAUUUUUCAAAUCCACACCACUGCUGCUGUCAGCAUCUAUUUUCAAGGUAAACUUUACCUAUUUCGUGGUUACCAUGGACCAACUAGAGUUUUGUCAUACAUAGGUCCACAUAUGAUCAUAUUUAGCCAUUCCAAUGACUGAUCAUUUGCCCAACACUUCCAUUCCAGUCCAUAGUCACAUCAUGAAACAAUAUAUAUAUACAUAAACACAAAUGGUCUAAUGCCAUACUCCACUUCUACGAGCCAUUUUCGCAUGGCUGUACACACAUACAUCACAAAAUGUACUUGGAAAAAACAACAAAGGGUAGUCCUAUACAUGCCAUAUCCAGAGUUCAACUAAAAGAGUACCAAAAGGGCUUUGAUAGUGUGGAUGACUUCGACUUCGAUGAUCCCGAAUCCGAUAGCUAACGAACAAAAUCUAUAAAACAGAGAGCCAAAGCAAUGGGGUAAGCAUUUUAAAGCUUAGUAAGUUUCAAGUAAUGAAAUCGGCUUUGACUAAAGUAUUACAUUCACAUAGCUAAAUGAAUCACUUUAUUAAUACACAUUCUUAUAAUCAUACUUACUUCACACUUCAUCAACAUAUACACACACAAGGUAUCAACCUAUCUAAAAGCCGAAAGUUCGUUAGUCGAUUGAACGAAUACUAUUUAAAACGAAUCGACUUUUCCGAUGCACAUGCAAACAUACCUUAUCGUUUGGGUUUUUCGAGCGUAUUAAUUGAAUUUAUUACAUCACAAAACUGUCACGUUCAAACCCAAGUUUCUUCGGAAUUUAGCCGGAUAUAACCACAAGCACAAUUGCCUUCGGGUCUUAACCCAGGUAUAGCAACUCGCACAAAUGCCUUCGGGUCUUAGCCCGGAUAAAAUCACUAGCAUAAAUGCCUUCGGGACUUAGCCCGGAUAAAAUCACUAGCAUAAAUGCCUUCGGGACUUAGCCCGGAUAUCAUUCAAAUGCUCAUGCACACAUAUAUCAAUAAUCAGGACACAUCCAUAUUUCAUUUUCGUUACUAAGGCUCAAACACAAAACAUUUAUUAAACCUUUCCAAUUUCGGCUCAAUAGCCACACACAAAGAGCAUGAUUUCAAUUGGCUUUAUAACAUAGUCUCUAUGCACAUUCGGCUAUCCGUCAUAGUAUGACUAAUCAUUUCGAUAUAAUUCAAGUAGGGUCAUUACUCGAAGACUUACCUCGGAUGUUGUCGAACGGUUUCGACGGCUAUUCGAUCACUUUUUCCUUCUCCUUAUCCAACUUUGGUCCUUUAAGCUCUUGAGCUUAAUUCCAACAGAUAGAGCUUAUUUAAUAAUUUAUCAAUUUAACUAUUCGAUUAAAUACAUUUAUAUUAUACAAUUAGGUGCGAAUAAUUUUAUUGACUAGUUAUUCAAGCAUUAUACAUGUGCUCUACUCAUGCACCACCGAAUAAUAGGACUAGCUUAAUACCUUGCAUUUUCGAAUUCAUAUACAUCAUUUAGUUCCUCAUAACAUACAUUUUGUCCCUAACCAACACAAGAGCCCAAAGCAUCACUUACAAUGCCGAAUUCCAAUUAAGUCUACCAUCAUAGCAUUAUCAUAUUUAUGCACUUGGUAAGUUGCGUUUGAACACAUUCGGCACUAGGUGUCCAAACCAAUGUUCCUCGAACACUAAACCCAAUUUAUAACCAACUCAAAACUCCUUAACAACAAGCAUUUAAUAACAAUGUACUUAACCAAUUCCUUAAACAUGCAUUCGGCAAUUACACCAAGACCAUCUUAACUCGUUUCUCAUCUUGCUAACAAAAACAUAGUAAAGUAAAUCUUCAUACACAAUGGUUAUCAAUUCAUCCAUUCACUAGGGACAUGACCUAAUGUUCAAUAACAACCCCUCCUUUACCAAGUACACAUUCGGCCUUGGUACAUAAUAAGGUAGCCGAUUUCUUUCCCUUUAGCACCCAUUGCCCACAUAUGAUUAUUUGUAUAGUUCAAACACUCAUCUAUCUUUGCUCAUCUAAAUUUAACAUGGAACAACAAAAUUCACCAUUGUCAAAUACCAUAGCUGAAAGCCCUAGUCCAUAACACAAAUCAAAAUUUCUACAUGGGUUACAAAAGUAGUUUGAUAUCUUACUCAAGAUUAACCAAAAUUUCAUGAACUAAUAUAAACUUCUUACCUUGCUAUUAGCCUAGGAUGACCGAAUGCCUCCCUCCCUACUUCCUCUUCACAAUCGGCCAAGAAGAACAAAAUGAGAAAGACUUUUUGUUCUUUUUUUUCCCUUUUCCCCCUUCUACACAGCUAAGAAGAACUAAAGUAUGAAGCCUUUCCCUUCUUUUUUUUUUUCGGUCAUGCAUGAGAAUGAUGAACACAUUUUUUUUCUUUGUUUUCUUCCUUCAAUUUCUUAUUAGUUUAUUGCCCAUGCUUCUUAUUUUAUUUUUCCAUUAACACAACAUGUUUCAUGGCAUGUUUUUCCCAUCAUCCCUUGUCAUGGCCGGCCACUAGUACUUAAAUGGGGGGAAAUUGACAUGCAAGUCCACCCCUUUGAUUACAUGCACUAUUAGGCCACUUGGAUUUGCCUAGCACAUUUUUAAAUUUUCUCAAAUAAGUCCUAUCAACUAAAUUCACAUGCAAUUAACUAAAUCGAAGCUUAAAACUUUCACACAUUUAUAUUCACAUAUUUUAGGCAAUAAUUAUCACAUUCAAAUAAUUUGGUGACUCGGUCUAGCGGUCCGAGACCGCUUUCCUACUAGGGUCACUUUAGGGCUGUCACACAUACAGUCAAACGAAGCAAUAAUAGACUACCCUUAAUCAUAUCUACCCGUCACAUUUACUCUACUUAAACCGAAUGAACUUGCACAUAAAGUCCUUGGCCGAACCUCUCUAAACACAAAGUCAACCAAAAUCUUAAUAUUUAUCUUGUGUAUAACCUUAUUUACCUUCCAAUAAUCAUAACAAUAUCAAACUCUUAAUAUUUAUGUACAAAGCCAAAUCUUGAUAUGAUCCAACCUCCAACUCAUUCAUUUCAAUCACUCACACGGCAUUUGUUCAAUUCAUUAGACAAAUCUAUGUUUGGCCAUUGUACUCAUGAGCAUUAAAAUUUAUAAUUUGACUAACUUAAACCCUUCUCUUCAACAAUUCUUCAUAAAACAUAAAGACUAUAACCCAAUCUCAUCCUUUAAUAACUAAAACCGAAUGCUCAAACCAUCACCAAGAUUUCGAAAUUUUGACAUGGGUUAUGUAAGAAGUUAGCUAAUUAACUAGAAACAAGCUUAAAAUUUUAAAAAAAAAUCUAACCCAAUUUACUAACCUCCCUUAGGCUUAAAGUGAUCGAAACCUUCUCUUCUUCCUCCCUCAAGUCACGGCAAUGGAGGAGCAAGGAUGAAACAACUUUGGUUUCUCCUCCCACUCACCUCAUGUUUUAUUAUUCUUAAUUCAUUAUUUUAUUUUGUAAACUAAAAUUGUUAGUAGAAAAAUACAUAUUAUCAAUAAUAGCCCAUACCAUGGCCAGCCACUACUUAUCAUAAAUGGAAAUUUGACAUGCAAAUCCAUUAUUUUUACAACAUGCAUUAAUAGAUCCUUAUAGAUUAACCUAUCACAUUUCAAAAGUGUCACACAUAAGUCCUAUUAACUAAAUUCACAUGCAAUCGACUAAAUCGAAGCUUAAAACUUUCACACAUUCAUAUUCACUUAUUUUAGACAAUAAAUAUCAUAUUCAAAUACUUCGGUGACUCGGUUUAGCGGUCUCGAAACCACUUUUCGACUAGAGUCAAUUUAGGGCUGUCACACUUCUCCUUCAUCACAUCCUGCAAAAGUUCAUUAGAAAAAUGAAGAUGUAACUCUGUUAACGCCUUUCGAUCCUUGUGCUUUUUCUCUACCUCUAUCAAUGUCAAAGGCAUCUUAUCUACCCCAAGUACGGCUUCUUCUAAGUCCAUCUGUGCAAGAACUACCUGUAUGUUUAUUUUCCAUAACGCGAAUCUGGUGUUGUGAUCCUACAGCGGAAUUUCAUACAUCAAAGACGCCAUUAUCGUGAUUCAGAUGAACAACCCAGAAGCUCGAAUACCAAUUUGUAAAAUAAAUAGAAUGUCAGUAAUGACAAUAUAUCUCAAAGAAAAGAGAAAUAAAAAUAAAGAACACAUAUUUUUACGUGGAAACUCUUUCAAGAAAAAAACCACAGGCAGAGGAGAGGAAAAUUCACUAUGUUGAAUUCGAAUAAUUUACAAGAGGAGUAGACUAUGUCUAUUUAUAGGCUUGUAAAACCAUAUUCUAAUAGGAGUGUAGAAAGAUUGAAACACCUUAUUCUAAUCAAUAUGAAAUAGAUGGAGUUUAAUAAGGUAUAAAAAACCUUAUUCUAGAAUAAAAUAAAAGAAGUGUAGUUCUAUAUGGAUUUUACUUUUAUUUUAUUUUACCAUUGUAUUUUUUUAAAUAAGGAUUCGGGUCAUUCAAUUCUAACACGCCAUAAUAUGAAGUUGAAGGAACAACCUACAUGCACUGUACAUCACUUUAGCUAGUGUUGUAACACCCCGUACCCGAGACCAUUGCCGGAGUCGAACACGAGGUAUUUACGGACUUAUUUCAUUGUAAAACACAGUUCAUUUAAAAUUUCCAGACAAGCUGGCUAACUGCGUCACUGUCACCUUAAAAACCAUAUCUUGAGUUCCAAAACUCAAAAACCAGUUUCGUAAAUUUUAACUGAAAUUAAACUCAAAUAUCCUUCUACAAUUUUUUUUCUAGAAUUUUUAGUCAAGCCAAUUAGUACAGUUUAUUAGUUAAAGUAUCCCCUGUUACAGGGUUUGACUACUCUGACCUUCAUGCAAUACGACUUAGCUAUCUUACUGUACAGGGCUUCAAUACUUAUGCCGUUUGUUUCUAACAAAACUAGACUCAAAAAGGAAUCUAUACAUAUAUGGAAUGACUUCUAAUUAUCUCUGGUUAAUUUAUAGUGAAUUUACAAAGUCAGAUCAGGGGAUCCAGAAAUCGCUCUGGCCCUGUUCCACGAAAACUUAAAUAUCUCUUAAAAUACGACUCAUAUGAUCGUUUCGUUUCUUCCAUAUGAAAUUAGAUUCAUCAAGGUUCGAUUACAUAAUUUAUUCACUAUUUAAUUCCAUUCCUACUAUUAUUAGUGAUUUUUCAAAUCCACACCACUGCUGCUGUCAGCAUCUGUUUUUAAGGUAAACUUUACCUAUUUCAUGGUUUUCCAUGAAUCAACUAGAAUUUGUCAUACAAAGCACCAAAAUGAUCAUGAUUAACCAUUCCAAUGGCUAAUCGUUACCAAACAUUUCCAUACCUCUCAAUGAACAACAUACAAAACGAUUAUAAUGCUAUGCUCAAAGUGUAUAUAAGCCAUUUUCGCAUGGCUAUCCAAAUUUAUACAAAACCAAAGGGUACAUGACCAACAACAAAAAGGGUAGUCCUAUACAUGCCAUUAGCAGAGUUCAACUAAAAGAGUACCAAAAGGGCUUUGAUAGUGAGGACGACUUCAACUUCGACAAUCCCGAGUCCGAUAGCUGACGAACCAAAAUCUAUAAAACGGAGAUUCAAAGAACGGAGUAAGCAUUUAAUGCUUAGUAAGUUUUGAGCAAAGAAAUCAUGCACAACUGAAGUAUAGCAUUCAUACAACUAAACGGAUAAUUUCAUAUACACAUAUUCUCACAAUCAUACCUACUUCACAUUUCCAACCUUUAUAUUCAUACGUAAGGAAUCAACUUGUCUAAAAGCCGGAAGCUUGUUAGUCGAUUGAGCAAAUACUAUUUAGAAGGAAUCAAUUAUCUCAAUGCACAUACGAAAAAUACCUCAUCGUUGGAAUUUUUACGAGCGUAUUAAUUGAAAUUAUUACAGCAAGAUCGCUCAUUCCCAAACCCAAGUAUCUUUAGGAUUUAGCCAGAUAUAACCACUCGCACAAGGCCUUCGGGUCUUAGCCCGGAUAUGGUCACUAGCAUAAAUGCCUUCGAGACUUAGCCCGGAUAUAAUCGCUAGCACAAAUGCCUUCGGGUCUUAGCCCGGAUAUAGCAACUCACACAAAUGCCUUCGGAUCUUAGUCCGGAUAUAGUCACUAGCAUAAAAGCCUUCGGGACUUAGCCCGGAUAUCAUUCGAAUAACCAUGCACAUAUAUCAAUAAUCAUGACACAUCCAUAUUUCAUUUUCAUUACCAAAGCUCAAACACAAGACACUUAUCACACUUACUAAUUUCGGCUCAAUAGCCACAUACAAAGAGCACGAUUUUGAUUUGCUUUAUGACAUGAUCUCUAUGCACAUACGGCUACCCAUCAUACGUAUAGACUAAUUAAUUCAACAUAUAAUUCAAGUAGAAUCAUUAUAUCACCGUAUUUUUGUUAUGACUAUACGUCAUGACUUAAUCAAAUCGUAAACUAAGUUUCAUUACUCGAAAACUUACCUCGGAUGUUGUCGAACGAUUUCGGCAGCUAUUCGAUCACUUUUUCCUUUCCCUUGUCCAACUUUGGUCCUCUAAGCUCUUGAGCUAAUUCAAGCAAAUUUAACCUAUUAAGGUCUCAUUAUGCUAGCUUAUGGCCGAAUAUGACAAGGAGUUGAUAGGUCAUAUGGCCACCUUUAGCUCAAAUACAAAGCGGUCAUACGCAUUUUUAAUCACAUUGAGCAAUUUAAUACAAUUAAUCUAACAUUUCCUCAUGUGCACCUUCAUGACCGAAUACACACAUCAUUAACCUAAUAUCAAUUAACUAAGCACUUUAACAAAUUCUCCUUGAGACGAUUAUCUAAGUCAAGAUAAAAGCAUCAAUAUGCUUGCCCCUAACCGAAUACAUGCAGCACCAAUCUAUCUCAUAUGGCCGAAUAUGCAUGUCUAUGUUGAGGCCAAUUAUAUGCUUAAUACUUCCUACAAAUAUGGUUACUUGUAUUAACUACAUACCAUUUUGUUUCAAGUUCAAAACUCGGCUAAUACACAUAUGUACACUAGUAAUCAAAUACUAAUAUUUGCACUUCACCUUACUACCAUUUCUCAUGCAAAUAACAUGAACAACAACCAUAUUUCCUACUAUGGACGAAUGCAUCAAGACACCAUACCAUUUCAAUUUUGGUCAUGGGUUAAACAAAGAACCUAAUGUCUAUCUCAAAAAAAUGCUAAAAAGAAAAUCCAAGAGGCAUCAAUCCACCAUCACAUGUAUCAUUAUAAAGCUUCACAUUUAGCAUGAAAAUGACAUCAACACAAAUCCACCUUAGCCGAAACUUAACUCAUCUUCAUGCAUCAUCACCAACAUCAAACACCACCCAAGAAGACAACACCCAUGGCCGAAUAUCAUCUUCAUCACAUAGCAAAGAUUUAAACCAUGGGCUAGGUAGAACUCAAGCUAACAACUAAAACAUGCAUGCAUCUCAUGGAACAUCAUCAAACAUACCUUAAUCUAGAUACAAGUAUGGCCGAACCUCCUCAACCUUCUCUUCCCCUUCUUCCUUUGAUUUUUCGGUCAUGAAGAAACAAAUGAGAACCUUUUCCUUUUUUUUUAUCAUCCUACUAACCAUUAUUAUUUUAUCAUUUCUAACAUAAACAUUAACACAACAUGUUUAUGAAAUGUUUUACCCAUCACACUUUGUCCACCCUUAUUGUCAUGGCCGGCCACUACUAAUUAAAUGGGGGAAAUUGACAUGCAAGUCCGCCCCUUUGAUUACAUGCACUAAUAGAUCCUUAUAGAUUAACCUAUCACAUUUCAAAAGUGUCACAUAUAAGUCCUAUUAACUAAAUUCACAUGCAAUUAACUAAAUCAAAGCUUAAAACUUUCACACAUUCAUAUUCACAUAUUUUAGACAAUAAUUAUCAUAUUCAAAUAAUUUGGUGACUCGGUUUAGCGGUCCCGAAACCGCUUUCCGACUAGGGUCACUUUAGGGCUGUCACAAGUGUCCUUGAAGAGAUUAAUAUUCUCCCAAGAAAGAAUGACUGUGUCUUAUAAAUUUCUGAUACAAGGGCUCGCAUGUAUAAGCUCGCCUAACAUAGCUCACACUUUUGGUGAUUUCACAGUUUUGAUGAGCUCGCGGUGUUGGUGAACUUGCAGUUUUGGUGAGCUCACACAUUUGAUGAGCUCGCAGUCGUGUGAUCUGGGUUCGCGAAAGCAUGGAUGGUCACUUUGUAACACUCCUCCUUAGCCUCCAUGUUAUGAACACUAAUAUCAUAAUGUAGCUUUUCAAACUUCAUCUUCCCAAAAGGUUUUGUUAGAAUGUCCGCUAAUUGAUCUUGCGAACUGUAGUGAACCAAAGUUAUUUCUUUAGCUUGUUCAACUUCUCUCACAAAAUGAUACUUGAUUUUGAAGCGUUUUGUUCUUCCAUGGAACACUAGAUUUUUUGCAAUUGCGACAACAGAUUGAUUAUCGCACUUUAUUUAUGUUGCCUCCUCUCGGUUUAGAUUCCAAUAAUUUAGUAGCUUCCUUAACCAAGUAGCUUGAUUUACAGCUGUUGUGGCUGCAACAUACUCAACUUACGUAAUUGAUUGUGCUACUGUUUCCUGCUUCUUUAAUCUCUAAUAGAACAAACUCGAUCCUAUACUGAAGAAAUAACCUGAGGUACUAAAAACACGAAUCUCUGAUAGGAAAAGUCCAUGGCCAUGGCAUUGAAGACCAUAUCGUGUAAGACUAUAACUAGUGAGUUAUGACAUCAUAUGGAAAGAAGACCAUAUCGUGUCUGAUCUUAACUGGUGGGUUUUGGCAUUUUAUGAAAAAAUCUAAGGAAGAUUAUUACCUAAUGUAGUUCUUUAUGUGUCCUAGAAUGAUGAAGGGCAAACCUCAAUAACUUUGAGUUUAGGUGAAUCCCUAUCGUUUAAAACAUCAGCUAAAGGACAACAUUUGUGGAAAAACUUUGGAUAGGAAAACCUUUGCAGCGAGUACUAGAUGUAAAGGACAACCUUUAUGGAAAAACUCUAAAAGGAAACACCUUUGUGGCUAUCUCUGAAAAGAAAUGCUUGUGUAGCGCAAUCUAAAGAACAACCCAUGUGGCGAUCACUUAAGGGAAUGCCUAUAUGGUGAAUCCUAAAUGAAAGAAAUGAACCCAUGACGAAUUUUGGAAAAAUGACGUAUGGGUAUUCUGAGAGUACAAUUUUUAUGCCACACUUUAUAGGAAACCAUGUGUAGAACAAACUUCAAAAGAAAAGUUCUGUAUGAAGUGUUAAGGUGAACCCCGUAUAGUAUUAAAUUAAGAACAACAUGCCAAUGUGAAAGGCGAAGUAAAUGAAUUUUAUCUAUAAGGCCCUUGGUGACAUGAAUGGUUAAGGAGCCAUGAAAGGAAAAAUGAAGAACGUGAAUGAGAUAUUGAAGUUAUGAAAAGCAAGCUAUGAUCUUAGAGUGAGGCGUGACACCUAUGACAUAACGAAUGAAACCUUAGAGGUAUCCGCCUGAGUCAAAUUGAAGAAUGGGAACAAGGAGACAGAAAAUGGAGUUCUUAAACAAGACACAGGUAAAAUAGGGUAUACUUAAUAAGUUCUCGUGAACUUACCUCUGUGUAUCUUAUGUCAUAGGUUAGAUACUUUAAAGCCAUGCUAGGAGGGACGACAUUAGAGCUAUGCCAAGAGUCUAGCGAGUUGGGCUAUUAUGCAUACAGAACGAGCUUUGGUUGGUUUGAUCAAGUCUGAUGGAAAUAAUGUAAACAACUAAGAGAUUUGUUUAUAAGGCUUAGGAUUGUAUACAAACCAUGUUAGUAACAUAUAUGAGCUAGUGGUAGCACUUAGAAGUAAAUGAUUAGAACUAUGUAACUAAGUCAUACUAUCAUCAUAUAAAGUUUAUCAUGGUCAAUGUAAUUAUAUAAUGUGCCUCAGAUGCAUAUUUAGUUAGAAGAUUGUUCAAUUGAGUUGUAAGAUUUUACAAGUCAAUAAAAGUUUGUAGUGAAAACUAUAACACCCAAGAUCUGGUGAAUCGGAUUGGGUUUAGGGUGUUACAAGUUUUUAUACCUUUGCUUCGCAUCUAAGUAUUGUAAACCCUUAAGGCUGAUCAACAUAAAUUUCUUCCUCUAGGAGACCAUUCAGGAAGGUUGACUUCACAUCUAUUUUAUGUAUUCUCCAACCCUUUUGAGCUGCAAGUGUUAGGAGUAGCUUUAUGGUAUCUAACCUUGCAAUGGGUGCAAAGGUUUCAGUGAAAUCCACCCCAUAUUGUUGGCUAAACCCCUUUCCAACUAAUCUGGCUUUGUAUAUGUUGAUUGAACUAGCAGGAUUCAUCUUGGUUCUGAACAUCCAUUUAACUCUAAUUACUUUCUUGUGAAUUAGUCUGACUAACAGCUCCCAUGUUUCAUUUUAUUUGAUCAUGUUGAUUUUGUCUUUCAUAGUAGUUCACCAUUCAACUUCUUGAGCUGUUUCUUCAAAAGUGUCUGGUUCCAAAUUUGCUAGAUUACAUCUUUGAUAGAUUUCAGUGAUUGACCUGGUUCCCUACACUAGAUGGUCAUCAUCUAAAUCAUUUUCAUUUUGAUUUCUAGUGGCUCGCAGUUUGAGUUCCGGACCCCUGUUCAUGCAUCUCCUCAUCUGUUGCAUUCCACUUUCAAAUUUUCUCUUCAUCGAUCUUCAUAUAUUUUCCUAUAAUCAUCUUAUUGGAGAAAGGAUUAUAAAUUCUAUAUCCUUUCUUGACAUUGGAAUAUCCAACAAAAAUCCAUGGUUGUGAUGUACUAUUUAGCUUGUUUCUUUUGUCUCUUAGAAUAUGAACCAAACAGGUGCAACCAAAUGCUCUUAGGUGAGAAACAAACUGUUUAAAACCAUACCAGGCCUCAAAUGGUGUCUUUCCUUCAACAUCUUUAGUUGGCAGUCUAUUUAACAAGUAAACAACAAUGUUUACUGCUUCUACCCAAAAGUCAUUUGCCAGUUUACUUUCAAACAACAAGCAGCGAGUCAUAUUCAUUAUAGUUCUAUUUUUUCUUUCACUUCCUCUAUUUUGUUGUGAAGUGUACACAUUACUCAACUUAUGAUGGAUAUCAACCUCUUCGUAGAAUUUUUGAAACUUUUUUGAGGUGUAUUCUACCCCAUUGUUUAAUCUUCCCAUCUUGAGCUUGCAACCACUUUGGCACUCUACCAUAACUUUAAAUUUGAAGUAGAUAUAAACUACUUCAGACUUGUUGUUCAUGAAAUACACCCAAUAGAACCUUGUACAAUCAUCAAUAAACAACACAAAGUACCUACUUCCAGUUGGAAAACCUGUUUUCAUGUGUUCGCAAAUGUCAGUAUGUAUGAAGUACACCUUUUCAUUGGCUCGCCAUGCUCUGAUUGUAGGAAAUGAAUGCGUCGCCCGUUUCCCAAGCAGGCACACUUCACAUACAUCUUCAUGAUCAAGCAUACUCAAUAAAUUUUCAAUCAAGUUGUUCUUGGACAUUUGGCUUAAUGACCUAUAGUCAACGUGUCCCAUUCUUCUGUGCCAUAAUUUGGUUUCAUCUAGCUAACUGGUUCAUGCUAUAAAAGUUACCAAGUUCCAAUUUACAGGAAAGCUUCUAUGAACCAUCUUUGUUGAUAUGAGCUCGCAUCCACUCGAAUUAAAGAUUAAUCGUUUAUUGUCCUUGAAUACCAAAAAAUAUUUAUUUUUGAGCAGUUGACAUACCUUAUCAAGUUAUGAUCUAUGUCAAGAACUAAAAGAACAUCAGUUAUAGGUUUAGCACCUAAUGGUGUUUUAAUAAAAACAUCUCCCUUUCCUAUUGCUUUUAUGUACUGCCCAUUUCCAACUUCCACCUUGGAGUGGAACUUUUUUUCAAUACUUUUGAAGAUGCUCGCAUCUGUAGUCAACAUGCCAAAUUUUCUUUCUCUGUUGGAGGGUUCGUAUGGUUUUAUAAACUGGGCUUCACAAGAGGCUACAAACAUUAAUUCUUCUUGACUAGCUUCUGUAGUUUGUGCCUGAAUGUUUUGUUGUUAUGCGUGUGCCUUAUUCUUCCACAUUUUUUCUUCAUGGCCAAACUGCUUGCAAUUUUCGCAUGGGCUUUAGGCCUGAACCAACAUAAAUUUUCAGGGUGGCUCAACUUCUUGUAGUGUGAGCACGGUGAUAUAAUUUUUUUUCACGGUCUUUCGUUGACGUUUGCUUCUUAUUCAGCCAACUCUUUUUUCCUUUCUGAUUUAGGGAUCUUGCAAUUCCUCUAUUUUUGGCUUGAAAAGCUCCCUUAGUGUGCCCCUAUUAUUUACUUUCCCUUCUUGGUUCUUGAGCAUACAAAGCAUUGAUUAGUUUAGAAAGUGAGAUGGUUGACAGAUACCUUGAAUCUUCAAGUGAGGAUAUAUUUGAGUCAUAUCUCUCAAGAAGAGUGGUGAUCUCCUUCUCAUCUACUCGACUGCCGACGAACUGUUCCCCAAGAAAUCUUAUCUGGUUCACCACUGCCAUGGUUUUGGUUGGGUAUUGCUUUACACUAUCAUCUUCCUUCAUCUUGGGAUUUUCAAAAUCUCUUCUGAGGAUUAUCAUCUGUUACUGCCUUGUCUUAUGAGAACCUUAGAACUCUACCUUGAGCUUAUCCUACGCUUGUUUAGGAGUGUCACACGCCAUGAUUAUUGUAAAGAUCACCUCUGAAACACCGUUUUGUAGACAAGACAUCACCUUAUGUUGUUUUGCAUAUUCCUUAUUGUGUUGUCUCAUUUGAGGAAGUGUUGGAUUUGCUCAUAGAGCUAAUGAUUCUCUUUCAGAAUUUAUGACCUCCAAAAUAUCAUAGGCUUGAAGAUAAGUUUUCAUCUUUACUACUUAAAUAUUCUAGUUUUUGUUGGAUCGCCAGUAUGCCUCGUGGUGCAGUGAAAAAAUUAUUCCGGUUAUCAUCAGCCAUGGAUCCAUGUACAAGAAAUGAAUCAAGUUGAAAUAAGGUUGAAAAUAUACCUUCUUUACUGAAAACAUUGAAAGGAUGCUAUUGAUUCGAUGUUAAUUCUAAGCCACAACGAAAACGUCCUGGCCUCUACAUAGUCUACCCCGUCAAAGAUGAACAGCCUGUAACACACUUCACCCGUAUCCGUCGUUGGAAUAAAGUUACGAAGCAUUACCGUAAAAAUGUGAGUUUAAGCAUACAAUUCAAACUUUAACAUAAACGUGUCAUAAUACAAUCAUAACCAUGCAUAUCGUCCCUUAAUCGAGCCCUUGAGGCCUUAAAAUCACUUUAGGAACAAUUCGGGACUAAAUCGAAAUCAAUUAGAAUGUUUAGGAAAAGAUCAGAAAAUUUGAACUGCAGGGGUGACACGGCCGUGUGACUCACAUGGUUGGGAUACACGCCCAUGUCUCAGGCCGUGUAACAGUUGAAUUAGGGACACAUAGCCAUGUCCUAGCCCUUGGUCAUGCCUGUGUAACUUUCGAAGUUGCGUCACAUACCCAAGUCAGAUGCUCGUGUGCCAGUCCUUGUAACUCUCAAAAUGGCCUCACACGCUCAUAUACUAAGCCGUGUAACUAUCUAACUUGUAAAAAUUAAAACCUAUAGGAGGCAAAUGACUGUGUCGCAUGGCCGUAUGUCACACACGACUGAGUCACACGCCCGUGUGUCAUGCCGUGUGGACAUGAAAUUGGCUAAAUUCAAGCCAUUUCCAUCAUAACUUUUACCCACGACCAAGGCAUCAAAAACAUACCAUCAUGGAUAAAAUAACAAAUUCAAUAGACUAUUAACAUACAACCAAUAUGCCACUCUCAAUCACAAUCGAACAAACAUACCUAAACAUAUGCGUAUUUGGCCGUAUUUUAACCAUCUCAAAAUAGACCAUAAAUUGGCCCAUUUCAUGUAAAUAUAAAUUUAUCAUUUGUACCAUAAUUAUGACCAUUAGAACUUCCACACAAACAUACCAUUUAGUCACUUAAACAUGCACCAUUAUGUAACCAUAUUCACAUCAUCAACAAUGCACCAAAAGUACCAAGAUUACAUCAACCAAAAUGACAUAUACAUGCCAAAAUCAUCAACUAACAUUCAACUAAACAUCAAUAUUAAGUCCUCCUAUACAUGCCAUUAUAACCUUAACCAACACAUCAAAAGUACUGAUAUAAUCACUGGAAGUGUUAUAGUUCUCCGAUGAGCUUCCAAACCAAUUAAGCUUCCGAUAAUCUGAAAAGUAAAGGAAAGUAAAUUACGUAAGCAAUGAAUGCUUAGAAAGCUCAUAAAAAGGAAAUUUAACUACUGGCAUAAUAGAAUAAACAUUUAAGCAUAAUUUUUGUUAAACUUAAAGGUAACUUUCGUUUUCUAUUCAAUACACCUCUCUGGGAUAAUUGAUGUAGCCUUGCAUAUACAUAUAUAUUUUUCCUUAUAAGCAUUUCAUGUAACCACUUUACUUUAAUGUUUCUUAUUACCAUAACACUUUUACACUAAACUAAAAAUCAUUUUGUAAUUUAUCAUUCGUUUCAAACUUUCCUAUAAACAUAUCAUUCUGGAAUCACCUACUUUCACUAAACAAGAUUAAAGCUAAAUGAAUAAAUUAAUCAUACUUGUUAUGUAACACCCCGUACCCGAGACCGUUGCCGGAGUCGGACACGAGGGGUUAACAGACUUAAUUCGCUUAUUUGCACAGUCCAUUUUAAAAUUUCCAGACAGGCUGGCUAACUGUAUCACAGCCACUUUAAAAAUCAUAUCUCGAGUUCCGAAGCUCAAAAACUUAUUCCGUAAAUUUUUCCUGAAACUAGACUCAUAUAUCCAUCUACAAAUUUUUUCUAGAAUUUUUGAUCGGGCCAAUUAGUACAGUUUAUUAGUUAAAGUCUCUCCUGUUUCAGGGUUCGACUGCUCUCACCUUCAUGCAUUACGACUUAUAUAUCUCCCUGUACAGGGCUUCAAUACUUAUACCGUUCAUUUCUAAUGAAACUAGACUCAGAAAGGAAUCUAUACAUAUAUGGCAUGACUUCUAAAUAUCUCUGGUUAAUUUAUAAUGAAUUUCCCGAGCCCGAUAGCUGACGAACCAAAAUCUAUAAAACAGAAAAUCAAAUAAACGGAGUAAGCAUUUAAUGCUUAGUAAGUUUUGAGCCAUGAAAUUAGACACAACUAAAGUAUAACAUUCAUAUGGCUAAACGGAUAAUUUCAUAUGCACAAAUUCUCAAUAUCAUACUUACUUCACCUUACCGACCCUUAUAUUCAUACACAAAAGAUCAAUUUAGCCAAAGGCCGGUAGCUCAUUUAUCGACUGAGCGAAUACUAUUUGUAAGGAAUCAACCAAUUCAAUGCAUAUACGAAACAUACCUCAUCGCUGGGAUUUUACGAGCGUAUUAAUUGAAAAUAUUAAAGCAAGGUCGCUCAUUCCCAAGCCAAGUACCUUCGGGAUUUAACCGGAUAUAGCUACUCGCUCGAAUGCCUUCGGGACAUAGCCCGGAUAUAGUAACUCGCACAAAUGCCUUCGGGACUUAGCCCAGAUAUAGUAGCUCGCACAAAUGCCUUCGGGACUUAGCCCGGAACUAGUCACUAGCGCAAAUGCCUUCGGGACUUAGCCCGGUUAUCAUCCAAAUAUUCAUGCACAUAUCAAUAAAUCAUGACUUAAUCAAAUCAUAAACUAAGUCUCGUUACUCGAAAACUUACCUCGGAUGUUGUCGAACGAUUUCGAUGGCUAUUCGAUCACUUUUUCCUUCCCUUUAUCGGACUUAGUUCCCCUUUGCUCUUGAGCUUAAUAUUAACAAAUAAAUUGAUUUAAUCAUUUUGAACAUCAAAGAGGAAUUCAAGGUACUUAGCCCUUAUAUAAUAGGCAUUAGAGUCAUAUAUGUAUGAAAUCACGAAUCAAAUUCAACAUAUUAGCCAAUAUUCUCCUUAGCCGAAUUUUCUAAGUCAAGAUAAAGCCAUCAAUAUGCUUACCUAUAGCCGAACAUACACAUCAACCUAUGUACUCAUUCAUGUGGCCGAAUGCUCAAGAUACCUCAAUACCGAAACUUUUAACUUGGGUUGCUUAAAGAACUUGGUGAUGAGUUCAAAUUUAUCUAACACCUCAAGCAUCAUAACACAUCCAUAUAGCUAACAUGCUAAUAGUAUCAAGGCUUCAACCGAAACUUUUGAAGCCUCUUAGUUGAAUACUAACUCUCUAAUAACCCCAAAUCCAUCCAUGAGAUAGUUAGAAUUUAGACUAAUCAUCCAAGGGAUGUAUGAACUUUCAAAGCAACAUUAAACAUACCUUAGUCUAGCAACCCACCAUAGCCGAUUUUUCUCAAAGCUCCAUUUCCUUCUUUUCUUUCUUCUAUUCGGCCAAGAACAACAUGAGAGCUUUUUUUUUUCUUUUUUUUCUUCUAGGUACGGCACAAUGGGGACAACCACACACAUUUUUUUUUGUUUCUCCUCCUACAAACACUAAUAUUUUAUUGCCCAUGUUCUUUAUUUUAUUAUUCCUAACAUAAAGCAUAAACCCAACAUGUUUAUGACAUGUUUUAGCCAUAACAAUUUGUCCACCCUCAUGCUCAUGGCCGGCCACUACUAAUUAAGGGGGGAAAAUUGACAUGCAAGUCCACCCUUUGAUUUCAUGCACUAAUUGAUCCUUAUAGAUUAACCUAUCACAUUUCAAAAGUGUCACACCUAAAUCCUAUUGAAUAAAUUCACAUGCAAUUUACUAAAUCGAAGCUUAAAACUUUCACACAUUCAUAAUCACAUACUUUAGGCAAUAAAUAUCAUAUUCAAAUAAUUUGGUGACUCGGUUUAGCGGUCCCGAAACCGCUUUCCGACUAGGGUCACUUUUGGGCUGUCACAACUCUCCCCCACUUAAGAAAUUUUCGUCCCCGAAAAUCUUACCGGUAAAUAGGUUUGGGUAUCGCUCUUUCAUAGAGUUCUAGGGUUCCCAAGUAGCUUCUUCCAUCUCGUGUUUGAGCCAUAACACUUUUACUAACAGAACCCUUUUGUUUCGCAACUCUUUCACUUCACGAGCUAGGAUACGAAUCGGUUCUUCUUCAUAACUCAUAUCGGAUUGAAUUUCAACCUCUGAUGGAUUAAUUAUGUGUGAUUGAUCAGAUCUAUAACGUCGAAGCAUCGAAACAUGAAAGACGUCGUGAAUCUUUUCAAGUUCAGGGGGCAAAAUCAAUCUAUACGCAACUGGACCAAUUCGUUCGGAUACUUCAUAUGGCCCUAUGAACCUCGGACUCAGUUUGCCCUUAUGGCCAAAUCUGAGUAUCUUUUUCCAAGGUGAGACCUUAAGAAACACUUUUUCUCCCACCUGAUACUCAAUAUCUCUUCAUUUUAAAUCCGCAUACGACUUCUGACGAUCUGAUGCUGCCUUCAGACUUUCACGAAUUAUUUUUACUUUCUGUUCAGCAUCUUUAAUCAAAUCAACUCCGAAAAUUUUACUUUCACCUAGCUCGGUCCAAAACAAUGGUGUACGGCAUUUACGACCGUACAAAGCCUCGUAAGGUGCCAUCUUAAUACUUGAUUGAAAACUGUUGUUGUAAGCGAAUUCAAUCAAAGGUAAAUACCGCUCCCAUGAACCACUAAACUCGAGGAUGCAACAUCUCAACAUAUCCUCAAGUAUCUGAAUUAUCCGCUCGGAUUGACCAUCGGUUUGGGGGUGAAAAGCGGUGCUAAAAUGCAACUUGGUACACAAAGCUUCUUGCAAUUUCUUCCAAAAUCAUGAGGUGAAUCUCAGAUCUCUAUCCGACACAAUAGAAGUAGGUACCCCGUGUAAUCUCACAAUCUGAGAAACAUACAAUUCAGCUAGUUUAUCCAUUGAAAAAUCCGUGCGUACGGGGAUAAAGUGAGCCGACUUAGUCAGUCUAUCAACAACAACCCAAAUCGUGUCUUUCUUACUUGUCGACAAUGGCAACCCAGAUACAAAAUCCAUCGUGACUCGAUCCCAUUUCCAUUCAGGUAUCAUGAUCGGCUGAAGUAAACCCGUAGGCACUUGAUGUUCCGCCUUCACUUGCUGACAUAUUAAACACUUCGAAACAAAAUCGGAAAUGUCUCGUUUCAUACCAUGCCACCAAAACUGACGUCUCAGAUCGUUGUACAUUUUCGUACUCCCCGGGUGAAUUGACAUUCGGCUACAAUGAGCUUCGUUCAGAAUCAUCGAAAUGAGUUCUGAAUUUCUUGGAACACACAAACGACUUCUGAACCUCAAACAAUCGUCAUCAUCAAUUUGAAACUCUGAUUCCAUAUUCGGAACACAUUCAGCCCGUUUUGCAACCAAUUCAUCAUCGACUUUCUGAGCUUCACGAAUUUGAUGAAUCAACAAUGGUUUGGCCUUUAAUUCCGCCACUAACACAUUGUUGGAUAGAACAGACAAGUGUACAUUCAUCGCUCGUAAAGCAAACAGUGAUUUACGACUUAAGGCAUCCGCAACCACAUUAGCCUUUCCCGGGUGAUAAUCAAUGACAAGCUCAUAAUCUUUCAACUACUCAAGCCAACGCCUUUGUCGCAGAUUCAAGUCUCGUUGAGUCAUCAAAUAUUUGAGACUUUUGUGAUCCGAAUAUACAUGGCACUUCUCACCAAAUAAAUAAUGUCGCCAUAUUUUCAAGGCGAACACGAUGGCAGCUAGUUCGAGAUCAUGGGUCGAAUAAUUUUUCUCGUGUGGCUUCAAUUGUCUCGACGCAUAGGCCACAACUCGACCUUCUUGCAUCAAUACACAACCCAACCCAAGUAGGGAGGCAUCACUAUAAAUGACAAACUCUUUGCCUGAUUCGGGCUGCACUAGAAUUGGAGCUUCAGUCAAAUAAGUUUUAAGUUGAUCAAAACUUUUUUGACAUUUUUCCGUCCAUUCGAACUUAACAUCUUUUUGAAGUAGCUUCGUCAUUGGUGUGGCUAUCAUCGAGAAACCCUUUACAAACCGUCUGUAGUAACCGGCAAGUCCUAAAAAGCUCUGAACCUCAGUAAUAUUUCUCGGAGGCUUCCAGUUAAGUAUGGCUGAAAUUUUGCUCGGAUCAACUCGAAUACCCGAUGCGGAUACCACAUGACCGAAGAAGCUAACCUCUCUUAACCAGAACUCACACUUACUGAACUUAGCAUAUAACUGCUUAUCCCGUAAAAUUGGCAACACUAAUCUCGGGUGCUCAGCAUGUUCGGUCUCAUCUCUUGAAUAGACCAAGAUGUCAUCAAUGAACACAACUACGAACCGGUCCAAAUACUGUCUGAAGAUCCGAUUCAUCAAAUCCAUAAAUACUGCAGGGGCAUUAGUGAGCCCAAACGGCAUCACUAAGAACUCGUAGUGGCCGUAUCUCGUUCUGAAAGCAGUUUUGGGUAUAUCUGAAUCUCGAAUUCGCAACUGAUAAUAACCCGAUCUCAAAUCUAUCUUUGAAAACACCGAGGCUCCCUUCAGUUGAUCAAACAAAUCAUCAAUACGCGGUAACGGUAUUUAUUCUUUAUCGUCACUUUAUUCAGCUGACGAUAGUCAAUGCACAACCUCAUGGUUCCGUCAUUCUUUUUCACAAACAAUACUGGUGCACCCCAAGAUGAGAAACUUGGUCGAGCGAAACCUCUAUCCGUCAACUAUUGCAACUGAGCUUUCAAUUCCUUUAAUUCCGUUGGUGCCAUACGAUACGGAGUUAUCGAAAUCGGUGUAGUCCCAGGUACAAGCUCGAUGCCAAACUCUACCUCCCGAACAGGUGGUAAACCCGGUAAUUCUUCGGGAAAAACAUCCGGGUAUUCACAAACCACCGGCACAGAUUCAAGUUUCUUUUCUGGCUCUUUAUUAUCAAGUACGUACGCAAGAUACGCUUCACACCCCUUUCUCACAUAUUUUUGAGCUAACAUUGAGGAUAUUAUUGUUGGCAAUCCGUUCAAGACAGUAGACUCAACUCGGAUUAUCUCAUUAUUUGCGCAACUCAAAUCAAUAGUCUUGCUUUUGCAAUUAACAACCGCAUCAUGCACGGUCAACCAAUCCAAACCGAGAAUAACAUCAAAUUCAUCAAACGGCAAAAGCAUCAGGUCCGCCGGAAAACAGGAACCUCGAAUUACUAGGGGACAUUUCUUACACACUUUGUCGACAAGCACGUAACGACCCAAGGGAUUUGACACCCGAAUUACGAACUCAAUAGACUCAAUAGGUAAAGUCUUACUGGAUGCUAAGGUUUCACAUAUAUAAGAAUGAGUAGAACCAGGGUCAAUCAAAGCAAUCACAUUAGUAUCAAAGAGAGUAAAAGUACCGGUAAUAACAUCUGGCGAGGAAGCAUCCUCGCGUGCGCGUAUAGCGUAAGCUCUAGCAGGAGCGCGAGCCUCAGAUCUGGUUGUAGCGUCUCUAGAUCCUCUCUGACCACCACUAGGAUUUCUCGUGUUUCUAGAUGGUCUACCUCGAGCAGUGGUAGCACCCGGUUUCCCACUCUGAUUUAUAUUCUGUUCAGACAACCUCGGGCAAUCUUUAAUAAAGUGGUCAACUGAUCCACACUUGUAAUAGGAGCGGUCAUGGAAUCUACAACUCCCCGAAUGCCAUUUACCACAAUACUGGCACUCCGUUCUAUCUCGACGAUCAUUUCCAACACUAGCGACCGAAGUGACUCGUGCACUCACAGGGGGUCGAUCGCGAUCUCGUCUAGAAAAGCCCGAAGUGUCUCUAGAUCGGCCUAGAUCAUCUCUAAAUUUCUUCAUGACUGUUGUAAGGGCUUUCCCGAAGAUCUCUUACGAAACUCCCUUGCUCCCAUAUCAACUUUCCUUUUCUCCUUACUGAGCUCCUCGGCUUUGCAAGCUCUCUCGACAAGUACCACAAAUUCUCGGAUUUCUAAAAUGCCAACAUACAGCUUUAUAUCAUCAUUCAGUCCAUCUUCGAAACAUUUACACAUCACAGCUUCUGAAGAAAUGCAUUCUCGUGCAUAACGGCUAAGCCUCACAAAUUUUCGUUCAUAGUCGGUAACCGACAAGGAACCUUGUUUAAGUUCAAGAAAUUCCUUCCGUUUUUGGUCAAUGAAUCUCUGACUGAUAUACUUCUUUCGAAACUCAGUUUGGAAAAACUCUCAAGUUACUUGCUCUCUGGGCACAACAGAAGUCAACGUAUUCCACCAAUAGUAAGCAGAAUCACGUAGCAAGGAGAUAGUACACUUUAGGCACUCAUCGGGUGUGCAAGAUAGCUCAUCGAGUACCCGAAUAGUGUUGUCCAACCAAUAUUCCGCUUGCUCGGCAUCAUCGCUGUCCGUAGCUUUAAAUUCAGUAGCCCCGUGUUUUCGGAUUCUGUCAACUGGGGGCUUAUUUGACCUUAUUUGGUCAGUUACCGGAGGUAUUGUAGGUGCGGGGGUUGUAUUUGUCGGGAAUGGAGGUUAUGGAACAGUCGUAUUAGUUCGAAUGUAUUGGUUGAACCAAUCACUCAUCACGCUAUAAAAAGCUUGUCUAGCCUCAUCAUUCAGAUUACUAGCAAUAGGUAGAGAGUCCGCCGGCGUUGUCCCUUGUGCGGGAGCAGGCGCUACACUCUCAAGAUCAUCAGCUACCGCUCGGUCGGGAUCGGAUCCAUUACAAUAAAUAAACACAUUUCCAAAUGUCAGAAAUCACCACACUAUCAAAUAAUCACAAAAUGGCAUGUAUAGCUAGACCCGAACGUAUUACGGUAGUCCUAGAAUUGACUAAACCGUAGCUCUGAUACCAAUAAAAUUGUAACACCCCGUACCCGAGACCGUUGCCGGAGUCGGACACGAGGGGUUAACAGACUUAAUUCGCAUAUUUGCACAGUCCAUUUUAAAAUUUCCAGACAGGCUGGCUAACUGUAUCACAGCCACUUUAAAAAUCAUAUCUCGAGUUCCGAAGAUCGUAAACUUAUUCCGUAAAUUUUUCCUGAAAGUAGACUCAUAUAUCCAUCUGAAAAUUUUUUUCUAGAAUUUUUGAUCAGGCCAAUUAGUACAGUUUAUUAGUUAAAGUCUCUCCUGUUUCAGGGUUCGACUGCUCUGACCUUCAUGCAUUACGACUUAUAUAUCUCCCUGUACAGGGCUUCAAUACUUAUGCCGUUUGUUUCUAAUGAAACUAGACUCAAAACGGAAUCUAUACAUAUAUGGCAUGACUUCUAAUUAUCUCUGGUUAAUUUAUAAUGAAUUUCCAAAGCCAGAUGAGGGGAUCAAGAAAUCGCUCUGGCCCUAUUCCACGAAAACUUAAAUAUCUCUUAAAAUCCGAAUCAUAUGACCGUUUCGUUUCUUCCAUAUGAAAGUAUAUUCAUCAAGGUUUGAUUACAUAAUUUAUUCACUAUUUAAAUCUAUUCCUACUAUUUUUAGUGAUUUUUCAAAUUCACACCACUGCUGCUGUCAGCAUCUGCCUUUAGUGUAGACUUUACCUAUUACAUAGUUUCCAUGAUUUAACUAACCCUUUAGCAUAUAUAGCACAAAAUAUGAUUGUGAUUAACCAUUCCAAUGGCCAAACAUUGCCAAGCAUAUCCACACCUCUCAAUAACCAUAUACAUACAAGAUUAUUAUAACAUUAUGCACAAAAUAUAUAUAUAAGCCAUUUUCGCAUGGCUAUCCAAAUUUGUACAAUACCGAAAGGUACAUGACCAACAUAAAAAAGGGUAGUCCUAUACAUGUCAUUUCAAAGUUCAACCAAAAGUGUACCAAAAGGGGCUUUGAUAGUGUGGACGAAUUCGACUUCAACAAUCCCGAGCCCGAUAGCUGACGAACCAAAAUCUAUAAAACAGAAAAUCAAAGAAACGGAGUAAGCAUUUAAUGCUUAGUAAGUUUUGAGCCACAAAAUUAGACACAACUAAAUUAUAACAUUCGUAUGGCUAAACGGAUAAUUUCAUAUGCACAAAUUCUCAAUAUCAUACUUCACCUUACCGACCCUUAUAUUCAUACACAAAAGAUCAAUUUAGCCAAAGGCCGGUAGCUCAUUUAUCGACUGAGCGAAUACUAUUUGUAAGGAAUCAACCAAUUCAAUGCAUAUACGAAACAUACCUCAUCGCUGGGAUUUUACGAGCGUAUUAAUUGAAACUAUUACAGCAAGGUCGGUCAUUCCCAAGCCAAGUACCUUCGGGAUUUAACCGGAUAUAGCUACUCGCUCGAAUGCCUUCGGGACAUAGCCCAGAUAUAGUAACUCACACCAAUGCCUUUGGGACUUAGCCCGGAUAUAGUAACUCGCACAAAUGCCUUCGGGACUUAGCCCGGAUAUAGUAGCUCGCACAAAUGCCUUUGGGACUUAGCCCAGAACUAGUCACUAGCGCAAAUGCCUUCAGGACUUAGCCCGGUUAUCAUCCAAAUAUUCAUGCACAUAUUAAUAAAUCAUGACUUAAUCAAAUCGUAAACUAAGUCUCGUUACUCGAAAACUUACCUCGGAUGUUGUCGAACGAUUUCGAUGGCUAUUUGAUCACUUUUUCCUUCCCUUUAUCGGAUUUAGUCCCCCUUUGCUCUUGAGCUUAAUAUUAACAAAUAAAUUGAUUUAAUCAUUUUGAACAUCAAAGAGGAAUUCAAGGUACUUAGCCCUUAUAUAAUAGGCAUUAGAGUCAUAUAUGUAUGAAAUCACGAAUCAAAUUCAACAUAUUAGCCAAUAUUCUCCUUAGCCGAAUUUUCUAAGUUAAGAUAAAGCCAUCAAUAUGCUUAACUAUGGCCGAACAUACACAUCAACCUAUGUACUCAUUCAUGUGGCCGAAUGCUCAAGAUACCUCAAUUCUGAAACUUUUAACUUGGGUUGCUUAAAGAACUUGGUGAUGAGUUCAAAUUUAUCUAACACCUCAAGCAUCAUAACACAUCCAUAUAGCUAACAUGCUAAUAGUAUCAAGGCUUCAACCAAAACUUUUGAAGCCUCUUAGUUGAAUACUAACUCUCUAAUAGCCCCAAAUCCAUCCAUUAGAUAGUUAGAAUUUAGACUAAUCAUCCAAGGGAUGUAUGAACUUUCAAAGCAACAUUAAACAUACCUUAGUCUAGCAACCCACCAUAGCCGAUUUUUCUCAAAGCUCCAUUUCCUUCUUUUCUUUCUUCUAUUCGGCCAAGAACAACAUGAGAGCUUUUUUUUCUUUUUUUUUCUUCUAGGUACGGCACAAUGGGGACAACCACACACAUUUUUUUUGUUUCUCCUCCUACUAACACUAAUAUUUUAUUUCCCAUGUUCUUUAUUUUAUUAUUCCUAACAUAAAGCAUAAACCCAACAUGUUUAUGACAUGUUUUAGCCAUAACAAUUUGUCCACCCUCAUGCUCAUAGCCGGCCACUACUAAUUAGGGGGGGAAAUUGACAUGCAAGUCCACCCUUUGAUUUCAUGCACUAAUUGAUCCUUAUAGAUUAACCUAUCACAUUUCAAAAGUGUCACACCUAAGUCCUAUUGACUAAAUUCACAUGCAAUUUACUAAAUCGAAGCUUAAAACUUUCACACAUUCAUAAUCACAUACUUUAGACAAUAAAUAUCAUAUUCAAAUAAUUUGGUGACUCGGUUUAGCGGUCCCAAAACCGCUUUCCGACUAGGGUCACUUUAGGGCUGUCACAUGUUAUACAUUUACAAAGUACUUAUAGGAUUAGUACUAAAAAUGGUUCAUCGUAUGCUUCCUGUAAUAUAAUAAUAAUUCAAUCCAAACUUAUUCAUAUAUGUCUAUAAACAUAUAUCUUGAACUGAAUAAUCAUUAAUAUAAAUGUACUCAAAUAUGAUCAAGUAAUUCAAUGAACAUUUAAUGUUUACAAAUAUAAUCAAAUAUGAUCAAGUAAUUCAAUGAACAUUUAAUGUUUACUAAUAUCCUGACUAUAAAUUAGCCUUUAACAUUAAAAUAAUUUUGUAAAUUACAUUCACAUUUAGCCUGAUGAACUAGUAACUUGACUCAAAUACUUGGGAAACUACAUCACACUAGAGGCAUCAUAGAUGCAUAACAGGGGCCCCAUAGUGCGAACAUGGACACCAGAGUGUAUACAGGGGCACCGAAGUGCAAAUCUUGCACAAGCAUGCAUUCUAGCCCUAUUGGCAUGCCAAUCGUAUCCUAGUGAUUACUAUGUUCAAUUGGGCAUUUCAUGUAAUCCAUUACCUUUAUACAUAUUUAUCAAUCAAAGGCACUUUAUCGUUUUCGUACACAUAAUAUAAUAUCAAUACAUAUAUUCAUAUUGUCAAUGUGCCAUCACAAAGAUUGUCAUUAUCCAUUAAUCACUUUCAUAUUUCUCAAUGCACAUGUUGUAACAAUUCGUAAUCAUUUCAAAAUCACAUAUAUCAUAUUUCAUAAAUAUUCAAUAGUUUUCUAAUAAAUCCUUUCUCACCUUAUAUUCAGUUAUAAUAUUUGGAAUUCCAGAACACAUUUGAAACAUCAUAUAUAAGUAUAUACAUUUAUAAAUAAGCAAUAACAUUCUACAUAUAUAGGUAUGUACAAUUCUAUACGUAUGAACUUACUUGGCUAAAUUGCAGAAAUGACUAAGUACAGGGGCUAUUUGGUAAUUUUCUCUUCUAGACGAUUUUCCACUCUUUCUUGAUCUAAAUUGAUAAAUUCAUUCAAUUCAUUAAUCUAGAUAGUAAAGCAGUUCAUUUUAUGCAAUUUAGUCAUUUUUGACAUUUUUAAAAAAUUACCCUCAACUUUUUAUUUUUAUUCAAUUUAGUCCCUAUGUCCUAAUCAUGUAAAUAAACCAUUAUUAUUGAAAACCCAUGCCGAUCGAAUGUUUAUAGCUUCCAUUACAACUGAUGUUUGUAAUAAUUUCACACCAAGUCCUUGUAUUUUAUUAUUUCAACAAUUUAAUCCCUAAUCGUUAAAUUCAUCAAAAAUCACUUAAAAAAUACUUAUAAAUAACAAAUAAUACCUCAAAUUCAUCAUUUAACAUUUAAAAUCACAAGGAUUUAUUAAUGGCAACAUUUUAAAUCUUUAACAGUUUCAAAACCGAAGAUACGAGCUAAUUGGACCUAGUUGCAACGAUCUCAAAAACAUAAAAAUUACAAAAAAUAAACACAAUAUGGACUUACAUGCCUCAUCCAUGGCAAGAUCGAAGCUUGGAUAUUCUCCUUUCUUUUUCCAUGGUAACCUUCGGUCAUUUAAAGAAGAAAACCAAGUGAUGAUACCUUUUGUUUUAUUUUAUUACAUUUUAAUUAUUUUUAUUUUAAUUAAUAAAACAUAUAUAUUCAAAACGAGACAAAACCAACCGUACCACCUUUUUAGCAAUGGUAUGUUUGCCAUCUUAGUCCAUUUAAUUAUCUUUUCUUAGUUAUUGACACCUUUAAUUAUUAGAAUUCAACAUUUACAUCUUUACAAUUUAGUCCUUUUCAAUUAAUUAACCAUUUAAAUGUCAAAAUUUUCUGAACGAAACUUUAAUACAACCCUAAUAACACUCCAAGAAUAUUUAAUAAAAUAUUUCCCACUCAAUUUAUAAAAAUCAGGUCCUAAUAUCUCAUUUUCUAAAACUAUUUGACUUUAAGGUCAUCCACUUGAACCUAAUUAAUCAUUCAUAUAACAUAAAUUACCACAUCAAAAACCUUUUUUAAAACCUUAUUUGGCUCUUAAAUAUUAAAUAAAAAUAUUUAUGAACUUACUCCUCAGAUUUGUGACCCCGAAACCUGUAAUAGCCCAAAUUUCAGUGAAAUCGAAAUUGUGAUUUUGGGACCACAAAUCCGAUCCAAAAAUAAAAUUUAGUUUUAUUUUAUUACAUGGUCCGUAAUAUGUUAGAAAUGUCAUGUGAAAAUUCUGAAAAGAAAAUUUUAUUGAUUUUGUGUUUAAUUACGAGAAUGACUAAAUUGCAUAAAAUGUAAAAGUUGAAUUCUAGUAGCUAGAAGGAUCAAAUAGCUAUGGAAUUCAAAAUUUAAGGUCCUUAUAUGAUAAUUAGACCAUUAAUGAAAAGUUAGUAGAUAUUUUUAGAUGAUUCAUCCAUGGAAAAUUAUAAAAAGGCUAAGGACUAAAUUGGAAAUCAAAAUAAUUAAAAGAUGAUAAAUUAUUAAAUAGAAAUAAAAAUAAUUUUUAUCAUCUUCUUCCCUAAAAUAUUCCAUCGAAAACCUAGCAGAGAGAGAAAAAAAUUUCUUGGCCAAAUUGGGUAAGUUUUCUUGUCCCGUUUUUAGUAAUUUUGAUAUUUUUGAAAUCGAAAUAGCUUAAUCUAUCUAUUUGGGGGAUCAAUUUGAGAAGUUAAAAAAGUAUGAAAAUUAGGUCAUGGAUGAAUAUACUGUAAAUUUGAAAUUUAUGGUAGAAAAUGAAAGGUUGUUGAUAGAUAAACAAUUUUUACAAUGUGAUUUUUGAUGAAAACAUGAUUUAGGGACUAAAAUGUAAAUUUGUGAAAAUUGAAGAAAAAUUCUAAAAUUUAUAAAAAAUAUGUCCAGUAAAUUUUAUGUUGAAAUUUUGGUUAGGCUUGAAAUAGGGAGUAAAUUGCAUGAAUUUCAUUUUCCGAGCCUAAGGACGAAAUUGGAAUUCAUGGAAAAGUUAGGGGCAAAAUGGUAAUUUUUCCUAGGAUGUAAAUUGAAUCCAAUAGAAUAUGAAAAUGUGAUAAAUUGAUGUUCAAUUUACUUGUAUAGACCAAAUUCGGAGCUAGAACGAGGAAAAGACGAAAAUGUCGAAUUAGUAGAUUUUAUGUAUACGGACAUUUGUCGAGGUAAGUUCGUGUAACUAAAUUGUGUAUAUUUAUAUGCUUGAAUUAAAUUUUGUGUUUAUGAAUUGUAUAAAUAUCAUAUCUAUAUGACAUUGAAAAUAUAUCUGACAAAGCCCGAUCAAUAAUAAUGGCCGAUAAAUGAUAAAUGAUAAAAAUAUUACUUAUAUACUUGAAAUGAAUGUGGAAUGUGUUUACUUGAAUUAUAUGAAUUUUAUGGAUGUAUGAAAUAAUCACAUGCCCGAUAAUGCAUGAAAAAUGUUUAAAUCUCGAUUGAAUAAAUGGAAAAUCGAUGGAUAUGUGAUUUCCCGAAAUGAAUGAGGUUCAGCAUAUGUUGUUGACGGGAUUUAGCUAGGACGAGUAAUCCUAUUGACCUCAUUACAAAAAGGAUUUAGCCGGAAGGGUAAUCCUGAUAUAAUUCCUCUCGAGCAUAUAUUGUAAAUUGGAUUUAGCCCGGACAGGUAAUCCACAUCAAGCUCCUUGGAGCAUAUGUCACAAAAAGGAUUUAGCCUGGACUGGUAAUCUUGUUGUAUACGUGUGUGGCUCGAGAGUGUACACUCUGAAAUAGUACCUUAUGGGUACCAUUGAAUAUGAAUUGAUAGAUCCUGGUUUGUACACCUUGACUGUACUACAUGUAUAUCCAUCGAUAUUUCAAAUAAAUUCGAUGGGUGACAAUCCGGACAUGAGAAGAUAUGAGUAAUAAAAUGAGUUAUUACACGUAUCUGUCUAAACUAUAAGAAAAUGAUGAUACAUGAUAAGUGAUGUAUGAAAGUAUGAGAUGAUGAUAUUUGUACAUAGAAAUUAUUUGAUGAGAAUGUUCAUCCUUGAAUUUAUAGACUUGUACACCUUGAGUGUACUACUACUUGUGUGACCUUGAUAUUUCGAAUGAUAUGAGUAAAGUUCUGACAUGAAAUAAUCUGAACUCAAGAUGAACUAUUAUGAAAUUAUACUUGUAAUAUAAAGAGAUGAUUUAUACAUGUUAAAUGAGUACAUGUUUUGGAAAGCAUAUGUGCAUGGAAACUUGAUUCUUGUUGAGUCCAUAUAUGUUUUGAUGUUAUUAUGGAAUACAUGACUAACAAGGGAAAUGAGGAUAUGUGUAGGGCUUGAAAUCAAAUUGAUUGAAUAUGUCUUACAUAGUUACCUUAAAAUAGAAUGAAUGAUAAGUUAAGUACCAUGUUAUAGAAGCUUACUAAGCAUUUUAUGCUUACUUAGUUUUAUUUCCCUGUUUUAGAGUAAAUCGAAAGCUCGUUGGAAUGGAAGCUUGGCGGGGAACACUCACACUAUCCAUCAACCCAUUUCGGUACAUAUGGUAAAUCAAUUAUGGUUAUAAUGGCAUGUAAAGGUUAAAUUGGCCAUAUUGACAUGUAAAUGUAAAUGAUCAUUGUAAUCUAGCAAUUGGAAUGGCUAGUGAUGAUUAUGUUUUGGUAUAUGUAUAUAUGUAUUAAGUUUAUUCUAUGGAGAUAACAUAAGUGUUUAUCAUUGAUUGAUUGAGAAAGGUUAAAUGAGUAUGCUUAUAAAAAUUAUGUUUAAAAGCAUGAAUGCUUGUAACAAUAUAUCAUGUCAAAUGUUAUAAAUUGCUUGAAUUCAAUGCUUGGAUUGGUUGGUAUGUGGAUGUAAGUUUAGUGCAGGAAUUUGUGUAACAGCCCAAUUUUGGUAAGGUCGGAAUAGUGGUUUUGGGACCACAAAUCCGAAUUAAAAAUAAAAAUAAUUUUAAUUUAUUUUAUGGUUGUUAUCAUGAUAAGAAGGUCACAUGAAAAUUUUGAUAAGAAAAUUUUACCGAUUGUGUGGUUAAUUAGGUAAAGGACUAAAUUGCAUAAAAUGCAGAAGUUGGAUUCUAGUAGCUAUAGGUAUCAAAUAGCUAUAGAAUUCAAAACUUAAGGUCCUUAUAUGGUAAUUAGAUGAUUGAAGGGUAGUUAGUAGAUAUUUUAAUGACUCAUCAACGAAAAAAUUAGAAAAAGAAAGGGACUAAAUUGGAAAUCACUAAAAUUAAAAGAUGGAAAUUAAAUAAAAAAAUAUUCAUCUAAUUUCAUAUCAUCUUCCUCAAAAUUUAUAUGGAAACCCUAGGAGUGAGGAAGACAACUUACCAAGCUUGAAAAGAUAUGAAAUCAAGUCCCGUUUUUAAUGAUUUUUAUAUUUUUGAAAUCCAGAUAGUCUAAUCUCUCUAUUUAGGGAAUUAAUUUGAGAACUUAUCAAGGUAUGAAAUUUGGGUCAUGGAUGAAUAUGUUGAAAAUUAGAAAUUUAUGGUAGAAAAUGAAAAGUUAUUCAUAGAUAAAUAACUUUUACAAAGCAAUUUUUGAUGAAAACUUGAUUUAGGGACUAAAAUGAAAAAAUGGUAAAAAACCCAUGGAAAAUUCUAAAAUUUGUGAAAAAUGUGUGCUGUAAAUGUUGUUUAUAAAUUUCGGCUAGGCUUGGAAAGAGGGUUAAAUUUCAUGAAUUUCAUUUUUCGAGCCUAGGGACGAAAUUGGAAUUUUUGAAAAGAAUAGUGAAAAUAUGGUAAUUUUGCCUAGAAUGCAAUAGGAUGCAAACGUAUAUGAAAUGUGAUAGAUUAAUAGACAAAUUUAUCCAUAUAGAUCCGGAAAGACAAACCACAGAACUAGAUCGAGGAAAGAAAAAGGUUUCGGAUUAAUUGAAAUUAAAAAAACAAACCAUUUUCAAGGUAAGUUCGUGUAACUUAACUAUGUAUGUUAAAUGCUUGAAUUUAAUUGUAUGGUUGUAUUGAUGUGAAUGAGAUAACAUACAUUAUGAAAUAAUCAUAAGUUGUGAAAUGUGGACAAAUUGCCAUGUUUUGGUCGAACGUUGAAAUUUGAUGGAUUAAGGUGAUAUGCUUGAAUGAGAAUACUAUUCCACAUGUUGUAAAAAGGAUUUAGCCCGAAUGGGUAAUCCUGAUAUAAGCCGCUCAAGCCUAUGCUAUAGAUUGGAUUUAGCCCGAACUGGCAAUCCAAGUUAAGCUGUUUAGAACUUAUGUCCUACAAAGGAUUUAUCCUGGACUGGUAAUCCUAUAACAUAAUAUUUGGCUCAAGAGUGUGCUUGUUAAGUUUGUGCCCAAAGGGGUACUUUUGAGUAUACUAACCAGAUGUCCAUCGGCAUUUCAAUAGUUUAACGAAAAAAGGAAUCUUGAAACAAGGAAAGGUGAAAAAUUUAUGGAGCCUGUAAUGUGAUGAGCUCAUCUAUAUUUUUACUUGAUAUUCAUAUGAGAUUAUGUGACUAGCUUGUUUGAAUAAGUGUAUGUGUUUAGGUAACUUUCCCAAAAUUGAUGGAAUAUAUAUUUAUGUGUGCUUAUGUUAAUAAAUAAAAUCGGUAAGUUUAUUUUCCGUUAUAUGAACUUACUAAGCAUAAAAUGCUUACUCCGUUUAUUUUUCCCUAUCUUAUAGUGCUCAAAGCUCGCGAAGGUUGGAAGUCAGUCGAAGCAGUCAUCACACUAUCCACUAUCUCAUUUUAGUAUAAACAGAAAUCUCAUUUUGGUAUAAUGGCAUGUAUAAGCUAAAUUGGCCAAUUAUGGCUUGAUGAUGACGUUUGUAAUCUAGCCAUUAGAAUGGGUAGUAAUGAUUGUUUGAUAUACUUGUAAUGUCAUGCUAUGCUAGCUUUAUAAAUAUUAAGUGGUUGUUUUUAGUAUGUCUAAUAUAUGGAUUAAGCCAAGGUAAAAUUAUGAACAUGUAUGCAUGUAGUGGUAUGCCUUGUAAGUAAUGGAAUUUGUUUGAUAUGGAUGCUUGAAAUGGUUGGAUUGUCUUUGGUAUGUUUCAGUGCAGGAGCAUGGAAAAUUUGGGUGACAAAUAAGGCUAGGAAAUAGCUUUUUUUCCCCAUGGGUAGGCACACGGGCGUGUGUCUUGGUUGUGUGUGACACACGGCCUGUUCCAUGGGCAUGUGGUCCGGCCGUGUGUCCCUUGCAUUUUAAAAAUGAGAAACAUAAUGCUCAGAAUUGGGCACACAGGCAGAGACAUGGGCGUGUGUCUCAGCCAUGUGGUUGACAAGGCCUUGAACAUGGGCGUGUUACACAGCCAUGUGAAAAUUGCGCCUAAAUUUCAAAAAUAAAAAUUUGCCACACGGCCUAGCACACUAGUGUGUGACUUGGACGCGUGACUUCAAUUUCUUCAUGUUUUAAAAGUUAGAGAGUUACAUGGGCUAGGGACACGGGCGUGUGUAGUACACGGCCUGACCACACGGGCAUGUGAGCCCUACACCUAGGAAAAAUUUUAAAAUUUCGCAAAAAAUUCCCUGAGUUCCCGAUUUAGUCCCGAUUUGAUUCCAACACUUGUUUUGGGCCUCUAGGGUCCAUAUAUUAGAUGAUAUAUAUGACCUCGAAAAAUAAAUAGUAAUUUUACGUAAAUUAAUUCAAAAAUGUUUUGAAUGUUUUGGUAAUACUUUGAAACCCUGUUUUGAUGACGGAUACGAUUGGGGGUGUUACAAUUUGGUAUGAUUUUGGGUGAGAAAUGAAGCUAGGAAUGGCUUUAUUUUUGUCCACACGAUCAGACACACGGGUGUGUGUUGUGUCUAGACCGUGUGUGACACAUGGCCUGAUACACGGGCGUGUGGUUAGGCUGUGUGUCCCCAGAACCUUAAAUUAGAGAAAAUAGAAUGCUUAGAAUUGAGCACACGGGCAGAGACACGGGCGUGCGUCUCAGCUGUGUGCGCUACACGGCCUGGAACAGGGGCGUGUGUCUUGGCCGUGUGAAACCUGCACCUAAUUUCGAAAGAAUAUAAUUAACCACACGGCCUAGCACACGGGUGUGUGGCAUGGUCAUGUGCAUAAGUCAGAGAGUUACACGGGGUCAAACACGACCUAUAGCAUAGGCGUGUCUUAGGGUCACACGGGUAUGUCCCUCGGACCACCCGGGCAUGUGUGCACUGUUACUUGGAAAUUUUUUUUAAAACUCGCAAAAAAUUUUUAGAGUUUCUGAUUAAGUCUCGACUCGAUUCCAUUGCUUAUUUUGGGCCUCGAGGGUCCAUUUAAGGGACAUUUAGAAUAAUCUCAGAAAAUGAACAGUGAUUGACAUGAUUUAUCUGAAAAUGUUCUGUAAACUCUGGUAAUGCUCCGUAACACUGUUCCGGCGACGGAUACGGGUUAAGAGGCAUUACAUUUAAUGGUAUCAGAGCUAUGGUUUAGUCGAUUCUCAGAUUGAACGUAGCAUAUGUGGAGUCUAGAAAUACAUGCCAUUAUAUAACAUGUGGUAGUGUGAUAUCUCCCGACCCUGAUAAAAAUUGUUUUACAAAUAGACAUAGAUGCUUUCCAGCUGAGCUAAUUCUGAUACUACUGAAAGUGGUACUCACAUGCUUGAGUAAAAAUGUUACUUAUGAUGAAACAAAAUUUGAAAAGGUACAAACGAAUGUUUUAUAGUACAUAAGAAUGAUAAAUGUUAUGAUAUAUAAGUAUCUACAUAAAAGUUAAAUUGUGAGGCACCCCUUCACCAGUACAGUUUUUUACAAUGGAAUUCAGAAGAUUUUAUAAUGAUUUAGUUUAGAGAUGUGGAAUUGAAGAUUUUAGUGGCUGUAAAUAAAGCAAUUAAAGCGGAGAAUGGAUUACUAAAUAAAAAUGGGUUUUGAAGAGAGAUAUCAAAUUUUUCUGAAAACUAUUUGGGAUACGCGAUGUCACUUUUAAAGAAAGAAGUUAUUUAUGAGAAAUCGAUUUAUUUAGAUAUGGUAUAUACAGAAUGGGUUAACUAAAAAUUUCUUCUAAAUAAGCUUCAUGAGUGAAUUGAAUGAUGUGAGAUUAUUGAUGACUAUAUAUGUUAGUGGAUUAGUGAUGAAAUUGCAAAAAAUAUUUGAAUACAAUUGUUAUAAUCAGGUAUAUUAUAGCAAUCUCUUUUGGGUAUUCUAUAUGGAUAUUCUAUAUGUACUGUUAUUCUUAAAGAUAUAUGUAACUUUUCAUGUUCGAAUGCUAUAAUCAUUACAUAGAAAGGUUGGCUAAACAUGGUAAUAGACAGAAAUUAUUGCAAGUUUAAAUGAUUCAUUAGUGAUAUUGCUUUAUUUUUAUUUGGUUUUUUCAAGCCAUUAUGGGUGAUAGAAGACUUGAUGAUAAGAUUCGUCUGAUAGUAUUUUCUACUUCUAUUGGUUGAAGUUCGGAAUGGCAAAUAUGCAAGUUACACUGUCUUUAUUAUGACUGUUUAUAGUCUGAAUGUGCAAUAUUACUCUUCUGGACUUUCUCUGAGAUGUCAUCAAUCUUUUUAAUAUUCAACAUGGAUUAUCUUCUAGGAAAUUCAGUGUAGCUUUGCAAUUUGGAUUUCAUUAUCUCGGUUUUCUUGUUAUUUUAUGGUCUGACUAAAAAAGAUAUUCAUUGGUUAGUGGUAAUUAUACUUACUACUGUUAUGAAUUCUGACUUGAUCAUUGGAAUUUGGUAAUAUGGAUCACAGAAUAUAGAAACUAUAUUAUUACACUGGUUGAUAUUAGAGCCACCCUCGGUUUUCCUCUUGUUUCUGAAAAAUAUUAUUGAAGUUGACAUAUUAUUCCAUUUAUAUUGUUGAAAUGUCAGAUCUAUUAUAGUAUUAUGGUUUUAACCUAUCUGAUGAUUGUGGUCUCGAAAUAAUUUAAAGCUUCAAUAUCAUUUUUAGUUUUUGUAAAAGUUUUUUUUAUGAUAGCUACAUCAAUGAUAUGGAUAUUACAGAAAGAUGUAAGAUUUGAAUGGACUGACAAAUGUUUGUAAAGUUUUGAUCAGUUGGAAGCCCUGAUGACUGAAGUAUCAGUUCUUGUUCAAUCUAAAUCAGGUAAGGAAUUUAUUAUCAUAGUGAUACAUCGUUGAAUGGAUUAGACUGUAUUUUGAUGAAGAAAGGUAAAGUAAUAGUCUAUACUGUAACACCCCUCACCCGUAUCCGACGUCGGGACAGUGUUCGAGGUGCUACCGAACUUAAACUCAAUCAACUAUAUAAAAUCGAGCCAUAAAAUUUUGAUCAAUUUAAAACUUUUCAUUUCACAUACAUUUUGUCCCUUAAACGGGCUCAUGAGCCUCAAAACAUGCAUUAGAGGUUGUUCGGGACUAAACCGAAAAAUUAAGAAAAACUUGAAAAAUUUCUUGCUUUAAGGCUCGAGACACCUGUGUGGCUUGGGACACACCUGUGCCCUUAGCCCGUCUGCAACACUAACUUUAGAACACGGCUAUGACACAUGCCCAUGGGGGCAGAUCUUGUGUCACGCACGGUCUAGACACAUGCCCGUAUGUCUACCCGUAUAGACAAUUACAAGGCUAUUUUCCAAGCCAUUUGUCACCCUCACAACAUAUGCACACAUACUUAUCCAAUAACAUACAACAUGGCAUAAGUGAGCUCUUAAAAUCUACAAAUAUAUUAUGCUCAUGUCAAUUCCUUAUGCAAUAAAUAUCAUAGAAUUUACUCACAUCAUUAUCACAUACUUGUCAUAACUAUCAUUACAUCACAAACCUCAUGUCCAUCAUUAAGCAUGCAUAAUCAUGCCCACAAAUCAUUCGUGAGACAUUAUUAAUUAUUUACUAAUCACUUAAUCUUGCAUCAAUUACUAACUCAUCAAUGAAUCUCAAUUCAAUCUCUAGUCAUCCAUGUUGUGAGCCACAUCACAAGAGAUAAUAACAUACAUGCAUAAGAAUAAUCAUAUAUGCCCAUAACAUCAUUUUCCACAUCAUAACAGAGAUAAUAUAAUUCCCACAUAAAUAUAAACCAUAAUCAAUAGAACAUCAGAAUAAUAUCACAUAGAUUUUUACUAUCAACUUCAUUCCAAUAUAUCAGAAUAGAAAUUUGAAGAGAUGGAGAAAUGUCGAUCAUAACUAACUGGACCAAUAGAGCUUUUCAUCUAAUAUCACAGUCACUAACAUCCUCAUACGAUAUAAUUCCCACUCAAAAGGGAUAACCAUGUGUAUUCCCCAGAAUAGAGGAAAACGUAGAAUACUCAGAAGAGAAAGAUAGCCAUAAAUUUUAUUUAAUUGAAUCCGACAUACUCAGACAUCUGUGCCAGUCUGACGUUAUUCCUUUAACUAAUUUCGUCUUCACUAAUCCCAUACUAUUCCAUUAUUGUACUCUUUAGUUUCACUUUUGCAAGCUUAUGCAAUAUAUCUCUCGAGAAUCUCAUCGUAUAACUCUAUUCUGGUAAGGGGGUGAAGAUUGUAAAGCCUCUAAACUUUUGACUCUCAAGCAAAUACAUAUUCAACAACAACAUAGCAUUACGUGCAUUGAUUCAAACAUUUCAAAUUUCCAAAUUGUUAUAAAAUCAUUUUCACAUAUCUCAGUAAUACAAAUACUUUAUUUCAUGUGAAUAUUAGCUAAACAUAAGUGAAUUUAUCACAACUCAAACUUCAUUUCUUUUACCCAAAUUACUAUUAAUGUCUUAUCAAGUUCCCACAUUUAGUCUUAAUCACUUGCCAGUAUUUAUCAAAUUGGAGAACGUCUUACGGUUUUGAGUACAUCGCUUACUUGAUGCCACAGUCCAAUUAUGGUCUUGUACUAGCUCUCGUCCAUUGUGCCGAUGCCGUGUCCCAGAUAGGUCUUACACUGACACAUGUAGCCGUGCCAAUGCAUGUCCCAAACAUGUCUUACACUAGCACAUCUCGUAGGCGACGUAUGUCCUAGACAUGUCUGACAUUGGCUAACAUCUCAAGGCCGAUGCAUGUCCUAUGCAUGUCUUACACUCGCUUUCAUACUAUGGCUGAUGCAUGUCCCAGACAUGUCUUACACUAGCCCUUGCCUCAAUGCCGAUGCCAUGUCCCAGACAUGGUCUUACACUGGCUAUCAUAAUGUGGCCGAUGCAUGUCCCAGACAUGUCUUACACUGGCACACAAAUCUCAUGUAUUGCCAUGGUCCAACCAUGGCCUUUUCCGUCAAUUCAUUAGUGAACGAUCGUACUCAUUCCUUGCAUUCCACCCAAUUUAAUCUUUCAUUAGAACUUUCAUGCUAUUGUGACAUUUAUGAUUCCGUAACUGAGAUUAUAAAGCAUAACAUUACGGCAUCUUGACUUCAUUAAUCUAGACAUAAAUGUCAACCUCAUAUAUAUACUGAUUAUUAAUCAUGCAAUAAAAGCAUUCAUAUAUACAUUCUGUCAUUUCAAAUGAAUUUUUUUUAUUAUAAAAACUUGGCCAAUCAAGUUGGACAUUUAACAUCAUAUGAAUACUAACAUGCAUAAAAGAGCUUUUUCACAACUUAACUUCGUUUUAUUCCACUAUUUCACAUUUUUUAACUUAAGAGUAUCACAUAAUGAAUACUAGUUCAUGUAAAAAUCAUGAAUUUCUUUUCAUACCUUUCCCAUUUUCAGCAUAUCACAAGCAUGAUUUAAUAAUCUCAACUUUACUCUUAUCUCUAUCAAGAUUUGCUUGGUUGGAACUCAUUCCUGUCUUAACCAACAGUUUUGUUAGGGCUGGGAGAUAUCACACUAUCACAAGUAAUACUAUGGCAUGUAUAGCUAGAUUUUCUUACGCUAGGUUAGUCUGAGAAUCGACUAAACUAUGCUCUGAUACCACUAAAUAUAACACCCCCUGCCCGUAUCUGAUGCCGAGACAGGGUUCGAGGUGUUACCGGACUUAAACUCAAUCAACUAUAUAAAACUAGGUCGUAAAAUUUUGAUCAAUUUAAAACCUUUCAUUUCACAAACAUUUUGUCCCUUAAACGGGCUCACAAGGCCCAAAACAUGCAUUAGAGGCGGUUCGGGACUAAACUGAGAACUUAAGAAAAACUUGAAAAAUUUCAUGCUUUAAGGCUCGAGACGCUUGUGUGGCUUGGGACAUGCCCGUUCCCUUAGCCCAUGUGCAACACUAACUUUAGAACACGGCUAUGACACAUGCCCAUAGGGGCAGACUGUGUGUCACACACGGUCUAGACACACGCCCAUGUGUCUACCCAUAUAAACAAUUACAAGGCUAUUUUCCAAGCCAUUUAUCACCCUCACAACAUAUGCACACAUACUUAUCCAAUAACAUACAACAUGGCAUAAGUGAGCUCUUAAACAUCUACAAAUAUAUUAUGCUCAUGUCAAUUUCUUAUGCAAUAAAUAUCAUAGAAUUUACUCACAUCAUUACCGCAUACUUGUCAUAACUAUCAUUACGUCACAAACCUCAUGUCCAUCAUUAAGCAUGCAUAAUCAUAUCCACAAAUCAUUUGUGAGGCAUUAUUAAUUAUUUACCAAUCACUUAAUCUUGCAUCAAUUACUAACUCAUCAAUGAAUCUCAAUUCAAUCUCUAGUCAUCCAUGCUGUGAGCCAUAUCAUAAGAGAUAGUAACAUACAUGCAUAAGAAUAAUCAUAUAGGCCCAUAACGUCAUUAGCCGACAUAGGCCAAUUUACAUGACUACAUGCUAGCUUAAUAACAAGCUAGUGUCUUUGGCUGAACCAUAAUAUCACAUACUCAACAUUAAAACCCUAUACAUGCCAUAGACUCAAACACUAGGAUUUACUUACGCCAAUAGCGUUAACUCGACAGUGUGAUAAUAUCUCUGAUGGCCUCCAACCUGAGCUAACCUGGAAGCCCUAAGGUACAUGGGAAAGAAAGGGGGGUAAGCUUUACGCUUAGUAAGUUCAUAUGAAAACAAUAAGCAACUCAUUAACAUGUUUUAUCAAUGUUUACAACAUAUUUUCAAGUUUACGACCAGCUGUCUUCCUAAGCAACAGUCACUAAAUUAUUUAUAUCUGGAUCUACGAAACUCCAAAUUAAGUUUCGUUAAUUUUCCUUGAAACUAGACUCAUGUACCUUUCUACCAUAAAAUUUCAAUAAUUUUUGGUUUAGCCAAUUAUUACAGUUUAUUCCUCAAAUUUACCACUGAUUCAAUGUCUGACGGUUUCGACCCUUUUGCACUAAAGUUCAAUUAUCUCAUAGCACAAGACUCGAAUAAUGUUCUCGUCAGAUUCUAAUAAUAUAAAUCAUAACUCAUAACCAUUUGUUUACAAUUUAUAAUGAUUUUCUCAAAUCAGAACAGGGGAUCUCGAGGUCAUUUUGACUCUGUCCCGCGCAACUUCAAAUAUCUCAUUAUAGGAAAUUCUUUUGCUUACAUGGUUUGUUUUAUAAGAAACUACACUAAAUAAGAUUUAUUUCCAUAUUUUAUUCAGCUUCUAACUCAUUUUCCACUAUUUUUUGUGUAUUUUCAAAGUUACACUACCGCAAUAACUCAAAUUUGUCAAGGCUAAGUUACUCAUUCACGAUCAUUGCUCACAAAAUUAAUACAACAUCAUUUCAUCCAUCAUGGUAAGAACACAUAUUUAUGCAUCAUAGAUCAUUCACAUACCAAGGCAUUCUCAUAGGCUUAGUGUACAUACCUGUACAACUCGUAACAUAACUCAAGUGCAUACUCACUAAUGACUUACCUCAUUGGGACGAUCAUCAACUCUUUCCUCGGAUUACCCGUUGAACACUCGGAAUACUAAUUGGAUACUUGGAAAAACCUUUUCACAUAAGUGCCUAAAUUGUAGCUAAAGCUACCUCAUAUCUCAUGACAUUUAAAUGCUCACUCUUGAGCUAGUCAUCUAGACUCAUAAUUCCUAGUGACAUGUUACUCGUAUCCUAUCCUAUUCCUAAGGUUCAAACGAGAUUUUUCCUCGUCUAUUAAGGCUUUGUCUUAUCAUAUUUCUAUUAAUCACAUACACUUAAUAGCUGUACAAUUCAUGUAAUGCUAACAUUUAAAUACAUGUAUAGCAUGGUAUUGUUUACAUACGAACUUACCUCAAUACCACAAAGGUGAAAAAGACGUAAUCGUCCAUAAAUCGAUUUUCCCCGUUCUAGGCCCAAAUCAUAUUUUUCAACAUCUAAAACAUCACAUUUAGCUAAUAAAAACAAUGUACUAAUCAAAUUAGUCAAUUUACACACUUUGGAAAAAUUUAUAAUUUUUCCUCUCUAUUUUGCCAAAAUUACCAAAUUGCCCUUAGGCUCGAAACAAGAUUUUUAUUCAACUUCUUUAUUACACAUUUUCAUAACUAUGGAAACUCACAAAAAUCAUUAUUACACACACUAACACCUUAUCUUACAACUUAGCAAACUAGCCCUUUUUAGGGUGUUUUCAUGCAAUUUCUUUCAUAAAAGUUGUUUAUUAGACAACUAAAACUCAUAUUCUUCCAUAAAAACUUAGAAAACAACACAUAUACAUUCAUGGAAAAACCCUAGACUCUUUAUUAUUUUGCAAACUAGACCCCUCGUUUGAAAGCUCAUGCUUUAAGGGUUCCAAAAAUGUAAAAAUCAUCAAGAAACAACCAAAGAUCACUUACUUGUUAGGGCUUAAAGUGGAUGAAAUUUUAAAGCUCAAAACCCCCAUUAUUUGCUACCAUUUUCGGUGGAGAGAAGAUGAAGAGUGAAAGAGAAAAUGAUAACUUUUUCUUUAUUUUAUUUGAUUACCCAAAAAGUCACUUUAAAACCCAUAAAAUAUGGCUUUUUGGCCAAUCUUGUCUCCCUUGGCCGGCCACCUCAAUAAAAAGGGUCUAAUUGCCAUUAAAAAGCCCCCGAUUUUAGUUAUCUAGCUAUUAAACACCUUUAGGCACUAAAAUAAAACAUUUACCUUUUAUGCGAUUUAGUCCUUUUUCGAAAUUGGAUUAGAAAUCGCUAAAAUUAACUUACCAAAAUUUACAUGCACUUAUAAAAUUAUAUUAUAACAUAUUAAAUAACAUCAAAAUAAUUUUCUCCAGCCUCAGAAUAGUGGUUCCAAAACCACUGUUCCGACUAGGCCCAAAAUUGGGCUGUUACAUAUACUUUCAGCCAGAUAAAGCUACAAGAAAACAAUUACCUGAUAUAUGAUCUUGGAUUGACAAUUAUUGUGUUUGCACUGAGAAUUUGGUAACAGUAGCUAUAUGGUAAAAAUAUCAUAUAUAUACUGAUCAUAAAUUUUAAAACACCUGAUGGUAUGGAAAGAUUUGAAUCUGACACAGAAUAGAUGGUUUGAAUUGUUGAAAGACCCUGAUUUGGUAAUUGAUUAUCAUUCAGGAAAAGUAAAUAUAGUUGAUGAUAUUUUGAGUAGGAAAUUCUUUAUUUUCUUUAUGAGCAAUAAAUACUUGAUUGCUAUUGUCCGAUGAAAGAACAAUUUUAGCUGAGCUUAAAGCUAAGCUGAUGUUUCUACAAUAGAUUUGUGAAGCCCAGAAAAGUGAUAAUGAGUUGUAAGUUAAACAGGUGCAGAAUGAGAUAAUUAUUGAAUCAGGGUAGCAGAUUUAAAUUUGAUGAUUGUCUAUUAUUCUGAGAUAGAGCCUAUCUACUGAAGAAUUUGGAACUUUUACAGAAAAUUUUACAUUAAUGAUCAUAAUGGUACAAUGUCUGUUUAUCUGGGAAAUGAUAAGAUGCACACCGAUUUGAAAAAGAUGUACUUGUAGCCCAGAAUGAAAACUGGUAUUUCUGAAUCUAUAUUUAAAUGCUGGAUGUAUCAGCAAGAUAGAUAUGAUACUUUCAAGAUGGUUAUAGUCAGUGAAAAUACUGAAAUGGAAAUGGGACAAAGUUACUAUGAAUUUUAUAUUAGGAUUCUCCCUGUCUAUGAAAAAGAACAAAAAUACUAUUUGCGUAAUUAUCGAUUGUUUGAUGAAGCCUGCAAAUUUUAUCCUGGUAUGAAUGGAUUUCUCAUUUAAUAGAUUGUUUGAAUUGUCUAUUUUUGAGACUGUUAGAUUAUAUGAUGUGCUAGUUUCUGUUAUUUCUGAUAGAGAUCUACAAUUCAUAUUCCGAUUCUGAAACAAGUUACAAGAAGCUUUGGGUAUACGGUUACAUUUUAGCACCGUAUUUUUUUCUCAAACGGAUGAUCAAUCUGAACAUAUGAUUCAGAUUUUUGAAAAUAUGUUUCGGUGUUGUAUUUUAGAAUUCAAAGGAAAUUGAAAAAGAAAUACUUGCCGUUAGUUGAAUUCAUUUAUAGUAACAGUUAACAGUCAAGUAUAAAAAUUUUACUGUACGAGACUUUAUAUAGUUAUAAUGCAAAACUCUAGUGUUUUGGACUAAGCUCAGUGAGAAAAGAUACAUGUAGUUUGUUUGAUUCAUUGAAACCAAACAAAAGGCGCAAGUGAUCUGAGACAGUAUAAAAACAAUAUUUGAUCGUUAGAAAUCCGAUGUAAAUCUAAGACAAAAAGAAAUAGAGUUUCAGAUUAGCGACAUAAUAUUUUUGAAAGUUUCGCCAUGGAAGAAAGUUCUCCAAUUUGGCCGUAAAGGCAAAUUAAGUCUGUGGUUUAUCGGGUUAUAUAAGAUUAUUGAAAAGAAUUGGGCCUGUUGCGUAUUGAUUUGUAAUAUUAUCAUAGCUCUACAGAAUUCACAAUGUUCUUAUGUGUAUAUGUGUUAUGACAGUAUUGAUCAGACACAUCAUCUGUUAUUACUUUUAUAAAUGUUAAAUUCAGCCUGACACGACUUACAGUGAGAAAUUGAUUGAAAUUCUGGCACUUGAAGAGAAAAUUGAGAAAUAAAAACGUAGCAUUAGUAAAAGUUCUUUGACAAUGACAUGGUAUGGAAGGAGCUACCUAGGAACUAGAGGAAACUAUGGGAAAAUAAUAUCUGAAUCUCUUUACUGGUAAAAUUUUUGAGGACGAAAAUUUCCUUAAGGAGGGAGAGUUGUGACAGCCCAAAUUUCAGUGAAAUUGGAACAGUGGUUCGGGGACUACAAAUCCAAUCCAAAAGUAAAAUUUAUUUUUAUUUUAUUACAUGGUCCGUAAUAAGUUAGAUAUGUCAUGUGAAAAUUCUGAUAAGAAAAUUUUAUUGAUUAUGUGUUUAAUUUACAAGAAGGACUAAAUCGCAUAAAAUGCAAAAAUUGAAUUUUAGCAUCUAGAAGGAUCAAAUAACUAUGGAAUUCAAAACUUAAGGUCCUUAUAUGGUAAUUAGACCAUUAAUAAAAAUUUAGUAGAUAUUUUUGGAUGAUUCAUCCAUGGAAAAUUAGAAAAACACUAAGGAUCAAAUAGCUAUGGAAUUCAAAACUUAAGGUCCGUAUGUAGCCAACGCUACCUCAUAUCACAUAUCACAUGUUGCUCACUUUCGAGCUACUCACUGGUCUACUCACUCAAGCUGUCGGUCAGGAUGUAGCUACAUGGGCCGCUCACAAGCUGUCAGGUAUCCGCAACACAUGCCGGACUACCCAGCCACCGGUAGAACAUACAAGACCAGUACCUAGAACCCCAUAACAUAUGUUACAUAUAUCAUGAGCUUAGAUCGCAUAGUCCCUAGUGACAUGUCACUUGUAUCCUAAACUAUUCUUAAGGUUCAAACUGGAUUCUUCGAUACCACAUUUCCGUCAAACUUGCUCGUAAUGUCGAUUUCAAUAACCAUAACACCAAUUGCAUACUCAUGGAAAAAUCAAAGCAUAAUUCAUAAUAAAAUUUAAGCAUUAAACACAUAAUACAACAUCACAUUAAUUAUAUAUGUACCUACCAUACAUGCAAUAUUAAAGCAUUUAAAGUAUGGUACAUAUUGCAUAAUUUGCAUAUGAACUUACCUUAGUAGAAAAUGAUAGAAACAGCCUAAUCCUUAUAAAUCUUAUUUUCCCCCGAUCAAGACCCGAAUCACGUUUUUCUUGAUCUAUAAUAUUAAAUUUAACUUGUUCAAUACACAUAUUGUUUGAAUUGACCCAACAUUCAUACUUUGGUAAAAUUACCUUUUUACCCUUACCUUUUUAUUUAUUUACACUUUAGUCCCUAGGCCCAUAAAAUGAAAUGCAUGCAUUUUCUUGGUUACCCAUGCCUAGCCGAUUCAUAUUCUAACUCAUAUCAGCCCACAAGUCUCAUUAAAUAACAUUUCUACUAGCCAUUUCUACAUCUUUUACAAAUAAGCCCUUUUUUGGUGUUUUCAAUAAAAAUCACUUAGUAAAAAAUGUUACACUCACAUCACUUACAUAUUCUUUCAUUAAACAUCAAAAUACAAGCAUGUCACACAUGGGUCAAAUUCAAAACAUGAACCCUAGCUCAAAUAAAUGGUAGAAAUGGCUAGAUCGGUUAAUAACAACUUAAAAAAUACAAAGAACAUUAAAAACGGGACUAGGAUGCACUUAUUAUUAAGUUUGAAAAGUUGGAAAACCCUAGCUAUGGAACCCUUGCAAAAUUUGGCUAGCACUUGGAGAAGAUGAGCAAAUUUUGACUUAUUUUUCCCUUUUUAUUCUUUUAUUAACCAAAUGACCAAAAUGCCCUUUUUACUAAACUUUAAAUUUUUGCCCAUGCAUGUCCAUUUUUGUCCAAAAUUAUAAAAAUUGUUCAAAUUGCUAUUUAAGACCUUCUAAUUUAUGAUCCUUAGCAAUUUCAUGCUAAACGUUUCUAGAAUUCAUAUUUUGCAACUUAUUCAAUUUAGUCCCUAACUUCAAAUUGGACACUUUAGGUAUAAAAUUUUUUCAUGAAAAUUUCACAAAAACUUGCAAUCAUAUCAUGGACCAUCAAAUAAUCAUAAAAUAAUUAUUUCUAUUUCAGAUUUGUUGUCUCGGAACCACUGUUCUGACUAGACCCUAAUUCGGGAUGUUACAAUGCAGGAAGGCAAAGUUGUAGCUUAUGCCUCGAGACAGUUGAAGCCAUAUGAAAAGAAUCAUCUGACACAUGAUCUAGAGUUAGCCAUGACAGUAUUCGCAUUGAAAAUUUGGUGUCAUUACUUGUUUGGUGAAAAAUGUCAUAUUUAUACCAACCACAAAAGCUUGAAAUAUCUGAUGACUUAGAAAGAUUUGAAUUUGCGACAGCAGAGAUGGUUACAAUUGCUAAAAGACUAUGAAUUAGUGAUUGACUAUCAUUCGGGGAAAGUGAAUGUACUUGUUGAUGCUUUGAGUCGAAAGUCCUUACUUGCUUUACGUGCUUUGAACACACAAUUAGCUUUGUCUAACGAUGAUUCGAUAGUAGCGAGUUGAAAGCAAGAUCGUUAUUUCUAUAGUAGAUUUGUUGUAACACCCCAAACUCGGCCUAGACGUUAUGACCGAAUCUGACGAUGUCGUAUUGAAGUGUUUCUCGCAAAAUAAUUUUAUUAAAAAAAACCUAGUCCAUAUUAAACCUCUUUGUGAUCUUAACAAAAACAUAGGAUAUCUUGUACAUUGUUAAAUUCAGGUUCUUUAGCAAAAUGUUAACUGUAACAUCCUAAAAUAGGGCCCAGUCAGAAUGGUGGUUUCGGGACCAUAAAUCUGACAUCAAAAUAUUUACUUUAUGAUUAUUAUGAGGCCUAAAAUAUGAGUAUAUGCAUGUGUUAAAAUUCCAUGAAGAAAUUCUUUGAGUAACGUGUUCAAUUAGAAAUUAGGGACUAAAUUGAAUAAAUUGCAAAACUUGAAUUCUAGAAGAAAUUUGUAUGAAAUUGCUUUGGGUUAUGAAUUAGAAGGUCUUGGAGAGAAAUUUUCCCAAAUUCUAAGUUUUUGGACGAAAAUGGGCUUGCAUGGAUGGAAUUUUAAGGAAAGGGCUUAAGGGCAUUUUGGUCAUUUGGUAUUUUAAUGAAAUAAAAUGGGAAAAAUGAACCAAAAUCAGCUCAUUCUCUUCCAUGUCCAGUUGAAACUUCAAGGGUUUCCAUAGCUAGGGUUUUCAAGCUUUCCAAGCUCAAUAGUAAGUGCUCCCAAGCCCCGUUUUUCAUGCUUUUUGUAUUUCUAAAAUCUUGGUAGCUUGCUCUGUCCAUUUCUUCCCAUAUUUCAUGCUAGGGUUCAUGUUUAAAAAUUUACCCAUGAAUGAGUUGCUUGUAUUUUGAUGGAUUAUGGAGGAAUGUGAAAGAUGAAUGUGUAUUAAAUAUCUUUUCCUAGAUGAUUUUCAUGAAAAAACCUUAUAGGGACUAUUUUGCAAAAGAUGUAAAUGUGUGGUAGAAAUAAGAAAAUAAUGGAAAAUCUGGGCUACCAUAAGAAGGAAAAGUGUUCGGCUAGGCUUGGGUAAGAUAGAAAGUGCAUGUGUUUCAUUAUACGAGCCUAGGGACUAAAUCGUAAAAAUAUGAAGGGUUAGGGGUAAAACAGUCAUUUGGACCGGGGGUAGAUAUUAAACUUGACAUGAAUAAUGUAGUGUAUUAAUGAGUUAAAUUUUGUUGUUAUAGACCCCGAGGAACAAAUUCCGGAGGUCGUUUGAGGUAAACGCAAGGUUUCGGAAUAACCGAAAUACAACUCCGAAAAGAAUACUAGGCAAGUUCAGAUAACUUAAAUUAAACCCCUAAUAUGCAUAAUUGAAUGAUUUCUGAAUGCAUGAUGAUUGCAUUUAUUAUUAGCAUGAAAUAUCAUAGAAAUGCAUAUUUGAUGGUAACAUGUGAAAAAUGUCUCAGAUGAGGUUGACAAAGGGAAUUCGAUGGAUAAACCCUCAUUGAUAUGUGUAAGUAGAUCUUGCAUGUGUUGCAAUAAGGAUUUAGCCUGGACGGGUAAUCCAUGAUCUCAAGUAUGAAAAGGAUCUAACUUGAACGGGUGUUCCUUGAAUGAUCAAGCCUCCCGAAGAAUAUGUGUGCAUUAUGGAUUUAGCCCGGACGGGUAAUCCGAUUAGGGUCUGAAUUUAGCCUGGACUGGUAAUUCAUAUCCGAGCUUAUUAAGGGUGUCUGUCGUUAUAAGGGAUUUAGCCUAGACUGGUAAUCCCGACAUCACCUUAUGAGUUCAUGAUAUGGGUGAUUUAGUCUGGACUGGUAAUCUUGCCAUAAGAUUUGAGGUUCGCUGGAAUGCAUAUAUGUGAAAUGAUCAUUUGUAAGAAUUGACAAAUAAUGGGUAUUCCAUCGAGAUUACCUAGAAACUCAACGGGAUUAAUAUGUUGUAUGUCAAUAAGAUGAUGAAUGAUGAGCUCAUCUACAUAAAUUACAUGAUGCUUUGUUACGUAACUAACUCAUUGAUUGAGUGCAUGUGAUAGGGAAUUGUUUCAUAAUUGAUGAUUUCAUGAUUUAAAUAUGGAUGUAUGCUAAUUACUUGGUAAGUUUACUUUCGGGUUAUCCGAGCUUACUAAGCAUGUAAAUGUUUACCCCUGUUUUUUUCCCUGUCUCACAGAGCUCGAGGAUUCGAAAGGUUUGGAAGACAAUUGGGGAGUCAACACAAUAUCAACUAGACAAGCUUUGGUAUAAAGACUUUGUUUGUUUUGUUCAACGACAUGUAUAGUAUUUUUGAGUAUUUUGUUAUAUGUGCUAUUUUCUUUGCCAAAUAAAGGCAUGUAAGAAUAUGUUUAUCUCUUCGUAUAUGGCCACAAAAAUUGGCUUAAUUGAAGUAGGCUAUGACCUACGAAUUUAUGCAUGGUUUUUUUUUUACAAGUGAUGGGUCGUUACCAAUUAGCAAUGAGUCACAUGAAUGAGCCAAUUUCGGAUGAAUUAAAGUGACAUGGGAACCUAUAAAUACUAAGUGGGAAAUAACCUAUCAUGUAUGAAACCAAUGAUAUGAGGUUUCUAUACAUCUAGUUUAAUCAAGAUUAUUUACAAGUGUAUAAUUGUGUUUUACUUUGAAUUUGGUAAGCACUAAGCACAAGUAGUAGAAAAGGGUGACUGAAGGCUUGGAAAAUAGCCUAUUGGAGUCCACAUGGUUAGACACAUGGGCGUACAACUAGGCCGUGUGUGACACACGAUUCCCUCUCAUGGGCGCGUGCUAUGGCCGUGUGUCCCCUGCACUUAAAAUUUUAGCUCAAAGUUGUACCCGGGUAGGCCACACGGGCGUGCACCAUGGCCGUGUUAAAAAGACAGUGUCAUGCAUGGGCAAGUAGCACGGGUGUGUGCCAUGGUCGUGUUGAUAAGUCAGUGUUGCCCACGGUUGAAGGGCAUGGGCAUGCCCUAAGUCACACGGGUGUGUGAGUCCACAUGGCCCACCUACACAGGCGUGUGACACUUUAUGAUAAUAAAAAAUUCCUAAGGAGCCCAAGGUUUAGAGAACGUACCCGAAUUUGUCCCGUAUUGCCUCUUGGUAUGUUAUAGGCUCGAAGGCCUAUAUAAGGGACUAGUUGUUCAUGGAUGAAAAGCUUAAAAUUUGAGUAAAACUUGGUGACCCAAUUUGGUACAUUUCAAAAUGUAAAGUCCUGGUAAUGCCUCGAACCCUAUCCUGAUGUCGGGUGCGGGUGACGGGUGUUACAUUUAUUGGUAUCAGAGCUACGGUUUAGUCUGUUCUAGGACUACCGUAGAGGAUGUUAAAGUUCGCUAUACAUGCCAUUAUUUGAAUAUUGAUAGUGUGACGUCUCCUAAUUGUUUAAAUUGUUUUGGAUAUAGUGAAUGUCUUCCAAUCAAGCACAAGAUGAGUCCGAGGGAGCCAAGAGCCAUGCUCCAGUUUCCGUACAGCGAGCUAUAUCUAGUAGUACUAAAAGGCUGAUGUUAGAAGGUCGAGAAAGGACCCGAGCUGCCUUCUUUGAUAUGAUGGAUGAAUGGUUUACGGAUUAUCUGAGAAAUCGCCCUAAUAUACCAAGACCUCCCCUACCCCCUAACCAACUUCAUGAGGAUGUGCCACGAGGUAUGGCACCGGUGAGAAUCGGUAAAGCCCCUAUAGAUAAGUUUAGAAAGUAUGGAGCUGAGGAAUUCAGAGCUAAAUUUGAUGAUGACGCUGAAAGAGUAGAGUUCUGGCUUGAAAAUACUACAUGGGUGCUAGAUGAUUUGUCAUGCACACCUGAGAAAUGUUUGAAGUGUGUUGUGUCCCUUUUGAAGGACACUGCAUACAAUUGGUGGAAGACCGUAUCCUCGGUAGUGCCAAAAGAAAAUAUUACUUAGGAUUUCUUCCAAGCAGAGUUUAGGAAGAAAUAUAUUAGCCAACGGUUUUUGGACUCGAAGCGAAAGGAGUUCCUGGAACUUAAACAAGGGAACAAAACUGUAGCAGAAUACGAGAGAGAGUUUGUAUGACUAAGUUAGUAUGCAACUGAAUGGAUCCAAAUUGAAUUGGAAAUGUGUAAACGGUUCGAGAAAGGUCUGAAUGAGGAUAUCAAGUUGUUGAUUGGGAUCUUGGAAAUACGGGAGUUUGCCGCAUUGGCCGAUCGAGCCAAGAAGGCCAAGAAACUUAAUAAUGAAAGAAAACAAGCUAAGAGAGAGGCUCGAGUUGCGAGCAAGAGGUCUAGCUCUAAAACACUCUCGUUCUCCAUGAUGAAAGCCAGUAGCCUGUAUGAAUGCUCCACUUCGUUAGUGGGAUAUUCGGGUAGAUCGAGAAGCUCUAAACGAUGAGGUCAAAAGUCUUCCUCCCCGAUGGUGACUAGUGUGGGGAGUGUAGAUGAUCAAAAACUGAAGUGUAAGAGCUGUAACAAAUUUCACUUCGGAGAGUGCUGAAUGAAGAGCGGCGCGUGUUUCAGAUGUGGUUUUCUUGAUCACUUUCUCAGAGACUGCCCGAAAUGAGCCGAAAAAGAAGUGGAAAUAGCUCUGAAGUCGAGUGCUCCCAUUCUACGAGGUAGACCUCCGAGAUACCCUAGGAGUACUAGUGGCAGUAGAGUCGUAACUAAAGACGCUGUAAAAUUAGAGGUCCGAGCCCCGACAAGAACGUAUGCGAUAUGUGCUCGAGAGGAAGCCGCUGCUCCUGAUGUUAUUACGGGUACUUUCUCUCUUUUUAAUAUAAGUGUUGUUGGUUUAAUUGACCCGGGGUCGACGCAUUCAUAUAUCUGCAUGAGAUUGUCGUCUAGUAUGAAUAUACCUGUUGAACAUACGGAAGAUAUUAUUAGAGUAUCGAACCCACUAGGCAGAUCAGUUCUAGUUGAUAAAGUCUGUAAGAAUUUUCCUUUGACGAUUCAAGGUCAUUGUUUCCCGGCUAACCUUAUGUUGUUACCAUUUGAUGAAUUUGAUGUAAUAUUUGGUGUGGAUUGGUUAGCCCGUCAUGAUGUAAUAGUGAAUUGUGGUAGUAAGUAUAUUAAGUUAAAAUGCCCGAAUGGUAAGAUUCUACAGGUCGACUCAAGAGAAUUGGGUUCGUCGCUAAUUGUAAUCACGAUAAUGGUUGCCUAGAGAUAUAUGAGGAAAGGAUAUGAAGCCUACCUUGCAUUUGUACUGAACACGAAGGAAAUAGAGCUAAAAAUUGAGUCCAUGCUGAUAGUAUGUGAGUACCCAGAUGUGUUUCUGGAAGAAUUACCCGGAUUACCUCCUUAAAGGGAGAUAGAGUUUGGUAUUGAAUUGGUGCCAGGGACGACUCCCAUUUCUAUUGCCCUGUACAGAAUGGAACCUACCGAGCUGAAGGACUUAAAAGCACAGUUGCAAGAGCUGACGGAUAAAGGUUUCGCCAGGCUAAGUUUUUCACCUUGGGAUGCCCCCGUGUUGUUCGUAAAGAAGAAAGAUGGUUCGAUGAGGUUAUGUAUCGAUUAUCGGCAACUGAACAAGGUGACUAUCAAGAAUAAGUAUCCCUUGCCAAGGAUCGAUGAUUUGUUUGACCAGUUGAGAGGAGCCACCGUAUUCUCCAAGAUAGACUUGAGGUCUGGCUAUUAUCAGCUGUAAGUUAAAGACUUGAAUGUACCUAAGACAGCUUUUAGGAUGAGGUAUGGCCAUUAUGAAUUUCUUACCAUGCCGUUUGGUCUGACGAAUGCACCGGUUGUGUUUAUGGAUCUAAUGAAUAGGAUCUUUUGGCCAUAUUUGGAUAAGUUUUUCGUUUUGUUUAUUGACGACAUUUUGAUCUACUCUAAAGAUGAGACAGAGCAUGUGAAGCACUUGAGAAAUGUGUUGUAGACCUUUGGCUCCAGGAAGUUGGAUUUUUGGGUCAUAUAGUUUCGAGUGAAGGCAUCUGAGUUGAUCCAAGUAAGAUUUCUGCAAUUGUUGAAUGGAAAUCGCCUAAGAAUGUAACCGAGGUUAGAAGCUUUUUGGGCUUAGCCGGUUACUAUCAAAGGUUUGUAAAAGGAUUUUCCAUGAUAGCGACUCCAAUGACGAAGUUGCUACAGAAAGAAGUUAUGUUUGAAUUGACAGAGAAGUGUCAGCAAAGUUUUGAGAAGUUAAAGACAUUGCUGACCGAAGCUCCUGUUUUAGUGCUAUAUGAACCGGGAAAAAAACUUGUGGUCUACAGUGAUGACUCCUUAAAUGGAUUGGGUUGUGUACUUAUGCAAAAUGGCAAGGUGAUAGCCUAUGCUUCACGACAAUUGAAGCCUCACGAGAAGAAUUAUCCAACCCACGACUUAGAGCUUGCUGCUAUUGUUUUUGCCUUGAAAAUUUGGAGGCGUUAUUUGUAUGGCGAGACUUGUUGUAUAUUCACAGACCACAAGAGUUUGAAAUACUUGAUGACUCAGAAAGAAUUAAAUUUGAGACAGCGAAGAUGGUUAGAAUUAAUUAAGGAUUAUGAUCUGAUUAUCAACAAUCACCCAGGAAAGGUGAAUGUGGUCGCCAAUGCAUUGAGUAAAAAAUCCCUGUAUGCUUUGACAGCCAUGGAUACUCGUUUGACAUUGCUUGAUGAUGAUUCAGUUCUGGCCAAGCUGGAGGCUAGGCUAACAUUUCUGUAGGAAAUUCAUGAUUCUCAGCUUAAUGAUGAUGAUUUACAAGCAAAAAAAGCUCAAUGUGAGUCUGGUGUUGAGUCAGAUUUCUGAAUUAGUCUUGAUGGAUGUUUAAUGUUUAGAGAUAGGGUUUGUGUACCCAAAGAUAAUGAACUUAUUCGGAAAAUUUUGCAAGAAGCACAUAACAGUCGUUUGUCUAUUCACCCAGGAAGUACCAAGAUGUACAACCAUUUAAAGAAGAUGUACUGGUGGAACGACAUGAAAAGAGACGUUUCUGAAUUUGUAUUGAAAUGCUUGGUAUGUUAGCAACUUAAAGCUGAACAUAAAGUGCCUUCAGGUUUGUUAUAGCCUGUAAUAGUCCCCGAAUGGAAGUGGGACAAAGUUACCAUAGACUUCGUGACGGGAUUACCUUUAACUCUAAAAAAGAAAGAUGCCAUAUGGGUUAUAGUGGAAAAAUUGACAAAGUUAGCUCAUUUCAUCUCGGUAAGGACGGAUUAUUCUCUUGAUAGAUUGGUCGAUUUGUACAUUUCUGAGAUAGUAAGAUUGCAUGGAGUACCACUGUCGAUUAUUUCGAACAGAGACCCGAGGUUCACUUCGAGAUUUUGGAAGAAGUUACAAGAAGCCUUGGGUACAAAGUUGAGCUUUAGCACAGCUUUUCACCCUUAGACCGAUGGCCAGUCUAAGUGGAUGAUUCAAAUUCUCGAGGACAUGUUGCGUUGUUGCAUCCUCGAAUUUCAGGGUAGUUGGGAAAAAUACCUCCCAUUGGUAGAAUUUGCCUACAGCAAUAGUUUCCAAACAAGUUUGAAGAUUGCGCCCUAUGAGGCCUUGUAUGGAAGAAAGUGCCGAACUCCAUUGUACUAGACAUAACUCAAAGAAAAUCAGAUUCAUGGAGGUUAUCUGAUUAAAAAAACUGGAGAAAAAGUUAAAGUGAUACGAGAUUGUUUAAAAGCGGCAUCAAAUAGGCAAAAAUCUUAUGUUGAUCUGAAAAGAAAAGAAAUUGAGUUUCAAGUUGGAGAUAAAGUAUUCUUGAAAGUAUCUCCAUGGAAAAAGGUAUUGAGAUCUAGUCGGAAAGGUAAACUGAGUCCACGAUUUAUCGGAUCGUACGAGAUCACCGAAAGAGUUGGACCGUUAGCCUAUCACUUGGUGUUGCCACCUGAACUGGAAAAGAUUCAUGAAGUGUUCCAUGUAUCCAUGUUAAGGAGAUACUGAUCAGACCCCUCUCAUGUAAUUUCACUGACUGAGAUUGAAAUUCCACCGGACAUGACUUAUGGAGAGGAACGGGUUAAGAUAUUGGUUCGUGAAGUUAAACAGUUGAGAAAUAAAGAUGUGGCUCUAGUAAAAGUUUUAUGGCAUCGACAUGGUGUAGAAGAGGCAACAUGGGAGCCAGAACAAACCAUGAGAAGUCAAUAUUCGAAUAUGUUUUCUGGUAAGACUUUCAAGGACGAAAGUCCCUAAGGGGGGAGAAAUGUAACAUCCUAAAAUAGGGCCCAGUCGGAAUGGUUGUAACACCCCGUACCCGAGACCGUUGCCGGAGUCGGACACGAGGGGUUCACAGACUAAAUUCGCUUACUAUCGCAUUCCAUUUUAAAAAUUUCCAGGCAGUUGGCUAACUGCGUCACUGUCACCUUAAAAAUCAUAUCUUGAGUUUCACAACUCGAAAAUAAGUUUCGUAAUUUUUCCCUGAAACUAUACUAAUAUUCCUAUCUACAUAUUUUUUUCUAGAAUUUUUGGUCAGGCCAAUUAGUACAUUUUAUUCGUUAAAUUCUACCCUGUUACAGGGUGCGACUACACUGCCCUUCAUGCAUUACGAUUUGGAUAUCUCCCUACACAGAGUUUCAAUACUGAUUUCGUUUGUUUCUAUAGAAACUAGACUCAGAGAGGAAUCUAUACAUAUAUGGCAUGACUCAUAAUUAUCUCUGGUUAAUUUAUAAUGAAUUUCCAAAGUCGGAACAGGGAAUCCAGAAACCGUUCUAGCCCUGUCUCACGAGAACCUGAAUAUCUCUUAACAUACUGUCCAUAUGAUCGUUUCGUUACUUUCCUAUGAAAAUAGAUUCAUCAAGGUUCACUUACAUAAUUUAUUCACUAUUUAAUUCCAUUCCUACUAUUUUUAGUGAUUUUUCACAUCCACAUCACUGCUGCUGCCAGCAUCUGUUUUUUUUAAGGUAAACUUUACCUAUUUCAUGAUCCUCCAUGGAUCAACUAGAGUUUGUCAUACAUAUUCCAAAAGUGAUCAAGAAUAACCCUUCCCAUGGCUAACUGUUACCAACAUUUCCAUACCUCUCGACGGACAACAUACAAAACGAUUAUAAUGCUAUGAUCAAAGUAUAUUUAAGCCAUUUUCACAUGGCUAUCCAAAUUUACACAAAACCAAAGGGUACAUGACCAACAACAAAAGGGUAGUCCUAUACAUGCCAUUUCAAAGUUCAACCAAAAUUGUACCAAAAGGGGGCUUUGAUAGUGUGGGAGACUUCGACUUCCAAAAAUCCCGAGUCCGAUAGCUAACGAACCAAAAUCUAUAAAACAGAGAUUCAAAUAACGGAGUAAGCAUUUAAUGCUUAGUAAGUUUUAAGCAGUGUCAACAGAUAACAAUCAAAUUAUAACAUAGUUGUUCGUAUUUUUUUAUUUCACUCUUCCUUCGGGCAUACCAUCCCUUUACCGAAUAUGCACAUCUCAUCAUAUACAAUAGGCAGAUAAACUUUCACAUAAAAGUGAGCCCAUGUGACAUAGAUAUAUCGUAUGAUUUCACAUAACCUCACACACUGAUUCGAUGUCACAUAAUCAUAGGAAUAGUCUCAUAGAUUGCUCUCGUAUGCAUCACAUAACUACCUUAUGAUUUAGUGCAAAUCAAGCUCACAUAUAAACUUGGAGUACAUACCUGUUUAACCUUUCGCAUUGAAUAUAUUUAUAAGCAAUUCUUAUUACGAAGUCUUACCCGGACAUUAAUCAGUGAUAAUAUUCUCGCAUAAAGCCUGCGGGGUUUUAGCCCGGAUAUAGUACUGAUACAAAUGCCCUUCGGGACUUAUCACAUUUAUACACUUUCACAUCCAUCACGUUGGCCACUCGGCCCUGUCACAUAUAUACACUUUCACAUUCAUCACAUCGGCCAUUAGGCCUUAUCACAUAUAUACACUUUCACAUUCAUCACAUCGGCCAUUAGGCCUUAUCACAUAUAUACACUUUCACAUUCAUCUCAUCGGCCAUUAGGCCUUAUCACAUAUAUACACUUUCACAUUCAUCACAUCGGCCAUUAGGCCUUAUCACAUAUAUACACUUUCACAUUCAUCACAUUGGCCAUUAGGCCUUAUCACAUAUAUACACUUUCACAUUCAUCACAUCGGCCAUUAGGCCUUAUCACAUAUAUACACUUUCACAUUCAUCACAUCGGCCAUUAGGCCUUAUCUCAUAUAUGCAUGUUCACAUCCAUCACAUAGAAUCCUAAAUCAAAAUAUAGAUUUUCAUGUAUUCACAUCACAAUUAUCCAAAUAUACUUCACAUACCACAUAUACUUUCACGUAUACACACUGUCUUGGCUAAAUCUACAUCUAUCAUUUUCCAAUAUCACAAUUUAGAAUUCACGUAUGGGUUUAAUCAAUAGCUUAUGAGCAACUAAAACAAGUUUAUCAAGGUUUACAACACAAUCUCAAAUUCAGCACAAGCUGUUUUUCCUGAGCAAUAGUCACUAAAUUAUUUAUAACUGGAGAUACAAAACUCCAAAUCACUUUCCGUUAAUUUUUCCAGAAUAUAGACUCGUAUAUCUUCCAUCCAUAAAAUUUCCAGAAUUUUAGGUUUGGCCAAUCAAUACCAGAUUUUUCUUAAAGUUUCCCCUGUUUCACUGUUUGACUAAUCUGACCACUCUUCACUACAAAUCAAAUUUCUCAUUUUACAGAAUUCAAAAUGUGUUGUAUUUGAUUUCAUUUGAAACUAGACUCAUUAAGGAGUCUAAGAAUAUAAAUUUUAUCUUAUAACCAUUUUUGUAAAAUUUAUAAUGAUUUUCUAAAUAUAGAACAGAGGAUUACAGUGUCAUUCUACGCUGUCUCACACAACUUUAAGUAUCUCAUUAUCGGAAAUUCCUUUGCUUACACGGUUUCUUUUAUAAGAAACUAGACUCAUUAAGAUUUAAUUUCAUGUCUCAUUCAGCCUCUAAUUCAAAUCCAUAAAUUUAUGGUGAUUUUCUAAAGUCACGUUACUGCUGCUGUCCUAAGCAGACUAUUUCAAAUUACCCUUAAAUUCCCAAGCUCAAACACUUAAGAACUUACCAUUUGAACUUAGAACAUAUCAUGGCCACAUCAUAUCUUAUUAAAUCAACUCAUCAUGUCCUAUUACAAUUGAAUUUACUCAAUGUUUAAUCACUUAAAACUUACCUCGGAUGUUGUCGAACGAUUUCGGCGGCUAUUCGACCACUUUUUUUCCUUCCCUUUAUCGGAUUUAGUUCCCCUUUGCUCUUGAGCUUAAUUCAAACAAAUUUAACUCAUUAAAGUCUCAUUUUGCUAGCUUAUGGCCGAAUAUACACAUAACUUAUGUACUUAUUCAUGUGGCCGAACAUACAUGUCUAUGUUAGGGCCGAUUGCAUCACAACACCAUACCAUUUCAAUUUUUGGUCAUGGUUAAACAAAGAACUUAAUGUCUCACUCAAAAAUGCUAAAAAGAAGAUUCAAGAAUCAUCAAUCCACCUUGGCCGAAUAUCAUCUCCAUGACAUAGUAAAGAUUUGAACCAUGGGCUAUUUAGAACUCAAGCUAACUACUAAAACAUGCAUGCAUCUCAUGGAACAUCAUCAAACAUACCUUAGUCUAUCAAACCACCAUAGCCGAUUUCCUCAAAGCUCUUUUUCCUUCUUUUUCUUUCUCCUAUUCGGCCAAGAACAACAUGAGAGCCUUUCUCUUCUUUCUUUUUUUUUGUCAUGCAUGAGAAUGAUGAACACAUUUUUUUCUCUUUGUUUUCUUCCUUCAAUUUCUUAUUAGUUUAUUGCCCAUGCUUCUUAUUUUAUUCUUCCAUUAAGACAACAUGUUUCAUGACAUGUUUUGCCCAUGCUUCUUAUUUUAUUUUUCCAUUAACACAACAUGUUUUGCCCAUCAUCCCUUGUCAUGGCCGGCCACUAGCACUUAAAUGGGGGGAAAUUGACAUGCAAGUCCACCCCUUUGAUUACAUGCACUAUUAGGCCACUUGCAUUUGCCUAGCACAUUUCUAAAUUUUCUCACAUAAGUCCUAUCAACUAAAUUCACAUGCAAUUAACUAAAUCGAAGCUUAAAACUUUCACACAUUUAUAUUCACAUAUUUUAGGCAAUAAUUAUCACAUUCAAAUAAUUUGGUGACUCGAUCUAGCGGUCCCGAGACCGCUUUCCGACUAGGGUCACUUUAGGGGUGUCACAAUGGUGGUUUCGGGACCAUAAAUUCGACAUCAAAAUAUUUACUUUAUGGUUAUUAUGAGGACUGGAAUAUGAGUAUAUACAUGUGUUAAAAUUUCAUGAAAAAAUUCUUUGAGUAAGGUGUUCAAUUAGAAAUUAGGGACUAAAUUGAAUAAAUUGCAAAACUUGAAUUCUAGAAGCAAUUUGUAUGAAAUUGCUUUGGGUUAUGAAUUAGAAGGUCUUGGAGAGAAAUUUUCCCAAAUUUUAAGUUUUUGGACAAAAAUAGGCUUGCAUGGACGGAAUUUUAAGGAAAGGGCUUAAGGGCAUUUUGGUCAUUUGGUAUUUUAAUGAAAUAAAAUGGGAAAAAUGAACCAAAAUCAGCCCAUUCUCUUCCUUGUCCAACUGAAACUUCAAGGGUUUCUAUAGCUAGGGUUUUCAAGCUUUCCAAGCUCAAUAGUAAGUGCUCCUAAGCCCCAUUUUUCAUGCUCUUUGUAUUUCUAAAAUCCCGGUAGCUCGCUCUUUCCAUUUCUACCCAUAUUUCAUGCUAGGGUUCAUGUUUAAAAAUUUACCCAUGAAUGAGUUGCUUGUAUUUUGAUGGAUUAUGGAGGAAUGUGAAAGAUGAAUGUGUAUUAAACAUAUUUUCCUAGUUGAUUUUCAUGAAAAAACCCUUAUAGGAACUAUUUUGCAAAAUAUGUAAAUGUGUUGUAGAAAUGAGAAAAUAAUGGAAAAUUGGGCUACCAUAAGAAGGAAAAGUGUUCGGAUAGGCUUGGGUAAGAUAGAAAGUGCAUGUGUUUCAUUAUACGAGCUUAGGGACUAAAUCGUAAAAAUGUGAAAGGUCAGGGGCAAAAUUGUCAUUUGGACUGGGGGUAGAUAUUAAAUUUGAAAUGUAUAAUGUAGUGUAUUAAUGAGUUAAAUUUUGUUGUUAUAGACCCCGAGGAACAAAUUCCUGAGGUCGAUCAAGGUAAACGUAAGGUUUCGGAAUAACCGAAACACAACUCCGAAAAGAAUACCAGGUAAGUUCGGAUAACUUAAAGUAAACCCCUAAUAUGCAUAGUUGAAUGAUUUAUGAAUUCAUGAUGAUUGCAUUUAUUAUUAGCAUGAAAUAUCAUAGAAAUGCAUAUUUGAUGGUAACAUGUGAAAAAUGUCUCGGAUGAGGUUGACAAAGGGAAUUCGAUGGAUAAACCCUCAUUGAUAUGUGUAAAGAGAUCUUGCAUGUGUUGCAGUAAGGAUUUAGCCCAGACGGGUAAUCCGUGAUCUCAAGUAUGAAAAGGAUCUAACCUGUACGGGUGUUCCUUGAAUGAUCAAGCCUCCCGAAGAAUAUGUGUGCAUUAUGGAUUGAGCCCAGACGGUAAUCCAAUUAGGGUCUGAAUUUAGCUUGGACUGGUAAUUCAGAUCCGAGCUUAUUAAGGGUGUUUGUCAUUAUAAGGGAUUUAGCCUGGACUGGUAAUCCUGACAUCACCUUAUGGGUUCAUGAUGUGGGGGAUUUAGCCUGGACUGGUAAUCCUGCCAUAAGAUGUGAGGCUCGCGGGAGUGCAUAUAUGUGAAAUGAUCAUUUGUAAGAAUUGACGGAUAAUGGGUAUUCCGUCGAGAUUUCCUAGAAACUUAACGGGAUUAAUAUGAUGUAUGUCAAUAAGAUGAUGAAUGAUGAGCUCAUCUACAUAAAUUACAUGAUGCUUUGUUACGUAACUAACUCAUUGAUUGAGUGCAUGUGAUAGGGAAUUGUUUCAUAAUUGAUGAUUUCAUGAUUUAAAUAUGGAUGUAUGCUAAUUACUUGGUAAGUUUACUUUUCGGUUAUUCGAGCUUACUAAGCAUGUAAAUGUUUACCCCUCUUUUUUUCCCUGUCUCACAGAGCUCGAGGAUUCGAAAGGAUUGAAAGACGAUUGGGGAGUCAACACAAUAUCAACUAGACAAGCUUUGGUAUAAAGACUUUGUUUGUUUUGUUCAAUGGCAUGUAUAGUAUUUUUGAGUAUUUUGUUAUACGUGCUAUUUGAUUUUCCAAAUGAAGGCAUGUAAGAAUAUGUUUAUCUCUUUGUAUAUGGCCACGAAAAUUGGCUUAAUUGAAGUAGGCUAUGACCUACAAAUUUAUGCAUGGUUUUAUUUACAAGUGAUGGGUCGUUACCAAUUGGCAAUGAGUCACAUGGACGAGCCAAUUUCGGAUGAAUUAAAGUGACAUGGGAACCCAUAAAUACUAAGUGGGAAAUAACUUAUCAUGUAUGAAUCCAAUGAUAUGAGGUUUCCAUACAUCUAGUUUAAUCAAGAUUAUUUACAAGUGUAUAAUUGUGUUUUACUUUGAAUUUGGUAACCACUAAGCACAAGUAGUAGAAAGGGGUGACUAAAGGCUUGGAAAAUAGCCUAUUGGAGUCCACAUGGUUAGACACACGGGCGUGCGUCUAGGCCGUGUGUGACACAUGGUUCCCUCCCAUGGGUGUGUGCUAUGGCCGUGUGUCCCCUGCACUUAAAAUUUUAGCUCAAAGUUGUACAUAGGUAGGCCACAUGGGCGUGCACCAUGGCCGUGUUAAAAAGGCAGUGUCGUCCACGGGCAGGCAGUAUGGGUGUGUGCCAUGGCCGUGUUGGUAAGUCAGUGUUGCCCACAACUGAAGGGCACGGGCAUGCCCCAAGUCACAUGGGUGUGUGAGUCCACACGACCCACCUACACGGGCGUGUGACACUUUAUUAUAAAAAAAAAUUCCUAAGGAGCCCAAGGUUUAUCAAACGUACCCGAAUUUUUCCCGCACUGCCUCUCGGUAUUUUAUAGGCCUCGAAGGCCUAUAUAAGGGACGAGUUGUUCGUGGAUGAAAAGCUUAAAAUUUGAGUAAAACUUGGUGACCCAAUUUGGUACAUUUCAAAAUGUAAAGUCCUGGUAAUGCCUCGAACCCUAUCCCGGCAUCGGGUGAGGGUGAGGGGUGUUACAUUAACUAUGUGAAUUUAUUAUUUCUCUUUAAAACAUUUUACCUUGCGAAAGCUUUGAAAUCAAAUUGCGUUUACGUGUUGUUUUGAAAAAUAUUUAUCUUGUGAGAACUUGUGUCAUAUUUCUAGCAGAUGUAAUUUAAAAUUAAAACCCAAAAUUAGAUAAUAAAAACAUAAAGAGGCCUUAUUACAUAAAAAUACCCAAAUUAAAAAUAUGUAAAAAUUUAAAGUCCAAUAAGGUAGUCUAUGUGGAUGUGUGGCCACCCAUGAAUCCCUUGCAACACCAACCCACCUAAAAGUGGGGAUUACCUGUGCAAAUAAAUAGAAAGGUGAGUUUACGAAAACUCAGCGUGUAAUCCCUUAAUAGAUAAACUGUCAAUCAUGCAAUAGGCAAUUACAGUCUGGGCCUAGGCCCAUAUAAAAAACAGUCCAAUCUCAGUUAGGGCCUUAGCCCAUUACAACAUCAAAAUCGGUGUGGGCCAUAGCCCAAUUCAGUAGUGGUCACAGUACAGAUAUGAAAUCAGAAAUCCUACCCCACUAGCCUCUACACACCACUUCGUCCAACCCUACACACCAUGUGGGGAUAAAAUCAACCCACCCAUCCCUACACACCAAAAUAAAUAGCACCGAUGGCGGCAGUAAAUAGAAAUUACAGCAGAGCUACUAGAACAGUACACUUCCUCCAAUAGUAAUAACCCAUCCCAAUGCACAAAUCAUAAUAUCAUGUAUGUAUGCAACAUAUAUAAAAAAAUUAUGACAUGCUCAAUACAGUCAAACAUAUCAUAGGGGCAUAUCAAUCUUUUUACCUCAUAGGGGCAAAAUGGGCAUUUCAUCAGAUUGGGGUCUAGAUAUACUUACCGACCCAAUAGUAGGUCCACAGUCAUCUCGGGUGACCCGUGUGACCCUAACAGUCAAAUAGUGAAAAUGAGCCCAAGGCUCGUAACGUGGCCCAUGUAGGCCCACACACCCGUGUGGCCUACGAAACCCAAAAAUGGCCAUAGCUAUGGGGACUACAUAGCCUGGCCAAAAAAUCACCAGACGUCUAUGUGAUUUACCCGUGUGGGGUCUAUAAGUUCGUGGGGCCACACGGUCCAACGUGGCCCAAAGCGGUCUAACCCCACGAAACUGCUCGUGGUGGCCUCUACAAUUAAACGCCCAUGAUUUCGCGUUUGGACCACCACAAGAUCGAGCACACGCUCGUGUAGGGUCAACAAUCACCUAUUCCGGCUUUUGCCUAUUUACAUGCCUAGUAGUGUGAUUACACACCUGAUUGCGAAAAUACGUUACUAAACCACGAGCACUCCAACCUAUCACACGUUUGAAUCAGUCGGUUUAGGUUUGCCCACUUACUUCAUUGCAAGAGCCUAAUCCUUAUGCCUUAGGGAUUAUCGAAACACAAAGUCAAAAUUAGAGGCAAGGGACAAUCAACCUUCGCCCAUACCAGAGCCGAAUGUACACAAUAUGAUGGAAGCAAAUGGGACAAUAGUACUCCUAUCCAAAACACAAGAUCAGUCACUAGUAACUACCCCCAAAAAUGAAAAGGAGCAAGGGAAACAGAUUGGAACAGUGAAAAUAGAAAAAGUAGCAGUGCUUGGUCAAGAAGGGGCCAAUUGAGAAAGAAGGAGAGGAGAAGUAAUCGAUUAAGAGGAAGUCUAUUGGGAGAAAGGGAAAGAAAGAAUGAGCUGAUCCACAAGCAAGGCUAGAAACCGUAAGGGUUUGUGAGAGGGAGAAUAAGGGAUUUUCGGCCAAGGAGAAGAAAACUGAUUGAGAAGAGGGAGUGAAGGAAAGAAAUCGGUGGGCUAGAGGACUGGAGAGAAGAGUAGAAUCAAACCAAACUAGAAUUGAAAGGUACUCAAAACAAAAAUCAAAGCAAUACAUGGCUUCAGAAACAAGGGUGAAAAGAACCAAAAAUUGACAAAACCCCAAAUGAAUAGAGAGAAGCUACCAUACUCAUGGCUAAAUUCCCUUGGUCAAAGUACCUAUUUGGCUACAACUCUCACACUUUCAAAUCCCACAAAAUCCUUCUCAAAUCACUCCCCCAUUAUCUCCUCAACAACCAAGUUCAAACUCUAAUCAACUAAGUAGAGUUUCGGUCAACCCCAACUUCUCAUACGGCAAGAGCAUCAAAAUAAAACACCUUUGCACAUUGCAGGAUUCGAACCAAAGACCCUUAGGCAUCUCAACACGCCACUAUCCCCUAGACCAGCAGGCCUAUUCUGACAUGUUUUAACCACGUUUAUUUAAAAAGCCUACUAACUAGAGACGGGGUUUAUUCAAAUAAAAACAAAACUUGGUACAAGCCAAGACUUGAACUCAGGACUUCUUCAACACUUCCCAGAACACUUAAUCACUGAAGCAGACAUGCAUUUGUGUUACAACAUACAAAAAUAAUAAUCUAAGAUUUGGGGUGUUACAUUUGUGAGGCUCAAAAUUUCAUAAUGAAUUGCAAGCAAAACGAGCUCAGUGUGAGUCAACUUCUGAUUCAGAGUUUCGAAUAGGGUCUGAUGACUGUUUAUGUUUUGUGAUAGAAUUUGAGUACCAAGAAAUUUUGAACUCAUUCGGAAGGUUUUAAAUAAAGCACAGAGUAGUUGUUUAUCAGUACAUCCUGGAAGCACAAAAAUGUAUAAUGAUUUGAAUUAGUUGUAUUGGUGGCACGACCUGAAACGAGAUAUCUUAGAAUCUAUUUCGAAAUGUUUGAGUUUUCAACAAGUCAAAGUUGAGCAUCAAGUGACUUCAGGUUUAUUACGGCCUAUUAUGAUUUCUGAGUGGAAGUGGGAUAGAGUAACAAUGGAUUUCAUAUUGGUUUUGCCCUUAUCUCUGAAAAAGAAAGAUGUGAUCUGGAUUGUUGUUGACUGAUUGAUAAAAUCAACUUCUUUCAUUCUGGUACGUACAUAUUUCUCGCUUGAUAAACUAGUUGAGUUGUUUAUUUUUGAAAUUGUGAGAUUACAUGGUGUUCCCCCAUCUAUUAUUUCAGAUAGAGAUCGAAGAUUUACUUCACAAUUUUGGAAGAAAUUAUAAGAAGCUUUGGGUUCAAAGCUACAUUUUAGCAUUGUGUUUCACCCGCAAAUGGAUGGUCAACCCGAACUAAUUAUUCAAAUACUUGUGGAUAUGUUGCGUUAUUACAUUCUUGAGUUUGAAGGUAGCAGGGAGAAAUAUCUAUCGCUGAUUGAAUUUGCUUACAAUAUUAGCUUCCAAUCAAGUAUAAAGAUGGCACCGUAUGAAGCUCUAGAUGGUCGUAAAUGUCGAACACCAUUGUACUGGAGUGAGCUCGGUGAAAAUAAGAUUCACGGGGUUGAUUUGAUCAGAAAGACUAAAGAAAAAGUGAAGGUAAUUCGCGAUAGUUUGAAAGCAGCUUCGAAUCGACAGAAAUCAUAUGCAGACUUGAAAUAGAAAGAUAUUGAGUUCCAGAUCAGGGAUAAAGUGUUUUUUAAAAUGUUGCCAUAGAAAAAGAUAUUGCGAUUUGGUCCGAAAGGGAAAUUGAGUCCACGAUUCAUCAGACCAUAUGAGAUUACUGAACGAGUUGGACCAAUGGCAUAUCGACUAUAUUUACCAACUAAGUUAGAGAAAAUACAUAAUGUAUUUCAUGUAUCGAUGCGUCGACGAUACCAAUCCGACCUUUUACAGUCAUUUCCCCUACCGAGGUUGAAAUUCAGUCUGAUAUGUCAUAUGCUGAAGUACCGAUUUGAAUUUUAGCUCGUGAGAUCAAAGAGCUAAGAAAUAAGAGAAUAGCAUUACUGAAAGUAUUAUGGCAUCGAAACGGGGUUGAAGAAGCUACAUGGGAACCUGAGGAUGCUAUGAGAAAACAAUACCCGAACCUAUUCACUGGUAAGAUUUUCGAGGACGAAAAUCCCUGAAGGGGAGAGUUGUAACAGCUCGUUUUUAGCUAAAUCAGAACAGUGAUUUCAAAACUACAAAUCCAAUGUCGAAAAUUAUUUUAAUAUUAUUUUCGAUAUUUAAAAGAUAUGUGUGAAAAUUUUGUGAGCUAAUUUUAUCGUUUAAUUGAUCAAUUUGAGAAAAAGGACUAAAUCGUGUAAAAUGAAAAAAGUGUCAUUCUAUUAGCUAAAUGUGUUAAAUAGCUAUAAAACCUUAAAUUUUAAGUCCUUAUGAGGCAAAUAGACCAAUUGUGAGUUAGUGGAUGAUAUUUGGUUUGGCAUUUGUGUAAUUAUGAAUUAUUUGUAAUGGUAAAUUAGUAAAAAGACAAAAAAUGUUUUAAUUCAUAAAACAAAAUCAAAUUUGUGAUUCAUUAUCAUCUUUUUAGCUAAAAUUAAAAGAAGAACAAGAAGAACUAGGGUUUUUCAUUCGGCUAGGAAAAAUUCAAACAAUUAGUUAUGUGUUUUGUCUUGUUUUUAAUGAUUUUUACAUUUUUGAGAUCAUUGUAGCUCAAUCUAGCUAGUCCAUACCUCAAAUUUCGAAAUUGUUAAAGAUUUAACAUGUUUUCAUUGUUGAGUACUUGAGUAAUUUGAUGGUUGAUGGUGGAUUUUGAAUAGUUGUUGAUAGUUAAACUAGUUUUGUAAAGUGAUUUUUGACAAAAAUGUAAAAAAUUAGGUUAAAUUGAGAAAAUGUGAAAAGUAGUGGUUAAAAGUAUGAAUAAAUGAAAAUUAUGGGCUGCUAAGGGUACUAUGGUAAUUCAGAUAGCAUGGGUUAGUCUUGACUUUCAUUAAUUUGUGAUUUUGUGAAAUAAGGACUAAAUUGUGAAAAAUGUGAAAUCUGUGGGGCAAAAGUGUAAAUGUGUUUUAAAGUGUAUUUUGGAUUAAAUUGAAGGAAUAGUUGAUUUAAUAAGUUAAUUUUGAAUAUAAUUAGAUCAAGAAAAGUGAAAUACGGACUUGGAUCGGGGAAAAGAUAAAGUUAUCGACAAAUCGACUCGAUUCGCUGUUUUAGCAUCCGAGGUAAGUUCGUAUGUAUUAAGCAUUGUAAUAAUUAUGCUUUAAUGCUUUGAUAUUGCAUAAAUUGAAUAUACGGGACUACAGAUAUGUUCGACGACAAAUCAGUUAUUGUGGCACUUAGUGUGCGAUAUGACAUAUCUUCGACUAUAUAUAACACUUAGUGUGCUAUUCGACAUAGCUUUGGCUAUAUAUGGCACUUAGUGUGUGAUUUGAGAUAGCUUCGGCUAUGUACGACACUUAGUGUGUGAGAUAUCAUGGCACUUAGUGUACGAGACAUUGAAUAUUCAACGAAAUUCUGUGUAUGGAUUGGUACAGGUAUGUAUAUGUAUGUUAUGAGCUUAAACUCGAAGAAGUUACAAAGUUUGUAUAUAAGCUUAUGAAUAAUCACAAAGUACAUGGUAAUAUGUUUGGAUUGAUGAAUGUUGUAUUUGUGAUUAGUUAAGUUUAUAUUAUACGAGCUUACUAAGCUAUGAAGCUUACUUUGUGUUAUUUUUUUAUGUUUUAUAGUGAAUCAAGGCUAGCUUGGAUCCGACAGUCAUUGGGAAUAUCAUCACACUAUUAAACAUCUAAGUUGGUACUUUUGGACUAUACAUUUUUGGCAUAUGGCAUGUAUAGGCUAGUUGUGGUAUUUUGGUUGUGAUUAUAACCAAGAGAUUUGGCUUUUAAAUUGUAUAUGUUUUGGUUUGUAUAUAUAGCCAUGAGAGAUGGCUUAAUUUGGUAUGUUUGGUAUGAAUGUGGUUAUAGUUUUAUAGUUGUUCAAAUGGUUAAUUGAUUUUUGGAGUAUAAAAUGCUUGAGAAAUUCCUUGAUAAGGUAUGAUUUUAGAUGCUGUGUGGUUAUUUAUAUGGAAGUUAUGUGAGUGUCAAUUAUGAUAAAUGAACUAUAUAGACUGAUAUUGUUUUGGUCAUGUAUUUGGUUAAGUAAAUGGUAGUUAUUUGAGAUUUAGAAUAGAUGAAAUUAUAAUGGCAUGAAUUGUGCAUUUGGCUGAUGAUUUUGUCUGCUUAAUUGUAUGAUGAAAUGGUACCAUUUUGGUUGUUUAGGUGAGCAUGAAUAAGGGUGACAAAUUGGCAUUGCAAAUGACCUAUUUUUGUCGACAUGGGCAGAGACACGGGCAUGUGUCUUAGCUGUGUGUGAUACACAAUCAUGUUACACAGCCGUGUGUCCCCUGGUGUUGAAAUUGAAUUGAAGUCAGUAUGCUCCACACGGUCUUACACAUGGGCAUGUGACUCGCUGUGUGGUACAAGUCAGUAUACUCCCUAAUUGGCACACAGCCUAGCAUACGGGCAUGUGACUUGGCCUGUUGCAUAAGUCAGUAUACCCUAUAGUUUUUGGCACGACCUAGCACACGGCCUGGUACACGAGCGUGUGCGGCCACUUCGAAGGGCACACGAGCUAGACACACGGGCGUGUGGUUGGCCGUGUGACCCAAGUUAGUAUGUAUAACCUGUUUCCACACACCUAAGACACGAGCGUGUCUGGAGCUAUGUGAGGGACACAGCCUGUUCACACGGGCGUGUGACCCCUGUAAGGUUGAAAAUUUUUCUAAGUUUCCAAAAUUUUCAUAUGUUAUCUGUUUAGUCCUGAACCACUUCUGAAGCAUGUUUAAGGCCUCGUAGGCCCUUAUAAGGGACAAUGUGAUUGUGUUGAAUGAUUUAUGUGAAUGAAUGUUUUAUGCUUGAUAAAUGUAUGCUAUAUGUUGUGAAUUGAUUGGUAAUACCUCGUAACCCUACUCCGGCAAUAGAUAUGGGUUAGAGGUGUUACAGAUCCUUAGUGUGAUAACGAAGGCAUCGAAUCUAAGUCUCAAUUUAAGGGUAAGUAAUUGGUGAGAAUUAUUCCAAUGAUUAAUCUUUAAGUAAUAAGACACAUCCAAUAGAUUUAUAAUUAAAAUACGUGUUUGACGGGGUAGAUUCAUCUACCGAGUUUAGAUCCAAGCGAAACCUCUUCUAAUAGGAUUGUGGCAUUAAACCGCUUUUCAUCCCCAGACUGAUGGUCAAUCCAAGCGCAUAAUUCAGAUACUCGAGGAUAUGUUGAGAUGUUGCAUCCUUGAGUUUAGUGGUUCAUGGGAACGGUAUUUACCUUUGAUUGAAUUCGCUUACAACAAUAGUUUUCAAUCAAGCAUUAAGAUGGCACCUUACGAGGCUUUGUAUGGUCGUAAAUGCCGUACACCGUUGUUUUGGACCGAGCUUAGUGAAAGUAAAAUCUUUGGGGUUGAAUUGAUUAAAGAUUCUUAGCUGAAAGUAAAAGUAAUCCGUGAAAGUCUGAAAGCAACUUUAGAUCGUCAGAAGUCGUAUGCGGAUUUAAAGUGAAAAGACAUUGAAUAUCAGGUCGGAGACAAAGUGUUUCUUAAAGUUUCACCUUGGAAAAAGGUGCUCAGAUUUGGCCGUAAAGGCAAAUUGAGUCCGAGAUUCAUCGGGCCAUAUGAGAUAUCCGAACGAAUUGGGCCAAUCGCAUAUAGAUUGAUUCUACCCCCUGAACUUGAAAAGAUUCACAAUGUUUUUCAUGUCUCGAUGCUUUGACAUUAUAGAUCCGAUCCAUCGCACAUAAUUAAUCUAUCAGAGGUUGAAAUUCAAUCUGAUUUGAGUUAUGAAGAAGAAUCGAUUCGUAUCCUAGCUCGCGAGGUGAAAGAGUUGCAAAACAAAAAGGUUCCGUUAGUAAAAGUGUUAUGGCUCAAACACGGGAUUGAAGAAGCUACUUGGGAAACUGAGAACUCUAUGAAAGAACGAUACCCAAAUCUAUUCACUGGUAAGAUUUUUCGGGGACGAAAAUUCCUUAAGUGGGGGAGAGUUGUGACAGCCCUAUUUUUUACCCUAGUCGAAAAAUGGUUUCGGGACCACAAAACCGAGUCACAAAAAUAAUUAACCGUUAUAUCUUAUGCUUAUUUUAUGUGAACCUGCAUGUGUGAAAGUUUCUUGCUUUAAUUUUUGUCAAUUGUAUGUAAAAUUUAUUAAAUAGGACUUAUGUGAGACAAUUGUGAAAUGUGACAGGUAAUUUUAAAUAUGGUCUACUAAUGCAUGUUAAAAAAAAUGGACUUGCAUGUCAAAUUAUCCAUUUUUCUUUAGUGGCCGGCCAUGUAGUUGAUUCAUAUAUAUAUUAUAUGUAUAUUAUAUUAACAUUAAUUUAAACUAAAUGAAUUAAAGAAUAAAAAUAAAAGAAUAAUGGCUUAGUGGGGAGGAGAAACCAAAGUUGGUUCAUCCUUUGAUUUCUUUGGCCGAAAAUUUCAAGAAGAGAAGGGGGAAAACAAACAUUCGGCUACCCCUUCCUAGCCUUGAUUAAGGUAUGUUUGAAGUGUUUUGAUAGAAAUUUCUUGUGUGUUUUAGGAUAGUUUCUUAAUUCCUCCAUAACCCAUGUGCAAAUUUUCAUUUUGGUAGCUAUAGGAGCAAUCGGUCAUGAGAGGAUUUUUCAUUUAGAAAUGUUAUGUUGAUGUUUUGUUGUGAAUCAAUAAAAGUACUCUAUUUGGUUGAGAUUAUAAAAGUAUGUUAAGUUUUUGAAUUUUUAAUUGUAAAGAUUAAGUGUUUGUGUUAUAGCCGAAUAUACAUUGAAAAUUUUAAUCGAGAAACUCUUAUGAUAUAAGCUUGUAAAAUUGAAGUUAUAAAUUGUGUUUUGUAGUUUAAAUGGUUAAAGACUAUUCGGUUAUAGCCUUAAUUUUUCAUGAAGAAAUCAAGUUAAAUGUAUUUGUGUCUAUGCUAUGGCCGAAUGUACUAUGGCUGAUUGUCGACUAUGAUAAAAUUUAGUAAGGUAUGUGCUUUAAAUGUGUUAUGAACUAUUAUAGGUUAAGUUAGGUUGAAGCUUGGUGAAAUUGAACUUGAAAAAUGAUUUCAGCACAAUGUGGUAUUGAUAUUAUGUAUAAGUAAAUUUAUAGAUAUAUAUAUGAUGAAAUUAAUUGGUGAGAUACAUGCUUAAAUAAUAUGUAUGCAAAGAAUGUGUGAAAGAGUGAAUUGGUAAUAAUCUACUUGGGACAGCAGCAGUAAGGUGAUUUUCGAAAAUCACCAUAAAUUGUAGGAAUUGAAUUAGAAGCUGAAUAAAUUAUGUAAUUAAAGCUUGAUGAGUAUAGUUUUCUAUAAUAGAAAUUGUAAAAGUAAAAGAAUUAGCGAUCAUGAAAUAUUUGAAGUAAUGUGGGACAGAGUCAAAAUGACUUCUAGAUCCCCUGUUCUAUUUUUAUAAAAUCAUUAUAAAAUGUAUAAAAUGUUCAUAGAAUAAAUUUUAUAUGCUUAGACUACUUAGUGAGUCUAGUUUCAAAUGAAAUAAAUGAAAACAUAUUUUGAUUUCUGUACAAUGAUAAAUUUAUUUCGUAGUGAAGAAUGGUUAGAUUUGUCAAACAGUGGAACAAGGGAAACUUUAGGAAAAAUAUGGUAUUAAUUGGCUAGACUAAAAAUUAUAAAAAUUUUAUGGAUAAAAUAUAAAUGAGUCUAUUUUCAAGGAAAAUUUACGGUAAUUAAUUUGGAGUUUUGUAGCUCCAGUUAUAAGUAAUUUAAUGACUGUUGCUCAGGAAUUCAGCUUAUAGUGAAAUUGUGAUUAUAUAGUAAACAUUGAUAAAAGAAAAAUUUUGCUAAUGAAUUGCUUAUUGAUUUCUUAUAAGCUUACUAUAAUCUGUAUGUGUGAAAGUCGAAUAUAUAUGUAUUAUAUUCUGAAAGUAAUACUUGAAUAAUUGAUUAAUGAUUAGUUUAAAAUUUAUUGAAUUAAAGCUCAAGAGCAUAGAGGGGCAACCUCGGAUAAGGGAAAAGCUAAAGUCGCGGAAUAGCCAACCCGAAAUUUGUUCAGAAAGAUACAAGGUAAGUUUUGAGUAAUCGCCUUUAAUAUAAAAUUUAUAAUGCCUUGACAUAUAUAUACUACAUGAAUUUUGAUCUUUUUGGUUCUAUUUGAAUUAAGUUGAAUGGUAAAUUAGGGUUAAGCUUGAUUGAUGAAAGGUACGUGUGAUAUUCAUGCAUGAUUUUAAGCUGAAAUGAAAUAAUGGUGUUCAUAAGAAGCUCAUGUCCGAAUGUAGCCAAUGUCUACUAAUAAUGUGAAAUGUUCUAUAAAAUGUGUUAGAAUACGAUAAAAAAAACAUGUUAUUUGAUGUGGAAUUGUAUCCGGGCUUAAAGACCUGCAGGCUUCAUGCUGGAAUUGUAUCCGGGCUUAAAGACCCGCAGGCUUCGUGCUGGAAUGACAUCUGGGUUAAAAACCUGCAGGCUAUGCUAAAUAUGUGUUUCGAGUCCUAAGACUUGAUAAGACCGGUGUCAGUAAGUUAAGUAUGAUUACGACAUUGAAUAUCCGUGCGAGUAAGUAUUAUAUAUGUUAUACCUGCUAAGGUACGUAUUACGUACUCAUAAGUGAAUUGACUUCAAAACGAAUUAUUAGUAUCAAAGAAUGGUAUAUAUAUGUGAGUGUGUGUAUAUGUAUGUGAAUGAAUACCGUAUUUAUGAAUAAGAGAAUGACUUAUUUGGUCAAUGUAUGUCAUUGUAAAAGCAUGUGUCUUAAAGAAAUUUUAUGAACCAUAUAGUAUAGUGAAAUAUGUACUGAGAAUUUUCUUGUGUAUUCAUGUAUAUAUAUAUAUUCGGCCAAUAGGUUAUAAUUAAUGUACUUGUGAGUUUUUGGCCAAGAAAUUUACAAAUUAAAUUUGGGUUCUUGUGAUACUUAAUGUUAGAUUUUAAAUGAUACGUUUUAAUUGUUUGAAACACUUAAAACUUACUAAGCCUCGAAAGCUUACUCCGUUUUAUUUUAUUUCUUUGUUUUAUAGAUUGUCAAUUUUGGCCACUGACUCGGGGAUCAUCAGCAGUUCAUCAUACUAUCGAUCUUUUUGGUACAGUUAUAUUUUGGCCUUGGUAUGGCAUGUAUAGGUUAGGCCGGUGACGGUUAUGUUUUGUAUUGUAAAUAUUUUAGCCAUAUGAAAAUGGCAUUUAUAUAACUUAAAGAUCAGUAUGUACUCAGCUUAAUUUUUGUCUUUGUUGAUUGAUUAUAUGGACAAAAAAAAAUUUUAAUUGUUUGGCGCGGUAGUACCUCAUAGCCUAAACCGUUGAUCGGACUCGGGCUAGGGGUGUUACAAGUAAUUUCAUACAAAUUGCUUCUAGAAUCCAAGUUUUACAAUUUAUUCAAUUUAGUCCCUAAUUUCCAAUUGGACAUCUUAUACUUAGAAUUUCUUCAUGAAACUUUAACACAUGUAUAUACUCAUAUUCUAGGACUCAUAAUAAUCAUAAAAUAAAUAUUUUAAUGUCGGAUUUGUGGUCCCGAAACCACUAUUCCGACUAGGCCCUAUUUCGGGAUGUUACACCCCCAUUACUUGUGCAUUACAGAUAAUCCUUGUGGCUAGGACUCAGAUUCGAUCAUUGGAGAAGCUCUCGAAAAAACGGUUUUAUUUUUGUGGAUUUUAAGAUAAUUUGGGACUUUUAUGGACUUUAUGAUUUUAUUUUGGAUUUUAUUCUGUGGUAAUUAUUUAACUGUGGCAUAGAAUAUCUCGCUUUAAAACUGUGGACAUUGGAUAUUUUGUAUGAGUUUUGAUAUGAAUUAAACGUUUUAAUGGUUUGUUAAUAAAAUCUAUUUUCUGUAAACUCAAUUGACCGAACUUGAAUUUUUGGUGAUGAUCACAGCGUUUUACAUAUAAUAAAUAAGACUUGUUUCAAAGUAAUGUUUUAAAACAUCAUAUUUAAAAGGAAAUAUUAACACUUGUUUUCAAAGAUUAGAUCCAUUUAUUUCAACUCAAGUCCUUUCCAUUUCUAUGGCACAUGUAAUAGCUUAGAUUGGGUCGUAGCAUCUAAGCCCAGUUUCAGAAGUUACAUUUAGUGGUACAGGCUGCACAAGUGAAAUCCGUAUAGAAGUUUACUUCCUCUAUGUGACGUUGAUUAGAAUAAGGUGUUUUAACCUUACUACGUUACUUCUAUUUGACUUUGACUAGAAUAAGAUUUUAAACCUAUAAAUAGACGAAACUGUUUCUCCACUUGUAUCAUUCAAAUUCAACAUAGUGAAUUUUCUUCUUCUCUACCCAUGGUUUUUUCCUUAAAGGGUUUCCACAUAAAAUUCUAUGUGUUCUAUUUUUAUUUCUUUUCUUUUCAAUACAUUACCAUUAUCGACGUUCAGUUUCUCUCAAUUUAGAUUUCAUACUUGUCACUUUCCAAGCUAAAGCAUAAGGCCCUUGACUUUAAAAAUUAUUCCAGUAGCCGUCAACACUAUAUGUAACACCCCUAACCCAUAUCCGUCAUCGGAACAGGGUUUCAGAGCAUUACCAAAACAUUUAGAAACAUUUACAAAUAACUUAUGUAAAUUACUAUUCAUUUAUAGAGAUCUUCAUAACGUCCCUUGAUUGGGCCCCCAAGGCCCAAUACAAGAAUUAUAAUCGAGUUGGGACUUAAUCGACAACUUUAAGAAUUUUUUGUGACUUUUCCAAAAUUUUCCAAGGUGCAGGGUUCACGUGCCCCUAUGGUCCAAGGGACACGCCUGUAUUAGAGGCCGUGUUUGACCCUGUGUAACUCUCUGACUUACACACACGGCCAUGCCACACGCCUGUGUGCUAGGCCGUGUGGUUAAAUAAUUCAAUUCAAAAUUAGGUGCAUGUUUCACACGGCCAAGACACACGCCCGUGCUCUAGGCCGUGUGGCACAGACGGUUGAGACACACGCCCGUGUGCUCAAUUCUAAGCAUUCUCUUUCUCAAAACUAAGGUGCAGGGGACACACGGCCUAACCACAUGCCCAUGUUACCAGGCCGUGUGUCACACACAGUCUAGACACAGGCCUGUGUGUCUGUCCGUAUGGACAAAAUGAAGCCAUUUCUAGCUUAAUUUCUCACCUAAAAUUUCACCCAAGACCUGCACUUGAAACACACAUCCAAUACCAACCAAUCUAAGCGUUCAACUUAAGCAAAUUUCAUCAUUUACAAGGCAUAUCACUACAAGCAUACAUGAUCAACCUUACCUUAGUUUAACUUAGGCAUUCAUAACAUUGAUCACAUAUUCUUAAUAUAACACAUGUAUAUAUAUGUAUCAUGAUAAUCUACUUAGUAAUACCAAAAUGAACCAUUACUAGCCAUUCCAAUGGCUAGGUUACAAAACAUCAUUAUCAAGCUACUAUUGGUCAAUUUGUCCUAUACAUGCCAUUAUACCAAAAUAAUUUUACUAAGUAUGCCCAAGAUGACUAGUUGAUAGUGUGACGAUGCUCCAGUGAUCUCCAACCCUCGUGAGCUUCCGAGCACUAUAAAACUGGGGAAAAAUAAAUGGAGUAAGCAUUACAUGCUUAGUAAGUUCGUAUAACAAAAACUAAACUUACCAAUCCCGUUUUUUAAAUCUAAGCAUACAAUAACAAGUUUUCCAUCGAUUUGGCUAAAUUGCCUAAACACAUGCAUCCAAUCAAACAUGUUAGUCACAAAGUUUACAUAUACAUCAAGUAAGAAUAGAUGAGCUCAUCAUGCAAUACGCUUUCAAGACAUUAUCAUUUCAUCUCAUAAUUUUCACGCCAUGUCUAGAGUUAUAUGUCCGUUGAAUCAUUGAAUUCCGAUGGAUGCUUAAGUAGUACACUCGAAGUGUACGAUUCAAUAAUUUGUCAAUUUCUUAUUCAAGGGUACCCAUUAGGGCACUUAACCAAGAAACACUCUCUCGAGCCACAUAUCAUAUAACAGGAUUACCAGUUCAGGCUAAAUCCUUAAUAUAACAUAAGCUCAGAGGAGCUUGAUUAGGAUUACCAAUCCAGGCUAAACCCUAAUCAUAACGUAUGCUCGAGAUGUAUUAUAUUACCCGUCUGGGAUAAAUACUUUCUAUAACACGGUCAAUGGGAUUACUCGUCUGAGCUAAAUCCCGUCCACAACAAAUACAGGACCUUAUUAGUUUCGAGAAAGCGCAUAUAAUCAUCGGAAUUCAAUAUUCAAUCGGGACUUACCCCUUUAUCAUCAUUUCAAGCAUGUGUAAAAACAUUCAUUAUAACAAUCAAAUAAAUCAUAUCAAUAUAAAUCACAUUACAUACAAACACAACAUUCAAUCUAACAUAUUUACAUGCUCAAUUAGGUUACACGAACUUACCUCAACACUUGUUCGCAUAAAAAGUCUACUAAUUUGAAACCUUUUAUUUUCCUCGAUCUAACCUCGAAUUAGUGUUGUCCGAAUCUAUAUAAAUGAAUUUAACCAUCAAUUUCACACAUUUCAUAUUUAAAUGGACUCAAUUUAAGUCCUAGGAAAAAUUAGCAUUUUGCCCCUAACUUUUCAAUAAAUUUCGAUUUUGUCCCUAGGCUCGGAAAAUGAAACUUGUGCAAAUUACUCCCUAUUCCAAGCCUAACCAAAGCCCCAUUACAAAUUUUACAGAACAUGUAUUCAUAAAAUUUUAGAAUUUUUCAUCAAAUUUUACAACUUUUCAAUUUAGUCCCUAAAUCAUGUUUUCAUCAAAAAUCAAUUUGUAAAAGUUGUUUAUCUAUCAAUAAUCUUUCAUUUUCUACCAUAAAUUUCUAAUUUCCAACAUAUACAUCCAUGACCCAUUUUUCAUACCUUGAUAUAUUUUCAAAUUAAUGCCUCAAAUAGAUAGAUUAGACUAUCUCGGUUUCAAAAAUAUCAAAAAUAUUAAAAAUGAGACAAGGAAACUUACCCAAUUAGGCCUUGAAAGUUUUUUUUUCACUCACCUAGGGUUUUCAUGUGUUUUAGGUUGAAGAUGAUGAAAAAUAAAUGAUAUAUUUUCUUUUAAUCUUUAAUUAAUUAAGUAUUUUGAUAUUUCCCAUUUAGUCCUUGCCCUUUUUUUAUAUUUCCAUGGAUGAGUCACCAAGAAAAAUAUACAUACUUUUCUUAAUGGUCUAAUUACCAUAUAAGGACCUCUAGUUUUGAAUUCCUUAGCUAUUUGAUCCUUAUAGCUACUAGAAUUUAACUUUCAAAUUUUAUGCAAUUUAGUCCUUCUCGUAAUUAAACACUUAAUUGAUAAAACUUUUGUAUCAACAUUUUUACACGACAUGCCUAUUAUAAUACGGGCCAUAUAAUGGAAUAAAAAUAAACCUUAUUUUUGGGUCGGAUUUGUGGUCCCGACACCCCUAUUUCGAUUUCACUGAAAAAUGGGUUGUUACACUAUAUCCCCCAAUUUUGAUUUUCUUAAUUUACAAGACUCUAAGUAAGAGGUGGAUGUAGAAGGUUCAUGCAUGGUUGUUGAAGAGAUUAAAGAAAGUUUCAAUGUCUUGUUUCAUGGUUGCUUCAUGGUAGAGGUGGGCUAUACCUUUUUUUUUCUUCUCUUUUGAUAAUUGGUAGGUUUAAAGAUUGUAUAAGAAAUGAGUUCAAAAUUAGUGUGAUUUAAACAGAAGUAUUUUAUUAUUUCAUUAAUGAUUCGAUGUAUUAUAUUUAAGACGUGUAAGCUGUGCAAAUAAACGUUCAUACUAUCUUUUUCUCCAUCCUGCUCUUCUUGGAGCGAAUUUGAUUAGAGGCUUAGAUAUCUAUGAAAUAGUCUCGGUCUGCCUUUAGUACAAAUUUCUUCAAUUUAUUGUUAUAAAAGAAGGGAAUAAUGCAAAAUAGGCAAGAAAGAAUAUGAGAUUUAAGCCUACAACUUUGUUCACAUAGUUUGAUUAAAUAAAUCUUAAUUUAAUAAAGUUGUCUUCAAAUUGUUACCACCACUCUUCCUAAAACCUCACUUUGCAAUCAAGAAUAACUCUCUAAUAAAUAUUUAAGCAAUGAGUACUUGAAUACACAAUAAUCAACUCUCAAAAUAUCAGGUAAAACAUUCCCAAAAAGAACACCUAGUUGUGCACAUAUGGCAACGAUAGAUAAGCUUCAAAUAACAUUAUCCAAAUUAGGGCUUAAUAUAUUAAAAAAAGCCCCUAUAAAAUAAUUCAAUAAUCAAUUGAGCCCUCAACCAAAAACAACACACAAUUGAGCUCUUAAUCAAAUAUAAGUAAUCAAUUAAGCUCUUAAAAAGCCAAUUUCGUGUAAGCCACUUACGUAUGUUAACUUUUCCAUGUAGGACACUAGGGUUGUGUCACAGGGCAAAAUCUGGUAAUUUCCCUUAAAAUUGUUCAAGAAACAUGAAAAAUUAUAAAAUUAUGAAAAAAAUAGAACUUUGAAAAAUUUUAGAAACUAUAAAUUUAAAAAAAAAUUAAAAUUUUAAAUUUUUUAUAAAAAUUAUUAAAAAUAAUAAAAAUGCAAAAAAUAGAAUUUUCAAAAAAAGAAAAAAAUCAAAAAAAUUAAAAAUUUACAAAUUAUAACAAAUUAUAUUUUUUAUGGAUCCAACUUUGAGAUUGAUCAACUUGUUAAUCAUCAAUAUAAGUGUCGACGACUUUGUCUUUUCCCUUCUUUUUCAAGGAAUCUCGUCGACGUUCGCUAAGGAUUAAAAAACUAUAAUACAAUUUCGCAUUCAUUUACUAAAUUAUGCAACUUUGUUAUUUUAUUCAAUUUAGUCCCUAAAAUCGAAACUAACAUAACUUUCACAUUUAGCCCUCUAAUUUAAUGUUGAAUUCGAUAAAGUCCCUAUCGGACUUCUUAUUUCUCAAUUACACCCCAAAAUUCUCAAUUUGUGCAUUUUAGUCCCUAUAGCACAAAAUCAUCAAUGGCUUUACAAUUUAGUCCUUUAUCUAUACCAAGCUUAAUAUCUAUCAAAAUCUCACCAAAAGCUUCAACUACACAAUCCUUAACAAUACUAAAAUUUAUGACAUGAGUUAGCUAGCUUGAACUAUUGGGAUUUUGAAAACGUAAAAAUUACAAGAAAAUGACUAAAUUGAACUAACCAAGUUAGGGCUUGAAACUUUUGAACCCUUGUCGUUUUGUCUUCUUCCUCUCUUCUUUUGGUUUUGAAAUGUUGAAGAAUGAAAAGAGAAUAAAUGUUUCUCUUGCAAUAACAUGUCAUCUUUUUAAUUUAAUUAACUUUUAAUUUAAUUUUAUUAAUUUUUUAUAACAAUUUUUAAUCUAUUAUACCUUAUUGUUUUCCACUAUUAAUAGACCAUUGGUCUAAUUGUUUCAAAAGUCCCUUAGUCAUGAUCAACCUUAUAAGUUAAUAAUAAUUGAACUUUUGACACUUUUAUGAUUUAGUCCCUAUACCAUAAUUAAGCAAUAAUUUAAAAUUUUUACCUCAUCGAAAUUCAAUUCACUUCUAAUAUUAAAUUUAUGGAAUCGGGGUUUCAAAACCACAUUUUCUAAAACCACUAACUCUCGGGUCAUUACAAGUACUACUUUGGAUGAAGUUCAUAGAUAUCAGGGCAUUCGGGGUCUUCUUCACCCAAAUUUUGCUUAUGAGUUUAGACUGCCACCAAGGUUCCACUUGACUGAUAAAUCCUUAGGUUUCAUUAUUCCUUUAGUUUUGUUGGAGGUUGGCUUUCAUCUACCAUUACAUCCAUUCUUUUUGCUUUUGUACUAAAUGAGUAUAGUAUUGCACUAGGACAACUAUCAACCUGUCCUAGUGGACUAUGGUAGCCUACUUCAUUGAUUGUUGUAUUGAUGGAAGUAAAAAGAACAUAGGUUUUCCCCUUACUUAUUGGUUAAAUUGUUCCCAUUUAGUAAUCCUUAGCAUACAUUUUACCAUUUUCAAUUUAGUAAAUUGCAUUUUAUAACUUAAUGAAUCUUAGCCUAUUUUAUCCUUAAUUUUACUAUCUUUUUGCAUUAAUGUUGCUGCAUGAGUGAAUUCCAAAUUGCGUCCAGAAUUAUCACCGCACCUGAUAGCUAUUCGGAUAAGGACUAAAAUUGCAUGAGUUGUCUAGUCUGGUAUAACCAACCUGUACGAACAAGGAUAGAAUAAUUUUGAGGAAAGGACGCCUGUACAAUUGAAGGAAGACAUAAAGGAUGGACAUGAGAAGACAAGAAAAACUUCUUUUUUUUUUCUGGAUCAUCAUCUUUAUCAUCCUACCUUAAAGCUUCUGGCCAUGGUAGCUUAAGCCUUUCAUGGGUGAGCCAACGUGAAAACCAGAUGUAGACUAGCUUCUGACAAGAAGACCUAAGUUCGAGACAAGAGGGAAAUAAAAGAUUAAGUCAAGUUGUCUAGGAAUAGUAUUCUCCACUUGGUUCUUUCUUAUUUCUUUCUAAAUGUUGGCGAUUAUUAUCUAUUUUAUGUUUGUAUGGAAGUACACAUGAAUUCUUGAUUAAAUGUUAUCUUAUUCAAUCUUGCUUUUAUUGUUUAAUCUUGGGGUUUGAAUUUUUUUUAACAUGGAAGUGUUAUUACUGUCACUAACACUAGAAAGUGAAGUGAUAGUUUGAGCCACAAGCAUUACAACUGAAGUUGAGUGAGGAUUAGAGGAAUUUAGUCCACUUGUUCUUAAUAGUGCUGUAUUGCCAUCAUCGGAAGGUGAGGUUAGUAUGUAUGUUGUAGUCUCGAAUUAAAUAGAAGAGUGACGCUGGGUAGGAUAUACAUUGAAAUUUAUUACUUCGACAGUCAUCUAUCUUUUUAUACCUUGUGAGCACUUAGUAUUCUGCUGAAGAUUCAUGUUGGGGAUCCCAGUUUAGCAUUAUCAUAUUUCAUUUUAUUGUUUUCAAGUUAUUGCAUCAACUAUUGUUACAAUUUAUCUUGUUUCCAUCUAGUUCUUGCAUUGACAUUAAUAGACAAAAGUCUACCAUCCCUUUGGGAUUGAUAUCCGACAAACUCACAUCUAUCUUCUAUACUUGUAUCGACAGUGUACACUUGCACAUUAUUGCUGUGACGUUAAACAGUCGAUCAAGUUUUUGGCGCCAUUGUAGGGGAUGGCGUUUGUUUGAUAUUUGUUUUUGUUUUUGUGUGUUUUUGCACUUUAUUUUUUCUAAUAUAAUAUUUAGUAUUCACUAACUUUUUUCUUUGUUGCUAUUUCUUUAACUUCAUUUUAGGUGUUUUAUGACCAGAAUAAAUUUGGAUUUUCUUGUCGCUUUUGAUCUAGAAAUUGAAUGGAUUGUUCGGAGUAGACUUUGAGAACAAAGAAAUAUGGCUCUACCAAGAAGCAAUGUAGCCAUACCCAUGAUGUAAUAGUAAAAUAUUAAUAACCCAUUGUUGCUGCAAGAUGCUCGCAUACAAAAUAGGACUAUAUGAGAUUUUGUAGCACCUAUCAUGGAUGAUUUACAAACAAGAGUUGUUAGGCCAGUAAUCCAAGCUGAGAAUUUUGAACUCAAGCCAGUAAUGUUUCAAAUGUCAAAUUCUAAUAGAAAAUAUGCUGGACUACCACAUGAAGAUGCAAGAGAACAUCUUAAAUCCUUUUUAUUGAUCUGUGCUUCCUUUACUCAACAAGGCGUUCCUGAUGAUACCUUAAAGAUGCAAUAUUUUGUUAUUUCCUACAAGGAAGAGCCCGUACUUGGUUUUUAUUGGACUACCUACCGAAUCAAUUACUUCUUGGGAUGCACUAGCAACACAAUUUAUUUUGUGAUUUAACUUGUCGACAAUGAAUGCUCGUCUUCAAAAUGAUAUUACUACUUAUCAUCAGCUGGAUGAUGAAAGUCUUCACACCACAUGGAAACAUUAUAAAUCUUUACUUCGACUAUGUCCCAUGCACAGCAUUCAACCAGAAACACAAAUUGAGAUUUUUUAUAAUGGGCUGAAUUCAUAUACAAGGAAUCUUGUCAACGCAUCAGCCAAUGGACCUCUGCUAGAUUGUACUUAUAAUGAUGCUGUAAGAAUUAUUGAGAGAAUUACUCAGAAUGAUUAAUAAUACCCUAUCUCCGGAGCUACACAAACAAAAACUAUUCCAGGAGUUAUUGAAUUGGAUGCAAUAACUGCACUAAGUGCUCAAGUUUCUUCUCUCACAAACAUAUUAAAAAUAUGCAAGGGACUAGUGGAGGUGCAGCUAUACAAGUCGCUCAGCAAGUUGAUGUUCCUACUUUUUGUUGUGAGAUUUGCAGUGACAACCAUAGCUAUGAAGAUUGUCCACAACAUGUAGAGAAUGCAUGUUAUAUUAGUAACAUCCGCAACAAUUCUUAUGGUAAUUCUUUCAACAACUCUACACGCAACCAACCAUUUUGGGAACUCAGAAUGCUGGACAAAAUGUUGCGACAUUUAGAUAUGGGAAUACAUCUACUCAGGGCAAUUAUAAUCCCAUGUAACACCCCUAACUUGUAUCCUUCGCCGAAAUAGGGUUACGAGGCAUUACUAAUCAAAGCACAAUAUAUAAUAUACAUUUCUCAUACAUGAUUCAAUUUUAUAUAAAUAUUAAACUAACAUAAUCAUAUUGUCCCUUAUAAGGCUUUACAAGACCUUAAAACAAGCUUGAACGAGGUUUGGGACUAAACCGAUAACAUUUGACAACUUUGGGAGACUUAUAAAAUUUUCAUGCAUACAGAGAUCACACGCCCGUGUGACAGGCCGUGUGCCUCACACGGCCACUAGACACGCUCGUGUUACAGGCCGUGUGAAAAGAGGGCAUACAUUCUGACUUGCACCACACUAUCGGAGACACGCCCGUGUGCCAUGACCAUAGGAAAUUUGAAGUGUAUACUGACUUAGGUCACACGGUCGGCCACAUGCCCAUGUGCCAGCCUGUGCGUCUCGCACGACCAAUAGACACAUCCAUAUGUCUAGGUCGUGCCAAACCUAUAGGGUAUACUGACUUAAUUUGGAGGGCUACCCCAGGGGACACAUGGCCGUGUACCAAGGCCAUGUAUCACACACGGUCAAGCCACACACCCGUGUGCUCGGCCGUGUGGAGUGAAAAUAAGCUUGAUUGAAACUACAUUUCUCACCCUUUCUCAAGCAUACCUAAGCCACAACAUUUGUAAAAUUCAAUACAUUAAUAGGCAACCAAAACAUGCUAUUUCAUACACAUUUCAUGCCAUUUAUAAACCAUCCUCUUAACUACUCAAAUCCAUAGCCAAAACAUACCAAAUUAAUAUGCCAAAAUCAUCAAACUUACAUAACUUCUAAAUGCAUUUACUCAUCAUCUUAUCAUGUAUUUCAUGCUUCAAAACAUACCAUUUCAUUAUCUCAAAAUCAAACCAUAACAUAUCAUCUUUCAAGCAUUAGCUCAUCAAAUGACAACUAGCUACUUGAGCAACCAUAUAACCAUACCAAGCAUACCAAAACAUAAGGCAACUUAUACAUCAUGUAUUACUUACCAAACUCCUAAUUCAAACCAACUUAAAUGGCCAUACACACCAACAUUUACAUCAUAUCACAAGCCAACACACAUGGCUAAUAACAUAUUUCAAAACUUAGCAUCAACUCACUAACUUAUACAUGCCAUAUACCAUAUUUACAAAGCAUUCAAAAAUACCAACAAGUAGUCGAUACUGUGACGAUGUUCACGAUGAUUCUCAAGUUCGAGCUAGCUUCGAUUAUCUAGAAAAUAAGGAAAGAACACACAAAGUAAGCUUUAAAAGCUUAGUAAGCCAUAUACAAAUAACAUUACCACAUGAAUCAAUAUCAUUUCCAUCAAUAGGCAACUAUAAGUAAACACAUAUAAGUUCACAAACAUUUCUCAUUUUACACAUAUUCAAUAUCAUAAUUGAAUUCAUCAAAUACUUCUCUUUUCAAUACUCGUAUGAAUCUCGUACGUACUUGGGUCACUUAACUCAUUCACACAUUCUUUCCCAACUUGACUUUUCCUGUUGAACAAUUCGAAAUCGUUAAGAAUACUCAGAAAUAACACAAAACUCAUACAAUGCCAUAUCCCAGAUAUGGUCUUACAUGUUAUCACAUAUCGACACCACUGUCCCAGACAGUGUAACACCCCUAGCCAGAGUCCGAUCACCGGUUUAGGCUAUAAGGUAUUACCCAGCUAAACAUUUAAUUUUUCAUUCACAAAAUUUAGCAAUAAAAGCAGAAAUUGAGCUGAACAUAUACCGAACCUUGAGUUAUAUUUUUGUCAUUUCAUAUGGCCGAAAUAUUUACAAUUACAAAACAUAUUUUGUCAACAGCCUAACCUAUACAUGCCAUAUCGAGUCCAAAAUAUAACUGUACCAAAAAGAUUGAUAGUAUGAAGAACUGCUGACGAUCCCCGAGACGGUGGCCAAAAAUCAACAAUCUAUAAAACAGAGAAAUAAAAAACAAAGUAAGCUUUCGAGGCUUAGUAAGUUUUAAGCAGUUCGUACUAUUAAAACUUGUCAUUUACAAUUGAACAUUGAGUAUCACAAAACUCGUAUUCUAAUUGUAAUUCACUUGGCCAAAUAUACACCAGUACAGUAGUUAUAAAACCUAUUGGCCGAUUAUGUAUGUAUGUAUACACAAGAAAACUUCUAGCACAUAUUUCACUAUCUACAUAGCUUAUACUAUACUUUUAGUCACAUACUUUCAUAUGAUGACUUACAUUGACCAAUUAUAUCCUUGUCUUAUCCUCAAACACCGAAUUCAUUCACACACAUAUAUAUAUCGUUCUUUGAUACUACUAAAUCACUUAGAAAUCAAUUCAAAUAUGAGCACAUAACACGAACCUUAACAUGUAAAAUAUAUAAUACUUACACAACGAUGUUUACCAUGGACAUUCGAAGUCGCAAUUUUACUUAACUUACUAGCAUCAGUUCUGUCAAGUCUUAGAGCUCAGAAUACAUUACUAGCGUAAGCCUACGGGUCUUUAACCCGGAUAUUUUUCCAGCACGUAGCUUGCGGACCUCAAGUCCGGAUAUAUUUCCAGCAUAUAGCCUGCGAACCUCAUGUCCGGAUAUAUUUCCAGCAUAUAGCCUGCGGACCUCAUGUCCAGAUAUAUUUCCAAUAUCAUAUAUAUUUGGUCAUAUUUUAACACAUCUCAGUCAUCUUAUCACUUAAUAGUCAUAUAUUACAUUCGAAUAUAAACUCAAUAUGCACAUCAUCAUUCACAUUUCAGCUCAGGAGUUAUAUCUCAUAUCACUCAUUCUUUUCACCAUUUAAUCUUAAACUCAAAGUGACCAUCAGAUUAUAAGUCAUAUACAUGCAUUAUCUAAUAUACAACUUUAUUCAAGUGCAAGCCAAAGAUAGCAAUUCACCUACUAUACUCUUAUAAAGGCAUCAUCAAUUAUAUACUAAAGGAAACUACUUAAAACUUACCUCAGAUGUUGUCGAUCGAUUUCAACGGCUAUUCGGUUACUUUCUCCUUUCCCCUAUCUGACUUUGGUCCUUUAAGCUCUUGAGCUAAAUCAAAUAAAUUUAUUCUCAAUCAAACACACACAAACGACAACCAUAUACAUUUCAAACACCAAUUUAUUUGUAUCAUUUGUCCACUUUAAGUCUAUCACCAUUUCAUUUUCAAAUUUAUGCACUUUGUAAGUUACAUUCAAACACAUUCAGCACUAUGCAUCUUUUCAAAUUUUUCUUUUAACAUUAGCUCAACUUAUAACCUUCUUCUAAUUAAAAACAUUCAACAACCAACUAGUCAUGGUUACCAUAAUCACAAUUUAACUAUAUAUAAUAUAUAUAACCGAAUGUCUCUAUGCCACAAGGUACUUACAUAAGGCAUAUAUAUAUAUACCUAUAUGUGAUUAACACAAUUUAAUCGAUUACUCAUUUUAUGCACAACCGCGUAAACACACAUAUAUAUUUAUAGCAUGCCUUAAUAUAUUAUAUGCCACAUUCGACCCUAAACACUCAAACUUAGCUUUCAUAUACAAUUUCAUUUCAUGAUCAAUUGCAGCAAAUUACACAUAGGUUUCAGUCUUGCCGAACAAUGACCUAAUAUGCAUAUCAAAUAAAUAGCUUACUUAACACAUAACUCACAUAACCAAAGUACAUGUAACCCUAAUGUCCAAAUACAAAUAUCACCCAAAAUUCCUAUGACUUAACCUUUAACUCCUUUUUAGCCGAAUAUCCAUUAAACAUCUAGUUCACAUACACAAAUACAAUCUCAUAAGGCUUAUCAUAUUUUCAUGUACAUAUCAAAUCUAUAUAUAUAUAGCCGAAUAUAUAUAUACAUAUAUAUAUUUAUAUAGCUCAUCAACCCGAUAUUUAUUCCUAUUCCCCUAACAUAAUUGGAUCAAUUAAACCAAAUUCAUGUACAUCUUUUAAGUAUUCAUACAACCUUUAUAAUUCACAUAAUUUGUGCACACACACCAUUAAUUUACUAAUUAACUAAACACUUUAGAAAUUUUUCCUUAACUAAACAUGUAUUCGGCAAGGACCACAAAAAUUUCAACGAAUCUUAUAAAUAACCACAACAUUUUAAAUUCAUCUAAUUACCCCCAAUGACCGAAUGCACAUAUAUAAAAGUAUUCAAAUAACACAAAAUUUUCUUUCUAAAAUGCAUAUAUCUAUAUACAUACGACAACUUCAAUUCACACCUCCCAACCAUGAAUUCAACUUAUUCAUUUAAGCUACUUUAACAUAUAAACCACAUCUUCUCAAAAAAAACUUAUCAAAUUAACAGAAAUUUAUCUACUUGCCGAAUGGCUAUAUGAUCAAGGAUUCACGAAUUCAAACCAUGGGUUAACUAUACUAAGCCCUUAUCAAUUUAAUCUCAUAAUCAAUUAAAAUAAAAAUCACUAUACAUACCUUUAAAUUAGGAUAGCCAAGGCCGAAUGCCUUGGUGGUUUCUCCUUCAAAAUUUUCUUUCUCAAUUUCGGCAAUAAAGAAAGAAAGAUGAGUCUCCCUUAUUUUUAUUAUCUUUACCUUAUUUUACUAAUUAUUUUUAUUGCAAAAUAAUGCCAUAUCAUAUUAUAAUACUUAAAUAAACAUAUAUUAUCCCAACACCACCAUUAUGGUUGGUCACCAUAAACAAAAAAUGGGUAUUUGACAUGCAAAUCCAAUUUUUUUAUGACAUGCAUUAAUAGGCCAUUUUUAAUUUUACCGAUCAUCUUUCCCAAUUGUCUCACCUAGGUCCUAUUUAAUAAUUCACAUACAAAUGACAAAAUUAAAGCAUGAAACUUUCACACAUGCAUGUACACAUGCAAUAAGCAUGGAAUAUAACGGUCAAUUAUUUUUAUGAUUCAGUUCAGUGGUCCCGAAACCACUUUUCGACUAGGGUCAAAUUAGGGCUGCCACAGACAGGGUCUUAUACGAAAUUAUAUUAUGAUGCUAAUGUCCCAGACAUGGUCUUACAUGUAAUCACAUUCUGGUAACCUAAUGUCAUGACAUUUGUAACCUAUACUAUUCCUAAGGUUCGUACGAGACUUUCAGAUAUCGAAACUUCGUCGAUUCUUGCUCGUAUUUUCUCGUUCAACGUUCAUAGCAAUUCAAUAACAAUUAAACUUUUAUAAAUAAAUUUAAAGGUAAUUAUUUGCAUAUGAACUUACCUCGUAUAUACAAUGAACGGAUUAGAUCGACUACUCGACAAUUUUUGAUUUCCCCCGAUCUAAAUCUGAUUUCUUUCUUUCUUGAUCUUAAUCAAGCCAAGAAUGUGCCAAAAUGUUAAAGGUUCUAAGCCCUAGCUUCAUUUCAAUUUUAGGUGAAGAAAUAUAAAAGAUGAACAUAAAAUCACUUUGGUUUUGUUUAAUAUUCAUUAAUUUGUAAUUUACCAUUUUAUCCUUUACUUAAUACAUUAAAAUUUCACUUAGUGAAAGCCCAUUUAUGUCAAAUUCCAUUACCAAUGGUCUAACAUCAUCAUAAGGACCUUUCUUUUAAUGAAUCAUAGCAAUUAGGCACCUUUAUCAAAUAGAAUGCAACUUUUGCAUUUUACAUGAUUUAGUCUUUUCGUCAAAUUAAGCAGUCAAACGCUAAAAUUAUUUCACAAAAUUUUCAAACAUAUAUAAUCACAUGCUAUAAACACCAAAAAUAAUAUUAAAAUAAUUCUCUGACCUGAGAUUUGUGGUCCGAAAACCAAUGUUCCAAUUUAAGCUAAAAUCGGGCUGUUACAUCCCAGGCAAGGGAAUUACAAUCAACAACAUUAGAACUACAAUCAGCAUACUCUGAUGUAUUCAUAACAAGGCUAGAUAGAUCCGCACUAAAAUUUGAUGCAGCCACAACACUCUUCAAUACCAAAUCAGCAUGUUCGGGGACAUUGACAACAAUCAUACACUCAAGCUUCUACUUUUGACCCAUUAGCAACUCUUGAGGCAUUAAUGCGAAAGCAUAUUACUAACAUAGAAGCUAUUGUACAAGGGAAUUCAUCUUUCAUUCUAGCAUUGGAGGCACAAUUAAGACAUCUUGCUUCAAAUCUGAAUACUUGACCACCAAGCUCAUUACCUAGUGACACGAAAAAUCCUAGUCCGAAGGGGAAAGAACAUUGUAAGGCUAUCACUCUUAGGAGUGGUAAAAAAACUUGCGAACCGUUUAUUGACUCUACUAUAUUAUCUCAAGAUACGGAUGGAGUGAUCACUGGUUAGAAGAUUGAACCUAAAGAGUUUAUUGAUGCAUCAGACAAAGAAGAUUCACAAAUUGUCACUCAAAUGCCUAAUGUUCAACCUUCGAAACUACCACCACAAUCAAAGAUGUCGACGCAAGCAGAUAUAUCUCUACCUUUACCCUUCCCAAAAAGAUUUAAAAAAAAUGAGCAUGACAAGCAGUAUCAACAGUUCCUGAGUACACUGAAGCAGCUACAGAUCAACAUUCCUUUAGUAGAUACUUUGGUACAAAUUUUGAGUUAUGGGAAAUUUAUGAAAGACCUCAUGUCUAAGAAGAAGAAGCUCACUGAUAUUGAAACUAUUACACUCGCAGAAGGCAGUAGUGUUGUUUUAAGAAACAAAUUUCCCCCUAAAUUGAAAGAUCCUAAGAGCUUUACCAUCCCAUGUUCAAUUGGAAAUCAUUAUUUAGGUAAGGCUUUAUGCGACUUAGGAGCUAGCAUUAACUUAAUGCCACUAUGUACUUUUAGAAAGUUGAGAAUUGGUCACAUGAAAUCUACUACAGUGACAUUACAACUAGCCGAUCGAUCCUUGGCUCAACCUGAAGGGCAAAUAAAAGACGUUUUAGUUCAUGUGGAUGAACUCAUUUUUUCAGCUAAUUUUAUAGCACAUGAUUGCGAAGUAGACAAGAAGGUUCCCAUAAUCUUAGGACAACCAUUUUUAGCCACCGACGGAACUCUUAUUGAUGUUUAUAAAGGUGAACUAACCAUACGAUUUCAUGAUGACCAAGUCACCUUCAGUGUUUUCGAAUCUAUUCAAUGCAAGGACAAAGAAGAGUACCAUACUAUUAAUGUGCUUAAUGAUCUAAUUAAGGAAGAGUUUAAUGACCAAAGUACAGUACUUUUUGAAGAGUUUGCAGUGACAUCUGAUGUCAAACCCUUAGGCGGUUGUGACAGCAUGGUUGAAGGUAUUAAUCUUGAACUCAAGCAUGGAUGGUAGAUUGAAUCCAUAGACCUAGCCAACAGAACAACCCUAAUUUUCAAGCCAUCUAUUGAAGAAGCUCCUACUCUGGAAUUGAAACCACAAUCUCCAUAUCUUAAAUGUGUCUUUCUAGCUAACCAUAAUACUUUCCCAGUUAUUGUCUCCGUAAUACUGAAUGUAACUCAAGAAGAGAAAUUGGUCCAUAUUCUCAAGCAACACAAACAAGCUAUUGCUUGGAGUAUUGCUAAUAUUCAAGGUAUUAGUCCUUUUUACAUGUACAAGAUCAAGUUGGAAGAUGAAGGUAAGCAAUCGAUUGAACAACAUAGAAGAUUAAAUGAGAAGAUGAAAGAAGUUGUCAACAAGGAAAUCAUAAAAUGGCUUGAUGCUGGAAUUAUUUACCCGAUUUCUAAUAGCAAUUGGGUAAGUCCAGUACAAUGCGUACCUAAAAAGAGUGGCACCAUUAUGGUUCGCAAUGAUAAGGAUGAAUUAAUUCAUACAUGCAUUCCCACAGGAUGGCGAGUUUGUAUGGAUUGUUGCAAAUUGAAUGCGACCAUAAAAAACGAUCAUUUCCCAUUCCCCUUUAUUGACCAAAUGUUAGAUCGGAUUGCUGGAAAGGCCUAUUAUUGCUUUUUAGAUGACUAUUCUGGGUACAAUCAAAUUGCUAAUGCACCAGAGGAUCAGGAGAAAACAACCUUCACCUGCCCCUUUGGUACUUUCGAUUUUCGCUGUAUGCCUUUUGGUCUUUGCAACACAUCAAGCAUAUUUCAAAGUUGCAUGAUGGUAAUAUUCUUAGAUAUGAUGGAAGACUCUUUAGAGGUUUUUAUGUAUGAUUUCUCAGUCUAUGGGAAUGGUUUUGAUCAUUAAGUUAAAAUUUUGGAUAAAGUACUGAAGCAAUGUGAGGACAAACAUCUUGUCCUGAAUUGGGAAAAAUGUCAUUUCAUGGCAACUAAAGACAUUGUGUUAGGACAUCGCAUCUCUUGUCAAGGCAUUCAAGUAGACAAAGCUAAGGUGGAAAUCAUUGAGAAAUUACCUCCACCAAUAAAUGCGAAAGGUAUUUGCAAUUUUCUUAGACAUGCGGGGUUUUAUCGAAGGUUUGUUAGAGAUUUUUUGAAAAUUGCAAAGCCGUUAUGCUCAUUGUUGGAACAAAAUAAAAAAUUAUUCUUUGACAAUGUAUGUCUAGAUGCCUUUAUUCAGUUAAAAAAGAAGCUAGAGAAUGUACCCAUUGUCGUUGCACUAGAUUUGUCUUAACCUUUUGAAGUCAUUUGUGAUGCAAGUAACUUUGCUGUGGGUGUGAUUCUAGGACGAAGAAAGGAAAAAGUAUUUCACAUCAUCUAUUAUGCUAGCAGAACUCUUACAAAAGCUUAACUCAAUUAUAUAACUAUAGAGAAAGAAUUGUUAUCUGUAGUCUUUGCAUUCGAUAAGUUUCAUUCCUAUCUUGUUGGCCCAAGGUUACUGUAUUUAGUGAUCACUAGGCAUUGAGAUUUCUCUUUGUGAAAAAGGAUGCCAAACCAAGACUGAUACGCUGGAUAUUACUGUUGCAAGAAUUUGACUUCGAGAUAAAAGACUGUAAGAGUUCAGAGAAUCAAGUUACAGACCAUCUAUCUCGAUUGGAAGUUAGCAGCAAAGACAGAAACAUAUUUCAAAUUGUCGACGCAUUCCCAGAUGAGAAGUUAUUUGUUGUAGACACAACUUCUUAGUAUGUGGAUUGUGUUAAUUAUCGAGUGUGUCGAAAAUUCUCAUUGGGUGUUACUAGCCAUAAAAAAAGAAAGAUUUUUUUUGUGACAUAGUGAAGUAUCAUUGGAACAAGCCAUAUUUAUUCAAGAUAUGUAACAAACUGUAACACCCCUUACCCAUAUCCGACAUCAGGACAGGGUCCGAGGCGUUAUCGAACUCAAACAUAAACAUUAAUACAAAAUCGGGCCAUAAAAUUUCAUUCAAUUUAAAACCAUUCAUAACAUGCAUCUCAUCCCUUAUACAGGCCCACGAGGCCCAAAAUGUACAUUGGGUGUGGUUCGGGACUAAAUCGAGAACUUUCGAAACUUUUGUAACACUUAGAAAAUUUUCUUAUUUUGGAAGGUCACACACCCCUGUGGGUAGGCCGUGUGGUCAAACAUGCCCGUGUGGGUUGGGACACGCUGUAACACCCUGAAUUUUGGGCCUAAAAGUAUUAGGUUUUAAGCAUAGGAACAGUUAGGAGGUAGCACAUAAAUGUUUAGUUGUGCAAGAAAGUGACACACAAAUGCAUGUCUGCUUUAGUGGUUAAGUAUUCUAAGUGUUCUGGAAAGUGUCUGAGAAGUCUUGGGUUCAAACCUGGGCAUGUGAAAAAAUUUUAUUUUUAAGGAAUAAACCUUGUCUCUAGUUAGUAGGCUUUUAAAUAAAAGUGGGUGAAGCACGACAAAAAAAGCCUGUUGGACUAGGGGGUAAGUGACAUGUUACAUAUGUUAGAGGGCUGAGGUUCGAAGUUUUAUUUGGCUGCUCUUGCCAUGUAAGUAGUUGAGGUUGACUGAAACUCUGCUGAGUUGAGUGGAGUUUGGAUUGGUGAUUGAAGAGAUAUUGAUGGAUGGAUUUUAGGAGAAAAUUGUCGGGAUUUGUGGUUGGAGAAGAAUUGGUGCCGAAUAGGGAACUGUAGUGCCGAAUUUGUAGGAGGAAAUAGUGGGAUAUGAGAGGUUAUCACGUUUUGGGGAGAAAGGGAAGGGAUUUGAGUUUAGUGGGAGAGUUGUGCCGAUUUAGUAGAGAGUAUGAGGGUUUGGGAUGUGUUUGAGCUGGGCUUGAAUUCUGCUUUCUCAAAAUUUCUGCAUCCUCUUCCCAGUUUUCCAAAAUUCUGACUACAAAACCCCUUUGUUCCCCUAUAGCCGAAAUCUCUUUUGGAAAUUCAGCUUUAGUUGGUUUUCGUUUCUUUUUCUCUGGAAAUUUAGGUGACUAUGUUCUUCUCUACUGUUUCUUCCUUUCUUCCUUUCCAGUUUAUUGCUUUCGUUUUUCUCAAGCUCUCUUUUACUGUCGAAGUGUAAUUGGUGUUUGGCUCGGUCCUCUAGCCGAACCUUAACUGGUAGUUCUCAAUUUUGUUUUGGAUUCUCAUUUCCUACAAUCCUCUGUCGAUUGUACAUUGUUGUUGGGACCAAAUGAUGCUUAUGAUUUAUCAAUUUCCUCCCUUUUUCUUUUACCCUCAUUGUGCUUGAUUCUUUUUCUACUUUCUCCCUCUCUAUCGAUGUUGUGUAUUAUUCCUACUCUGUGAUUCUGUGAUUUCAGCGUGUAUUUUCGUUUAGAGAUCAAACUAUUUUUAUGAAUAGUUGUUAAUGAGGGUUCUAAUUGGUUUGCAGAUAAUAACUGAAGAAGGGGGAAAAUUAUUCUUGAUUAACGGUUUAGGUUUGUGUAAGGGCUUGGGGGUUCGAAUUAAGGUAUGUGAUAAUUGAUCUUUGGGAUAAGUGUUCUGGAAAUGAGUAGUAUUAAUUUUUUUACCUCGUGACUAAUUGAAUGUUUGUGGAUUGGAUCAAGGUUUGGAGUGCUCAAGGGCUACGUGCAUGUUUCUGUAAUCAGGUAUGUAAACACUGUCCAAGUCGUAAAUCGGCAAAAGCUGAUACAUGUGACCAUCGACGCUACAGAGCGUGCAUUCGCUCAUGUGGUAAUCUGAAUGCCUAAAUGUGGGCUUAAUAUCGUGGAGGCUGGCCAUGAGCGAUUUCAUGGGCUUAGGCCGUUUUGGGCCAUGUUAAGCCGAAAUGGGCCGUGUGGGCCCCACGGGCAUAUGGGCCCCAAAUGGGUAAAUCAUACAAACGUGUGGAGAAUAUUGGGUCAAGCUAUGUAUUCCACAUGGCCAAGGCCAUUUCUGGGCUAUGUGGGCCACACGGGGUCGAACACAGCCUCCAACCCGGGAGUGUCCCUUGGACCAUACGGUGUGUGAGCCCUGCAUGUUGGAAAAAUUUUGUAAUUUCGCGAAAAAUUCUUAGAGGUCGUAAUUAAGUCCCGACUAAAUUUUAGUGCUUAUAUUGGACCUCGACGGUCUAAUCAAGGGACGUUACGAAUGAUCUCAGUAAAUAAAUAACAAUUUACAUAAGUUAUUUGCAAAUGUUUUUAAAUGUUUCGGUAAUACUCUAGAACCCUACUCCGGCGACGGAUACGGGUUGGGGGUGUUACAUUUAGUGGUAUCAAAGCUACCAUUUAGUCGAUUCUCAAAUUUUAUGUAGCGAACACGAGUCUAGCUAUACUUGCCAUUAUAUAAAAUGUCAUAGUGUGAUGACUCCUGAUCAUUUUAAAUGUGUUUUUCAUAUAGUAAUAUCAUCCAACUGAGAUAGAGCUGAAUCCGAGAAUGCUGAGAGCAAUGCUUCAGCUUCAGUUCAAAGAGUUACGUCUGCAUCUAGUAGUGAAAGGCCCGUGCUUGAGGGCCGAAGUGAGGAGGCAAAACAAGCCUUCUUUCAAAUGAUGAAGGAAUGGUUUACACAGUACCUGAGAACAAACCUUACUGUACAACAACCUCCCCCACUUGCUCCUCAAUCGGUUCCUGAGGUGCCACAGGGUGCUGAACCUGUUAGAAUUGGUAAGCCUCUGAUAGAUAAAAUCCGCAAACAUGGGGCGGAAGAAUUUAGAGCUACCAUAGAUGAUGACCCGGAAAGAGCUGAGUUUUGGCUAGAGAAUACUAUCCGGAUUGUUGAUGAACUAUCCUACAUACCUGCCAGAUGUCCAAAAUGUGCAGUAUCCCUACUGAACGAUACAGCUUAUCAUUGGUGGAAUACCAUAACUUCAGUGGUGCCGAGAGAGAAUGUUACAUGGGAAUUCAUCCAGGCUAAAUUUAGGAAGAAGUAUGUGAGUCAGAGAUUUAUGGAUCAAAAAAAGAAAGAAUUUCUAGAGCUUAAACAAAGAAACAUGACUGUAUCAAAAUAUGAAUGGAAAUUUGUUCGAUUGAGAAAGUAUGCAAGAGAAUGGGUUCUAACCGAGGCUAAAAUGUGUAAACGCUAUGAAGAGGGUUUAAAUGAAGACAACAAAUUGUUGGAAUUCUUGAGAUAAGGGAAUUUGUAGUGUUAGCUGGUCGAGCCCACAAAGCUAAGGAAUUGAGUAAAGAAAAGAGACAAGUCGAUUGGCACUUAGUGUUUGAGAUACCGAGUAUUCGACAGUAUCACGUAAAGGUAUGAAUUCAAUUUGAAUAUGUACAGGUAUGUACAAAUAAAGCAUGAAAUCCAAAUAGAAGAAGUUAUGAACUUGUUCAUAAACACUUGAGUAAGUAUGAGAAAAGUUUGUUUGUCACCAUGAUUUAGAUAUUAAUUAGUACAAAUUGGUGAUCUGUUUAUUAUGAACUACUGAGUAUAUUUAGUACAAACAUACUAAGCUAUGAAGCUUACUGUCUGUUAUUUGUUUAUGUUUUAUAGAGAAUCAAAGCUAAAUCAGACAUGAGGGAUCAUCGGGAACCAUCAUCACACUAUCGACUACUUGUUGGUAUUUUUGGAUGCUUGUAAAUUUUGUAUAUGGCAUGUAUAAGCUAGUGAGUUAAUGAUAUGUUUUAUGGUUUGAUACAGCUAUGAGAUUGGGCUUGCUUUUGAUGGAAAUGUUUGUAUGUAUUUAACCGUUUAAGUUGGCUUAAAAUUAUGUUUUGGAUAAGUGUUAUAUGUGAUGCAUAUAAUGCCUUAUAUGUUGGUUUGUUUUGGUAUGUUUGUCAUAGUUGUUGAUAUAGCCAAAUGUUGUUUAUUUGGUUAAUUAGUAGCUGAACUAUUAAUGCUAGGAAAAUUGGAAUUGUGGGUUGAAUAUAGAUGGCAUGAUAUGUGUAUGAAUUGGCAUGUUUUGGCUGCCUAUACAUGUGUUGAAUUGGUACCAAUUUGGGCACUUUGUGUGCAUAGAAUUUAAUAGUAAUUUUUCCAUAAUAUGAAUUUUGGGUUAAAUUGAAUAGAAUAAAUACUAAAUGGAUUGAAUUUGAUUGUUUAGAUCAAGUUAAGCCUCAUAAGGAUCUAGAUUGAGGGAAAGAUAAAGUAUUAGACUAAUCGAUCCUAUUUCGUCAUUUUUGUGAUCGAGGUAAGUUUGUAUGUUAAUAAGCAUUAAAUUAAUUGUGUCUUAAAUGCUUUAUUAUUGCAUUCUCAAUGAAUACAACUUCACGAAAAUGCUCGAUGAAGAUUUGGCAUUAUAUGCGAUCCUGAUUGAACCUUAGGAAUAGAUAGGAUACAAAUGCAUGUCAUUAAGGGUUGCCGUGUUUUGGGUGUUGGUCCUGUACGUUCUACCGGUGGCUGAGUUUUUCGGCAUGUGUUGCAAUUACUAAUCAGCUUGUGUGAGUAGCACCAUUUAGUUACAUCUUGACUAUCAGCUUGUGUGAGCAGGCCUAAUGAUAGCUUGUGACCGAGCAUUUAUACGAGAUAUGAGAUAGAGAUGGUUUUGAACAUGUAUUUGGCACUUAGUGUGCGAGAUUCUGGAGUAUAUAAUAGUAUUCCAAAUGGUUCAACGGGAAUAUUGAUGCUAUGAAAGAAUAAGAGAUUGAUACGUAUCAGUACAUGUAUGUAUGUGAAUCAUAUAAGCAUUGAAUCUAUGAAAUUUGUGAAUUUUAUGUCUAACCUUACGGAUGAACAUGUGUUAGGUUUGUGGAUUAAAUUGUCUCGCAUUAUGCCAUGUUUAAUUACUUAAAUUAUGAUUAAAUAGUAAGUUGUAUUUAUUAGCCAUACAAGCUUACUAAACUUCAUAGCUUAUUCUGUUUACUUUGUCGUGUUUUAUAGUGAUUUCAGAGCUUGCUCGGAUUGAAAGUUGGGGAAUAUCUUAUCACACUAUCCAGCCGUUAUUUUGGUACUUUUGAACAUUAUGUAGUUUGGUUAUAUAGCAUGUCUAGGUCUUUUGGCUAAUGUAGCCUUUAUGUCUUACUGAAUUUUUGGUCAUUUGAAUUAGCUUGUAAAUAGUUAUAAAUUUUUAAAUGUAUAUAUAUGUAGUUAGUCUCAUCUUGUAUGUAUUUGGAUUGCCAUGGAAAUACCUUGAUUGUGAUUUGGAAAUUUUGAGCAUCAUGUAGAUGAGGUUGAGAAAUGGCAUAUUGAAUGUGUGUUAGGCACAAAAGUGUAUAUAUACAUUUGACCAUUUAGGUAACUUUUGGAAGUGAUACUGGUAUGGUAUUGAAAUGGAAAAUUGUGAUGUUCAUGAGCAUUAUGGUUGUUGGUAUUGGUGUUACAUGAUUUGAACUUGAAUUUUGGUUACUUUGAAAGCUCAUUGAUGAUAUAGUCAUAUAUUAUUUGAUCUAUUUGGGUUGUUGCAAAUUUGGGUGAGGAAUGUAGCUUGGAAAAUAACCUAUUUUUGUCCACACGGGCAGAGACACGGGCGUGUGUCUCAGCCAUGCGUCCCAUGAUACUUAUUUAGAAACCAAGUCAGUAGCUUUAAACGGCCUAGCACACGGGUGUGUGGCUUGGCCGUGUAGCACAAGUCAGUAUACCCUCCAGAUUUUACACUACUUAGCACAUGGCCUGGUACACAGGCGUGUGGUUAGCCGUGUGACCCAAGUCAGAGAGUUACAUGGGAUCAGACACAGGCUGGGACAUGGCCAUGUGAUCCAAUUUUGAAUGUCUACAUAGCCUAUGACAUGGACAUGUCUCUUGGCCGUGUGAGACACACGACCGAGCCACACGGGCAUGUGUCCCCUGCACUUUGAAAAUUUUCCAUGUUUUUCUAAAAAAUUUCUUAAAUACUCGAUUUAGUCCUGAACCACUUCUAAUGCUAGUUUUAAGCCCUAAAGCCUUGCGUUAGGACUUUAUGACUGAAUUUGAAUGAUUUUUGUUUGUAUAUGAGAAAUGAAUAUAAAAUGCAUGAUUGUUUAAGAGAUAAGUCUGGUAAUUCUCCUUAACCCUAUUUUGGUGAUGGAUACAAGUUAGGGGUGUUACAUCAAGCACAAUUAAACGCAUUCUCACAAGUAAAUAAUGAACUUCAAGACUGUGGGAACAUGACUAUUAUUUUGACUUUUCUUCUCCUAGUUAAACUAUGUUUUUAGUUUCCCACUUAAACUCUAAUUAACCUAGAGCUGUUGUCGUAUAUGCUACGAAUUUCAUCCUAUAACUAGGCUUUAGUUACUCUAAAUUUUACAUAACAAAAGAUUGAGAAAAAUUUUUAUUUUUAUUUUGAAGGGUUUUUUCUUGUGGGGCUUCGAGUUUUCUUUUAAUUCUCUCAAUCUUUUGUACUCUCCUUUAUUAUAGUGAAAUCUCCUUUUGCUCGUGAUUUUUAUCCUCUUUUAAGGAGUUUUUCAACAUAAGAUUUAUGUGUUCGAUCUUUUCGAUUCAUAUUUUCUUUACUUUGUUCGUUGUUUAAUCAGGUUUAUCCCUUACAAACUGGUAUCAGAGCUAGUUCAAUUUUCACAGUCAACCCGUUUAGCGAUGGCAACAUCAAGGUUCGAUGUUGAUAAUGUAACACUCUAAACCCUGCCUAGAAGUUUUGACCCAAGUUUGGCGAGCUACAGUAGCCAUUGAAGUGACUUUCUGUUAACUCCCAACCUAACCUCCAACACACCACUUAUACAUAGCACAUAAACAUAGUGUUAAUCUUUCCGAAUACAAGGGUACACAUGCACAAAACAUUUAAAGAAUAUAAUUAUGCAUGUAAUAGCCUAAUUUUGGGCCUAGCCGUAAUAGUGCUUUCAGAACCACUAACCUGAGGUCGGAGAAAUUAUUUUUAAUAUUAUUUUAUGUGUGAUGGCAUGUUUGUAAAGAUGCAUAAAAAUUUUGGUGAGUUAAUUUUAGCGUUUCUAAGCUUAAUCGCGAGAGAGGACUAAAUCGCAUAAAGUUCAAAAGUUUUAAUUUGAUAGCUAAGGGAGUUAAAUUGCCAUGUAUUAUAUAUUGGCAGUGUUUAAAGUGAAAUUAGGCCCUAAAAUAGUGCUUGGCCGGCCAUGAGACAAGGAUUUUAACUUAGUCAAAUGUUAGGUGAAGUUGGUGACUUAUUUGACUAAAAAGAAAAUAAAAUAAACAUAGGAUGAUAUCGUCCUGUUUCCCAUCUUCUUCUUGACCAAAAAUAUCAGCCAUAGGAGGGUUUUGAAGCUUGAUAAUUUCAGCCACUUAAUCUCUCUACAAGUGAUCUUGAUGGUUUUUCUUGAUGAUUUUUGUACUUUUAGAACCCUUAUAACAUGAGCUUUCAAAUGAGGGGACUAUUUUGCAAAAUGUUUUAAAGUCUAGGGUUUUACCAUGAGUGUGUUCUUGCUGUUUUCUAAAAUUUUAUGAAAGAAAAUGAGUUAUGGUAGUUUAAUAAACAACUUUUGUGAAGUAGUUUCCAUAAAAACCCAAACUAAGGACCAUUUUGCAUAAGUUGUAAAAUAGCUGAUAAAUGUGUGCAAUAAUGAGAAUUAUGGGCUUCUUUUAGUACAAAAAGUGAUCGGCUAGGCUUGGUUAGUGAGAAAAUAUGAUAAAAUUUGAUUUUUGGACCUAGGGGUAAAAUGUUCAUUUUGUGAAAGUCUAGGGGAAAAACGGUCAUUUUGCCUAAUUAUGAAUUUUCAAGUGUCUAGAGUAAAUUGUUGAUGAGAUAAAUAAAUUUGUAUUAUUUUAGAUCAAGAAUUACAAAAUCCAGGCCUAGACCGGGGAAAAACGAAGCAAGUGGACUAAACCGAGCUAGUCUUCUACAUUUGUAAUCCAAGGUAAGUUGUAUGUAAAUAAUACAACUACAUUGUUAUUAUAUAUGUUUGAAUUGAUAUAGCAUUGCUUAAUUGUGUUAAUGAAAAUACAUGAUGAUAAUUGAGAUAAUAGAACUCCCGGGUGAACCUUAGGAACAAAUCGAAUAUUCGUGCCAUGACAUUUGGGUCAUUUGUGUACUAGUAUAAGGCACGUUUGGGACAUGCAUCGGCCAUAUUAUGAGUGCCAGUGUAAGACCAUGUCUGGGACAUGCCAUCGGCAUUGAGACGAGAGCUAGUGUAAGACAUGUCUGGGACAUGCAUCGGCCUCGUGAUAUAAGCCAAUGUAAGAAAUGUUUGGGACAUGCAUCGGCUACAAGAUUUGUCAGUGUAAGACCAUGUCUGGGACAUGGCAUUGGCACAGAGAUGUGGGAGCCAGUGUAAGACCAUGUUUGGGACAUGGCGUCGGCUUCAAUUUCGAUAGUCAAGGUAAUACCAUGUCUGGGACAUGGCAUCGACUUGAUGGAUAAGCCAGUGUAAGACCAUGUCUGGGAUAUGGCUUUGGCAUUACACCUUAUGUUUGAGGCUUAAUGAAUAUCCGAUAGCAUUCUAAAUGGUUCAACAGUGAGAGUUACAGUUUAAGUUAAACGAGGAAAGUAUAACCAUGUUGUGAGUGGUACAGGUACCUAUUUAAAAUAUUUGUGAUGUGAGCUCAAUAUAUACUAUGUGCAUUGUAUUGGAUAGUUAUGAGUAAGUUGUGUUUAUGCCUACUUUUGUUUUAUGAGCAUGAUGAUGAUGGUUAAAGUUGUUGAUAUAUUUAUUUUCAUGAAACUUACUAAGUUUUAUGCUUACCCUGUUUCUUUCCAUUUUCUUACAGUGCCGCCUAAUUAGCUCGUGGAUCAAUAGAUGUCGGAGGCAUCGAUCACACUAUCAUUUGAAGCACUUGGUAUAAUUAGUUCUUAAAUUUUGAUUAUGAUAUGUAUAGGACUCUUUGAUUUCGUUUUAGUGUCACAUUGUUUUGGGGCCAAAUGUGUUGGCUUGCUUCAAUAUUUGACUCAUUUUGUAUAAGGCCAUGAAAAAUGGAUAACAUUGAAAGUUAUUAUAUGAAUGCAAAGUAGUCUUUCAUGAAUGUGGAAUUGUUGCUACAUUUGAGUAUAUGAAUUAUAUUUAGGCCUUGGCUAUGUUGUUUGGUUGUGAAAUCAUAAGAAUUUAGACUUUGAUGUGUUGGUUGGUUUUAAAUUGUGUCUCAGGGUGGCAAUGGCUUGGUAGAUAGCCUUAUAUUGUUCACACGGGUAAACACGGGUGUGUGUCUAGGCCGUGUGAGACACAAGGCCAGCCCCAUGGGCAUGUUGUCCAACCGUGUGCCCCUUACACGUAAAAGUUACAAGUCAGUAUGCAUGGUAGUAAACACAUAGGCAAAGACAUGAUCGUGUCUCUCAUCCGUGUGGAGGACACGGCCUCUGGCCAUGGGCAUGUGCCUUCACCGUGUGACCCUUAUUGGAUGCUGACGUCCGAAAUAGAAUGUCAAUAUUUUUAGACACGGGCUAGGACACGGGCAUGUCAUGGUCGUGUGAGGGACACAAACCAUAGACACGAGCGUGUGUCAGGCCGUGUGAAAACCCCUGUAGGUUUGAAUUUGGAAUUAAAUUCACACGGGUAUGGGACACUAGUGUCUCCCUAGAUGCUUAGGCCGUGUGUGUCACACGGGCCAUUAGCACGGGUGUGUUACCUUUCCACACGGACGUGUGCCCUGUUUUUAAGGGUUAAUUUUCUAAAGUUGGUUAAGGACCCGAACUGGUCCCGAAUGGUUUUGAAUGGAAGUUUAAGGCCUCGUAGGCCCAUGUUAAGGAAUUUAAACAAAAUUUGAAAAAGCUUUAAGUUUGAUCAAGUCUUAAUAAUUUGAAAAGAUGGAAUGCAUGUGUUUAAGUAAGUUAACGCCUCGUAUCCCAUCCCGAUGUAGGACUCGGGUGUGGGGUGUUACAUUUAGAGGUAUCAGAGCUAUGGUUUAGUUGGUUCUAGGACUAACCUAGCAUGAGUAAAGUCUAGCUAUACAUGUCAUAGUUGUAUAUUGAUAGUGUGACGACUCCUGACGAUUAUAAAUUGUGUUUUCAUAUAGUAAAUGGACCCUGACUUACCUACGGUAGAUGAUUUGGAGAGUUAUGCACUAGCUCCCGCUGAAGGGACCAUGCCAGCAGAUAGGAGGCUUGUGAUACUGUGUCAAGGUAGAGGGGCUAGAGAAGCUUACCUCCACAUGAUGGAUGCUUGGUACUCGGAGUUUAUUUUUGCGAAUCCGAACACUCCACCUCCCUCACCUCCUCCGAUUCCUUAGUAUGCCCCUGUAGCUCCGCAAUAAGUGGAUAUGGAUAGGAGAGAGAAACCCCAGUAUACAAAGUACGAAAGCAAGAGGCCGAGGAAUUUUGGGUUAAACUUGAUGAUGACCCAUAAAGAGCAGAGUUCUCGCUGAAAAUACCAUUAGGGUAUUUGAUGAGCUAUCGUACACGCUUGAGAACGUGUAGUGCGUAGUGUCACUCCUACGAGACUCGGCCUACCAAUGGUGGAAUAUUCUCGUGUCCGUGAGAAAGGAUAACAUGGGAAUUCUUCCAGGAAGAGUUCCAGAAGAAGUACAUUAGUCAUACCAAAAGAGGAAAGAAUUUUUAGAGCUGAAGUAAAGUCGUAAGAUGGUGACAAAGUACGACUGGGAGUUUGUGAGACUCAGCAAAUAUGCAUAGGAGUGUGUAUCUACAAAAGCCAUCAUGUGCAAGAGGUUUGGAGAUGGUCUAAACGAAGAUAUCCGUCUAUUAGUUGGCAUUUUAGAAUUGAGGGAAUUUGUGGUGCUCAUGGAGAGAGCAUGUAAGGCUGAGGAAUUGGCCAAAGAGAAGAGAAGAGCUGACAUCGAGUCCCGAGACUCAAGGAAAAGAUAGAUAGGGAAAUCACAGUACACCUCAUCUAAGAGAUCGAGAGAGUUUUCUACCUGAUCGAACGCGUCAGUGGGGUUCUCAAAUAGGAACAAGAACAAGCAGAACACGGCUUCUAAAGCUCAGACCACUUCAGUCACUAGUGUUGGUAGUGCUCGGCCAAAUAAGCCGGAGUGUUUGCGGUGUGGUAAGCGUCAUUUCGGUGAGUGUCGAGGGAAUGAGAAGAGGUGCUUCAAAUGUGGGUCGCUAGACCACUUCAUCUGAGACUGCCCUGAAUUAGAUGAGAAAGAGAAAAAGCAAGAAGUGAGGGCGAAUAGUGCUCCUUCGAGGGGUAGACCACAGAAAAACUCGGGCAUGGGGCUAGCAGUAGAAGAGCUCCUAGAGAUUCAGCUUUGAGGUCUGAGGGCCGAACACCUACAAGGACUUAUUCCAUUCGCGCUCGCGAAGAGGCGUCUUCACCAGAUGUUAUUAUGGGUACUUUUUCUCUCCAUGAUAUUUCUGUUAUUGCUUUGAUUGAUCCGCGGACUACUCAUUCCUAUGAGUGCAUGAAAUUAGUACCCAGUAUGAAUAUGUCUGUUGAGUCUACCAAAUUUGUGAUAAAAGUGUCAAACCCGUUAAGCAGGCAUGUAAUAGUUGGUAAAGUGUGUAGAGACUGUCCUUUGAUGAUUAGAGGUCAUUGUUUUUCGGCUGACCUCAUGCUACUACCGUUUGAUGAAUUUGAUCUAAUUCUUGGCAUGGAUUGGUUGACUGCUCAUAAUGUGAUAGUGAAUUGUGGUAGCAAGUUCAUUGAAAUGAAAUGUAAGAAUGGGGAUAUUAAUCGAGUUGAAUCAGGUGAACUAGAUAACUCACCAGUACUGAUCUCGUCUUUGACUACUGAGAAAUUUUUGAGAAAAGGGUAUGAGUCCUACCUAGCAUUUGUGUUGAACACCAAAGAGUCCCAAGUGAAAAUUGAGACAAUGCCUGUGGUAUGCGAGUACACGGAUGUAUUUCCAGAAGAGUUGCCUGGGUUGCCUCCAACCAGAGAAGUUGAGUUUGGUGUCGAGUUGGUCCCUAGUAUGGCGCCUAUCUCGAUCGCUCCAUAUAGGAUGGAAUUAAAAGAGUUGAAGGUACAGUUGCAAGAAUUAACUGACAAGGGCUUUGCAAGACCGAUCCAGUACUUUUUGUGAAAAAGAAGACGGGUCAAUGAGGUUGUGCAUAAACUACUGACAACUCAACGAGGUGACUGUAAAAAACAAGUAUCCCUUGCCAAGGAUCGAUUAUUUUUUCGACUAGUUGAAGGGAGCAACCGUGUUUUUGAAGAUCGACUUAAGGUCAGGCUACGACCAGUUAAGGGUUAAGAUGCAAGAUGUACCAAAAACCGUGUUUAGCACGAGGUAUGGGCACAACGAGUUUCUUAUCAUGACUUUUGGCUUAACAAAUGCGCUAGCAGUUUUUAUGAACUUAAUGAACCGUAUUUUCUAACCAUAUUUGGAUAAGUUUGUCGUCGUUUUUAUUGAUGACAUUGAUUUAUUUGCGUGAUGAGAGUGAGCACGCAGAGCAUUUGAGGAUAGUUUUACAAACCUUGAGAGAUAAGCAGUCAUACACCAAGUUCAAUAAGAGUGAAUUUUGGCUUAAACAGGUCAGAUUCUUAGGACAUAUUGUGUCUGGUGAUGGGAUCAGAGUUGACCCAAAUAAGAUCCCAGCUAUUGUUGAAUAGAAACCGUCGAGGAAUGUGAUAGAGGUUCGAAGCUUUCUAGGUUUUACUGGAUACUACAGAAGGUUUGUGAAUGGAUUCUCUAUGAUAGCCACUCCAGUGACAAGGUUAUUACAAAAGGAUGUCAAGUUUGAAUGGACAGAGAAGUGCCAACAGAGUUUCGAGAAAUUAAAGGCUUUGUUAACCGAAGCCCCAGUUUUAGUGCAACCGAAACUGGGAAAAGAGUUUGUGGUGUAUAGUGAUGCAUACUUGAAUGGGUUAGGAUGUGUGCUCAUGCAAGAAGGCAAGGUUAUAGCCUAUGCCUCGAGACAGCUAAAGCCACACGUGAAAAAUUACUCAGCCCACGAUUUGGAGCUAGCAGCUACAGUUUUCGCAUUGAAGAUUUGGAGACACCAUUUGUAUGGUGAGAGAUGUUGGGUUUCACCGACCAUAAAAGUCUAAAGUAUUUGAUGACUCAGAAGGAUUUGAACUCACGACAAAGGCGGUGGUUAGAGUUGAUAAAAGACUAUGAAUUGGUGAUUGACUACCACCCCAGAAAGGCUAAUGUAGUAGUCGAUGCUUUGAGUAGGAAAUCAUUGUUUGCCUUGAGGGCUAUGAAUGCUCAGUUGUCUAUGGCUGAUACUGGUUUGGUUCUGGCAGAGUUGAGAGCUAAACCGAUGUUACUGUAAGAGAUUUGUGAAGCUCAGAAGGGUGACAAGAAUUUACAAACUAAUAUGGCUCAGUGUGAGUCAGGUGAUGAAUUGAAUUUUCAGAUUAAUACCGAUGGUUGUUUGAUGUUCCAAGAUAGGGUUUGUGUACCCAAGGAUAAUGAGCUCAUUCAGAAGAUUUUACAAGAGGCACAUAGUGGUUGCUUGUUUAUCCAUCCGGGUAGCGUAAAAAUGUACAAUGACCUAAAGAAAAUGUAUUAGUGGCUAGGUAUGAAAAGAGACUUUUCUGAAUUUGUUUCUAAAUGUCUAGUUUGUCAACAAGUGAAGGUUGAACACCAAGUACCCUCGGGUUUGCUUCAGCCUGUGUUGGUUCCCGAGUUGAAAUGGGACCGAGUAACCAUGGAUUUUGUGUCAAGGUUGCCUUUGACACCAAGGAAAAAGGAUUCAGUGUGGGUCGUUGUUGAUAGACUUACUAAGUCGGCACAUUUUAUACCAGUGUGUACUGACUAUUCCCUUGAGAAAUUGGUCGAUCUUUAUGUUUCUGACAUUGUAAGACUUCAUGGAGUGCCCUUGUCGAUUAUUUCGGAUAGAGAUCCGAGGUUUACCUCGCAGUUUUGGAGGAAGUUGCAAGAGGCAUUGGGAACGAAACUAAAUUUUAGCACAACUUUUCAUCCUCAAACCAACGGUUAGUUAGAGAGAGUAAUCCAGAUAUUAGAGGACAUGUUAUAGUGUUGUGUUCUUGAGUUUCAAGGCAGUUAGGAGAGGUAUCUAUCGCUGGUCGAAUUUACCUACAACAAUAGUUAUCAGUCCAGUUUUAAAACGGCGCCUUAUAAGGCUUUGUAUGGGCGUAAGUGCCAAACGCCUUUAUAUUGGACCGAGCUGAUAGAGAAUAAGAUUCACGGGGUUGACUUUGUUAGAGAAACUGAAGGAAAGGUUAAGGUGAUUCGCGAUUGUAUAAAGACCGCGUCGGAUAGACAAAAACCUAACGCGGAUUUGAAAUAGAAAGAGAUCGAUUUUCAAGUCGGGGAUAAAGUGUUUUUUAAAGUAUCCCCGUAGAAGAAAGUUCUUAGAUUCGGUAGAAAAGGCAAGCUAAGUCCACGGUUUAUUAGACCUUAUGAGACUACCGAGAGAGUAGGGCCCGUUGCCUACCGUUUGGCUUUGCCCUCAGAAUUGGAAAAGAUUCACGAUGUGUUUCAUGUGUCCAUUUUACGUUAAUAAAGAUCGGAUACUUUACAUGUGAUCACGCCAACUGAGGUUGAGAUACAGCCGGAUAUGACUUAUGACAAAGAGCCAGUUAAGAUUUUGGCUUGGGAGAUUAAGCAAUUGAAGAAUAAGAGCAUAGCACUGGUUAAGGUAUUAUGGCAUAGACAUGGGGUCGAAGAAGCCACAUGGGAACCCGAAGACACUAUGAGAGACCAAUACCCGAACCUAUUCACUGGUAAGAUUUUCGGGGACGAAAAUCCCUAAAGGAGGAGAAUUGUAACAGCCCGAUUUUGGGCCUAGCCGGAAUAGUGGUUUCGGAACCACUAACUUGAGGUCGAAGAAAUUAUUUUUAAUAUUAUUUUAUGUGUGAUGGCAUGUUUAUAAAGAUGCAUGAAAAUUUUGGUGAAUUACUUUUAGCGUUUCUGAGCUUAAUCGCGAAAAAGGACUAAAUUUGAUAGCUAAGGGAGUUAAAUUCCCAUGUAUCAUAAAUUGGGGGUCUUUAAAGUGAAAUUAGGCCCUAAAAUAGUGCUUGGCCAGCCAUGAGACAAGGAUUUUAACUUAGUCAAAUGUUAGGUGAAGUUGGUGACUUAUUUGACUGAAAAGAAAAUAAAAUAAACAUAGGAUGGUAUCAUCCCUUCUCCCAUCUUUUUCUUGACCGAAAAUAUCAGCCAUAGGAGGGUUUUGAAGCAUGAAAAUUUCAGCCACUUAAUCUCUCUACAAGGAAGUGAUCUUGAUGGUUUUUCUUGAUGAUUUUUGUACUUUUAGAACCAUUGUAACAUGAGCUUUCAAAUGAGGGGACUAUUUUGCAAAAUGGUUGAAAGUCUAGGAUUUUAUCAUGAGUGUGUUCAUGUUGUUUUCUGAAAUUUUAUGGAAGAAAAUGAGUUAUGGUAGUGUAAUAAACAACUUUUGUGAAGUAGUUUCCAUGAAAACACUAACUAAGGACCAUUUUGCACAAGUUGUAAAAUAGGUGAUAAAUGUGUGAAAUAAUAAGAAUUGUGGGCUUCUUUUAGUAUAUAAAGUGACCGGCUAGGCUUGGUUAGUGAGAAAAUAUGAUAAAAAUCAAUUUUUGGACCUAGGGGUAAAAUGGUCAUUUUGUGAAAGCCUAAGGGCAAAACGGCCAUUUUGCCCAAUUAUGAAUUUUAGAGUGUCUAGAGUAAAUUGGUGAUGAGAUAAAUAAAUUUCUAUCACUUUAGAUCAAUAAUUACAAGAUUCGGCCCUAGACCGGGGAAAAGCGAGGCAAGUGGACUAAGCCGAGCUAGUCUUCUACAUUUGUAAUCCGAGGUAAGUUGUAUGUAAAUAAUACAACUACAUUGUUAUUAUAUAUGUUUGAAUUGAUAUAGCAUAAAUCGCUUAAUUGUGUUAAUGAAAAUACAUGAUGAUAAUUGAGAUAAUAGAACUCUCGGGUGAACCUUAGGAACAAAUCGGAUAUUUGUGCCAUGACAUUUAGGUCAUUUGUGUGCUAGUAUAAGACAUGUCUGGGACAUGGCAUCGGCACAGAGAUGUGGGAGCCAGUGUAAGACCAUGUUUGGGACAUGGCGUCGGCCUCGAUUUCGAUAGUCAGUGUAAGACCAUGUCUGGGACAUGGCAUCGACUUGAUGGAUAAGCCAGUGUAAGACCAUGUAUGGGACAUGGCGUCGGCCUUGAUUUCGAUAGUCAGUGUAAGACCAUGUCUAGGACAUGCCAUCGACUUGAUGGAUAAGCCAGUGUAAGACCAUGUUUGGGAUAUGCCUUCGGCAUUACACCUUAUGUUUGAGGCUUAAUGAAUAUCCGAUAGCAUUCCAAAUGGUUCAACGGUGAAAGUUACAGUUUAAGUUAAACGAGAAAAGUAUAACCAUGUUGUGAAUGGUGCAGGUACCUACUUGAAAUAUUUGUGAUGUGAGCUCAAUAUAUACUAUGUGCAUUGUAUUGGAUAGUGAUGAGUAAGUUGUGCUUAUGCCUACUUUUGUUUUAUGAGCAUAAUGAUGAAGGGUAAAGUUGUUGUUAUAUUUAUUUUCAUGCAACUUACUAAGCUUUAUGCUUACCCUGUUUCUUUCCAUUUUCUUAUAGUGCCGCCUAAUUAGCUCGUGGAUCAAUGGACGUUCGAGGUAUCGAUCACACUAUCAUUUGAAGCACUUGGUAUAAUUAGUUCUUAAAUUUUGAUUACGGCAUGUAUAGGACUCUUUGAUUUCGUUUUAGUGUCACAUUGUUUUGGGGCCAAAUAUGUUGGCUUGCUCCAAUAUUUGACUCAUUUUGUAUAAGGCCAUGAAAAAUGGCUAACAUUGAAAGUUAUUAUGAAUGCAAAGUAGUCUUUCAUGAAUGUGGAAUUGUUGGUAUGGUUGAGUAUAUGAAUUGUAUUUAGGCCUUGGCUAUGUUGUUUGGUUGUGAAAUCAUAUUAAUUUAGAUUUUGAUGUGUUGGUUGGUGUUAAAUUGUGUAUCAGGGUGGAAAGGGCUAGGUAGAUAACCUUAUAUUGUUCACACAUGUAGACACACAGGCAUAUGUCUAGGCCGUGUGAGACACACGGCCAGCCCCAUGGGCAUGUUGUCCAGUCAUGAGUCCCCUACACGUAAACAUUACAAGUCAAUAUGCAUGGUAGUAAACACACUGGCAGAGACAAGACCGUGUGUCUCAGCCGUGUGGAGGACACGACCUCUGGCCACGAGUGUGUGCCUUGGUUGUGUGCCCUUAUUGGAGCUGACGUCAGAAAUAGAAUGUCAUGGUUUUUAGACAUGGGCUAGGAUACGGGCGUGUCAUGGCCGUGUGAGGGACAUGGGACAUAGACACGGGCGUGUGUCAGGUCGUGUGAAAACUCCUAUAGGUUUGAAUUUGGAAUUAAAUUCACACAGGUAUGGGACACUGGCGUGUCCCUAGAUGCUUAGGCCGUGUGUGCCACAAGGGCUACCAGCACGGGCGUGUUACCUUUCCACACGGGCGUGUGCCCUGUUUUUAAGGGUUAAUUUUCUAAAGUUGGUUAAGGACCCGAACUGGUCCCAAAUGGUUUCGAAUGGAAUUUUAAGGCCUCGUAGGCCCAUGUUAAGGAAUUUAAACAAAGUUUGAAAAAGUUUUAAGUUUGAUCAAGUCUUAAUGAUUCGAAAACAUUGGAAUGCAUGUGUUUAAGUGAGGUAAUGCCUCGUAUCCUGUCCCGAUGCAGGACUCGAAUGUGGGGUGUUACAAUGCAAAACAAUACUUUCGAACAUGUAGUUAUUUCAAUAGAUUCACACUACACUUAAUCACCACACAAAGCAUUCAGACAUGGUUCGCACAAUAACAUAUGUUUGUACGAAAUCGUGUGUUAGAAAAAUCCAACAGUUCGCAUGGUAAGGAAUUGAUUUUUAAGGCGUUACAGCUCGCUAAACAUUUUAAAGGCUCAUACAUCCUAGUUUUACCAAGUAGCAGCCUGCACAAAGUAAGUAAACGUGUAUGCAGGAGUUUAUCACAUUUAAGUAGCAUUCACAUAAAAAUAGGGGUACAAUGUGAUUAAGGGUCGUAAUACUUACAUGGGAUCCAUGCAUCAUUGGGUUUACUGGGGUGGUGGCGUACAUGUAAAUAUAACAAUUAUUAUAGUGUUUCACAUGUAAUUAUAGCACACAACAUAUAGAGUACGCAAUAAUCUUAAAUUAUAAAUCUAACUUAGACGUAUACAAACACAAUACUCUCAUGCAUGAAUAACAUCAAUUUUAUUUAUGAAUUAUUAAGUACUUCAAACAUGGUUUGCAAUAAGCUAGAAAGCUAAACAGAAUAACAUAACCAUUCUUUAAAUAACAUUGUCAGAGUCACAAAAUCAUAAACAUAUCUAAGACGCAUAACAAAAAUCCCAUCGUCGUUAACCCAAGUUUGUUGUUAUCUGCUAGGAACAUCCUUGGUCAAUCAUCGACCUCUCCUAUGCCAUCCGUGACCAACUUACUCAAGAAGGAGCAAGAGGGGAGUGGCUGAGUUUAUUGAGAACUCAGUGAAUAAUCAGAAUUCUCAGAAUGUCUUAAAAUAGUAUUUGAAAGCAGUAGUAGACUUUUGUUUUCUGUGCUGGGUUCACAGGUGAGGUUACGAGACCCAGUUAGCCCUUUUGUCAAGAAAUAUAACUUUUCAAAACCAGUUUGAAAACUCAUUAAUGUUUCUUAAAAUGUCCUUGGUAAGGUUUACAUUAAAAUUGCACGCUUAUUUUGUUUAACAAAGCCUUUAAAAACCAGAGUCUGGUUUACCUUUAAAUUGCAAAACUAGUUUGUACUUUUUCAAAAAAUAUUUUCUUAAAAUAGAGUCUUUCUUAGGUCGCAAGACUGGUUCGCCACUUUGUUUCGAUGGACAUAAUCCAACCUAGCUCGCAUAGAUUUCGGCUCAUUGAUGAACACUAUUACUUAAGCUUGUAUGGGGAGCUUCGCUGAUACACAGCUUGUGAAACCAUUCUUAAAACAUUCUUUGAAAACCUUAGGUCACAUAGGAGUUCGCACAAACUAUGCUAAAAUCAUAUUUUCAAAUCAUAGUUGAAAACAAAGUGUCAUAGUUUAAAACAGAGCUUUUAAGUUACCUUUGAACUUGUUUUGAAAACAUAUUCAGUUAAACUAAAAAUCAUAACAAUUAUCGUACUCCAAAUAAUUCCAUACUACUCACAUUUUUAAAUGAUUAGUAAAGAACAUACUCAUAAUAGAGCCGAGUCAUUCACUGGAAAAUGGAGAACUUAGACAAGUUUAGCUUUUCCAUUAUCCUUACUGGUAGAUAGUCUGGUUGGUUUGCAACAAUACACACAUAUAUUACUUAUACAGAACAAAACAUACAAAAUUCAUGCAAUGUGGACCUCGACAAUCACACUCAACAAGACAUAGACUUACCCUAAUAGCUACGUACUGAACUAAGAAUCUAGAUUUGAUGACAAAAUAUUCAGUGAAGAAUUCACUGAAUUUAAUGGUCUUAUUUAUAGACCUAAGGGUCCUGGAAAUCUUAGGAUACCCUAAUUGACUUAGGAAAGUUGUUACUUGCACGUAAAUUAUUCCUAAACACACUAAAUCACCUUUUUCCUCAUUUGAGUCUGACUAUAUCUUUGAUAGUCGAACACAAGUUCACAACUUUAACUGGCGAGCACUAGUUUUCCAGACAGACUGGCGAACACCAAUUCGCCACAUAAACUGGCGAACCUACCUCACAGAGAAACUGGUGAACCCCCUUACCAUUACUUUUGGCGUGCUGUUACAUGCGAACAUCCUGCUCACACAACUCUUGGUGGACACUAGUUCGUCGAUACACUGGGAAUCCAUUCACUUGAAAUGCCAUAACUUCCAGACUCGUUUAAGGGGUCUUAAUGAAAUUUCAAAUUUCAAUUUGUGGUAAGUUCAGAUGAUGGCAAUAUUAGUUCAGAAUGGUAUGAAAAAAGGUUGUUAAAGGGAAGAUGCCUGUUAAUAUGGAUUAGCUAGAAUGGGAAGAGAUCAAUGAAAAGUCUCUAUCCACUAUUCAAUUAUGCCUCACGAUUAAUGUGUUACAGGAAGUUUUUAUGGAGAAAAUAAGGUUUGCGUUAUGGAAUAAACUAGAUGCUAUAGUAUGCCCAAAGACCAAUCAUGAGAUGAUUGUAAUUAUAUACUUGUUUUACCUUGUUUAAUAAUAUAAGGCAUUGCCAUUAUUAUUUUAGUUUCUUUUUCUAUGUAUAUGCAUAAAAAUCAUUGUAAUAAAGUCCUAAGAAAAUAUGAUUAUUCUUAAGAGGUCUUUAGUCAAGUAUUAUUGUGGGCUUGGACAACAAUAUUGCAUUGAGACCAAUGUGUAGUUGAUUGAUGACAAAAAGUUUUCAUUGACAUAGGGAUGUCAAAAUUAAUACAUGAGUAUGAGUUAGAGAAAAACAUAUUGGACUGACCCACUAUGAGUGUGUUUCUUAGAGUAUUAUGUAAUAGUCUCAAUAUUACUCAAAGUGAUAAAUAUGUAUAUGAUACUCAGACUUGAUACCAUCAUUUUCCUAACAUCGUGAGGCGUAUACUUUGAUACAGUCAAAUGUCUACCGUAAUAGGUUGUACUAUAAAGAAUGGUGUUGGAUAGACCACAAUCCAUGUAGUGGGAUAUGGUUGAUCAAGAUAAGAUUUAUCCCUCCUACAUAAUGGGAGCAAUAUCUUAGGCCUCUUGAUGGAGUGAGACUGGAAAUACAUGUGUAACAACCCGUUUUAAGUGAAAUCAGAACAAUGAUUUCAAGACAAAAAAUCUGAUAAGUAAAUAUUUAUUUUAUUAUUAUUUUAAUGUCUACAGUAUUUUAAGAGAGUCGUACUAAAAUUUCGUGAAGAAAUUUUGACAUUUACAUGCUUAAUUAAGUAAAAAGGACUAAAUCGAAAAAGGUGCAAAAGUAGUAUUCUAGUAGCUAAAGGUAUCAAAUGGCUAUGAAACUCAAAAAAAAGAGGACUUAUAUGGUAAAUAGACUAUUUAUAUAGUUAGUGGAUAUUAAUGGAUUGGUUUUGUUGAAAUUAUGAAUGUUUUUAAAGGUUAAGAAUGUAAAAAGGUAAAUAAAGAUAAAAUUAAAUAAGAAAAAGAUAUUAUCUUAUCCAAAUUGUUUCUUCUUCAAUGGAACAUUCAAAGGGAAUAUAGCUAAGGUUCGGCCAUUGCAUUUUUUCUUGCAUGGUAUGUGUUUUGAAUUCGUUUUUUAUAUUUUCAGGAUCGUUGUAACUUAAUCUAACUAGCCUAGGGACUAAUUUGCAAAACUGUUAAAGGUUUAAGGUUUUGCUAUGAAUAUGUUUGCAUGAUUCUUGAAAUUUAAUGAAAGAUUAUGAGUCCUUGUUGUUAAAUAAACAAGUUUUGUAAAGUAAUAUUUGAUGAAAUUAUCAUUUAGGGACUUAUUUGUAAAACUAGUAAAAUAUUAUAAUAAUAUUGUGAAAUGAUGGUUUGUAUGGGUUGAUAUGAGUCCCUAAGUAAUUCAGAUAGCAUGAAAUAUGGAUGAAAUUGCAUAAAUUUUAAUUUAUGAGCUUAAGAACUAAAUUGUAAAGAAGUUAAAAUAUUAAGGGUAACAGUGUAAUUUUACAAAAGUAUGCAUUUUGUACUAAAUUGAAUAGUAUGAGUAUUAAAUGAACAAAUUUUCUUAUUUAGAUCAAGAUAAACCUCGUACAGAUCUAGAUCGAGGAAAAGCUAAAGGCUAGGAUUAGUUGAUCUUGUUUUGACAUCUUUAUUAUCGAGGUAAGUUCGUAUGCUUAAAUAAUGAUUUAAUGUUAUUUUGAUUCAUAUAUCAUUGUGCUAUUUAUCAUGUAAACAAUUAUGGAAAUCCAACGUUGUUACGACAACUAUCGAACCCCAUUUGAACCUUAGAAAUAAUAGGAGACAAAUGACAUGUCAUUAGGGUUACCAUGUUUCGAGUGUUGGUCUUGAAUGUCCUACCGGUGACUGAGGUCUUAUAUUUGUUGCGAAUGCUCAUCAACUUGUGUGAGCGACAUCGUGUAGCUUACAUUCCAACCAUCAUCUUGUGUGAGCAAACCCAUUUAUGGCUCGAGUGAGCAACGAUAUAUAGGAAAAGAAAAAGGAAUGGUUUCGACCAUAUGUUUAACACACUUUGUGUGAGCUUUCCUGCAUAUCCGAUAUUAUUCUAAGUGGUUCAACAGGCAUGUAAAGGGAAGGAACGGUAAGUGUUCCAAUCAACUAUGUUAUGAACUUAAGGAAGGGUAUGAAAUCAUAAUGAUCAGUGUAUGCAUAUUUAUGUUUAUGGAAAGUAUGAAUUCAACGGCACUAUGUUCAUGUAAUCUACCUAACCAUGUGCUAAUUCUAUUGAGUUAUGUGUUAAAAUACUAACAUGGGUUGUUGAUAAUGCUUAGGCUUAUGCCAAGCUUAUGUUGAAUUGAAUCAUGUUUAAAUUAUAAGGUUAUGCAUUAACAUGGUAAGCUAUAUUCAUGAUUUACGAACUUACUAAGAAUUAUAUGCUUACGUAAUUUUCUUUCCUAUGUUUUAUAGAUUAUCGGAAGCUCGAUCAAUUUAGAAGCUUGUCGGAGACCUAUCACUCUAUCUAGCAAAUAAAUCAGUAGUUUUUGAUGUUUUGGCCAAAGUUAUAAUGGCAUAUAUAGGUGGACUUAUGUUUACAGUUUGAGUUGAAUGCUAAGUGUUGAUUUUAGUAUGUAUAUAUAUAUGUUGGUUGUUUGGUACCAUUUGGAAAUGGUUGGUUUGCGUCACUUAUGUGAUUUUGAUGCAUUUGAGUAAUGGUCCAAAUGGUAAGUUUAUAUUGACAUGGUAGGGUUCAUGUAACACCCUGAAUUUGGGCUUAGAAGUUUUGGGCCUUGAGCAUGGGAGCGGUUGAAGGCAGCUUAUAAUAUUCUGUUGUGCGUGAAAAUUUCGUUAAUGAAGGCUUGUUUUAGUGGUUAAGUGUGCUGAGAAGUGUUGGAGAAGUCCUGGGUUCAAACCUGGACUCUAGCAAAAAUUUUGGUUUAAGGUGAAUCAACCCUGGGUGUAGUAGGUAGCCCUUAAGAAUAUUGUUGGAGAAAUUGUGACACAAAAAGCCUUGUGGCUUAGUGGCAAGUAGCGUGUGGAGCAUUUAAGGGGAGGCAUGGGUUUGAAUCCCAUGGCAAGCAAAGAGCAUUUAUUUUGCUAACAGGGGGCGGCAAGAGUUGGUGUUGAAUUUAAACUCUGAUGAUGGAGGGAUCCCAUAUCGAGAAGCUAACAUAAGAGUGGAUGCGAAGCUGGCUUUAAAUAGAGAGAACCAUGGGGAGAGUAAGGUACCUUUCUUGGCUGAUCCCUUUCGCUUUAUGGCGUGCUCGUUUGGGUUGGGCGUCGGCUAAGAGUGCUCAGAGCGUGGAUUAACUCCAGUCUCCAAUCAGGUGUGUAUUUCUCACUACUCUAGCUGUAGGAUGGCUACUUCGGGCCGCGAUGGGCAGAAAGGAGCCAUAUGGGCCUAAUGGGCCUACAGGCCCAAUUGGAUAAGUUGUUUGAUUGUGUAGUAAAUAUUGGAAUAGGCUAGGUGAAUCUCAUAUCUGUGGCUAGAUUUGGGCUAAAAGGGCCACACGAGUGUGUGGGCCCAUUUGGGCCUAGAAAGGGCUUUAGGCCCAUUCGUAUUGUUAUCCCUGUUUAGAAUACUUUAGUUUACCAAAUUAACAAAAUACCCCUGGUUUGUAAAAUUACUAGAAUAUCCUUGGUUUAUAAAAUCACCAAAAUACCCCUGGUUUGUAAAAUUACCAAAAUACCCUUGGUUUACAAAAUUACCAAAAUACCCCUGGUUUGUAAAAUUACUAAAAUACCCUUUGUUUAUAAAAUCACCAAAAUACCCCUGGUUUGUAAAAUUACCAAAAUACCCAUGGUUUGUAAAAUUAUCAAAAUACCCCUAGUUUGUAAAAUUACCAAAAUAUCCCUGAUUUGUGAAAUUAUUAAAAUACCUUCGACCUGUAAAAUUAUUGAAAUACCCUCGACUUGUAAAAUUACCAAAGUACCCUUGAUUUACAGAAUUACCAUUUUAUCCUCGAUUUAAAAAAUUACCAAAAUACCCUUGUAGGGUAGAAAUACUAAAAUACCCCUGUAGGGUAGAAUUACCGAAAUACCCCUGUAGGGUAGAAUUACCGCAAUACCCCUGUAGGGUAGAAUUACUGGAAUACCCCUGUAGGGUAGAAUUACCGAAAUACCCCUGUAGGGUAGAAUUACUGAAAUACCUCUGUAGGGUAGAAUUAUUGCGAUACCCCUGUAGGGUAGAAUUACCGAAAUACCCCUGUAGGGUAGAAUUACUAAAAUACCCCUGUAGGGUGGAAUUACAGAGAUACCUUGUAGGGUAAAAUUACCAUUUUGCCCCUAAGGUGUUAAAUUACUGUUUUUCCCUUGUGGCCAAGUUACUAACUUGGACUGUGUGGUUGACGAAUUUGAUUGUGAAUAUAUGUUGGUAUAUGAAUGACUUGACUGUGAUUGUUUGAUUCAAAUAUGGGCAUGACAUUCUGCAUACAUGACAUGUUGCAUGGGUUUGGAUUUUGUACGGAGGAAGAUCUGAUCUGUUAGGAUCGCAUGGUUGCUUGACGACUGUGGAUCCACCAAAGGCUUAAGAGCCGUAUAUUCGUACUGAUUUGAUAAGGUCGCACGGGUCGCCCAAGACGACUGUGGACAGAUCAAUGGCUGAGUGCCGAUCAUAUUUACCCGAGGCUGUGUGCCGACUAUAUUACCGUCUCCGAUGGCUAUGUGCCUAACAUGAUACAGCUACCGAUGGCAUAAAGCCUUCUGAUUAUGGCUUCGUGUCAACCUACAUAUGGCUCUGCGCCAACCUGAUUAUGGCUGUGUGCCAAACGUAUUUGCCUAAGGCUAUGUACCAAUAUAUGGUUAUUGACGACUCUGUGUCGAUCACAUUUACCUAGGGCUGUGUGCCGAUUAUCUUACUCUAGUUGAUGGCUAUGUGCCUAACUUAAUGCAGUUAUCGAUGGAUUUGUGCCACAUAUUCUGUUAAGUGGCUUUGCUACAUUAUCUGUUUCUGGUGGCUAUGCCACAAAUAUCUGUUCUGGUGGCUCUGCCACAAUAUCUAUAUCUGGUGACUCUAUCACAAUAUCUGAUAACUAAGCAGCUAUGCUGCAACUGUGGAGUGUAGGGCUGGGUGGGUUGAGCUAUUCCCCACAUAGAGUGUAGGGCUGGUACGGGUGGAGUGUAGCGGUUGGUUAUAGGCUGGAUUGGGUUGGGAUUGCAUUCACAUUCUGAUUUUAGAUUCUGUUACUUGAUACUGAUUCUGAUUUUAAUUCUGUUACCUGAUACUGAUUCUGAUUCUGAUUCUGAUUCUGUCACCUAAUUCUAAUUCUGAUUCUGAUUCUGAUUCUGAUUCUGAUUCUAGUUCUGAUAAUGUUUCUUAUUCUGUAAUGGGUUAAAGCCCAUCUGGUACUGUCUGUUAUAAUGGGCUAAGGCCCAAUUGGUAUUGAAACUGUAAGUAAGGCUGGGGCCAGACUUUUAAUUCUUUUAUAUGACUGACUGUUCCUUUUAUAGUAGGGGAUUUCACACUGAGUUUUCGUAAACUCACCCCCUUUAUUAACUUUUCAGGUAAUUUCCAGCCUUAGACGGAUCGAAGCUGCGAGGGGCUCGGAGGAAGCCACACACUGUUUAUGUUACAAUUUUGAUUAUUACUUUUAAAUGUUUUAUGUGGGUUGUAGUAAAGCCGUUGCAGUUUUUUAGAUUUCAAAUUUGGAAUUUUAUUUAUUAUUCUUAUAAUUUCUAGUAUUAGAACACGGUUUUCCAAAGAAACUACUGUUGUUCAAAACAUCACGUAACCGCAAUUAUUUUUACAUUAAGCUUCCGCAACUGCCAGGAUUUUUACAAAGUUGUUAAUAAUGUUAUUCAGCUGAGGUUUUCUAACAAGGUUUAAAAAGGGUAUAAGUUUUUAAUUAUUAAGAAGGGUUUUUAAUGGAAACAUGGUUUUCGAAAAACACUUCAAUGUGACACGCUAGAUUCGAGCCAAACUUUCAGGCCGAGUUUGGGGUGUUACAGUUCAAGUAUGGUAUGUUUUGAAAUGAUAGCAAAGUGAUCAAAUAUGCUUAUGUCUAGAUAUAUUAUUUUGAUUUUGAUUGAGGUGCCUAUAUGGUAUAUUGGUUGAAUUGGUCAUUUUGUGCAUGUUUUGGUAUGUUUUGAUGCAUUGGUCAAGGGUGCACUGGCUUGUAGGUACAUGGUUGAAAUGAGUGAUGGAAAUGGCUUGAUUUUGGCUAAUUUCAUGUCCACACAGCCUUAGACAUGGGCGUGUGUCUCAGUUGUAUGUGACACACGGCCAUACGACACGACCGUGUGUCCCUUGUAGUUUUUAAAGGUUACAAGUUAGGCAGUUACAUAGCCUGGCACACUGGCGUGUGGCUUUGCUAUGUGACCCAACUUAGAGAGUUACACAGGCACGGACACGGGCUGGGACACAGUCAUGUGUCCCUAAUUCAAUUAUUACACGGCCUGAGACACGAGCUGGAGUUGGUAAGUUAGGAUUCUGCGAGCAUUGUAUUUUUGAGAAACAAAUCCGAGUUAGUUUCGAUUUAGCAGUGCAUAGAACAAAAGGGAAUCUAGAUUACAUUCAUUUCAAUUUAUGGAGUCCAUCUUCUGACAUCUCAAAAUGCGGUAAUAAAUAUUUCCUAACUUUUAUUAAUGAUCACUCCAGAAAAAUGUUUGGGUUUUUUUUUAAACAGAAAAGUGAAGUCUUCGGAAUCUUCAAACAGUGGAAUAUAUCAUUAGAAGAACAAAUUAAAAAGUCCGUGAAGCGGUUGAGGAUUGAUAAUGGUAAUUCCGAUUUAUGGGUCUAUCUUCUAGCAUCUUAAAAGGAGGUAAUAAAUAUUUCCUAACUUUUACUAAUGAUCACUCCAGAAAAGUUAGGGUUUAUUCUUUGAAACAGAAAAGUGAAGUCUUUGGAAUCUUCAAACAGUAAAAGACACUAUUAGAAGAACAAACCGAAAAGUCCAUGAGGUGGUUGAGAAUGGAUAAUGGUCUUGAGUUCUUUAAAUCAAUGAUUUCUACAAAUAGGAAGGAAUUGAAAGACAUCGAGCCGUUGUUGGAACUUCUCAAUAGAAUGGAGCUGUAGAAAGAAUAAAUAGAACCUUGCUGGAAAAGGCUCGAUCUGUAGAAAGAAUAAAUAGAACCUUGCUGGAAAAGGCUCGAUGCAUACUUUCUAAUGCAGGCUUAAGGAAGGAAUUUUUGGUAGAAGUCAUAAAGUUGGCAAGUUAUUUGGUAAAUUGAUCUCCUCAUCGAGCAUUGAAUGGUAAAAUUCCAGAGGAGAUAUGGUCAGGUAAUCCUCCCAAUUAUUCUAACUUUAGAAUUUUCAGUUGUCCUGUUUAUGCUAAAGUUAGCCAGGGAAAACUCGAACUAAAGGCCAUUAAAUACACCUUCUAGGAUACUCUACUAGUACAAAAGGUUUUAAGUUGUGGUGUUCAGAAUCUAACAAAAUAAUUGUUAGUGGAGAUGUUGUGUUCAAUGAAUCUACCAUGUUUCGAUAAGAAAAGAGGACUUUUACUUUUAAAGACACAACAAAUCAAAGUGUCUCGAGCAAGGUGGAGUUCAAAACCGAAACAAGGGGCGACAUCAUGAUAAAAAAAUGCCCAACAUCGCAACAACGCGACAAACAAAGUUUGCGUCUCAACGAGGAGUCUCAUGACAUCGCGACAACGUGAAAAAAUUCUUAUUCUUACAAGUUUGAAGUUGUUUUAGAUCUGUUUGGGGUUUUAUCCAACCCUCAGAUACCCCACAAUCUCACUUAACUAAUUAUUAAUAUGGCUUGACAGGAAAAUGCGAGAAAUACAACCACCACAGAAAUAUUAUGAAUGAAACCUAGUAGCUUAUGCUCUAAGUGCUGCUAAGAGCAUUGAUUCAACCGAUCCUUCGUGUUAUUAUGAGGCAGUUCAAGCAUCCGAUUCUAGCAAAAGGCUUAUUGCAAUGGAAGAAGAGAUGGAAUCACUUCAAAAGAAUGAGACUUGGAGGCUAGUUAAACCAUCCAUCAGUAAAAGAAUCGUUGGUUGCAAAUGGGUGUUUAAAAAGAAGGAAGGUUCAGUUCCUAACGAUACUAAGUACAAGGCAAUACUGGUUGCCAAGGGCUAAGUUAAGUGGAGGGAGUUGAUUUUCAUGAUGUUUUCUCUCCCAUUGUGAAACAUAUGUCCAUUCAGUUGCUUUUGGCCCUUGUUGCAUAAGAUAAUCUUGAUUUAGAGCAGUUAGAUGUAAAUACUACUUUCCUUUACAGCCUUGAGGAGGACAUCUAAAUGCAACAAUCAGAAGGCUUCAAAUUUGAAAGUAAAGAAGAUUAUGUUUGUCUUUUACAAAAGUCUUUGUACGGUUUGUAACAAUCUCAUUGGUAGUGGUAUAAAAAGUUUGACUCCCUCAUGUUGAGUAUUGGUUUUCCUCAAAGUAAGUAUGACAAUUAUGUUUAUCUAUAAUAUAUUGAUGCUGGUUCUUUUAUAUAUUUGCUUCUUUAUGUUGAUAAUAUGUUAAUUGCGCUUAAGAAUCCAUUUGAAAUAGGUCAUCUUAAACCAUGCUUAACUCUAAGUUUGAGAUGAAGGAUUUAGGUAUAGCAAAGAAAAUUUUGGGAAUGAAAAUUUUGAGAGAUAGACAUUACAGGAAAUUGUUUUUAUCAUAAUAAAGGUACAUCAAGAAGAUCCUUGAGUGAUUUGAGAUGUAAGAUACAAAACUGGUAAGUACUCCUUUAGCUACACACUUUAAACUCUCAAUUUUAGAUUCCCCACAUAAUGAAAAAGAGAAAGGUACAUGUCAAAAGUACCUUAUUCAAGCGUAGUUGGAAGCUUGAUGUAUUAAAUGGUAUGCACUUGUCCCAAUAUUUCACAUGAUAUUAGUGUUAUUGGUCGAUACAUGGCAAAUCUUGGUAAGUUACACUGCUAUGCAAUUAAAUGGAUUUUCAAAUAUUUACAAGGUACUUUUAACUUAUGCUUAAAGUUUGGAAUAACUCAAAAAGGUCUAGUCGGGUAUGUUGAUUCUGAUUAUGCAAGAGACUUAGAUCGAAGAAGGUCUCUCACAUGUUACCUAUUUACUUUUGGGAAUUGUGUCAUUAAUUGGAAAGCGACACUUUAAGCUACAAUGGCUUUGUCAACCACUGAAGUAGAAUACAUGGCAAUUACAAAAGUAGUAAUAGAAGUAAUUUGGUUAAAGGGCCUGUUCAGUGGACUGGUAAGUGAAAAUGGGGCAAAUUGUCAUAUAUUGUGAAAGCCAAAGUGUCAUACAUCUCACCAAAGAUAAAAUGCAUCAUGAGAGAACGAAGCACAUAGACAUUCGCUAUCAUUUUGUUUGAGAGGUGAUCAAUCAAAGAGAUAUAUAGAUUCUUAAAAUUGGCACAGAACACAAUUCAACUAACAUGUUGACAAAGAGCCUUCCAAUUUCAAAGUCUGGGCUUUGUUUGGACUAUCCGACGAAAAAUCAAUUAAGCCCAUAGCAGGGCUCGACAAGGGAGUUGGUCUAAAUACGAGUCAAGGUGGAGAUUUGUGGGAGAAUGCCUCUUAUUUUGACCAUUUACUUUAGCUUUUCUUCUCCUAGUUAAACUUUGUUUUUAGUUUCCCAGUUAAACUCUAAUUAACCUAGAGUUGUUGUAAUCAUAUAUGCUACAAAUUUUAGCCUAUAAAUAGGACUUAGUUACUCUAGGUUUUACACAAUAAAAAAAAAAUUUAUUGAGAGAAUUUUGUUCUCUUUUCCGAAGGGUUUUUCUUGUUGGGUUUCGGGUUUUCUUUUAAUUCUCUCCAUCUUUUGUACUCUCAUUUAUUAUAGUGAAAUCUCCUAUUACCUAUGGUUUUUUAUCCUCUUUUACGGAGUUUUUUCACGAAAAAUUUGAGUGCUCGAUCUCUUUGAUUCUUAUUUUCUUCACUUUGUUCGUUGUUUAAUCGGGUUUAUCCCCUACAAAGGCAAAUGAUAUGACAAAGAAGCAUACUUGAAAUCCAUUUGAAAAGAGCAUUUUAUGCAAAAUUCUAAGGACAAUACAAAGUAGCUCCUAAUUGCAUAAAAAGUUCAACCAAAUUCAUGCCUAAUGAAAUAUACCAACUAAUAUUCAAGUAAAGAUGCCAAAUGUUAACAAUAAAUGUGUAACACCUCCAAAAAUCUCUAGUUUAUUGUAUGAUACUUUUUCAUUCUUGAAUGCUUUGAUACAAAAGUUCGAAUUUAUUAAAUUUUUGAACUCAAUCGGAUAUAACUAUGAGUUGAAGGUGAAAAUGGUAAUGUUACCGCCAAGAGUAUUUUAACCAAUUGAUGCAUAAUUAUCAUCAAAUGUUAAAUUAUAUGUGAGAGUGGUGAUGAGACUAUGUUUUGACUUUUCAAACCCUUCAUAUUUGUAAAAAAUAAUUUCGAGCACAUUAUUAAUUUUUUACCGUUGUAUUUUUAAAUAAUAAAAAGAUAAAAGAAACCCGAUGAAAGCUUACAUUUCUCUUCUUUAUCAUUUCUCACUCAUUUCUCUUCAAGCUUCACCAUUUUUCGUUGUUUUAUUGUAAAAUCACUUCUUCAAAGUCAUAUUUGAAUCAUUUUUCAUUCUCCAGAGUUUGAAUUUUAGUAUGAGAAUAUUAAGCUAGUGAAGGAAAGCGGCAUUUUUAUAAGAGUUUUUUUGUCCCGAGUUUUAAAUGAAAAAAAAAACGUAAAUAUCCAGAGAAAAAAACUUAUAUGAGCAAAUUUUGUCGGAAACCGAGAACCCACUUUUUAUUUAUUUAUUGUUAAUAUAUUAAUAAGAGGGAGAAGAGACUGUCCCCGUGUUCAAACCCAAGAUUAAAUGUCAAUUGUAAGAAUACGAAUCCUUUGCUACUACUGCUUAGUUUAAUUUACAUUAACUCACUUUUUUAACUAGUUAACUUCAAUCACAAAAUUAAUUUAAAAGGUAAAACAAUGAGAAGUAUCUGUUUCAAUAUCUAAAUCAAUGAGAAUUUUUGGUUAGCAGAUAAUCAAAUUCUAGCACAAGCUAAUAACUUAGAAAGAAAACUAGUUCUCCCACCUUAAAAAGUUUUGCUCAAGAACAAAUUUGCAACUCUAAAAUUAUGAUUCACUGAAGGCUAUUAUGUUUCAUUUACAAUCUUUUUGCUUGUAAAAUGCAUGCAUUUCCUGUAUGUCAACUUCAAAUUUGGCUACAUAUUUGCUCCAACCCUCCCUUUUUUUCUCUCUGUUAGCAUAUGCCGGAUUUAAGGAAUCCCCAGGCUCUUUUAGUUGAUAGAAAUUCUGCCCCCAUGAUCUCUGAUUGCUUUAGUUUGUGCCCCCAUAAUCGUUCUGUUUCCUCAAGAACGCUAUGGCAUUGGAUCAAAAUUCCAUAUGAUAUCCAAGUGAAAAUGUUGCGAUUCUAAACUGUUUACUUUGUCUGGAAAAUGUUUUGGAUCAUUCUUCGUGGUGAUUCCUGAGCCGCAUAAUCUAACUGAAGCAGCUCAUUUGAACUUAGGCGCCAUCCGAGAGCACCCAGAUUUUCCUCUGCUUGUUUCACUGUUUUGACUCCAGGUAUUGGAAUGGUACCUUUACAGAUGCACCAGUUUAUUGCUACCUGCAAAUGGCAAUGCAUUUAGGUCUAUAAACUGAUAAAAGCAACAUACUUUCUACAUUCCUGCCUUAGAUUUCAAUUACAAAUGCACUUGGUAAACAUAACAUUUGGAAAGAUUUCUUUAUUUCUCUUGCUUUAUGAUUGUUAGAGAAUCUCUUCCUCCUUGGAUAACAUCACUAAAAACGUUUCAAUCUGGUGAUCAAUUGGACUUCCAAUAUCUUGCCAAAUGAAAUCGGGACAUGCCACACUUAAUAGGAGAAAGAAAGAAAAAAUACAAACUGUUUAAGGUCUCUAAACACAAAUGCAAACGCACUCUUUCCAAGGAACAAACUUAAAAACAUAUGGUCGAAUAUCUAACUACACAAUUCAACUAAUAAAUUAUAAGGACCUAAAAAGUUCUAAAUUUUGAAAGGUGGAGCUAAGCAUACUAGAAAAAAUAGUUGUGAAAAAAAGGUAACAUUAUAAGUACCUGAGGUAUGGUUUUGCAGCGUUUUUCUGCAAUUUCUCGUAAGGAAACAAGCAAGGGCUUCAACCCUGGAAGAACUUGCUUAAAUAGAAGGCCCCUGAGAGACAACAAAGAUUAUCAUGAAAUAAGCACUCACCUAAGCAUUGAGAGGAGCCUUCAAAAUCAUUUUACCAUAUAUCCUUGAAAGUAAUAAGCAGUAGCAUUUCUAGUACCUGGGCCCUUGUGGAAGUCUGGAAGGUGUAUAUUUCCCAGUAAGCAUUCCAAGUCCUAGAGGACUAUAAGAAAUCAGGCGGAUUUCAAGACAGUCACAAAUAUUCUUAAUCUCCAUCUGAUCUUCUCCCAUGCUUAGUAGAGAGAAUUGUACCUGUAAUUGGGGUAAUUCUAGAGGUAAACCUUAAAAUCACAAGAACCACCCAAACGAUUUCUUAAGUUAUAUUAUGUAACCUGGACUUAGGAGAAAGGAUUUGAAUUUCAAAUUUAGUAUAAAUUGUAUGAAGUACAUAAUUAAACAUUCAUGAAUUUGCUAGAUGUCUACUUAAUGGUGAAUUAAAAAUUCAUCUUUUAUACCCUUAUUGGAUCUUAACUAACUUCUCCAUUGUGUGUGCAUUCCUUUUUCUUUCAAUUUACAUUAAAAAAUCAUACCAAAUCCACUCUUUCAAACACAUCUUCCAAACAUAGCAUAAAUGACAGUGUUGUACUUUAGCUAGAUAGUCUAUCGUUUAGACUUAAUAUGAGAGAUUGGUUGGUGCAGGGUUGGAUUCCAAAAGCAAAGUUAGAUAUGAUCAACGUGUUGACUUAUAAACCCAUAUUUACAUUAACAUCUUGUCCUCCACUAAGAAGGAAAAUGCUAUAUGCAAAUGGGUUACCUACCAUUAUACCAACUACUUAACUGCUUUAACUCACUUUUUACAGAAACGAAGAAAACAAAAAAGCAAAUGAACUUGUGUUUCACCCAAUUCAACAUAUUUCUAUCAUUGCAUUUCCUUGGAGUUGGGAUUAGGGUGAAGUGAUUUAGACACUCUGUGAUGUAUGUGAAAGUGACUAUCUUCAAAACAACAACUAGUCUUAAACAGAGACUUUGUGUAGUUAAGAAAAUGCAUCCAUGAGGAGCCAUGGACAUUGAGAGAGAUUAAAAGCUUAAAAGAUUAGUUGAAGUAGAAACAGAUGAAAAUCACAAAAUCUGAGGUGAUGGCAGCGGGGGCCUAGGGGGUUAUAGUGGCACAUAUUUGAUGCAUGGAGAAUAGGUAUGGGUUCUUGGUUAAACAUUUUAAGGUAACCAAAUAUGAAAGAUAACACAAGGAAGAGAAGGAAUAAUGAAUGCAGCGGUUCUUCAUUCUACUACCUGAAACACAAGAAUAAAAAAACUAAAAUUCCUUGUAACACAGAAAAGGAGAAGAAGGUGUGAAUUGCCUCUACCUGAGCUGAGCAGAGUGGGACUCCUCGGGCUUUAAGGUAAUCAUGAAUCUUUACGAGCUGUUUGGGUCCAUAAUUGCUAAAUCCAACAGCUUUAACUAAGCCCUGCAAAUUAUAUAAAGUAGAUUUUCUUCUUAUAUGUUUGUUAUGUAGAAUGUAGAGCUCUUAACUUUUUGCAGUUCAAGUUAAUUCUUGGACAAACUUUCAUAUAUGCUAAUGAAAUAUGAUGAUCUCAUUUUAUAGUAACUGAAAUAUCAUAUGUUGGUUAACCUUCUCAUACAUUGCCACUAAACCAUUCCAAAGUGCCAACUCUUGUGGGGGAGCAUAGAUUGCAGUAGACCAGUGUAAUUGUCCUAUUCCGAUUUGUUCAAUCUGCAUUCGAUCCCGAGAGGCCCUGGAAAAACAGUUCUUAAUCAAAUUUAAUGAUCACAACCUUUCAGCCAAUUGUGCCACAAAGAGGAUCACUUUUAUGGAACCCAUUGAAUAGCAAACCUGCAAGCUUGAACAAAUUGCCCUGAUGUUAGACGCCAUGGGUAAGCUGCAAACUUUGUGGCAAUCACAAUCUCAUCUCGUAUCCGUUUUUCCCCUGAGAUUGCAAACAAUAUUCAAACUUAAAUAUCAGAAUGGUAAGAUUAACAAUCUCUAUUGUAAUAUAGGGAUCCUGGUUUUUAUCAGCUACUGUGAUUUGUAAACCCAGAUAUAAAGAUUGAAAAAGAAAUUUAACCAACCUUGAAAUUCUCUAAUGAACUUCCCUAAAAGCUUUUCACUCUGUCCAUUGAGUCUGCCAGUCCCAUAAGAAUCGGCGGUGUCAAAAAGAUUGAUGCCAUUCUCCACGGCAAGAUUAAAAACCUGUUGAAGUUGAGAAUCCAUUGAAGGUUGAUAACCCCAGAGAAGCUGGUUUCCCCAUGCCCACGUCCCAAACCCCAUUGGAGAAACAGUCAAAGGACCCAUUUUCACCUGCCCAGGAAACCCAUCACUGAAACACAUGGAGACCGGAUAAUAUCAAAUUAGAAAGGAGAACCUGUACUCGAGUGUAGACAUGGUUAAGUAUUGGAGGGAGUACCUUUUGCCAUGGCCAGAAGAGAGGGGGCUUGAGAGACUUGAAAGGUGAAGAUGGGAGAUAGAAUUGAUUAGAAGCACUGAGACAGAUAAUGCAAGCUGACGGGACUGAGUUUGAGAGAGUCAUAGCCAUGUUCUCAUACACUCUAGCACUUGAGAAAAAGCAUAAAGUCAGUGGAGUGCAUUGUUGGUUACGGAUAUGCCUUCUUGAUUUUUUUUUUUUUUUUGAGCGAAGCCUCCUUGCGGUUGGAAUUGAAACUUGGAAAGAUCACGAUUGUCCCACGCAUGGUCGUUGCUUGCAUUUCUUUUUUAGGUAUAAUGACUUUACUCAUUUUGUAAUUUUAUUCUUUUACUUUAUUUUAUUGUCAUUUUUGGUCCACAGCCUUUAAAAUUUGGUUAAUUUACUUGCUUUUGGAUGAAAAAUAUACUCAACUAUUAAAAUUCUAACGGCAAUGAUGUGAUCACUCAUAUGGCAAUCUAUCUAUAAUUCAUACAAAUAAAAAAAUAAAAAAUAAUUUUUUUUUUAAAUCAUAAAAACUUUUAAAAAAUUUAUCCAUAUUAGUAAUGAAGUAUACAUGAAAUGUCACAUGAGUUACCAUGUCAAUGUUAUUAAAAUUUAACAGUUUAGUUAGUUUUUUCUAUCCAAAAGCAAAUAAUUUGACUACAUUUUAAAGGUUAAGGACUAAAAUAAUUAAUGAAAAAUAACAAAAUGAAAAAAAUCAAUAAAUGUUAGACGCUAAAUUUAUUGUUAUAAUUUUUUUAAGAGGUCAAGAAAUUGGUAAAGGUUUGAAUUUUGAAUUUUGUAUAGGUUUUAUAUGAUCAUAACAACUUGUUCGCUACAUUUAAAUUUAAUUGUUAAAAUGUAUGUUGUUUUAACACUGUUUUUCGUUACCAGGGUGGUUAUUUGGUUGGUUUUUUGGUGGCUAGGGGUUUGUCUUGUUCGGGCAUUUUCUGUGGUGGAUAUGGAGGUGAAUUUGGUGGCAUUGGUGGUGAAGAUGAAGCGUGGCAACUUCAUGCUGAUGAAGGGGCAACUACAAUUGAUACAAGUCUUUGUUUGGUUGGGACUUUCUUGACUACUACCGUUAUUCAAUUCUAGACUAUACACACGACUUUGGCCACUCCUUGGCAUCCUCAUGGGAGAAUUUCAAUAUCGGAUCAGAGUGAGAAAGGAUAACUAUUCGAAUUCUAUUAUGCCAUUGAUAUCAACAGGGUGAUCGAUGGCAAUCCAUGGACAUUCAAUAAGCAUAUCCUGGUUUUACAUAGACUUAAAUUGGGGGAGGAUCCGUUAAGGGUGCCAUUGUACUCUGUCAAUUAUUGGGUUCAGAUUCAUGAUCUUACGAUGAUAUUGAUGUCUGAAAGUAUGGCAAGGCAGUUUGGGGCCCUAUUGGGAUCUUUUGUGGAUUAUGAUGCGAAGUUAGUUAGUAAGGGUUUUGGAGAGUAUAUACAGAUUCGGGUACAGAUUGACAUUCAAGCACCUUUGAAAAGGAGGAAGAAGAUCGCCUUGUCACAUGCUCAUUCCGUUUAUGCUAGAUUCCACUAUGAACAACUGUCAUUCUUCUAUUUUUUAUAUGGUCGUUUGGGGCACGGUGAGGGCUUCUACCUUAUUCGGAUCGUAUAUGGCAAGAAGGAGAUACCGUUUGAGUUGGAUCUUUCCAUUAAGGCGAUACCUCGACAAGUACAGGUGGUGUAACAAUCCAUUUUCAAUGAAAUCGGAACAGUGGUUUUGGGACAACAAAUCUGAGUCAAAAAGAAAAUUUAUUUUAAUAUUAUUGCAUGGUCUGCAUUAUGAUACGGAUAACAUAUGAAAAUCUCAUUAAGAAAAUUUUUACCGAUUACAUGCUUAAUUGUGGAGAGGACCAAAUUGCAUAAAAUGCAAAAGUUGAAUUCUAGUAGCUAUAAGUAUCAAAUAGCUAUGGAAUUCAAAACUUGAGGUAAGAAUAUGGCAAUUAGACCAUUAAAUAAAGUUAGUAGAUAUUUAUGGUGAUUCAUCCAUGGAAAUUUAAUUAUAGAAAAGGAUGAAAUUGAAAAGUUAAAAAAUUUAAAGAUGAUAAUUAAAUUAAAAGAAAAAAAUCAUAUUAUUAUCAUCUUCUCCAAAUUUCUAUGGAAACCCUAGGAAAGAGAAAAGAAUUCAAGAAAGCUUAAUUAGGUAAGCAAUCUUGUCCAGUUUUUAGUAAUUUUUACAUUUCCAAGAUCGUAAUAACCUAAUCUGUAAUACCUCUAACCCGUAUCCGUCGUCAGAAUAGGGUUAUGGAGCAUUACCGAAACUUUCAGAACAUUUACAAAUAAUUCACGUUAAUUACUAUUCAUUUACUGAAAUUAUUCAUAAUCUCCCUUGAAUGGACCCUUGAGGCCCAAAUCGAGUAUUAGAAUCGAGUUGGGACUUAAUCGAGAACUUCAAGAAUUUUUCACAAAUUUUCUAAAAUUUUCCUAGGUGCAGGGCUCACACGUCCAUGUGGUCUAGGAGCACGCCCGUGUAAGCCCAAGACACGCCCAUGCUGCAGGCCGUGUUCGACCCCGUGUAAUUCUCUGACUUGUGCCACACAGCCAGCCACACGGCUAGCCACACGCCCGUGUGAGUAGGCCGUGCGAUCAAUUUAAUUUUCAAAAAUUAAAUGCAGGGUUCACACGCCAAAACACACGCUCAUGUCUCUAUCCGUGUGCUCAAUUCUAAGCAUUCUGUUUCUCGAAUUUGUGUUAUCCGGAUCUAUAUAAAUGAAUUUAAUCAUCAAUUUACCACAUUUCAUAUUUAUUUGGAAUCAAUUUACGUCCUAGGAAAAAUUACCAUUUUGCCCCUAAACUUUUCAUAAAUUCCAAUUUUAUCCUUAAGCUCGGAAAAUAAAAUUCAUGCAAUUUACUCCCUAUUCCAAGCCUAACCAAAAUUUCAAUAUACAAUUUACAGCACAUAUAUUCUAUAAAUUUCAAAAUUUUUCUUCAACUUUCACAACUUUACAAAUUAGUCUUUAAAUCAUAUUUUUAUCAAAAAUCACUUUGUAAAAGUUGUUUAUCUAUCAACAAUCUUUCAUUUUCUACCAUAAAUUUCUAAUUUUCAGCAUAUUCAUCCAUGAUAUAAAUUCUAUACUUUGAUAACUUUUCAAAUUAAUCCCCCAAAUAGAUAUAUCAGACUAUCUCAAUUACAAAAAUAUCAAAAUUACUAAAAAUGAGAUAAAUAAACUUUUCCAAUUAAGCCAAGAGAGAUUGUUUUCUCUUUCCUAGGGUUUCUUGGGGAAGAAGAUGACAUAAAAUAAGAUGUUAAUUUCUUUUUAAUUAUUUAUCAUCUUUUAAUUAUUUCUAUUUCCAAUUUAGUCCUUGCCUUCAUAUAAGGUGUAACACCCAUAACUCGUAUCCGUCGUCCGAAUAGAGUCAUAAGGCAUUAUAGAAUAAAACAUAAUUCCAAACAAUUAAAUACAUAUUUAUAUAUAUAAUUAUUCAUAUAAUCAAGUCUUGAAAGUUAAAUCAAAUCAUUUACAUAAACUAAUACAACUUUUAAAUUUGGACAUUGCAUGUCAUAUGUAAAAAUAAAUAGACGUACAUUCACAAGUAACAGUAUAAAAUAUAAUUUGCAUCAACAAUUUCAAAUCUGCGGCAUUAACAUAGUAAUCUAUACAUAUCUCACAUGAUUUACAAUUUAUUACUAUUAAAAGCAAUUACUAGGUUAUAAACCAACUCACUAUAUUUCUUGGUUUAAUCGGUCAAUACAUGUAUAUCAUUAUACACAUUCUCAACUUACACAUAGUUAAUAGAUUUCUUUAGCCACAUACUAAGAUAAAUAGCACUCAUAAACAUGGACACCUUGCACGCAUUCAAGACACGUAGAAAAUUACUUAAUAAAACAAAUCAAAGUGUCAAGUGCACAUGUCUUAAAUUAAUUCAUAAAUGAACACCUACUAAAUUCAUAAUUUGUAUUAACUCAAUGACAUUCAUAAAGAACCAUAUGACCGAGUGUACAUAUCAUCAUGAUAAAUUUAUGUAUUAUGACUACACCCUUGAUAUAGACUCAAUGUAAAACCAAACAUUUAUUUAUAACUGAAUCAUCACAUAUACAUACAUGGUGGGCAAUUACCCAUAUGCCAAAGCCACACUUAACAUUAAAGCAAUAAAUACAUACCAAAUAGUCGACUAAAUUAAUCAUGAACCACAUGCAUCAUUUAGCACUUAAUAAUCGAAUCUAUUUAACUAGUAUACUUUCAUCCGUCACUAAUUAUCACAUUACAUAAUUUUAUCAUAAACGAAUUAAGUAUACCUAAAAUAUACUAUCAUAACCGAACCUCAUUACUAUAAAUUACUCACGUAUACAAGACUUCUAUUAUCAUUUUAUCAACAAUCAAGCUUAUUAAUAUGUUUCAUUUAAAGACAUAACAAAUUAAGGCUAAACAUAGUAAUCAACCUCACCUUUCUAAUUCGUAUUAGAAUGAACACAACCAAGGUAAUCAACCAUACUUAUGAUCGAUUUCUUCAAGCUUCAACUAAAAUCGUUAAUCAACUUCUAUGUAGAAUCACAUAACACAUGAGAUAUUCGUUCAUAGCACAUAGCAAAAUAACCAAAUAAACUUAAACCACAAAUGUGCCACAACCAAAAAUCUAGCAUAAAAUUAAGCCAUUUUCGCAUGGCCUUAUACAUAACCAAAGUUAAUUAUUUCAAAACAAAAUCCCGCCUAUACAUGCCAUAAUACGAGUUUGAUUAUUUAAGUACCGAAGCUGUAAAUAGUGUGAUAGACUUUGCUGACGAUCCCCGAGCUUGUAACUUGAAUCCAAAAUCUAUAAAACAAAGAAUCAUAUACACAAAGUAAGCUAACAUAGCUUAGUAAGUUUAAAGCAAAUAAACAAUUCCAAGAUAUAAUCGAUUCAUUUCAAGUUAAGCCGAAUUGUAUUAACGAUGCCAAUCUUAACUUCGAACUUACAAGUGAAAUAAAUGAUUGCAUUCAUAUGCAUAAUACUACCAUAGCCGAAUGCUAUCACAACCAUAUUAACCAAAUGUAAAAUCAACUUUCUAGGUUAAAAUAUCCCUAUACAAUCAAACACAUGUAUAUACUUAUUCACAUAAGCUCAAGAAUUCAACUAAUAAUAUCAUGUACAUUUAGUACUAGUAUGCCCAAACACAUAUAUGAUCACAUAUAUACAUAUAUAUAUCCAAAAUUAAUUCUAUAAUAUUCAUAACGUUUGUUCAUAUCAAAUAUACUUGUUUAUUUCAUAUAUAUAUGUCCUUUGCAUCACAUAAAACUUAUCAAAUUUCAAGUCUCACAUAUACCUUAUUAACAAUAGCUAACAAGCUAAACCAUACCUGCCUUUUUAACUCAUUUGCACAUUCGGUCGCAAUUUACCUUUGCCUGAUGAACCAUUCGGAAUUGGAUAGGACACUCGGAUAAUUACACAAAUCGUACAACUCCAAUGUCCCAAAUGUGGUCUUACAUGUAGUCACAUAUCGGUGCCACUGUCCCAGACAGGGUUUUACUCGUAAACACAUAUUGGUAUCACAUAUCAAUGCCAUGGUCUUACUCGCACACAUGUAUAGGAAUCCUAUGUCAUGACAUAUGUAUCCUAACUAUUCCUAAGGUUCAUACGGGGCUUUCGAACAUCGUAACUCGGUCAAAACCAAUUUGGAGAUAUAGUAGUCAAGCUUGAUCAUAUUCGGCUAUAACUUAUAUAUGUUCAUACAAUUCAUACCAGGAUAUAAUAUUAACAUUUAGCUAUAAUUAAAUACGUCUAUUUGCUUAUAAACUUACCUCCGACGUUGUAAAAAGAGACGGGGCUGCUAGUCGACAACUUUCAUUUUUCCCCAAUCCAAAUCCAAUUUCUUUGGUUCUUGAUCUUGAUUUUAAAUUGGAAGAUGGCCAAACUAGGUUUCUUUUCUUUUCUUUCUUAUUCGGUUUAUGAACAAAGAUAAAUAAUGAAUAUGAUAACUUUGGUUUUUAAUUAAUAUAAGUUUAUUAACUAAUUUACAUAUUUAACCUUUAUAAUAUAAUAUAAAACCAUUAUAAACUUGGCUAUAACCGCCCACUAUAUAUGUUAAUGGUUUAAUUGCAACAUAAAACCUCCAUAUUAAAAGAACAAUCACUAUUCGGCCUUUUUUAGGAUUAACUACCAAAAUUUCAUUUUAUGCGAUUAAGUUCCUUUAUUUAAUCGGACACCUAAACGACAAAAUUAAAUCACGAAAAUUUCACAGAUAUCAAUUCACACAAAAUAAACACAGUAAAUAAUUUUUAAAUAUUUUUUUACUCAAAUUUGUCGUCCCGAAACCACCGUUCCGAUUACGGUCUAAAUCAGGCUGUUACAUAAGGGCCUCAAGUUUUGAAUUCCAUAGCUAUUUAAUCCUUUUAGGUACUAGAAUUCAACUUUUUCACUUUAUGCGAUUUGGUCCUUCCCAUAAUUAAACACAUAAUCGAUAAAUUUUUUUUUAUCAGACUUCUCACAUGACAUAUCUAUCAUAAUACAGACCAUGCAAUAAAAUUAAAAUAAGUUUUAUUUUUGGCUCGGAUUUGUGGUCCUGAAACCACUAUUUUGAUUUCACUAAAAAUAGACUGUUACAAGUCUCCCCCUUUAAGGAUUUUCGUCCUCGAAAAUCUUACUAGUAAAGAGGUUCGGAUAUUGCUUUCUUAUGGUAUCCUCCGGUUCCCAAGUAGCUUCUUCAAUACCAUGUCGUUGCCAAAGAACUUUUACUAAUGUUAUCCUUUUAUUUCUUAAAUCUUUUGUUUCUCGAACUAAGAUCUUGAUCGGUUCUUCACAUAUGUCAUAUCAGAUUGAAUCUUUACCUCUAUUGGAGAAAUAACAUGUGAAGGAUCUGAUUGAUACCUUUUUAGCAUAGACACAUGAAAAACAUUAUUAAUUCGAUCAAUUUCUGGCGGUAAAGCUAACCGAUAUGCAACAGGUCUAAUUCUUUCUAUGAUUUCAUAUGGUCCAAUAAACCGUGGACUUAAUUUUCCUUUAUGACUAAAUCAGAGAACUUUGUUCCAAGGUGAUACUUUCAAGAAUACCUUGUCACUGACCUAAAAUUCUAUUUCUUUCCAUUUAAGAUCAGCAUAGAACUUUUGACGACCAAAAGAUGCUUUUAAACUGUCCUGAAUUAUUUUCACCUUUUCUUCGGUUUCACGGACUAAAUCAACUCCGUGUAACCUUUUCUUACUGAGUUCUGUCCAAUACAAUGAAGUUCUACAUUGUGACCAUAUAGAGCUUCAUACGGUGCCAUUUUGAUACUGGACUAAUAACUGUUAUUAUAAGCAAAUUCAAUCAAAGACAAAUAUUUUUCCCAAUUACCUUCAAAUUCAAGUACACAACAUCGAAGCAUAUCUUUCAAGAUCUGUAUUAUACGUUCAGAUUGACCAUCUGUUUGAAGAUGGAAUGUAGUGCUAAAAUACAAUUGUGUACCGAUAGCUUUUUGUAAUUUACUCCAAAAUCAAGAUGUAAAUCGAGGAUCUCUAUCAGAAAUAAUGAAAACAAGUACUCCAUGUAAUCUAAUGAUCUCAGAGACAUAUAAUUCAGCCAAUCUAUCCAAAGAAAAUCCAUACGUAUCAAAAUGAAGUGUGCAGACUCUGUUAACCGAUCAAAAAUUACCCAAAGGACAUCUUUUUUCUUUGGAGAAAGAGGUAGCCCUGAUACAAAAUCCAUGGUAAUUCUUUCCAAUUUCCAUUUCGAUAUCGUAAUGGCUGUAAUAAUCCCGAAGGCAACUGAUGUUCAGCUUUUACUUGCCGAUAUAUUAAACAAUUGGAUACAAAAUCAGAAAUAUCUUGUUUCAUUCCCGGCCACCAGUACAUCUUUUUCAAAUCAUUAUACAUUUUAUUACUUCCAGGAUGUAUAAACAUGUUAUCAUUAUGAGUUUCAUUUAAAAUCUUCUGUCACAAAUCUGAAUUCUUUAUUACACAUAAUCUUUCUUUAAACAACAAAAAACCAUCAGUCCCGAUCUAAAAUUCUGAAUCAGGAGUUGAUUCACACUGAAUCUGUUUUGCUUGUAAAUUACUAUCAUCUUUUCGAGCUUCAGUAAUCUACUAUAAAAAUGUCGGUCUAGCCUUUAAUUCAGCUAUGAUUAAACUAUCAGCAGAUAACAUCAAUCGAGUAUUCAGAGCUCACAAAGCAAACAAGGAUUUUCUACUCAAAGCAUCUGCAACCACAUUGGCUUUUCUUGGAUGGCAGUUAAUAACCAGAUCAUAAUCUUUCAAUAAUUCAAGCCACUUACAUUGUCUCAAAUUCAAUUCUUUCUGUGACAUCAAAUACUUCAAACUUUUAUGAUCAGUGAAUAUGUGACAUUUUUCACCAAAUAAAUAAUGCCGCUAAAUUUGCAAUGCAAACACUAUGACUGCCAAUUCAAGAUCAUGUAUCGGGUAAUUUCUUUCAUGUGGUUUUAGCUUUCUUGAAGCAUAGGCUAUUACUUUACCUUUUUGCAUCAAAACACAGCCUAAACCAUUUAACGAUGCAUCAUUGUAAAUUAUAAAUUCCUUAACCGAUUCAAGUAGAAAUAACACAGGUGCUUCUUCCAAUAAGGCUUUCAAUCUAUCAAAGCUCUAUUGAUAUUUAUCAGACCACUCAAAUUUCACAUCUUUUUGCAACAAUUGAGUCAUUGGAGAAUCUAUCAUCGAAAAACCUUUUACAAACCUUCGAUAAUAUCCAGCAAGUCCUAAAAGACUUUGGACUUAAGAUACAUUCUUUGGUGGAUUCCAAUUGACAAUAGCUAAAAUUUUAUUUGGAUCUAUUCGAAUACCCUCUGCAAACACAAAUGUCUAAGAAAACCAACUUCUCGUAGCCUAAAUUCACAUUUAAUGAAUUUGGCAUGGAUAAGUCAUAAUUUAUACAUAUUUUUAUCCCAUGCUUAGCACAUUUUUGGAUGAAUUAUCAUUAGAUUUGUGGAAUUUGAUGCUCCCAAUCCUUUAAUUCAUGUUUUAUACUUGGGUGAGCAUAGGAGAGUAAAAAGAGCGAGAAACGGGCCAAAAUGGAGAAAAUGGGGCAACGUGGGAAAUCAACACAGCCUGGACUUCCUCACACGGGUAGGCCACAUGCUCGUGUCUAUUUAGCAGACUUUAACACAGCCUAAGCCACCCCACACGGGCAUGUCACACGAGCGUGUCCCUGUCGGGCCCAAGUCUAGUUCUAUUCGAAAAAGGCUAAUUUUUAGGGUUUUGAAGCAUUCUAAAGCCUAUAUAAACACCCUAGAAGAAUACCUAAAGGGAGGAGGCACCUAGAGGCGAACGAACGGAGUGGGAGGCAAGGAAUUACUUGAAGAAAGCCGAUUGAUCCAUCUCAGAAGCCGAAUUCUCCUUCGAGAUUGAAGAUCUCCCUUCAAUUUCCUUCAGGGGUUUUUUUAGGUUUCUUUAUGUUUUGUUAUUAUUAUUCUUCUGAGAUGUUUUCUUUUACACAUAUGAACUAAAUUCCCUAAAUACCUAAGGGGGAUGAAACCUAAGACAAAUCUUGUUACUAUUUUCUGAAUUAUAUGAUAAAUACUUGAUUUGUUCUUAAUUAUGUGUUCUUAAUUCUUGCUUUAAUAUUCUAGUGUAACGCCCCCACGCCUGAGACCAUCGCUGGAGUCGAGCUUGAGGGGUUACCGAACAAUAUUUAUCAAAUUAAGAACUUCAAAUCAUUUAUUUCUACAUUCACAACUUUUUAACUACCCGCGUCACAGUUACAAGAAAAAUCAUAUCUCGAGUUACGAAACUCGAAAUCUAGAUCCGUAAAUUUUCCCUAAAUCUAGACUCAUAUAUCUAUUUAAUAAUUUUUUUCUAGAAUUUUUGGUUGGGCCAAUUAGUACAGUUUAUUAGUUAAAGUCUCCCCUGUUUCAGGGUUCGACUGCUUUGACCUCUGUGUAUUACGAAUCAGAUAUUUCUCUAUACAGAAAUUAAAUGACUAUGAGGUUUGUUUCUCUUAAAACUAGACUCAAUAAAGAACCUGUACAUAUAAAUAACAACUUCUAAUUAUUUUUGUAAAAUGUAUUAUGAAUUUUUAAAGUCAGAACAGGGGAUCCAGAAAUCACUCUGGCCGUGUUUCACAAAAGUUUAAAUAUCUCAUAAAAUAUAAUUUAUAUGCCUGUUUUGUUCAAUCCACAUGAAAAUAGACUCAUUAAGAUUCAAUUUCAUAACUUACUCAUCAUUUAUUUCCAUUUAUACUAUUUUUAGUGAUUUUUCAAAUUCAUGUAAUUGCUGUAGCAAUAUUCUGUUUUAAGACAAGUUUUAUCUUUCCAUGAAUUUUUAUGAACUAGAUAACCUAUUAAACUUCCAUAAUAUCAAACAUGAUCUAAAUUAGCCAUCACCAUGACUUAUCAAUAUCAAACAUUUUCUCAACCAAACAUGGCCAUAUCAUAAAAUUAUUUACACAAAAUAAGUAUAUUGUUAUACAUGCCAUACUUAAGUUUUACAAGCCAUUUACCUAGAUGAAAGUCCUUUGGAUGCUGUGAUCGAACCUUCGACCCAUCCCGAUUCCCGAGUUGGCUUGUUCAAAACUACAGUAAAUAAAGAGGAGGGAGUAAGCAUAAAUGCUUAGUAAGUUCAUAUGUAAAUAACAAGUAACAUAACAAUACAAAUAUACCCAACAACUUUAGCAUGGUAUCACCAAAACAUAUAUCACAUUUCUAAACAUCAUUCCUCAUCUUACCACCUUAUCAUUGUUGUAUCUAUUUUCAACCCGAGGGUUAAGAACAUACCUGUCCAAAGUGUCCAUUUCACAACACUUACCAAAACGUCACUUGCAUCUUAAGUGUUCUUCCAUUUCACUAGAAAUUUCAUCCGUUGAACACAUCGGAAUACAACUCGGAUACACGGAUAAUUUGCACAUAAGUGCCUCAUAUGUAAUCAAGCUACCAUGUAACCCGCCCAUAAGUGAGCUCAGACUCAACUCAACAAGCUCGGGCGUUCGCAUCCAUAAGUGAACUCGGACUCAACUCAACGAGUUCGGAUGCCUAGUUACAUUUCACGAACUCGGACUCAACUCAACGAGUUCGGACAUUCGCAUCCAUAAGUGAACUCGGACUCAACUCAACGAGUUCGGAUGCUCAACCAUCCUAGUGACAUGUCACUUGUAUCCUAAUCUAUUCCUAAGGUUCAAACGGGUGUUUUCCUCGAUCACACAUCUUUGCCGUCUUCCACGGAAUAUCGAAAUCGAUACUUCGGUGAUAGUUCAUACUCAUCAAGUAAUUCACAUAAUUACAUAUUAUUCAACAAUAACCACAAAGCAUAAUAUUUCAUGAUAAUAAUCAGCAUCAUAUCAUAUAAACAACAUUAAAUUGCUUAAAAUGACAAUUAUGUUACUACAUUUACACAUGAACUUACCUUGGUACCAAAAUAUAAAGAUUUUGCAAUUUAGUCCACAAUCUUUUCUUUUCCUCGAUCGCGACUUGAAUCACGUUUUUCUUGAUCUAUAAUACCAAAUUAAUCUUAUUUAAUACAUACAUUCAUCAAAACAGCAUUUAAUACGAACUUUGGAAAAGUACACUUUUGCCCCUAAACUUUUGCAUAAUUACACUUUUUCCCCUAGGCUCGGGAAUUAAACUUUAUUCCUUAUUCUUAUGUUUUAUAACAUGCUGAUCAUUUUUCCCUUCUAUGGCAACAUCAAAUUCUCUCUCUAACAUAUACUUGUGACUAUUAGGUAUUUUUGUCGAUUAAGCCCUUUUACUCGUUUUCACUCAAAACCGAGUAGCACAAGUUGUCUAACAUAAUUUAAAACCCCAUAUUCUAUCAUAAAACAUCAAAAUACACAAAUUUCACCUAUGGGUAUUUUUCCAAAUAUAAACCCUAGGUUGAAUUAUUUCUAACAUAAGCUUAAUCGAGCUAUCGGGAUUCCAAAAACGUAAAGAACAUUAAAAACGGGGCUUGGAAUCACUUACUAUGGAGCUUGGAAGCUUGAAACAAACCAUAGCUAUGGAGAACCCUUGAAAUUUCGGCCUAAUGAAGAAGAUGGACAAAAAUUGGCUUUUAAUUUUGUUUUUAAUUCAUUUUAAUAACUAAAUGACAAAAAUACCCUUACUACUAAACUUUCCAAAAAUUCCUUCCAUGUCCUAAUUUUGUCCAUGAACUUAAAAUUGGUCAAAUUACUAUUUAAGACCUCCUCAUUAAUAUUCCAAAACAAUUUCAUACUAAAAACUUCUAGAAUGCAAGUUUUGCAACUUAUUCGAUUUAGUCCCUACUUUCAAUUUAAGCACUUUAGGCAUAGAAUUUCAUCAUGAAAUUUUCACACAAUCAUGCAAUCAUAUCAUAAACAUCAAAAUAAUUGUAAAAUAAUUAUUUCUAUCUCGGAUUUGUGGUCACAAAACCACUAUUUCGAUUAAGCCCUAAUUUAGGAUAUUACAACUCUCUCCCCCUUUUAAGGAUUUUCGUCCUCGAAAAUCUUACUGGUAAACAGGUGUGGGUAUUGGUUUUUCAUAGUUUCUUCAGGUUCCCAUGUAGUCUCUUCUACCCCAUGCUUUUGCCACAACACUUUCACAAGUGCUACACUUUUAUUUCUUAGUUGUUUGACUUCUCGAGCUAAAAUCUUAAUCAGUUCUUCUUCAUAAGUCAUAUCCGGUCGUAGUUUAACUUCUUUCGGUGAAAUUAUAUGUGAAGGAUCCGAAAGAUACCGACGUAACAUAGAUACAUGAAACACAUCAUGAAUCUUCUCUAAUUCAGGUGGUAACGAUAGCCGAUAUGUUACCGGUCCAACUUUUUCAAUUAUUUCAUACGGUCCAAUAAAACGCGGGCUUAACUUGCCCUUUCGUCCAAAUCUAAGGACUUUCUUCCAUGGAGACACUUUCAAAAAUACCUUAUCACCAACUUGAAACUCCAUUUCUUUUCGUUUCAAAUCCGCAUAAGAUUUCUGUCUAUCUGAAGCAGCUUUCAAACAAUCUCGAAUCACUUUCACCUUUUCUUCGGUUUCUUUUAUUAAAUCAACUCCAUAAAUCUGACUUUCCUUGAGUUCAGUCUAAUACAAUGGCGUCCGACAUUUACGACCAUAUAAUGCUUCAUAAGGUGCCAUCUUCAAACUUGUCUGAUAACUAUUAUUAUAAGCAAAUUCUACCAAUGGUAAGUACCCUUCCCAACUAUCUUGAAAUUCCAAUACGCAACAUCUGAGCAUGUCUUCAAGAAUCUGAAUUACUCUCUCUGAUUGUCCAUCAGUUUGUGGAUGAAAGGCAGUGCUGAAAUUUAACUUUGUACCUAAUGCUUCUUACAACUUUUUCCCAAACCGUGAGGUAAACCUCGGAUCUCUAUCCGAAAUGAUUGACAAAGGUAUCCCAUGAAGUCUAACAAUCUCUCGGAUUUACAAUUCAGCCAACUUAUUAAGAGAAUAAUCUGUACGUACCGGAAUAAAAUGAGCCGAUUUAGUCAGUCUGUCAACUAUUGCCCAGAUGGCAUUUUUCUUCCCUAGAGUUAACGGCAACCCAGAUAUAAAAUCCAUAGUAAUCCGAUCCCAUUUCCAUUCAGGAACCAUAAUAGGCUGAAGUAAUCCCGAAGGUACUUGGUGUUCAGCUUUCACUUGUUGACAAACUAAGCACUUUGAAACAAACUCGAAAAUAUCUCUUUUCAUUCCACUCCACCAGUACAUUUUCUUCAAGUCAUUAUACACCUUCGUACUGCCCGGAUGAACCACUAAACAACUAUUAUGUGCUUCAUGCAAAAUCUUUUGAAUCAACUCAUCAUUUUUCGGUACACAAAUCUGAUUUUUAAACAUCAAACAACCAUCAGAACCGAUUCUGAAAUUUGAUCCCGUAUCAGCUUCACACUGUUUUCUUUUGGCUAGCAAAUCUUGAUCAUUUUUUUGAGCUUCAGAAAUCUCUUGUAAAAACAUCGGUCUUGCUCUUAACUCUGCUAGAAUCGAACCGUCAUCUGACAUUUUCAACUGAGUGUUCAUAACUCUCAAAGCAAACAACAACUUUCUACUUAAAGCAUCGGCAACCACAUUCGCUUUUCCCGGAUGAUAAUCGAUAACAAGAUCGUAAUCUUUCAAUAACUCUAACCAUCUUCGCUGUCUCAAAUUCAAGUCUUUUUGUGACAUCAAGUAUUUAAGACUUUUGUGAUCGCUAUAUACUCGGCACUUUUCACCAUACAAAUAAUGUCGCCAAAUCUUCAAAGCAAACACCACUGCAGCCAAUUCCAAAUAGUGAGUAGGAUAAUUCCUCUCAUGAGGUUUUAACUGCCUCGAAGCAUAAGCCACCACUUUUCCUUCUUGCAUGAGUACACACCCCAAACCAUUUAGAGAAGCAUCACUAUACACCACAAAUUCUUUACCUGAUUCGGGUUGUAUCAACACUGGUGCUUCAGUUAAUAACUUUUUCAAUUCUUCGGAACUCUGUUGACAUUCUUCCAUCCAUUCAAAUUUAACAUCCUUUCGGAGUAGUCUAGUCAUAGGAGUAGCAAUUAUAGAAAAUCCAUUUACAAACCGUCGAUAAUACCCAGCUAGCCCUAAGAAACUCCUAACUUCAGUUACAUUUUUCGGUGGUUUCCAAUCAACAGUGGCUGAAAUUUUACUAGGAUCAACCCGUAUACCAUCACCUGAAACAAUAUGACCCAAAAAUCCAACUUCCCAGAGCCAAAAUUCACUUUUACUAAACUUAGCAUACAGCUGCUUAUCUCUCAAAGUUUGCAAAACUAUCCUCAAAUGCUCAGCAUGCUCUGUCUCAUCUUUUGAAUAAAUUAAAAUAUCAUCUAUAAACACCACAACAAAUCUGUCCAGGUAUGGCCGAAAUAUGCGAUUCAUUAAGUCCAUAAACACAGCAGGAGCAUUUGUCAACCCAAACGGCAUAACUAAAAAUUCAUAAUGACCGUACCUUGUUCUAAAAGCAGUUUUAGGCACAUCUGGCUCUUUUACUCGCAGCUGAUAAUACCCAGACGUCAAGUCAAUCUUUGAAAACCAUGUCGCUCCUUUUAGCUGAUCAAACAAAUCAUCAAUUCUCGGCAACGGAUACUUGUUUUUGAUUGUCACCUUGUUUAACUGCCGAUAAUCAACACAUAAUCUCAUAGAACAAUCCUUCUUUUUCACAAAUAACACGGGAGCACCCCAAGGUGAAAAACUCGAUCUCACAAAGCCUUUAUCAGUCAACUCUUGCAACUGCGAGUUUAAUUCCUUCAACUCUGUUGGUGCCAUUCUAUAUGGAGCAAUCGAGAUCGGAGCUGUUCCCAGUAUCAAAUCUAUACCAAAUUCUACUUCCCUGACUGGAGGCAAACCCGGUAAUUCUUCUGGAAAUACGUCUGCAAAUUCACACACAACCGGCACUGAUUCAACUUUCUUUUCAACUUCUUUUGUAUUAAUUACAUACGCCAAAUAAGCUUCAUAACCCUUUCUCAAAUAUCUCUGAGCCGACAUCGAAGAAAUCAUACUAGAUAAUGCCUCUGAUUUGUCUGGCUCAACCCGCAGAAUUUCACCACUUUCACACUUUAAUUCUAUAACAUUUUCUUUGCAAUUUAUUAUAGCAUCAUGCAAUGUCAACCAAUCCAUACCCAAAAUAACAUUAAAUUCAUCAAACGGCAACAACAUCAAGUCGGCCGGAAAGUAAUGACCCCGAAUCAUUAAAGGGCAUUUCUUACUUACUUUAUCAACUAUCACGCAUUUGCCUAGUGGAUUCGACACUCUAAUCAUAAAUUAUGUGUUCUCAACAGGUAUAUUCAUACUAGACACCAGUUUCAUGCAUACAUAUGAAUGAGUAGAACCAGGAUCAAUCAAAGCAAUAACAUUAAUAUCAUAAAGAGAAAAUGUACCGGUAAUCACAUCGGGUGAGAAAGCAUCUUCACGUGCUUUAAUAGCAUAAGUUCUAGCCGGAGCUCUUCCCUCAGAUCUAACUGCUGCAUCUCUGGCUACAUUCUUACUGCUUGUUUCACUUCCAGCUUUUCUCGGAUACCUUCCCCUCGAGUUUGCACCACUAGCUUUUACACUCUGAAAUUUUUCUUUCUCAGCUCUUUCUGGGCAGUCUCUAAUAAAAUGAUCCGGAGAACCACAUCGAAAACAUUCAUUUGCUCUGCACGGACCAAAAUGAUUUCUACCACACCGCUAGCACUCGUGUUUAACAAAUCUCGUAUUUCUCACACUAGCCGCAGAAGUAGUCUGAGAUUUAGGACCCACAUUCUGCUUCUUAAAAUUUCCAUAUGAUUGCCCAGCUGAAACUUGGGAACGAGGAUUCAUAUUUCUUGACUUUCCGGUUUGUUGUGAGGGUGCAUUACUCAUUGGUCUUUUCUUCCAAUUUUGUGUUUCAGAUUCUACCUUUUACUUUUCGUUCAGUAAUUCUUCAGCCUUGCAAGCUCGAUCAACCAGUACUACCAUUUCUUUCAGUUCAAGGAUCCCGACAAAUACCUUAAUGUCUUCGUUGAGCCCGUCUUCAAAUCGUCGGCACAUCUUGGCUUCUGUAGGAACAUAUUCCCUGGCAUACUUACUCAAUCGAACAAACUCUCUUUCAUAUUCUGAGACUGUCAUAUUACCUUGCUUCAGCUCAAGAAACUCUUUACAUUUCUGAUCAAUAAAUCUUUCACUAAUAUAUUUCUUCCGAAACUCUUCUUGAAAGAAUUCCCAGGUUACCCUCUUGUUCGGAACCACCGAAAUCAAAGUCUUCCACCAAUUAUAGGCUGAAUCUCUCAACAAAGAUGUAGCACAUUUCAAACAUUCUUCAGGUGUACAAGAUAAUUCAUCAAAUACCCGGACAGAAUUUUCAAGCCAGAACUCUGCUUUCUCUGCAUCAUCAUCAAUAUUUGCUCUAAAUUCUUCAGCCCCUUGUUUACGAAUUCUAUCAACGGGGCUUCUAUGAAAUUUUAUCAUAUCCACUCCUUAAGGCAUCGGAGGCAUAGGUUGAGGAAUUGGGGGAGGUGGGGGAGGUCGUACAUUUGGGUUCGUACGAACGAACUUAGUGUACCAUACACUCAUCAUUUGGAGAAAGGCUUCCCGAUCCCUUUCUCCUCCUCCCUGACCAACAGUAGGGGGUGGGUUUUUAGUCGGCGCUGCCCCUUCAGCCGGAGCUGGCGCAUUACUCUCUACAUCAUCUGCCACAGCUGGAUCGAGAUCCAUUUAGCAUGUAAAAAUCAUUUAAAAAGGUCAGAAGUCGUCACACUAUCACAAUUCAUACAUAUGGCAUGUAUAGCAAAAUCCGUACAUACAACACGUAGUCUGAGAAUCGACUAAACCUGCUCUGAUACCACUAAAUGUAACGCCCCCACGCCCGAGACCAUCGCCGGAGUCGAGCUUGAGGGGUUACCGAACAAUAUUUAUCAAAUUAAGAACUUCAAAUCAUUUAUUUCUACAUUCACAACUUUUUAACUACCCGUGUCACAGUUACAAGAAAAAUCAUAUCUCGAGUUAUGAAACUUGAAAUAUAGAUCCGUAAAUUUUCCCUAAAUCUAGACUCAUAUAUCUAUUUACUAAUUGUUUUCUAGAAUUUUUGGUUGAGCCAAUUAGUACAGUUUAUUAGUUAAAGUCUCCCCUAUUUCAGGGUUCGACUGCUUUGACCUCUGUGUAUUACGAAUAAGAUAUUUCUCUAUACAUAAAUUAAAUGACUAUGAGGUUUGUUUCUCUUAAAACUAGAAUCAAUAAAGAACCUGUACAUAUAAAUAAAAACUUCUAAUUAAUUUUUUAAAAUGUAUUAUGAAUUUUUAAAGUCAGAACAAGGGAUCCAGAAAUCACUCUGGCCUUGUUUCACAAAAGUUUAAAUAUCUCAUAAAAUAUAAUUUAUAUGCCUGUUUUGUUCAAUCCACAUGAAAAUAGACUCAUUAAGAUUAAAUUUCAUAACUUACUCAUCAUUUAUUUCCAUUUAUACUAUUUUUAGUGAUUUUUCAAAUUCAUGUAAUUGCUGCAGCAAUAUUCUAUUUUAAGGCAAGUUUCAUCUUUCCAUGAAUUUUUAUGAACUAGAUAACCUAUUAAACUUCCAUAAUAUCAAACAUGAUCUAAAUUAGCCAUCACCAUGACUUAUCAAUAUCAAACAUUUUCUCAACCAAACAUGGCCAUAUCAUAAAAUUAUUUACACAAAAUAAGUAUAUUGCUAUACAUGCCAUACUUAAGUUUUACAAACCAUUUACCAAGAUGAAAGUCCUUUGGAUAGUGUGAUCGAACCUUCGACCCAUCCCGAUUCCCGAGCUGGCUUGUUCAAAACUACAGUAAAUAAAGAGGAGGGAGUAAGCAUAAAUGCUUAGUAAGUUCAUAUGUAAAUAACAAGUAGCAUAACAAUACAAAUAUACCCAACAACUUUAGCAUGGUAUCACCAAAACAUAUAUCACAUUUCUAAACAUCAUUCCUCAUCUUACCAUCUUAUCAUUGUUGUAUCUAUUUUCAACCCGAGGGUUAAGAACAUACCUAUCCAAAGUGUCCAUUUCACAACACUUACCAAAAUGUCACUUGCAUAUUAAGUGUUCUUCCAUUUCACUAGAUAUUUCACCCGUUGAACACAUCGGAAUACAACUCGAAUAUAUGGAUAAUUUGCACAUAAGUGCCUCAUAUGUAAUCAAGCUACCAUGUAACCCGCCCAUAAGUGAACUCAGACUCAACUCAACGAGCUCGAGCGUUCGCAUCCAUAAGUGAACUCGGACUCAACUCAACGAGUUCGGAUGCCUAGUUACAUUUCACGAACUCGGACUCAACUCAACGAGUUCGGACAUUCGCAUCCAUAAGUGAACUCGGACUCAACUCAACGAGUUCGGAUGCUCAACCAUCCUAGUGACAUGUCACUUGUAUCCUAAUCUAUUCCUAAGGUUCAAACGGGCGUUUUCCUCGAUCACACAUCUUUGCCGUCUUCCACGGAAUAUCAAAAUCGGUACUUCGGUGAUAGUUCAUACUCAUCAAGUAAUUCACAUAAUUACAUAUUAUUCAACAAUAACCACAAAGCAUAAUAUUUCAUGAUAAUAAUCAGCAUCAUAUCAUAUAAACAACAUUAAAUUGCUUAAAAUGACAAUUAUGUUACUACAUUUACACAUGAACUUACCUUGGUACCAAAAUAUAAAGAUUUUGCAAUUUAGUCCACAAUCUUUUCUUUUCCUCGAUCGCGACUUGAAUCACGUUUUUCUUGAUCUAUAAUACCAAAUUAAUCUUAUUUAAUACAUACAUUCAUCAAAAUAGCAUUUAAUACGAACUUUGGAAAAAGUACACUUUUGCCCCUAAACUUUUGCAUAAUUACACUUUUUCCCCUAGGCUCGGGAAUUAAACUUUAUUCCUUAUUCUUAUGUUUUAUAACAUGCUGAUCAUUUUUCCCUUCUAUGGCAACAUCAAAUUCUCUCUCUAACAUAUACUUGUGACUAUUAGGUAUUUUUGUCGAUUAAGCCCUUUUACUCGUUUUCACUCAAAACCGAGUAGCACAAGUUGUCUAACAUAAUUUAAAACCCCAUAUUCUAUCAUAAAACAUCAAAAUACACAAAUUUCACCUAUGGGUAUUUUUCCAAAUAUAAACCCUAGGUUGAAUUAUUGCUAACAUAAGCUUAAUCGAGCUACCGGGAUUCCAAAAACGUAAAGAACAUUAAAAACGGGGCUUGUAAUCACUUACUAUGGAGCUUGGAAGCUUGAAACAAACCAUAGCUAUGGAGAACCCUUGAAAUUUCGGCCUAAUGAAGAAGAUGGACAAAAAUUGGCUUUUAAUUUUGUUUUUAAUUCAUUUUAAUAACUAAAUGACCAAAAUACCCUUACUACUAAACUUUCCAAAAAUUCCUUCCAUGUCCUAAUUUUGUCCAUGAACUUAAAAUUGGUCAAAUUUCUAUUUAAGACCUCUUCAUUAAUAUUCCAAAACAAUUUCAUACCAAAAACUUCUAGAAUGCAAGUUUUGAAACUUAUUCGAUUUAGUCCCUACUUUCAAUUUAAGCACUUUAGGCAUAGAAUUUCAUCACGAAAUUUUCACGCAAUCAUGAAAUCAUAUCAUAAACAUCAAAAUAAUUGUAAAAUAAUUAUUUCUAUCUCAAAUUUGUGGUCACGAAACCACUAUUCCGAUUAAGCCCUAAUUCAGGAUAUUACAUCUAGGAUAUUGAUUCAAGCAUUGAUGUGCUUAUUUAGAGGAGCAAAAGCCCCUGUCUAAGAGUAGAUCUAACAUAAUUAAGCAGAGGUGAUUGCACCCCUAGACAUUGGGCGACAUAAAUCUGUCGGAUUAGGGUCAAACCUAAUAAGGGAAUCCAUAGAUCGAGUUAAUGCAACACUAGGGGUUUUAAUUACAAAGAGAUUUCAAUGAAUCAACCUAGGGUUAGACAUUGUUAGUCUCGAGAGAGAUAAUAAUAUAAAUUAAGGAUUUCUACGGAUCGAGUUAUGUGAAUAAAUCGUCUAGUUCAGCGUCAAAUAACAAGUGAAGUCUAGGUGGAUUCUUCCUUGGGUAUUGUCUGAAUCAAUCAAUUUUCCCAUAAGUAUUUCCCCAAUGUACUUCUUGUGCAUUCUUAGUUUAGUUAAUUAGUUUAGAUAAAGCAAAUCCCCUUAUUUUUAGGCUAGAUAAUAAAAAAAGGUUAAUACUAGUACUUUUAGUUCCUGUGGGUUCGACAUUCCGGUAUUGCUAUAAGCUAUACUUCUGUUCGAUAUGUGCGCUUGCAUUUAUCGUGAUAAUAGUUAGUUUUCAAGUACGGUCAAUCAUAAUAUAAAACUUAUCAUGCACAUCAAGUUUUUGGAGCCGUUGCCGGGGUCUAAGAUAUUAGGAACGCUUAAUUUUUAUUACUUUAGCUAUUUAUUUUAUUGCAAUUUAAUUUUUAUUUUAAUUUUGUUUAUAUCACUAAAUUUUAUUUUAUUUACUUCUGACAGGUUUUUAAUAGUUUAUGACUAGAAGAAAACCGUCAGGACCCUUACUUUUUGAUAGUGAGAUCGAAAGCAUAGCUCGAGAAAUCGAAGAGAAAUAAGGCGAAGCCUAAGAUACAUAGAGGAAGAGGGAGCGGAAGAUAUUCACACCACAACCGAUGAGAUGGUUGAAAAUCAGGCUCCUACGAUUGCUGCUGAUCCAGUAAAUCAGAAUCUUGCUCCUCAUACUAUGUAUGAUUAUGCUAAACCUAACUUAACAGGAAUUGAAUCGAGUAUAGUUAGACCUGCUGUUGCUGUAAAUAAUUUUGAACUGAAACCUAACACAAUUCAAAUGGUACAACAGUUCGUUCAGUUUGAUGGUUUGCAGGACGAGGAUCCAAACACUCAUUUAGAAAAUUUUUUGGAACUCUGCGACACAUUUAAAAUCAAUGGCGUUUCUGAUGAUGUCAUUCGCCUUCGAUUAUUCCCUUUUUCAUUAAGGAAUAAGGCUAAACAUUGGUUAAACUCGUUACUACGAGGGUCAAUCACUACUUGGGAACAAAUGGUCUAAAAGUUUUACUUAAAUAUUUUCCGCCGGCUAAAACGGUUAAAUUGAGGAAUGAUAUCUGUUCUUUUGUGCAGAUGGAUCUAGAAACUCUUUAUGAUGUAUGGGAGAGUUAAAAUGACCUAUUGAGAAGGUGCCCUCACCAUGGGUUACCCUUAUGGUUGUAGGUUCAGACAUUUUACAAUGGUGUGAGCCCCUCAACAAGCCAACUGAUCGACUCAGCCGCCGGUGGAACAUUAAACAACAAAACACCUGAAGAGAAUUAUGAAUUUAUUGAAGAGAUGUCACUGAAUAACUAUCAGUGGCAAGUCAUGAGAACAAAACUGAAAAAAGCAGCUGGUGUUUUCAACCUCGACGCGGUCACUAUACUGUCAAACCAGCUAGAACUUUUAAAUAAAAAGAUUGCUGGUGUAUAUAGUUUUACUCAGGUACAUCUAGUGAUGAGGUGUGAUUCAAAUGGAGGAAUGCACAACCCAGAUUUUCCACCCUUCAACCCUGGCACCAAGAAGGAACAAGUUCACUACAUGGGUAAUAACUCUAGACCUCAAAAUAACCCAAAUAGUAACACUUAUAAUGCAGGUUGGAGGAACCAUCCCAAUUUCUCGAGGGGUGGUAAAGGAAAUCAAAGGCCACAGCAUCCUCCGAGUUUUCAACAACCACCUUACCAGCAGGAAAAGAAAUUGAACUUUGAGGAGAUGCUAACGAAAUUCAUAGUGGUAUCUGAAACAAGUUUCCAAAACACCGAGACAGCUCUUAGAAAUCAGCAAGCAUCAAUUCAAGGGCUCGAGAAUCAAACAGGCCAGUCAGCAAAGAUAAUUUCCGAAUGACCACAAGGUAGUUUGCUGAGUAAUACUGAAAAUAACCCAAGGGAGCAGCUUAAUGCAAUUACUGUUCGAGAUGAAGAAGGAUUAGUGGAACCUGAACCAGAACCGAGGCAAUGAAUUGUGGUAAGAAAAGGUAAGGAUGAGGUGGACCACAGCGAGAAAAAACCGGUAAGUAGAGAAUAUAAACCUCGAGUACCAUACCCAAGUGCGACAAGGAAAUACUACACGAAUGAACAAUUUGGUAAAUUCCUUAAAUUAUUAAAGAAAUUACAUAUUAACUUACCGUUUAUUGAAAUUCUUUGGCAGAUGCCAAACGCGGUUAAAUUUUUAAAGGAGAUUUUAACAAAUAAGCGGUAGUUGCAUGACGCAUCACAUGUAGAGCUUAAAGCAGUUUGUUCGAUGAUUCUGCAAAAUAAAUUACCUCGCAAAUUAAAAGAUCCAGGGAGUUUUAGAAUUCCUUGUUUAAUUGGUAGUUUAACUGUGAACAAUGCUUUAGCUUAUUUAGGGGCAAGUAUAACUGUUAUGCCUUAUAAAAUGUUUAAACAGCUAGGUCUUGGGAAAUCCAAACAAAUUAGGAUGAGCAUUCAAUUGGCUGAUAAAACCAUUAGAUUUCCUAGGGGUAUCAUUGAAGAUGUUCUUGUUAAAAUCGAUAAAUUUAUGUACCCAGUAGACUUUGUUGUUUUAGACAUGGAUGAGGAUAGUAACGUGCCUUUAGUUCUAGAGAGACCCUUUCUAGCAAUUGCUAGGACUAUCAUUGAUGUUGGUACAGGUGAACUCACAUUACGUGCAGGUGAUGAAACAAUUACCUUUCAAGCUCGCGACUCGAUUAAAACACCAAGUAAUGGAGGUAAUUGUAUAAAUUCUAUUAUUAAGAUUGAUCAUGUGGUUCCACCUUCGUUGUAGGAAGCACUUCUAAAAGAUGCAACUGAGCCUCGUCUUAACAUAUGCAAAGACCAAACUAUCUAUGAAGAGCGACGACUACAGAUUUAGGGAUUAGAUGAAUGGCAGCUACCGGUAAAGGAAAAAUAGAAAUACACGAUAAACCAAAUCAGCGCCAAGACAAACCUAAGGUUAAGAGGAAUCAAUUUAAGAUAAGGGACGAGGUGAUAUUGGAUGAAGCAGACCGUCGAAUUGAAGCACACAAGUCUAAUGCAAAUGAAGUAACACCCUUUACGGUACUGAAUAUUUUGCUAUACGGUACAGUCGAGGUAACACAUCCCAAAGUCAGCACUUUCAAGGUAAAUAGUACUCGACUUAAACCUUAUUUUGUUAAGAAUGAUAGCAGAAAAGAGGAGUUUCAACUCCUUGAAGCACCAUGACUAUGCGAAAUCGAGGUAAGUCAAGCUUAGACUAUAAAUAAGCACUUUUCGGGAGGCAACCCGAGCACUAAUGGUGUUGAUUUCUUUAAAUUUUAGUUUUUAACAUCUAAAUCAUUAACUGAGUCCUUGAACACAGGUUUGCCAAAUCCACACGACCAGGCACACGGGCGUGCCUUAGGCCGUGCUCAUACCACGGGCGGUGACACGGCUGUGCGAUACGACUAUGUGAAAAUAGAGAAAUUUUUUUCUUAAAACACGGGAUUCAAUACGUUGCCACGACCGUGCGACAUGACCGUGGGCAAUCUGCCAAAUUAACAAGGGCAUGCAACACGCCUGUGCCCACCACUCGUGGUCGAAACUGUCAAAAUAACACGGGCGUGCACAUAUAUACACGGACGUGGAAAAAGAAAAUGAAGCAGGAUACUGCUGUGCGACACGGCUGUGUGCACCAAUACGCCCAAAGACCACGGGCGUGGGCUGAAUUACAGACGCACCUAAAUUUGAAAACCACGAAACACACGGGCUGAAAUAAGGGCACAUGGGCGUGCCCCAGGCCGUGUGCCUCAAUAUCUAUAUAAACCCCCACUAUUCAUCAUCCCCUUCCCCAAUACCCUAACCCUAGCUGCCGCUCUCUCCGCCGCCGUCGCCACCUAAGCUCCAACCAUCACCCCAAAAUCCACCCUUUCUCCUCCCUUUUCCUCCAUACGCAUUAAAUCUUCUCUCUUGUCCUCCCUUCCCUACACAUUCUUUUCUUAUUCUCUCUUUCUCCACACUACAAACCCCCACCAUCGCGCCGUCGCUCCUCUGGCCACCUAUCCUUCAGUUUCGGCUUUCUCUUCUCUUUUGCCUUCUAUUGAUGCUUACUAUCAUGAUGAUCUUAAUUUUCCCCUAUUACUUACAUUUUGUUUAUUAAUUGUUUAUCAUAUCAUCCUCGUUCUUAGGAUCUAUUUCACGUAUUUUGUACCUUUUUUACCAUUAUUAGCUACUUUCAUCUAUUUUGUGUUGAAUUUAGUCAUGCUAUUACUAUGCCACUUGCCAUGAAAUUUCUGUUGUAAAUUAAUUUAUGUUAUGAAGUUUGAUUGCUUUUGGUUGAGUCUUGUUAGUGUCAUUAGUUUUUGGUUGAAUUUGUUAGUUUAAUUAUAUUCAUGGUUAAUUCCUUUUUGGAUUUGUUAGCAUAUGUUAUCUUCUUCGUUCAAUAAGACAUGAUAACCAUUCUUCUUGUAGGCAUACCAUGUCAAAUCCACGUAGUAAGAAAACCGCCACCCCUUCCUACAGUUUCCCUUAGGACCCCAGGAGGAAAUUUUUCAGAUACUCCGUGCGAGACCCAUCAGCGUGGGCUGAUGUAUUGAUUGGACCGCUCUAGAGCAGAUCCAAUUCACUGACGCAGUCCGAGCUCUCCUGACUACUGACCUAUGGGGCUCUUCUUUGAGAUCGUCGAGACGACAUAUCUCGAGCUCAUAUUAGAACUAUGUUCGGCCUUCCACCUUUAAACCGUUAUGAUAGAGUUCGACAAUCCCAAAAUGGUCCAGUUCUGUCUCGGUGGUUUAGUUUGCCAGUUGAGCGUGCCUGAGUUCGGUGUCGCAUUAGGACUAUAUACGGAGGAGUUCAUGAAUGCCAACGACUUCAACAGUCUCUAUCGCCACAUCCACUAUUCUCCUUCAAAUUGCUGGGAGGCCCUAGUAACUAUUUCGGCCACUUUAUGACCCUAGCUGCUCUAAGGCAUCGGCUCUCGCCCCAUCACUGAGAUACUUACACGCCAUCCUAGCCCACAUACUGACAGGACGGCGAGAGAGUACUGGCGUUGUCAACACUAACAACGCCUAUUUUUUAUGGAGCAUGGUGCAUGGGCACGCAGUCGACCUCACUUAUUUCAUCGCCCUCGCCAUUCUCCAUCAGACAGAGCGACAUAGGAAGGGAGUUCUUUCCAUCGGCCCUUAUGUGACUCGCCUAGCGUGGUACUUUGGUCUCCUCAAGACGGCGGCGCAAUCAUCCUCCCUUACCCUCAUCGGUCAGAUAUCCUCAUAGGGCAUCUUGAGUAUGCUCUAUAUGAGGAUGAUCGAGCGACGACGUGGAUUUGAUCCUCCUCAGCACCGCCUCUUCCAGUCAUCCGAGCAGGAGGACCCAGAGGACAUUACUGAUGAUGUCCCUCCACCUCACGAGGAUCCACCAUCUCAGCCACCACCUAUUCAUCGUCCAGUUCAUGCUGCUACUUUACUCUCUGACAUCUCUGAGCGUCUCACUCGGUUCAAGUAGUAAUGUUUUUAGCGCUUUGAUCACAUUGAUGCAACCUUACAUCAGAUUUGUCAGCACCUUCACAUCUCAUCGCCACCCCCACCUCGCAAACCAUCUGGCGAUGAGGAUUGUUGAGAACUUUUAUUUAUUAUUUUUAUUAUUUACUUUUUUUCUUUAUUUAUCUUUUUAAAUUACUUUAUAUUUUAUUUCUCUUUAAUAGUAUUUUUACUUCAUCUUUAGGGUUUACAAUUUAUAUUAAGCAAUUUAUGUUUUCGACCAUUUCUUUACUAGUAAUCAUGCUACUUCAUAUUUCCUAAAGAGUUAUUGAUUCUAUCGCAGUUAUGAAGAGCUCCAAAGCUCACUAUUACUUAGGAAUUUGCAACUCCACUGGAAAAGGUCCCCCAUGAUGCCAUGCCCUGCUCGACCAUGGCUAUAGCUACCACUAGUUAUAAUGUUCUUUUGGCUCAGCACUUGUGGACUAACAACCUCUACCACCACCGGAGUAUCCUCCUCCAAUCUCACCCUUGCCUUAGUCGAUUACUUUUCAUGACUCCAAUUUAAGGAUUCCAUUUAACAUUCAGAAAGUUUCACUUCUCUCCCUAUCUUAUGAUCUUAUAUCUAUAUUUUUUAGUAAAUCUAUCUUUGUACAUUGAGGACAAUGUACAUCUUAAUUGUAGGGGGUUAUUUAUAUUAUUAUCAAAAAAAUCCCUAAAUUUUGUCUUAUUCUCACGUAACUCACUCAUAUCACUAUUAGAAUGAAUUUUGAUUAAUUUAUGAUUUUUAUUGAUAUGUCUUGAAUUAAAACAUAGGCAUUUAUGCAUUGAUUGUUUAAACUUUAAGUAAUUAGAGAAUCAAGUAUGAUAAGUUGAUUUUUGAGAAUUAAAAAUUUUUAGGUUAUUUCCCCAAGUUUAGGUAUUAUCUUGAAGUUGAAAUUCACAGGAUUAACAUAAAAAAGCCAUAAUUUUUAUGAGAUCUUGAGCCUUUGGAGCAUAUAUUAUUUCUUUCAUGCUACUUUUAUUGUUGCUAUGAGUGCGUCAAUAUUGAUUUGUUAUUCUAGAACUUUCUUCGAUUAUGCAUGUCAAGACCACACUAUUAAUUUGAUAUGUCAAGAUGAUAAAGGCACUUAGGUUUAACCCACUCACUCCAUAAAAGUCUACCUUCAUAAUUAACCCUUAGUGAACCCCCUUGAGCCUAGCAAGCCAUUCAUUGAUUUACCCUCAAUAUUAACCUAUAACCCAUUUUUGUUGAAAUCCCCUCAAAUUAAUUUGAUCCCUAUUAUUUUUUGAGAUUUGAUUUGAAUAAAUUGAUUAGCUAUGUUUUAUUUUUGAUAGUUAGCAAAGUUCUAUGUUACUUGAUUUGUUCUUAAGAAAAAAAAACGAAGUUGCUACAAUUAAGAUUUGUCGUCUAGCAUAUUACGAAAUUAUGUAAUGCUUGGAUUAAAACGAUGUUAUCCAUGAAGAAAAGCUCAAUUCUAGGAUCAUUUAAUUAGGAAUGUAAUUUUUCAGUUUUAGUAUUUUUCUAGUUAGGUAAAUCUUCAAUUUAAUCUCGAUUCUAACCUUCUCUUUUAGUUUGUGACCACACCCCCUAACCAAAGCCACAUUACAACCCUCUAAAGACCUUUUAAUUGAUGUAUCAUCUCAAUACAUAGUGGUGGAGAUUUGAUUUUCACGCAAGCCUAUGGUAAUAACUUUUCAUAUUGACUGUUGAGUGCUAAAUUUGUUGUCCUUAAACACCUCGAGUGAUUUGAGUGAAUCUUUAGUGAUGAUGUUAAACUCUGUAAUAUUUUGAAUCAAAGGUGAUUACUUAGAUGAGGGGAGACACCUAUGUUUUUGUGAUAAAAUGCUCAACUUGGAAUGUUUGAAACUUUGAUGUUCUUUUAGUUGAAUUCUCAAUGUAUGAUUACGUAUGGAUUAUUUUAAGAUAUUAUUCAUAGGAAUUAUAAGUUGAGAAAAAUGAAUUCUUAAUUGUGAAUUGAGGAUUUUGCUUAAGGACAAACAAACGCUUAAGUGUGGGGGUAUUUGAUAAGUCGUAAUUAUCCCAUGCUUAGUACAUUUUUGGAUGAAUUAUCAUUAGAUUUGUGGAAUUUGAUGCUCCUAAUCCUUUAAUUUCAUGUUUUAUACUUAAGUGAGAAUAGGAGAGUAAAAAGAGCGAGAAACUGGACAAAAAAGGAGAAAAUGGGUCAACGUGGGAAAUCAACACAGCCUGGACUUCCUCACACGGGUAGACCACACGCCUGUAUCUAUUUAGCAGACUUUAACACAGCCUCAGCCACCCCACACAGGCGUGUCACACGGGCGUGUCCCUGUCGGGCCCAAGUCUAGUUCUAUUCAAAAAAGGCUAAUUUUUAGGGUUUUGAAGCAUUCUAAAGUCUAUAUAAACACCCUAGAAGAAUACCUAAAGGAAGGAGGCACCUAGAGGGGAACACAAGGAAUGGGAGGCAAGGAAUUACUCGAAGAAAGCCGAUUGAUCCAUCUCUGAAGCCGGAUUCUCCUUCAAGACUGAAGAUCUCCCUUCAAUUUCCUUCAGGGUUUUUUUGGGUUUCUUUAUGUUUUGUUUUUAUUAUUCUUCUGAGAUGUUUUCUUUUACACAUAUGAACUAAAUUCCCUAAAUACCUAAAGGGGAUGAAACCUAAGAUGGAUCUUGUUACUAUUUUCUGAAUUAUAUGAUAAAUACUUGAUUUGUUCUUAAUUAUGUGUUCUUAAUUCUUGCUUUAAUAUUCCAGGAUAUUGAUUCAAUAUUGAUGUGCUUAUUCAGAGGAGAAAAAGUCCUUGUCUAAGAGUAGAUCUAGCAUAAUUAAGCGGAAGUCAUUGCACCCCUAGACAUAGGGUGACAUAAAUUUUCCAGAUUAGGGUCAAACCUAAUAAGGGAAUCAAUAGAUCGAGUUGAUGCAACACUAGGGGUUUUAAUUAGAAAGAGAUUUCAAUUAAUCAACCUAGGGUUAGAUGUUGUUAGUAUCGAGAGGGAUAAUAAUAUAAAUUAGAGAUUUCUACGAAUCGAGUCAAGUGAAUAAAUCGUCUAGUUCAGAGUCAAAUAACAAGUGAAGUCUAGGUGGAUUCUUCCUUGGGUAUUGUCUAAAUCAACCAGUUUUCCCAAAAGUAUUUCCCCAAUUUACUUCCUGUGCAUUCUUUGUUUAGUUAAUUAGUUUAGAUAAAGAAAAUCCCCUUAUUUUUAGGCUAGAUAAUAAAAAAAAGGUUAAUACUAAUACUUUUAGUUCCUGUGGGUUCGACAUUCCAGUCUUGCUAUAAACUAUACUACUAUUCGAUAGGUGUGCUUGCCUUUAUCAUGAUAAUAGUUAGUUUGCAAGUACGAUCAAUCAUAAAUAUAAAACUUACCAUGCACAUUAGGCAUACAGUUGCUUCUCACAUAGAGUUUACAACACAAAUCUCAAAUGAUUGCAUGUUCAUUUUCAUCUCUAGGGAAAACCAAAAUAUCAUCAAUAAAUACCACCACAAACAUGUCUAAAUAAGGUUUGAAAAUUCUAUUCAUCAAAUCCAUAAAUAACGCAGGUGCAUUUGUCAAACCGGAUGGCAUCACAAGAAACUCAUAAUGUCCAUACCUGGUUCUGAAAGCUGUUUUUGGCACAUCUAAGUCUUUUACCCGUAGCGAUAAUAACCAGAACGAAGAUCAAUCUUUGAAAAUACGGUGGCACCUUUCAACUAGUCAAACAAAUCAUCAAUACGAGGCAAUGGAUACUUGUUCUUUAUUGUAACUUUGUUAAGCUGUCUGUAAUCAAUGCACAGCCUCAACAAUCCAUUUUUCUUCUUUACAAACAAAACCGGUACACCCCAUGGUUAAAAACUAGGUCGAGCAAAACCUCUAUCAAUCAACUCUUGCAACUGUGCUUUCAACUCUUUUAAUUCAGUAGGAGCCAUUCUGUAAGGUGCUAUAGAUAUAGGUGUUGUUCCUGGAACAAGAUCUAUAGAAAAUUCCACUUUUUUAACUAGUGUAAUCCAGGUAAUUCUUCUAAAAAUACGUCAAGAAAUUCACACACAAUCAGCACUGUCUGAAUCUUCGACUCAAAUACUUUAAUAUCCAACACAUAUGCAAGAUAAGCAUCAUAACCCUUUCUGACAUAUUUCUGUGCUGAUAUUACUGAAAUCACAUUAGAUAACCUAUCUAAUUUAUUAGAUUCAACAUGGAGUAACUCACAAUUUUGAUAUUACAAUACAAUAUAUUUUUGUUUACAAUUUACCACUACAUCAUGUUAAGUUAACCAGUCAAUUCCCAAAAUCACAAAUUCAUCAAAUGACAAUAGCAUAAAAUCAGUCAAAAAGCAAUAACCCUUUGCCGUCAAUGGACAAUUUUUAUAGACUUUAUCCACCAUAACAUACUGGCCCAGGGGAUUUGAAAAUUUAACCACAAAUUAAGUGAAUUCAACAGGUAAAUUUUUAACAGACACUAAAUUUGUGCAAAUGUAUGAAUAUGUGGAACCAGGAUCAAUCAAAGAAGUAAUAUCAGUAUCAAGUAGAGAAAAUGUACUAGUAAUGACGUCUGGUACAGAAGCACCUUCUCUAGCAUUAAUAGCAUAUGUCCUUACCGGUGCUCGUGCCUCAGAUUUAACUAUUUUAUCCCUUGUAGUACCUCAGCUACCACUGACUUUGCCAGGGUGGUCUACCUUUCGAAACAGGAUUACUAGGCUUUGAAGCUUGCUCAAUUUCUUUUUCAAACCUUUCUGGACAAUCUCUCAGAAAAUGGUCAAGAGAACCACAUCCGUAACAAGCCCCACUUCUCAAAUGACAUUCUCCAAAAUGAAACUUAUUACAAUGUUUACAUUUCGGUUUGGACUUACCAAUGCUACCAACACUGGUUACAGAUAGAGAUGAAGACUUCGGGUUAGAGCGUUGAGAGCCUCACUCUUUUCCAGAAUAUUCCAUAGAUGUGGUAACACAAUCAUAAUACUUCUUUAAUUUAUUAGAAGUAGAUGAUUGUGACUUACUCAUAAUUCUUUUACCAGAAACCCGAGCUUCUUUUUCAGCUUGUUUCUUCUCUUUACUCAAUUCUUCAACUUUAUGAGCUCGAUCAACCAUACUGCAAAUUCCCUUAAUUCAAGAAUACCUUAAUAUCUUUAUUUAAACCCUCUUCAAAACGUUUUCACAUAUCGGCCUCAGUUGGAACCCACUCUCUGGCAUACUUGCUCAACCAAACAAAUUCCUACUCAUAUUCAGAUACAGUCAUGUUUCCUUAUUUGAGCUCUAAAAAUUCUUUCUUUUUCUAAUCCAUAAAUCUCUGACUAACAUACUUCUUUCUGAAUUCAGUCUGUAAAAACUCCCAUGUAAUAUUUUCUCUUGGUACAACAGAAGUUAUGGUAUUCCACCAAUGAAAAGCUAUGUCUUUCAGUAAAGAUACUGCUUAUUUCAAGCAUUCAGCUGGUGUACAAGACAAUUCAUCUAAAACCUGAAUAGUAUUUUCCAACCAAAACUCGGCCCGUUCUAGAUCAUCAUCUACAGAAACUCUGAAUUCCUCUGCCCCAUACUUAUUGAUUUUAUCUAUUGGAGGCUUGCUAGUUCUAGCGAGUUCAACACCUUGUGGUACCUCAGGAACUGGUUGAGGAGCAGGUGGAGGAGGUUGUUGUACAAUAGGAUUUGUUCUUAUAUAUUGAGUGAACCACUCAUUCAUCAUUUGAAAGAAGGCUUGUUUUGCCUCCUCACUUCGACCCUCAGAUAUAGGCCUUUCACUACUAGUUGCAGCUUUUUGAACUGAAGCUGAAGCAUUCCUUUCAGCUUCCUUGGAUUCAGCUCUAGUUUGGUUGGAUGACAUUACUAUAUGAAAAACACAUUUAAAAUGAUUAGGAGAUAUCACACUAUCAAAAAUUAUAUAAUGGCAUGUAUAGCUAAACUCAUACUUGUUACAUUCAAUCCGAGAAUAGACUAAACCGUAGCUCUGAACCAAUAAAUGUAACACCCCUAACUCGUAUCCAUCGCCGAAACAAAGUUACGAAACAUUACGAAAACUUUCAAAACAUUUACAAAUAAUUCACGUUAAAACUAUUCAUUUACUGAAAUUAUUCAUAAUGUCCCCUGAUGGACCCUUGAGGCCAAAUCGAGUAUUAGAAUCGAGUUGGGACUUAAUUGAGAACUUCAAGAUUUUUUCACAAAAUUUCUAAAAUUUUCCUAGGUGCAGGGUCACACGCCCGUGUGGUCUAGGGACACACCCGUGCUACUAGUUGUGUUCGACCCCAUGUAAUUCUCUGACUUGUGCCACACGGCCAGCCACACGCUUGUGUGAGUAGGCCAUGUGAUCUAUUUAAUUUUCAAAAAUUAGGUGCAGGGUUUACACGGCUAAAACACACACCCGUGUUUUAGGCUGUGUAGCACACACAAUUGACAUGCCCGUGUCUCUGUCCAUGUGCUUAAUUCUGACUAUUCAGUUUCUCAAAUUUGUGUUAUCCGGAUCUAUAUAAAUGAAUUUAAUCAUCAAUUUACUACAAUUCAUAUUGAUUUGGACUCAAUUUACAUCCUAGGAAAAAUUACCAUUUUCCCCCUAAACUUUCCAUAAAUUCCAAUUUCAUCCCUAGGUUCGGAAAAUGAAAUUCAUGCAAUUUACUCCCUAUUCCAAGCCUAACAGAAAUUUCAAUAUACAAUUUACAGCACAUAUAUUCUAUAAAUUUCAAAAUUUUUCUUCAACUUUUACAACUUUACAAAUUAGUCCCUAAAUCAUGUUUUUAUCAAAAAAUCACUUUGUAAAAGUUGUUUAUCUAUCAACAAUCUUUCAUUUUUUACCAUAAAUUUCUAAUUUUUAGUAUAUUCACCCAUGAUAUAAUUUCUAUACUUUGACAAAUUUUCAAAUUAAUUCCCCAAAUAGAUAGAUUAGACUAUCCCGAUUAUAAAAAUAUUAAAGUUACUAAAAACGAGACAAGAAAACUUACCCAAUUAAGCCAAGAAAGAUUUUUUUCUCUUUCCUAGGGUUUCCAUGUAUUUUGGGGAAGAAGAUAACAUAAAAUAAGAUGUUAAUUUAUUUUUAAUUAUUUACCAUCUUUUAAUUAUUUCUAUUUCCAAUUUAGUCUUUGCCUUUUUCUAAAUUUCCAUGGAUGAAUCAUAAAAAAAAUAUCCACUAACUUUUGAUUAAUGGUCUAAUUACCAUAUAAGGACCUCAAGUUUUGAAUUCCAUAGCUAUUUAAUCCUUCUAGCUACCAGAAUUCAACUUUUGCACUUUAUGCGAUUUGGUCAUUCCCGUAAUUAAACACAUAAUCGGUACAAUUUUCUUAUCAGAAUUCUCACAUGAAAUCUCUAUCCUAAUAUGAACCAUGAAAUAAAAUUAAAAUAAAUUUUAUUUUCAGCUCGGAUUUGUGGUCCCGAAAUCACUAUUCUUAUUUUAUUGAAAAUGGGCUAUUACAUAAUCUAUUUAUUUUGGGGAUCAAUUUGUGAAGAUAUUAAAGUAUUAAACAUUUACCAUGGAUGAAUAUGCUUAAAUUUUGAAAUUUGUGGUAGAAAUUAAAAGGUUGUCGAUAGAUAAAAAACUUUUGUAAAGUGAAUUUUCAUGAAAUUGUGAUUUAAAGAUUAAAUUGUAAAGAUGUAAAAUUCAUGUAAAAUUUAUUAUUUUUGUGUACAUGAGUUAUAAAUGUUAUAUGAAGAUACGACUAGACUUGGAAUAAGGAUUAAAUUGCAUGAAUUUCAUUUUCUGAGCCUAUGGACAAAAUUGGAAUUAAUGAAAAGUAUAGGGGCAAAAUGGUACUUUUGCCUAAGAUAUGAAUUGGAUUGAUUUGAAUGUGAAAUGUAAUAAAUUGUUGAUUAAAUUCAUUUAUAUAUAUUUGUAAAUACCAAAUAAGGAGUUAGAUCGAUGGAAAGAAAAAGUUUUCGAUUAGUAGAUUCUCAUAUACGAACAAGUAUCAAGGUAAGUUCGUAUAAUUAAAUUGUGUAUAUUUAUAUGUUUGUAUUGAAUGUUAUAUAUAUAUGAAUUGUGUAAUUGUCAUGUACAUGAAAUUGGUUACAUAUCCGAUAAUGUCCGACAAACAUUAAGCCCCAUUUAAAUAAAUGAAAUUCAAUUGGAUACAAGGUUCCCGUGUUAGUUAUGGUUCUGCAUAUAUUACGGACACACCAUAGCUCAAAACAGCAUCCUGUUAUUAACCCUCUCAAGCUUCUUGUUAUAUGGUUCUUUCGAGCUUCCCAUUAUAGCUCUUCGGAGUAUCCCGAUAGGUUGUGAUUCUACAUUUGUUAUGGACACACCUUAGCUCUUAUGAGCUUUCCGAUAUAGGCUCUUCGUGAGCUUUCCGUUAAUUGGCUCUUUGUGAGCUUCCCGACAGUGCUCGCUUGAACUUCCUGAUAUAUGGCUAUCUGGAGUUUCUCGUUAUAUGGCUCUUUGUGAGCUUCCCGAUAUGGUUCUUUGUGAACUUCCCGUUGUAUAGCUCGAAUAAGCUUCUCGAUACAUGGCUCACAUGAGCUUUCUGUGAUAAGGCUCGAGAGUGUGCUUCCUAUUUAUGUGCUCUAAUGAGCACCUUUGUAUAUGAAUUGAUGAAUUAUUGAUAAGUACACCUUGUGUAUACUACCUGAGUAUCCAUUGAUAUUUCAAUGAUUCAACAGGAAAAACUCCCGAUGUAAGAAAAUAUGAGAAAUAAAUGAGUUAUAUCUUGAAUAUCCUUGAAAUACUUGGAAAUGGUUGCAUGAUGAACUCAUCUUUGUUUUCUAUUCAUGUAAAAUUUCAUGACUAACUUGUUUGAUGAGAGCAUGUGUCUAGGAAAUUGGUCACAAUGUUAUGGAUGCAUGUUUGUAUGCUUACUUUAAAUAAUUAUAAUUGGUAAGUUAAAUUCUUAUUAUACGAACUUACUAAGCAUAAUAUGCUUACUUUGUUUUACUUCCUCUAUUUUAUAGUGCUCGUAAGCUCAUGAAGUUGGAACUUGGUCGGAGACAUAUCACACUAUCCUUUGGACUUCUCGGUAUAAAAAAAUAAGAAAACUUUUGGUAUUGGUAUAAUGACAUGUAUAAGCUAAGUAGGCAUAAUGAUAAAAUGUCUUGAUUGCAACUAGCCAUUGGAAUGGCUGGCGUUAAUCAUAUUUUGAUGUAAUUAUAUAAGACCUUAUCAUGCUUGAUGUGUGUAUUGAAAUGAUUGAAUGAAGAAAGAUACAUAAAUCUAUUAUUAGUUGUAUGAAUGGGUGAAGUAUACUCAUAUAUUUGUAUGAUCAAUUAGGUAAGAUCAAAUAUUUGGUUAAAUAGAAUGUUAUGACAUGAAUUAAACUUGAAAUUGACUUGAAUUGAAUGUUAUAUUGUAACUUGUAAUGGUACCAAAAAAUGUUGGGCACAUUGAUUUUAGGUUAGGUGAGAAAUAAGGCUUGGAAUUGGCCUUAUUUUGUCCACACGGGUAGAGACACGGACGUGUGUCUUAGCCGUUGUUUGACCGUGUGUGCCAUGCAUGUUAAUUAUUAAGAAACAUAAUGCUUAGAAUUGGCCACACGGGAAUAGACACGGUCAUGUUUCUCAGUCGUGUGAAAUACACGGCCCAACAUAUGGGUGAGUGUCUUGGCCGUGUAAAACCUGCACUUGAUUUUUUUUGAAGAUUAAAUUGUCCAGAUGGCUUAGCAUACGGGCGUGUGGCUGGCCAUAUAACCCAAGUUAGAGAGUUACACGGGUAUGAACACGGGCUGGGACAUGGCCGUGUGCCUUACAUUGAAUGCCCACACGGCCUACCCACAUGUGCGUGUGACUCUUGUAGUUAAGAAAAUUUUGGAAUUUCAUGAAAAAUUUUCUGAGUUUCUGAUAUAGUCUUGAUUUGUUUAUAGUGCAUAAAUUGGGCCUCAAGGGUUUAUUUAAGGGAUGAUAUGAUUAAAUAUGAUUGGUUUCUGAUAUGAGUAGUAAAUGGUUUGAAGUAAUUGUCUUUGUUUUGUAAAAUCCGGUAAUGCUCCAUAGCCAUGUUCCAACAACGAAUAUGGGUUAGGGGUGUUAUAGGUGGCUACAAGUUUUUUCCUUCAGGAAGAGGAGGAUACUUCAUGGGUUCGCGAUAGUAACACUGUACUUGUUCAAGAUGGACUUAUUGGAUAGGAUGUCAUCCAAGGUUUCUUCAUUGGAGUGCAGACGCAUGAUCGGGCUGGUGUAGUUCUUGGGAUUAAUUUGGAUUGUCGUGCCAAUGAAGUGAGGGACACUAAUGAAGUUAUGCAUCUCCAUAAUCUCACUAUGGUGGAAGAUUUUCCUAUGGUGGUAGGAGAAGGGAAAAAAGGCCAUGCACAUUGUAACAACCCGAUUUAGACCCUAACCAGAACGGUGGUUUUGGGACCACGAAUCCGAGUCAGAAAAAUAUUUAAAAAUUAUUUUCUACGUUUAUUUUGUGUGAAAUUAUAUAUGUGAAGUUUUUGUGAUUUAAUUUCGUCGUUUAGGUGUCCGAUUAAAUAAAAGGACUUAAUCGCAUAAAAUAAAAAUUUAGUGGUUAAAUAUGAAAGUACCUAAUUGUUGUUGUCUUUAUUAGUGAAGGUACUUAUAAUGCAAAUAAAACUUUGAAAUUUUGCAUGGACACUUUCGAACAAGAGUAGGUGAAUUAUAAAUAGUUUAUAUUAAGGUUAAAAUAGUAACUUAUGAAAUAAAAUGUUAUAAUAUAAGAUAUAUCAUAAAAUAAUAAGACAAAACAUAAUGUGUUCAUAUUUCCUCAUUGCCGAAUAUCAAAAUAACAAAAGAAAAGAAAAGAAACCUGGGUUCGGCCAUAUUCAAGCUUAAUAAAGGUAUGUAUCUAGCUCGAUUUUUGAUAAUUUCUACGUUUUUGAGAUCGUUGCUUAGUAACCUUCAAGACCCAUGCUUUAAUUUUUGAUUUUGAUGAAUAUUUUGAGUUGUGCCAUUGUUGAUAGCUUGUGAUUUUUGUUAUUUGAUGAUGAAAAAUGGAAGAUAUGUUUUAGAUUAACAUAUUUUGUAUUGGAGUUUUUGAUGAUUUUGAGUAAUUAGGACUUAAUUGCAAAAAAUAAUAAUUUGGGGGAUUAAAAUGUGAAAUUGAUAAAAUAUAGGGACUUGUAUGAGAAUGGGUACUAUUUUGCCCAACAUGGGUGUUGUGAAAUUUUGUGUAUUUUGUGUUUUGUGCAAUAGGGACUAAAUUGUAAAAAUUAUAAAUGUUAGGGGUAAAAUGGUAAUUUUUCUAUUUAUGUGUUUUUGAACUAAAUUGAAUGAAAUAUGUUUGAAUGAGCUUAAUUUGAAUAUGUUUAGAUCAAGAACCAAAGAAAACGGACUUGGAUCGGGGAAAAACAAAAGUUGUCGACUAGCAGCCCCAUCCCGUUUUACAACGUCCAAGGUAAGUUUAUAAGCAAAUAGACGUAUUUAUCGUUAGUUUAAUGUUAUAAUUAUAUGCUGUUAUGAAAUGCUAUAAUUAAUUAUGCUAUGGCCGAAUAUGUUAAAUUUGGCUAUGACAUUUCCGAGUUCGAUUCGACCGAGAUACGAUGUCCGAAAGCCUCGUAUGAACCUUAGGAAUAACUAGGAUACAUAUGUCAUGACAUAGGAUUCCGAUAUAUGUGUGCAAGUAAGUCCAUGGAAUCGAUUUGUGAUUCUGAUAUGUGUUUACAAGUAAGACCCUACCUGGGACAGUGGCAUCAAUAUGUGGUACAUGUAAGACCACAUCUGGAACGUUGGCAUUAUACGGAUUAUGUGAUUAUCCGAGUGUCUUAUCCAAUUCCAAAUUGUUCAUCGGGAAAAGGUAAUCGUGUACGGAUUGUGUAAUACGAGUUAAAUGGCCAGGUAUGAGUUAGUUUGAUUAUUAAUAAAAAUAAGGUAAGUAUAUUCGGUCUAUUGUACAUUAUUGAAUAAGUGAUAAUUUUUUGUAUGUGCAUUUAUGUGUAUUCGGUCAAAUGAUUUAACAUAGGUACAUAGGAUUAUAUUAUGAAUAUGUGAACUAGGUACCUAUUGAUCAUCCAGCCUUGAAGGUUAAAUAAUGUUUGUUAAUCUUGAUUAUAUAAGCAUUCGGUUUAAGUAAAGUACUAUUGUAUACAAAUGUACAUGAUAUUGUUAGUUGAAUUCUUGUGUUUAUGCGAAUGAGUAUGUAUAUGUAUUUAAGUGUAUAGUGAUAUUAUAACUUAGGAAGUCGGUUUCACAUUCGGCUAUAUGGUUGUGAUAACAUUCGGUUAAGUAAAAAUAUGCAUGAUAAUGCUACCAUUUAUUUCUCUUGUAAAUUCGAAGUUAAACUUUUUUUAGUUUAUAACAUUCAGCUUAGCUUGAAAGGAGUGAUUAAAUCCUGAAAUUGUCUAUUUGUUUUAAACUUACUAAGCUAUGUUAGCUUACUCGUGUAUUUGAUUCUUUAUUUUAUAGAUUUUGGAACCAAGCUACAAGCUUGGGAGACCGUCAGCCAAGUUCAUCACACUAUCUACUGUUUUGGUAUCUUAUUAGCUAAUCUUAAAUUAUGGCAUGUAUAGGCUGGAAUAUAUUUUUGAAAUGUUGAUUUUGGCUAUAUAACUAAGGCCAUGCGAAAAUGGCUUGUUACUUAUGUUUAGUUUCAGUUUUAUAUGUGCUUAGUUUUGCUGUCCAUGAUUUUGGCUUGAUAUAUGCUAUGAUGCUUGGUCAUGGUUUUGUAGGUGGUAAGUAUUUUGUGCAAUGGUAAUGACUUUAUGUCUUAGGUGGAAAUCGAUUUGGGGUUGAGUUCUUUAAAAAUACUUGUGGUUUGGUCGUAUGUCUAUAAAUGAUGAUAUUUUUGCUAGGGUUUGUCAUGUGUUUGCUAGGUAAUAAUUAUGUCAUAUGCUUAUAAUAAAUUAAUUAAGUUGAAAAUUUACUUAUACUUUACUUGGACAUACAAUGAUUAUAUUAUAGGUGUUACAUAUAUAUAUAUGUAAAUAUGUAUUGGUUAAUUUUAUUAAAUGUGCAGGUUGCUUUUAUAUUAUAUAUGUUAGGUGUUAUAUACUUGAAUCGGUUAAGUGAUGAAUAUUGAAUGUGUCUUGUGAAUAAAUUGUCAAUUGUUCUACCAUGUGUUUAAUGUUAAAUGUGACCGCUACCUUAGUGCUGAUUGCAUAUUAUGUACAAGUAUAUGUUAGCCUAUUCGGCUAUGGUGUAAUAUAUUAAACAUUUAUUUGUGAUUAUUUAUUAAAAUAUAUAAUAUGGUUGCAUGAUUUGACAUGGAUUCUAAGGAUUUUCUCUUAAAGUUAAAUUGUGAAUGGUAUUAAAGAUUGAUAGUUAAGAAAUCCAAUAGUUGAUUCACUUUGUAUUAAAGAAUAAAGCAUGCACGUUCAUUUUGCUUAUUAUUUAAGUCGCAUAUGUGGUGGUUUAUAUACGUUUUAUGACUUACUAAAUUUUAAAUGUGUAUAUAAUUUGGUUACCAUAUGAAUAAACACAUAACUAGUAUUAGAAGUAUGUUUGACCUUGUGGGUGUUAGUUAAUAUUGCACAUGCAGAUACUUUAAUGCAAUAAGUAAUAAGUGGAGUUUAGUUGCGACUCGUAUAUGCAAGAUAUAAGUCAUUACUUGUUUUUAAAUGUUAAAUUGAUUUUAUUUUCAAAUAUAAAUGAAUUUGACUUGAACGAAUAUAUAUAUACAUAAAUGUCUGGAAUUGAACUGUUGAUCAGUAAUGCCUCAUAAUCCUAAUCCGACGACGGAUACGGACUAGGGGUGUUGCACAUGUCUUGGUUCUCUUUUGUUUCUACUGUGACAAAUUUGGAGAGGGUUUUUGCUGAGCAAACUCAUGUUCAGUUUAUAGGUUUAUUGGCUACCCUUGUAGGACAGGGAAGCUGACCGCAAUGAAGAUCAUUAGUUGGAACGUUUGGGGGUUAAAGAGUCCCCGGGCUAUGUGUUGCCUUCUGUAGGUGUUGAGGGAGACAAAUCUCACUGUAGCUUUUUUCAUGGAAACAAAAUUAUAGAGUUUGUGUAUGGAGAAAAUUUGAAUGAGUUUGGGGUAUAUUCAUGGUUUGGAUGUCGGCAGUGAUGGUUCUAGAGGUGGUUUAUCCUUUUACUGGAAAUAGGAGUGUUUGGUUUCACUUCAAUCUUUUUCCAAAAAUCAUAUUGAUGUUCUGUUUGAGGAUGAUUCGAAUGGUAAUAGGUGGAAAUUCACAGGCUUUUACAGUCUUCUUGGAGAGGCUCGUUACUGUCAAUUUUGGGAUUUAUUAUGUAGACUUUCUUCCUAGGAUUCUACUCCAUGGCUUGUUAUGGGCAAUUUCAAUGAAAUUGUAUUUUCUCAUGAAAAAUAAGGUGGUCGUCUUCAUGGUGAAUGAGUGAUGGAGGGUAUUUGGUUGACACUUGAUGAUUAUGAUCUCUCGAUUUUAGACUUGGAAGGUCGUUAGUGUACAUGGGAGCGGGGUUGAUUUUCUCUUAGAAAUAUAUGAGAACGGUUGGAUCGGGGAGUGUCACACCCUAAAUUUUGCCAAUCUGAGAAGAAGGCGAAUAGAUGUGAAGGUUACUUAUUUUGGUGUAUUAUGAUAGCAUAGUUCGUCAUUUUAUAGGCUCAUAGUUUGUCAUUUUAUAGGCUUCUAACAAAUUAAAUUUUGGUGCAUAAUGUAUCCACUCUUAGAAGUAUCUAAGAACUUCCUCUCAAGCUAUUCUUGAAUUGAAGGAAGAGUAAGACAAAUGAAGUGUAGGCCUUAGAGUUUUGGCUGAGUAUGAAGCACCUACUAAGUGUAUGAGAAAAAAUUUGGAGAUUUGAUCAUCUUCAAGAGCACACCUUAUGAAAGCUAAGAAGAAUUAAGUAUAUAUAUAGUAAGAAGGGAACAUUUAGAUGGUUUUUCUUUCUUCUGUUCCACACUCUAGUUCUUUGUCUUAAACCUAAAUAUUCUUUUCUUCUUCGUUAAACUGGAAGCUAAGGUUUUUAGGUUAAUCGGUGGAUGUUUCAAUCACCUGGUAAGUCUGAUAGCUCUGAAUGGUAUGAUUUUGAUAGAGUAAGGAUAUUAAGAAGCAUAAAUAUAGUAGGGAGUGAAUAGGAGGCCCUAUAUAAGGGUUGUAUGUAAUUGAUAUAUUGUUAAAUUUUCUAUAAGUGGGGGUUUAAUGGUAAUCCUAUGUUCUUUUAAGUAGUUGUUGCUAGUGGCUCCGGAAGGACGAUCGGAUUUGGAACUCCAAGCUACUGUAAAGGUGAGUUUUAGGUGAGCUUUUAAUUUGACUCAUAAAUGUUAAAUUUACAAUGGUUAUUCAUAAGUUGGUAUCUUCUUGGAAAACUGAUGAAUGCAUAUGUAUGUGAAGUAUCAUAAGGGUUCUACAUGUUUACAAAUGAUAUAUAUGAGUUGAUAUAUGAAUAAGAUGAUGUGUGGUAUGUAAGCAUGUGAAAUUAGGUAUAGAUGAGUAUGAAUUAGUUAGGAAUGUGUGAAUGAUUCUGGGUAAGUGUCUUCUGUGUUAAAUGGCUAAAAUAACCAUUUAUGAUGCCUCCGGCAGGGUAGGUACAUUUCUAGCCAGAUUGGUAGAUCACGACAUGUAGAUAUGUAUAAGACCAUGUGGUAGAGACCCAUGUGUAACACCCCUAACCCAUCUCCGUCACCGGAUUAGGCUCACGAGCCUUACUACUAAAUUAAUCAUAAUUAAAAUGUAAGCUAUUUCAUUCAAAUCACAGAAAAAUUAUGCAUACAGUCUUAAAUACGAGUUUACAAGUCCCUAAAAAUGAUUUUAGAACUAAAAGGAGCUAAUUUGAAACAAUUCUAAAAGUUUAGGGUGAAAGCAUAAAAAGCCUAAAAAUAGGGGAUACACGGUUGUGUGAAAUACCCCAAGCCAUGUGACUUUCAAAAUAAGGAAACAUGGUCGUGUCCCAGCUCGUGUCCUUGCCCAUGUACCUCACUUACUUGAGACAUACGAUCAUGUCCCAGCCCGUGUAACUCUAUGACUUGGGCCACACGGCCGUGCCCUAGGCCAUGUGUCAGCCUAUGUGUGACACUAUACUGUGCAGUUAUUCUGCACGUUCUGGGUAAAUGUCCAUGUGUGUUACACGUGUGAGAUACAUGGCCAUGUGACAGGCCGUGUCUCAGGCCGUGUGCACCUAAAUGUACCUUAAAACUCAAGUUUACCAUUUCCUACUUGCUUGGGCAUUAAGCAACUCAAAUACCAAUAAUUUAACCUAUCCAAAACACGAUUAAACAUACUCAAAACAUGCUAAAAAACCAUAUUAGGUGCCUAACCAAUGUACCCUCAUUGGUACCAUAUUUAUAUCUUCAAAACAUAUCAACAAAGCAUCAUCUAAAUCAACAUUUCAUGCAUACCAAAUUCACCCAUAUUAAACUAACAUAUAGCUACCUAAGAUAUCAAGCUUUAAGCUACACAUACAUUUCCAUGCCUUGUGUCAAACUAACAUAUCAAACAUAUGGCUUUAACCAUAAACAUAUACUUAUAUACAUUGACCAUCAUUAUGCUUAAAACCCAAAUUUACAUCACAUUCACAAAAAAACAAUCAAUCAAAUACUUCCUAGGUACAUGCCAUUACAAAAAUAAACAUCACCACACUUGAGCUCGGGAUCGUUGUUGGAUGCUGAGUCGGCGAUCAAAAGAGAAGUACCUAACCUACGCAUGGAAAACAAAACUGCACGCUGAGUAAAACUCAGUGAUAUUUCUAUAAUCGGAACAAUUAAAGCUUGAUGUAAAUUAAUAGGAUGUAUUAUGCAAUAAAGAAAUGUCAUAAAGUAUAUCAAGUUCAUUAUACCAUUAUGAACAUUCAUGAUCUUAUCCAACAAAAUCUUGCUAAUAUAAAUACAUGGAAUUAACCUUUCAUAAGGCAUUUGAUAAAUUAACUCAUCCAAUAGCAAUAUUCAUUUCCAUUCCACUUCAUGAGUUCCUUACUCAUAACUAAUCAAUAUUCACAACAAGAUUUACCAUUUCCUAUUUCAUUUCACAUUUCAUUUUCAUUUCACAUACUUUGCCAUUUCAAAAUCAAAUACAUAAAUGUAUUAUUUAAUUACUCCUAUUAACACGACUCAGACUAGGACGGAUACACGGAUCCAACCAACACACCAGUUUUGAACCCAGUGCCUCAUCGGAUAAAUCCAAAGUAAUAACUGCGCCCAAUACUAUAUAAAUUGACACCCAGUGUCCCAUCGAUUAAAUUGAAGCAAAUUAGCAUUCAGUGCCUCAUCGACUCAAGGUCGAAGAAAUCCAUAACCUCUUCUUAUCUUAUGGCAUACCAUCUAUAUCCGACUUAGCCUGAAUAGUUAAUAGGGUUCCAUUUCACUUUCAAUUACAUCAAAUGUCCAAUUCUCAUAUAUACACAUAAACAUGUAUUCAAUUCAAUAUCCAUAUAUCAAUGCAUCAUAAUAUACCAAAUCAAUCCAUUUCAAUCAAAUAUAAGUUUAAUUCAAUCUUAAAGGACCAAAGUAGUCACCUCAAUGCUUACCAUAUACAACAAUUCAAAAUGCAAUAAUUUACAACUUAGUUCAGAUUAUAGAAACACAAACCAUGAAUUUUGAGCUAUUCGACGUCGAUUUUAUCCUUACCCUUUUUACUCGAAGAUUCCAGUACGACGUUAGCUAUAGAAAAAAAACAACGAAACUACAUUAAUAUUACACAAUUCAAUUUCACAUUGAAUUUUCAAAUUUUACACUAGAAUUUCUUAAACUUCAAUUUAGUCUCUAAACUGAGACAAGUUUUAACCUUUACAAUUAACCUCAAAUUUUUAUACUAAUUUCACUUUAAGCUAAAUAUAGCUGUAGCAGCCUAUUUUUAGUAAAAUCAAAACAAUGAUUUUAGGACCCAAAAUCUAACGUUAAAAUAUUUAUUUUAAUAAUAUUUUAUUUUCUACAGCAUGAUAGUAGUACCGUAUAAAAAUUUCGUUAAGAAAUUUUAUCGUUAGCAUGCUUAAUUUGAUAAAAAGGACUAAAUUGCAUAAGGUGCAAAAUUAGAGUUCUACAGGUAAAAGUGUCAAAUUUCUAAGAAUUUUGAAUAUGAGUGGCCUUAAAUAGUAAUUAAACCAUUAUUAUUAAUAGUGGACAAAGGUGGACAUCAUUUAAGUGAUUUUUAAAGGUUAGUGUACAAGGUUAAAAAUGUAAUUAAACAAAUGUUAAUUAGAGAAGAUGAAACAAACAAUUGCCUUCUUCAUUUUGCAAACAUUAGAAUCGGCCACAAUUUUUUUUGUAAAGAAGAAGUUUCGACCAAGAAAAAAUCAAGUGCAUGUAAGUGAUUUUUGUCUCGUUUUUAACGAGUUUUAUGUUUUUGGAGUCGUUGUAGCUUAAUUUAGCUAGCCAGGGACUAAUUUACAAAACUGUUAAAAGUCUAGGGUUUUACCAUGAAUGUAUAUUAGUUGUUUUUUUAUGUUUGAUGGAUGAAAAUGAAUGUUUGAUGAUAGUUGAACAACUUUUGUAAAGGGAAUUUUGAUAAAUUUGUAAAUUAGAGAUUAAAUUGAAAAAUAAAAAAUUAUUCAUGGUGAAAUUAUGAAAUAAAUGAAAUGUAGGAUUUGAGAGCAGCCUAAAUAAAAUUUGGCAAUAGGGGGUUAGUACCAAAUUGCAUGAAUUUAAUUGUAUAAGCUUAAGGACUAAAUUGUAAAGGAUUCAAAAUUAUAGGGGUAAAAGCAUACUUUUUCCAAAAUAAGAUUUUUGGAUUUAAUUUAAUAGAAUGAAGUUUGAAUGAAUUAAAUUUGAUUAUUUAGAUCAAGAAAAUCAUCAUACGAAUUUAGAUCGGGAAAAGGAAAAAGUGUUAGAUUAGUUGAUCGUAUUUCUUCGGUUGUGAUCGAGGUACAUUUAAUUAAAGUUGUAUCAUGCUCGAUUUACUUGCUUUUGAUUUAUAUUAUGGUAUUAUUUCUUUACGAAAAAAUCCAAUGAUGUUUUGGCUACUUUUGGAUCCCGUUUGAACAUUAGGAAUAUAUAGGAUACAAAUGGCAUGUCAUUAUAGGUUACCAUGUUUCAGGUGCUGGUCUUGUACAUCUUACCGGUGGCUUCCGGCAUGUGUUGCAAUUACUUGACAACUUCUAUGAGCAGCACCCCGUAGCUACGUCCUAACUGACAGCUUGUGUGAGUAGACCCACUUAUGGCUCGAGAGAGAGCAUUUAUAUGAGAUAAGAGAACGUAAUGGUUUCGACCAUAUGUUAGCACAUAGUGUGUGAGAUUCCCACAUUUUCGAUAUUAUUCUAGUGGUUGAAUAGGUAUACAAAAGGGGAGGAUCGACAAAUAUUUCGAUAAGUAAUACUAUGAAAGUAUGAAACAAGUAUGAAAUGAUGAUGCUUUAAAUAUGCUUAGCCAUAUUCAUGAAAGUAUGAAUGAUUAUAAGAUAUGUGCAUAAAAGCUAUUAUGUUUUGCAAUGAGUUGCUAUGUUAUGUGGCUAUCUAACUUGAAAGGUUGUUGUUGCUUAGGCUUAUGCCAAGAUAUGUUGGAUUAUCUCAUAAAUUGUGUUUAAGCUUAUAUAUAUUGAAAUGGUAAGCUUUGUUUAUGAAUUACUAACUUAUUAAGCAUUAUAUGCUUACUUCGUGUACUUCUCUUAUGUUUUUAUAUAAUCGGAAGCUCGUUCGAUUUGGAAGCUUGUCAGAGAUCCAUCACACUAUCCAUGUGCUAUAUUGAUAUAUUUUGAUGAUUUUGAGUCAUGGUUACAAUGGCAUGUAUAGGUGUCUUUUUUUGAUGAAAUUGGCCAUUAUGUGUGGCUUGUAUAUAUGUUAUUUUGGUUAAUGAUAUAGUUGACAUGAUGUCAUGUAUAUAUAAGUGGUAUUUAAAAUGGUUGUCAUUUUAGCAUCUAAGUACUUAGUGAUGAUAGUUGAAUGGAUGGACAUUAAGGUAUGCUAUGAGAUGUUGUUUUGGUAUGAUAUGAUAGUGCUUUGAAGUGUUAUUGGCUAGUUUUGGUAGCCUUGAAUGUAUAUUGGCAUUUGGUUUAGUUAUUAAGGUUAAUGGUAUAUGUGAUAAUGGUCAUGAUGGUAUUUGCUGUGCAUGAAAUUGGUAUAUGAACUUUAUGGCAAAUAUGGAAUUGAAGUUGUUCAAUUGGUGGUUUGAAUUAUAAAUGAAUUUGAUAGGUGUUUAGUGAAGUUUGAUUGUUGAGUUUGAGGUGCCAUUUUGGCAUAUUGGUUGAAUGGGUAGUUUCUAUGAUGUUCUAGCUUGUAUAUGUAUAUAUUGAGUGCCGUUUGAAUGCAUGAAAAUAGGUACAUUUGGGUUCUGCAAGUGGCUAGUUUUUGGGUGAAAAAAAUGGCUUGAAAAUGACCUAUGUUUUGUCCAUACAGCCAGAGACACGGGCGGGUGUGACACACGUCUAGGUGAUACGGCCGUGUGUGACACACGGCUAGGUGACACUACCGUGUAUCCCCUGUAGCUUAUUAAGGGUUCCAAGUUAGGCAGUUACAUGACCUAGCACACGGCCUGACACACGGGUGUGUGAGGCCAUUUUGAAGGGUACAAGGCCUAGCACAAGAGCGUGUGGCUUGGCCAUGUGACCCAAGUCAGUGAGGUACACGGGGAUAGACACGGGCUGGGACACGGCUGUGUGUCCCUACUAUGAAUGUCCACAUGGCUUGGGACAAGGUUGUGUCUCUCGGCCGUAUGACCCUUGUAGUUUGAAAUUUUGUAUCUUUUUCUGUAAAAUCCCAUAUGUUUUUGAUUUAGUCCCGAUUCAUUUCUAAUGUCUUUUUAGGGCCUCGAGGGCUCGUAAAAGGGACUAUACGCAUGAGUUUGGAUAUUAUUGCUAUGAAAUAUGUUGUGAUUUGAUUAUGAUAAAUAAAUGUUCGUUGUAUGAUGUUAUCUUCUGGUAAUGCUCCGUAGCCCUAAUCUGGGGACGAAAAUGGGCUAGGGGUGUUACAUAAGCUCCCUAUUUUCUAAUUUGACCUCUUAAUUUCAUCUUUUUCUCAAUUUGGUCCCUAUUGCUCAAAAUCUACAAUUAAUUCCACAAUUUAUUUCUUUUCCACUUCUAACUAAAAAAUCUAUAUAUUUAAUCCCUAAUACUUAAACUAUUCAACAAUAGUAACAUCUAAAAUCUUAAACAAUACUAAAAAUUACAACAUGGGUCGGGUAGCUCUAUGAACCAAGAUUCCAAAUAUAUGAAAAUUACAAGAAAAGAAAACUAAAUUAACUGACCAAUUGAAAUUUGAAAGUUUAAACCCUUGGUGCAGUGGCCUUUCCUCUAUUCUUUUUUUUCUUUUCUUUCUUUUUAAUUUGCAUGCAAUUGUUUCAUCUAUUCCCACAUUCUUUCUUGUAAUUUGUUUUUAUUUUAUUCUUUAUUAUAAUAUAACUUAUAUACACAUUUCAUACUAUUUAUUUAUUAUAACACAUAUACACAUAUAUUAAAUUAACAUAUAUAUAUACAACAUACAUAUUAAUGUCGUCCACUAUACAUAUUUAUAUGUAUAUUUACUACUUUUGUCCCUUAAUUAAAUUUAAUUUAUAAUUCAACUUUUAGUACCUAUGUGAUUUAGUCCUUGUGCUUUAAUAACUCUUAAUUUCACAAAAUUCAUUAACCAAAAUCUAAUUCACUACUAAACUAACCUUAUAAAUAUUAAAUAAAAAUAUUUACGUGUUCCUUUUACACAAACGGAGUCCCAAACUUCAUUUUCUGACACCUCUAACUGUCGAGUUUUUACAAUUCUCCACUUGAAUAAAUUUUGUCCUCGAAAUUUACCUAAAAAGAGGUGGGGAUACUGAGAUCUCAUUGUCUCUUUUGCCUCCCAAGUCACUUCCUUAACACUAUGACUAUGCGAUAGAAAUUUCACUAAUGGGACACGUUUAUUAUGCAACUCUUUCACCUCACGAGCUGAAAUUUUGAUUGGUUCUUCUUCAUAAGAUAAGUCAGGUUGAAUUUCAAUGUCUUCAGCCAAAAUAAUGUGAGACAGAUUCUGAUCGAUAUCUUUUAAGCAUUGAAACUUGGAAAACAUUAUGCAUUUUUUGUAAUUUCGCAAAUAAAGCUAACUGAUAUGCCACUAGUCCCACUCUUUCAAUGAUUUCAUACAGUCCAAUAAAACGAUGAGUCAACUUCCCUUUUUGGCCAAAUCUCAAAACUUCCUUUCAGGAUGAAACCUUAGGAAAUACUUUAUUGCGAACAGAAAAUUCAAUAUGUCAUCGUUAUAAAUCUGCAUAAGAUUUUUGUCUAUCGAAGACUGUUUUCAAUUUAUCUCGAAUCAUCUUAACAAUAUCUUCCGUUUCUUGAAUCAAUUCCCGCCCAACAACUUUUCUUUCACAUAAAUCCAUCCAACAAACAUGUGUUCAACACCUACGGCCAUAUAAGGCUUCAUAUGGAGCCAUUUGAAUACUUGAUUGGAAACUAUUAUUAUAUACAAAUUUGGCCAAAGGUAAAUUGCAUUCCCAACCAAAUUUAAAAUCGAUUAUACAAAUGUGAAGCACAGCUUCCAAAUUUGGAUAACACACUUAGAUUGUUUGUUUGUCUAUCUAUGGGUGAAAGGCUGUGUUGAAAUUGAGUCUCGUACCAAGAGAUUCAUACAACUGUUUCCAAAAUCUCGAAGUGAAGCACAGAUCUCGAUCCGAGAUUAUCGACAUAAAGACAUCAUGCAGUCUUAAAAUUUCCUAAAUGUAAACUUUAACAAGUUUUUAGAGUGACCAAUUAGUCUUGACUACGAUGAAAUGAGCCGAUUUCAUAAGUUGAUCAACAAUCACUCACAUAGCAUUUUUCUUGCUUGUCGAUAAAGGUAACCCCAUUACAAAAUUCAUUAUGAUGUGUUCACAUUUCUACUCAGGAACAGAGAUAAGCUGAAGUAAUCUUGUGGGAACCUAAUGUUCUGCCUUAACUUGCUGACAAGUUAAGCAUUUAGCUAUGAACUCAGUUACGUCUUUUUCAUUCCUGACCACCAAUAGGAUUAUCUUAGAUUCUGAUACAUUUUCGUUCCUCUAAGAUGCAAACCAAAAGGACUAUCAUGAGCUUCCCUAAGUAUCAACUCUUUUAGUUCUGCAACAUCCGGAACACAGAUUUGAUUAUGAAAUCUCAAGCAAUCACAAUCAUCAAUGCUGAAGUUUUCUAAUGUGUCAUUUUGAACCAUUUCUCUUUUCUUUGCCAAGUUGACAUCAUCUAAUUACGUUGCCUUAAUCUGAUCAAACAUCACUGGCUUGAUUUUUAAUUCAGCCAACAAGCUUCCAUCAUCAUUGAUACUGAGUUGAUCAAACAUUGCUCGCAAUUCAACCGAUGUCUUUCUACUCAAUGCAUCAACUACGACGUUAGCUUUAACAGGAUGGUAAUCAACAACGCAAUCAAAAUCUUUUAGAAGCUCAACCCAAUGUCACUGUCUCAAAUUUAACUCCUUUUGAGAUAGGAGGUAUUUAAGACUCAUAUGAUCGGUAUAGAUGUGACACUUUUCACUGUACAGGUAGUGUCUCCAGAUCUUUAGAGCAAAAACCAUAGUAGCCAGCUUUAAAUAGUGUGUCAGAUAAUUGUGUUCAUGCGUUUUUAGCUGACGAGACACAUAUGCAAUCACUUUCCCAUCUUACAUCAAUAUAUAACCGAGACAGUUCAAUGAAGCAUAACUAUAAACCAUAAAAUCUUUUCCCGAUUUUGGCAAGGUUAGAACUGGCACUUCAAUCAACAUCUAUUUCAAUUUCUUAAAACUUUCUUGACAUUGAUCACUCCAAACAAAUUGAACAUUCUUAUGUAACUGCUUUGUCAUCGACAAAGCUACCUUCGAAAGUCCAUUUAUGAAUCUUCAGUAAUAACCAGCUAGCCUAAGAAAACUGCGAACCUCUAACACAUUUGUAACACCCCUAACCUAUAUCCAUCGUUGGAAUAGGGUUAUGGAGCAGUACUGAACUUAACAAUCAAACAAUCAUACAUUUCUCAUACAUUUUUCAUAAUCAAUAAAAUGCAUUCAUAAUCAAUCACAAUGUCCCUAAUAUGAGCUUAUGAGGCCCAAAAAAUGCAUUAGAAGUGGUUCGGGACUAAACUGAUAACUCAGGACCUUUUUGGAAAACAUAGAAAAUUUUACAAAAUACAGGGGACACACGCCCGUGUGGCUUGACACACGGCCAAAGACAUGCUCGUGUCACUGGCCGUGUAAAUGGGAUCACAUGGCCGUGUUCCAUCCCGUGUCUGACCUUGUGUAACUCUCUGACUUGGGUCACACGGCCAAUAUACACGCCCAUGUGACUAGCUCGUGUGCCCUUCGAAAUGGCCAUAGACGCCCGUGUGCCUGACCAUGUGCUAAGCCAUGCCAAAACUGUAGGGUAUACUGACUUAUGCCAUACAGCCAAGUCACAUGCCCGUGUGUUGGACUGUGUGGAACAUACUAACUUGAUUUCUAAUUAAACACCAGGGUCACACGGCCGUGUCACUUGACCGUGUGUCACACACAACUGGGACACAUGCCUGUGUCUCUGCCCGUCUGGACAAAAACAGGAUAUUUACCAAACCAUUUUUCUCACCCAAACUUUCAAUCACCUACACAAACCAAAUGGCAUAUAACAUUGCAUAAAUAGACAUUUCAACCAAUCUUAAUCAAGCCUAAUUCAUGCUAAAUCCAUACCAUUAAUCACAAGAUACACAAGUUGUAACACCCCUUAACCUAAAUCCAUCAUUGGAAUAGGUUACGGGGUAUUACCGAAAAUUUUAGAACAUUUUCAGAUAAUUCAUGUAAAUUACUUUUCAUUAAUCGAUAUUAUUGAUAUCGUCCCUUAAAUGGACCCUCGAGGCCAAAUACGGGCAUUAGAAUUGAGUCGGGACUUAAUCAAAAAUUCUAAGAAUUUUUCGUGACAUUUUAAAAAAUUUUUGAGUUACAGGGCUCACACGCCCGUGUGGUCCAAGGUUCACGCCUGUGUGACCUUGGGACACGCCUAUGCUACGGGUCGUGUUCAACCCCAUGUAACUCUCUGACUUGUGCACAUGGCCAUGCCACACGCUCGUGUGCUAGGCCGUAUGGGUAAUUAAAUUCUUUCAAAAUUAGGUGCAGGUUUCACAUGGCCAAGACACACACCUCCAAUUUAAAAUUUCAUAGCAAUUAGAUACCUCUAACAGUAGAGCUGAACUUUUUCACUUUUACAAUUUAGUUCUUUUGACUAAAUUGAGUGCCCAAACGUCAAAAUUUUCAAAUGAAAUUUUUACGAAAUCAUUCCAUAAAAUUGUAGACCAUAAAAAUAUAAUGAAAGAUAAUUUUUCUACAUCGAAUUCGUGGUCCUGAAACCACUGUUCCGACAAGACCCAAAAUCGGGUUGUUAUAACUCUCCCCCUUAGGAAUUUUUGUCCUUAUCAGAAAAAGAUUAGGGUAACGUUCUCGUAGUUUCUUCUACCUCAUCAAAGAGUCCUCUUCGAGGAAAUACUUCCAGAAGCACCUGUCAUCGAUCUGGAAUUCAAUAUCUUAAAUUUUCAAAACUGUAUACUACUAAUGUCAGUCUGAAGUUGCUUUCAACUUUCAUGAAUCACUUUCACCUUUUUCCUCAGAAUCACAAAUCAAUUUCACCUCGUACAUCUCUUUCCAAUCACCUUUGGAUUCUGAAACACAGUGUCAAAGCAUAUCGUCAAAGAUCUAAAUUACUAUCUAAAUAAACAAACGAGCUACUACUGAGUCUCGUACAACAUUUUCUACAGAAGCUCUGGAUAAUUCAUUGCACGAAUUCUAUCUCAGAGUAAUAAUAACAGAAAUUAGAAUCAUAAGUCGUCUUAACUGUACCCGUUUAGUUUACCAGCCACUAUCAUAUUCCUGAUGUUCUCAAUCUUGCAAAGAAAACGUCGCUUUAGCUUUUUAAUUUAGCUAGAUUCAGAUCAUCAUCAAAUAAGAUUAAUCAUGAACAAAGGCUUUCCAUUCAAGCAUCUCAACUAUAUCUACUUCCCCAAAGGUUAAUCGUUAACUAUUCACAAUCUUUCAAUAGUUCAAGCCAUCAACAUUGUCUUAAUUUCAGAUUUUUUUUGUAAAAUUAGAUACUUUAUACUCUUGGAAUCAAGAAGCAUAUGACAUUUUUCGUCGAACAAACAAUGUCAUCAAUUUCUCAACACAGACAUAGUAGCGGCUGACUCUAAUUCACUCGUCGAACAAUUCUUUUAAUGAGACUUUAACCGUCCAAAGACAUAAACUGUCAAUUUACAUGCUUAUAUUAAAACACAUUACUAUCUAUUCAAAAAUGCAUCGUUGAAAAUUCACGAAUUCUUUACUCAAUUCAAACAUAACCUAGAACCAUUGCUUCAGUUAAUAACACCUUCAACUGUUUUCAACUUUGCUAACAUGCAACAAACUAUUCAAACUUUCGCAAAUGAGAUGACUCAUCAAUCAAAAUAGCUUUAACUCAUAACAACAUCAUUCGAUUAGAACAAAUCUAAUAGGUAUAUCUCUGUAUCGUACUUUCUAGAAUAUGAAUUCUUCCUUCAAACUAUCUGUCUAUUCACCCAUAAAUGUACAAGAUUUUACUUCCUUACCUGGGGAUACACUUAAAUGCAUAUAAUUCAAAUUACCUUUCAACUGACCAACUCGCUCAGAUAAAAUCAACUGAGUCGAUUUCGACUAUCAAAUAAUAACAUAUCAAAAUACUACUUUCUUCAUGCUGUUAAACAACUCAAACAUACAAUCUUUUAUAAUUCCCUUAACAUGCUAAUCAAAGAUCUUUACAACUGUAUUAGCUCAAGAAAACAAAAUAUCCUAAUUGAACUCAUUGACCUUAACCAAAUUUACUUGAGAAAAGAAAACCAUCAUACAAUUUGAGCUUGAGCUUCCCCCAUCUAUACAGUUGCUGAUGUCAAUUCCUUUCACAAAAAUUAAAGAAAUCCUGAUACCAGAAUCACCAUAUUCCUAUGAUUGAACCAGAAAUACACCUGGAAUAGACAUAGUUAUCACAAGCCAGAGAAUACACUUUAAAGAUUAGUCAUGAUUGAUAAUUUACGAAAUAAGGAUGAUAAGAAAAUCGAGAUAAAAAAAUCCAAGAUGCGAUACCAUACUGGAAGUCCGAGAAUAUAACUCAUAAGAAAAUAAUAAAGAUCUCGAUGAUUUCUCAAAGAAAACCAGAAGAAAAAUAAUGCUUACACGCUCUGGAAUCAAUUGUAACAUAGAUAACACAUUUUCCAAAUAUAUAUAAAACAAAACAACAUCUAGUAGAAACAGAAGAAUAGCCUCACAUAAAAUUUCACCAUCAACUUUUAUUCCAAACAUAAUAGAAUAGAAUCCCAAAGAAAGAGAGAUAAGAUAUGCUGAUCACCAACCAACCAAACCAAUAGUGCUUUCAUCUAACAUUAUAAUCAACUAGCAUUCUCAUACGAUAAGAAUUGCAUCAGAAAACGAGCAAUCACAUAUAUCUCUGAGGAUAAAUGAACAUAUAAAAUACCCAGGAGAGAUCAUCAUAAUCUAUUCAAUUACAACUUUUACACUAAGACAUCUUUACGACUCAAAUAUCAUUUCUCCGACUAAAUCUAUCAUCACUAAUCCCAUAUUAUUCCAUUCACUAACUAAAAUCAUUUCGGAAGAAAUUCCAGCAAUUACAUACUUUAAAUAUCAUACCUGAAUGAGUCGAUUAGCCAAGAUUAACUUUUUCUUUAACUGUGACAUUGUAAAAUGAUCUUUAGAAUAACCUGACAUAUUUUUCGAAACUGUAUUCACUUACCAAACUAUUCUCAACUCUAACCACAUUAUUAGUUAUUCCGCUACUGAACUCUUUAGUCUCUUACUUGUGAGCUCAUUCAACAUAAAUCUCAUGAAAUUUUGUCAUAAAAUACCACAUUGGUAAGGGGGUGAGGUCGUAAAGCCUCUAACUCGACUCUCAUAUAUGCACACAUGUGACUUAACAUUCAUCAUCAUCACAUACAUAUCAUGAACUCUUAUUCAUACCUUUCCAAGUUUCAACUUAUCACAAACACAUUUUCAAAUAUCUUAGCAUCACUUUCAGCGUUUUUGAAAUUAGCUCGAUUGGAAAGCAUCUCUGUCUUAACAAAACAAUUUUAUCAGAGUCGGGAGAUAUCACACUAUCACAGAUUAUAUAUAGCAUGUAUAGCUAAACUCUCACACAUGCUAGGUUAGUUCGAGAAUCAACUAAACCAUAGCUCUGAUACCACUAAAUGUAACACUCUAUACCCGUAUUCGACGUCGAAACAGGGUACGAGGCAUUAUCGAACUUAAACACAAGCAAACAUACAAUUUCGAGUCAUAAAUUUGUGUCCAAAUUAAAACCAUUUGCAUUUAAUCAUAAAGUCCCUAAUACGAGCCUACGAGGCCCAAAAACGUACUUUGGAAGUGGUUUGGGACUAAACCAAGAACAUUAGAAAAUUUUACGACACUUAGAAAAUUUUUGCUAAAAUAGGGGUCACACACCCGUGUGGCUUGGGACACGCCCGAGUGGGUAGGCCAUGUGGUCACACACGCCCAUGUCCCUAACCUGUGUAACUCUCUAUUUGUCACCCAAGAGAAAAUUGAAGUCACACGGCCAAGACACACGCUUGUGUCCAGAGGCUGUGUCCUUCACACGACUAAGACACAAGCUCGUGUCCCUACCCGUGUGCUCAAUUUUGAGCAUUCUGUUUCGCAACAUUUAAGGUGCAGGGGACACAUGGCUAAAUUACACGUCCAUGGGGCUGACCAUGUGUCACACAUGGCCUAGACACACGUCCAUGUGUCUGCCCAUGUGGACAAAAACAAGGUUACUUACCAAUCUAUUUUGCCACCCUUAUUCACACAUACACUUACCCCAAUUCAAAUGGACAAAACAAUACAUACUUGGGCAACCAAAACAUCCACAUUCAUGGUUAAAACAUAUCAACUCAAUGUCUUUAUCUAACACAUUCACUACAUUUAUUAAGCCUAAAUCAAACAUAAAAUUUCACAUUCAUUAGACUUCAUUCAAUUACUUUCUAGUUACCAUAUUAUACUCAAAUGCCUCAUCUCAUCAAUCGGUCACAUUUCCAAAAAUUACACAGUCAUGCGAUGAAUCACAUUUCCAAACAUUGCACAUUCACCAAGCAUACCAUGACCAUAUCACCAUAGACAUUGAGUCAUAUAUGAAUAUACUUAGGGUUACAACCAUGUUAGCCAAUAUAGGCCAACUUACAUGGCCAAAUAGCAAAACAAGCCUUUGACGAUUACGAGCCAUUACAUUGACUAAAAUCAUAUGACGCAUAUAACAAAAUGACCAAGUCCCUAUACAUGUUAUAACUCAAAAUACUUGAAUUCAUCAAUACCAAAACGAUAGCUUGAUAGUGUGAUAGGAUCUCCGGCGAUCUCUAAUCCGAGCUAGCUUAAUAACCUUAUAAGAUAUGAGAAAAUAAUGCAGGUAAGCUAUAUAGGUUAGUAUGUCCGUAUCAACAUGAUAAGAAACUUUUACCAAUCAUUUACCAAGUCCAACAAUAUAAACACAAGAUAAUAUAAAUUGCUAUAAAACUCAUAGUCAUAACUUAUUCAGUCACAUUGUUUGCUCUAUCAAUUUGCAAGCAUACUUUAACAUGUUUUGACAUUAGCCUAAUAACCGUAUUCUCUCUAUUAUAAUAAAUUACCACAAUCAACCAAUCAUUUCAAACGUCCUAAUAAUCAUGCACAUUAAUUAUGAGUAUUCACUUUUCAAGCAUAUAAUUUUAACAUCUUUCAAUUACUUAAAGCUCAUAUUUUCCCAUACUCAUUUUAAUAGGCAAUUAUAUCAAUCUUUCCUUUUCCUCAUAUCUGAUAAUCACAAUUUGUGUGAAUAAAACUGCUAUAUCAAAACCAAAUUUGGCCCGAUGUCAAUUACACAAUCACCAACCAAAUUUACCAUGUAUUUCGUGCAUCACAAGAUAGAUCAAUAGUCAUAAGGUUUUCACAAAAACCUUCUCAUGGAAACCAUGAACUCACAAUAUCAUGAAGUCAAUACUUAUAAACUUAUGCACAUACCUACACUAAUUCAUAAUACUUACACGCUCUUUCUCUUAGUUGACAUACCCAUUAAAUUACCCUUUGAACCACUUGGAAUACUAAAGGAUACUCAGGAAUCUCGUACAUACAGUACUGUACCAAUGCCAUAUCCCAGAUAUGGUCUUACAUGUAAUCUUGUAUCGAUGCCAAUAGCCCAGCUAUGGUCUUACACGAAGUCUUAUAUCGAUGCCAUAUCCAAGAUAUGGUCUUACACGUAAUCUCAGUAACCCUAAUGUCAUGACAUUUGUAUCUUAUUUAUUCCUAAGGUUCAACUUGGACUUUCGCUGUAUCGAAUCUUUGUCGGUCAUUUUUGUAGUAUCGUACUCCAUAGCAUUCACAUUUUAUUCCAAUAAUAUAGCAUUUACCACAAUUAUAUCAAUUAAGCAUUUAUACAUAUAUAAUUUAAUGCUUAUUAAACAUACGAACUUACCUCGACAUAAAAAUGGCGAAAAGGACUUGACCGUCAAAUACUCAUUUUUUCCCCCUUUUUAAUUUCGAACCUCAUUUUUCUUGAUCUAUAAUAUCAAAUUUAACUUAUUUAAUCAUUAUACUAUUCAAAUCAGCCCAAAAUCACAAUAUGACAAAAAUUACAUUUUUGCCCUUAAAGUUUGACAUUUUUACAAUUUAGUCCAUAGGCUCGUAAAAUGAAAUGUACUCAAUUUCUUCAAUACCCAUGCCUAGCUGAACCUUAUACAUGCUUAUAGCAGCACACAAUUUUCUUUUAUUCGCAUUUUAACACCUGCUUUACAACUUUUUACAAAUAAGUCCUUUUAGGCAUUUUCGUCGAAAAUCACUUAGCAAGAGUCGUUUGUCAUACACCAAACAUACAUUUUCUACCAUUAGACAUCAAAAUACACAAAUAUCUAUCAUGGGUACAAUUUUAGACUUCGAUUACUUCUUAAAUUAGUGGUAGAAAUAGAUAGAUCAUGUUACGAGGAUUUCAAAAACAUAAAAAUUAUUAAAAACGAGACUAGAACGGGCUUACAAUCGAGCUUGGAAGCUUGAAAAACCCUAGACAUGGUUUCUCCUUUUAAAAUUCGGCCAUGGGAGGAAGAUGGACAAAAAUUGGCUUUUAAUUUGGCUUUUUAAUUCAUUUAAUUACCAAAUUACUAAAAUGCCCUUAAUGAAAAACUUUAGAAAUAUACCUAACCAUGUCCAUUUUUCUCCACCAACUUAAUCAAUGGUCCAAUUACCAUUUAAGGACCACCAAUUUAAAAUUUCAUAGCAAUUAGACACCUCUGGCAUGUAGAGCUCAACUUUUUCACUUUUUACAAUUUAGUCCUUUUGGCUAAAUUGAGUGCCCAAACGUCAAAAUUUUCGAACGAAAUUUUCACAAAAUCAUUCCAUAAAAUUAUAGACCAUAAAAAUAUAAUAAAAAUAAAUUUUUCUACGUCGGUUUCGUGGUCCCGAAACUACUAUUUUGACUAGACCCAAAAUUGGGUUGUUACAAAGUAAGCUAUAAAGCUUAGUAAGCUUGUAUAAUUAAUAAGUACAACUCACCAUUCAUUCACCAUUCAAGUAAUAUAGCGUAAUAUAUUAAAAAAACAUUUAACCACAAGGUUAAUAUAUUUUCAUUCACAUAAUGAUCAUGAAUUCACAAUUUCAUGGAUUCAGUACUCAUAUGAAAUUUUCGUGCACACCUGUACUGAUACGUAGCUAUCUCUCACCAUUUCAUAUCUUCGAUAUACCCGUCGAACCAUUUGGAAUAAUAUCGGAUACUCGGGAACCAUGCACCCUAAGUGCCAAUACAUAGCCAAAGCUAUCUUAAUCUCAUAUCUCAUAUAAUGCUCACUCUUGAGCUAUCAACGGGUCUGCUUACACAAGCUGACGGCCAUGACGUAGCUUCACGUUGCUGCUCACACAAGCUGACAAGAAUUCGCAACACUGUCAGGUAACUCAGCCAGCGGUAGGAUGUACGGACCAACACCCAAACACAUAACCCCUAAUGACAUGUCAUUCUUAUCCUAAUUUAUUCCUAAGGCUCAACCAAGAUUUCACAUUGCUGAAUCUUCGUUGAACAUAAUCGUAAGGUCAUAUUCACAAUUAAUUCAAUAAUAAAGCAUUUAAAACACGAUUACAUUAAUGCUUAUUUACAUACGAACUUACAUCAAUUCACAAAAACGUCGAAACACGACUGACUAGUCUGAUACUUUGUUUUUCCCCCGAUCUAGAUCCAAACUUCAUUUUUCUUGAUCUAUAUAAUAUCAAAUUCAUUCUAUUCAGUUUAGCCCAAAAAUCACAUUAUGGAAAAUUUACACUUUUGCCCCUAAUAGUUCAACAUCUUUACAAAUUAGUCCUUAGCUCAUAAAAACACAAAUUCAUGCAAUUAGGUCCCUACCCAUGCUAGUUGAAUUUCUUUUAUCAUCAUAGAAGCCCAUAUUUUUCAUUUAUUUCCCAUUUCUAACACAAAAUUUUUCACAUUUCUCAAUUUAAUCCCUAAUUGAUAAAUUUACCAAAAAUCACUUUACAAAUGUUGUUUAUCUAACAACAACCAUACAUUUUCUAUCAUCAAACAUUAAAAUACAAGUACAUUCAUCAAUGAAAAAACCCUAAACCUUUAAUAGUUUUGCAAAUUAGUCCCUGGGCUAUCUAGAUUAAGUUACAAUGGCUCAAAAAUGUUGAAAUCAUUAAAAAUGAGACAAAAUACAUACCAAUUAGACAAGGAAGAGAUUGUCGAAAGCCUGAGCACAAAAAUGGCUUCCUAAGCCCUAAUUUUUGGCUGUAGAAGAUGAUAUGAGAACAAAAUUUUAUUUUGUUUUAUUUAAUUAACCUUUAUUUACUAAAUACCAAAAUUAACCUUAAAAAUUAUCACAAAUUUCAAAAUUACCAAUCCAUUAUCAUCCACUAACAGAUUAAUGGGCUAAUUACCACAUAAGGAUCUCCACUUUAUGGUUCCAUAACUAUUAGACACCUUUAGCUAUUAGAACGCCACUAUUGCAGUUUACACGAUUUAGUCCUUUUUAUCAAAUUAAGCACUGAAACAAUAAAAUUUAUUCACAAACUUUUCAUACAAUCAUACUAUCAUGAUGUAUACAUUAAAAUAAUAAUAAAAUAAUUAUUUUGACCUCAGAUUUGUGGUCCCAAAAUCACUGUUCUGAUUUGACUAAAAACGAGCUAUUACAAUAUUUCUCAGUGCUUUCCACUAAACAAUGGCCUCAAUCUUUUUCGACUCAACUCUAAUUCCAUCUACCGAGAUAACAUGCCCCAAAAAAACAACUUUUGAUAACCAGAAUUCACAUUUUCUAAGCUUUCCAUAUAAUUGUUUCUCUCGUAACACUUGCAAAACAAUUCUGAGGUGUUGCUCAUGUUCGAAUUCAGAUUUCGAAUAGAUCAAGAUGUCGUCAAUAAAAACUACCACAAAUUGAUCCAAAUACGGUUAGAAAAUACAGUUCAUGAGAUCCAUGAAUGCUACUAAAGAAUUUGUCAACCCAAAAGGAAUCACUAAGAAUUUAUAAUUGCUAUAAUGCAUACGAAACAUCAUCUUCAGAAUGUCACUAUCUUUCACUUUCAAUUGAUAGUAACGCGAUCUUAAAUCGAUCUUAGAAAAGACAGAAGCUCCUUUUAAUUGAUAAAUAAGUCAUUGAUAGGAGGUAGUGCGUAUCGAUUCUUAAUCAUCAACUUAUUCAAUUACCAAUAGUCAAUACAGAGUCGCAUCGAGCAUUCUUUCUUUUUGACGAAAAGUACUAGAGCUCCCUAAGGCAAUAUAUUAGGGAGUAUAAAGUCGCGAUCCAAUAAAUCUUGCAAUUGCAACUUUAAUUCUUUUAACUCUAUGGGUGCCAUGCAAUAAGAAGACAUUGACACCGGAGCCAUACCAGGAAACACAUCAGUUGCAAACUCAACCUCCUAAUCUAGGGGUAAUCCUGGUAAUUCCUUAGGAAACAAGUUAGGGAAUUCACAAACAGUACAAAUUUUACUGCUUUGACUAUCACCAAAGUUUAAAUUAAUAACAUAGGCCAGAAAAGUUUCACAACCCUUGUUGAAAAGUUUAUUAGCUUGAAUUGUUGAAAUGAUACGAGUUGAACCGCUUGUUCAAACACCAUUCACCUCAAUCAAGUUACCAUCUUCACUCUUAACUACAAACUUCUUUUUAGGCAAUCUAGAAUCACUCCGUGCUUUGUAAGUCAAUCUAUACCAAAAAUCAAAUCAAAAUUGCCAAACAACAUUAUCAACAAAUCAACAAGGACUAUUUUAUUCUAUAUCUCUAACUGACAUCUCCUCCGUACCUAAUCCUCUAACACAAAUUGCCCCAAUGGACUUAACACAACUAUUGAUACUUUAGACGUCUCAGAUUUUAGAAUUCCUGAUUUAACUAACUCAGCAUUAACAUACAAGUGUGAAGAUCUUGGAUCUAUCAAAGCAUAAACAAGUUACGAAUGUAAUAAAAAGAUACUUGCCACAUUGUGGGUAGUGUCACCAUUCUCACGUGACCGCACAUCAUAGGCUCGUGUUGGCGCUCUGGCCUCCAACUGAUGAGUAACAGCAAUUUCAAGUACGAGGUAAGUUCGUACGUGAUAAAUGAUGUUAUAGUUAUGUUUUAAUGCUUUAAUAAUGCAUAAAUUGUAUAGAUAUUUGAUUAUGGUUUGAGCAUGAUAAUAAUUGACUAUGUUCAGCACUAAGUGUGCGGUUCAAAAUAGCUUCGGCUACAAAUGGCACUAAGUGUGCCAGUUGGAAUAGUUUCAGCUAUAAGAGGCACUAAGUGUGCGAUACCAAGAUAGCUUCGGUUUAUUGAAAUGGCACUAAGUGUGCAAGAUUGGUACGGCUUCGGCAAAUCACUUGUAACACCCCUUACCCGAGUUCAAGGUCGGGACUGGGCACGAGGCAUUACCAUACUUAACCACAUGCAUACAAUCGUUUUCGAGUCACCAAGACUUGAUCAAAUUUAAAAGUUUUUCGAACCUUGUUUAAACUCCUUAAUGUAGGCCUAUGAGGCCUUAAACUCUCAUUGGAAACCAUUCGAAACCAACUCGGAUCCUUAAACUGACUUAAUAAAAAUGUACCUUGAAACUGGGCACGUGCCCGUAUAGAAGGGCAACAUGCCCGUAUGGUCAUUAUAACAUGGCCGUGCUGAUGGCUCAUGUGACACACACGACUUAAGCAUCUAGGGACACGUCUGAGUCCCAUCCCGUGUGAAUUAAAUUCUAAAAUUCGAACCUACAGGGGUUUUCACACGACCUGACAAACGCCCAUGUCUAUAACCCGUGUCACUCACAAGGCCACGACACGCCCGUGUCUCAACUCAUGCUCGAAAACCUUGACAUUCUGUUUCUGAUGUCAACAACCCUUAAGGGUCACACGACUAAGGCACACGCCUGUGUUCUAGGCUGUGCCCUUUACACAGCUGAGAUACAUGGACGUGUAUCUACCUGUGGGUUUACUAGCAUGCAUACUGACUUGCAAUUUUUACAUGCAGGGGACACACGGCCUAGUAACACGCCCAUGGUGCAGACCGUGUGUCAAACACAGCCUAGACACACGCCCGUGUGUCUACCUGUGUUGAAAAAAAUAAGGUUAUCUACCAAGCCUUUUGCCACCCUGAAACACAAUCUAAUACCAACCAACCUAUCCAAAUCUAACUUAUUAUGAUUUCUUAACCAAACAACCAUAGCUAAGGCCCACAUACAUUUCAUAUAUUCAACCAAGCCACCAAUUUCACAUUCAUGAAAGACUAUCUUGCAUUCAUAUAAUAACUUUCAAUAUUAGCCAUUUUUUAUGGCCUUAUACAAAAUGAAUCAAAUGCUAAGGUUAGCCAUCACAUUUGGCCAAUUAACAUUGACACAAAAUUCAAAAUUCUAAGUUCCUAUACAUGUCAUAUUCAAAAUGAUAAAUCUAAUUAUACCGAGUACUUCAGUUGAUAGUGCGAUCGAUGCCUCCGACGUCUGUUGAUCCUCCAGCUAGUUAAGCGGCACUAUAAGAAAAUGGAAAAGAAAGGGAAUAAGCAUAAAUCUUAGUAAGUUGCAUGCAAAAAAAAUAUAAGAACAACUUUACCAUUCAUCAUCAUGCUUAUGGUACAAAAGUAAGCAUAAGCACAACUUAGUCGUCACUAACCAAUACAAUUCACAUAGCAUAUAUAUAUUGGGCUCAUGUCUCAUACAUUUCAAAUAGGUACCUGUACCACUCACAACAUGGUUAUACUUUUCUCAUUUAACUUAAACUGUAACUCUUACCGUUGAACCAUUUGGAAAGCUAUCAGAUAUUCACUAUGCCUCAAACAUAGGGUAUAAUACCGAUGCCAUGUCCUAAACAUGGUCUUACACUGGCGUAUUCAUCAAAUUGAUGCCAUGUCCCAGCAUGGUCUUACACUGACUAUCGAAAUCGAGGCCGACGCCAUGUCCCAGACAUGGUUUUACACUAGCUCUCACAUAUCCGUGCCGAUGCCUUGUCCCAAACAUGGUUUUACACUGACACCUCUAUACAUGCCAAUGCCAUGUCCCAGACAUGGUCUUACACUGACACAUCUCAUAGCUGAUACAUGUACUAGACAUGUCUUACACUGGCUUACAUCUCGAGGCCGAUGCAUGUCCCAGACAUGUCUUACACCGGCUCUCGUCUUAAUGCCGAUGCCAUGUCCCAGACAUGGUCUUACACUGGCUCCAUUAGCUCUUGUAAUUGAGUCUUCAACUCCUUCAACUCUAUUGGAGCCAUUCUAUACGGAAAAAUAGAGAUAGGUGCCAUACCAGUGACCAACUCGAUACCAAACUCAACUUCUCUGGUUGAAGGCAACCCAGCAACUAUUCUGGAAAUACAUCCGGGUACUCGCAUACCACAAGCACUGUCUCAAUUUUCACUUCAGACUCUUUGAUGUUAAACACAAAUGCUAGGUAGGACUCAUACCCCUUUCUCAAAUAUUUCUCGACAGUCAAAGACAAGAUCAGUACUGAUGAGUUAUCUGGUUCACCUGAUUCAACCCGAAUAAUAUCCCCAUUCUUACAUUUCACUUCAAUGAACUUACUAUCACAAUUCACUAUCACAUUAUGAGCAGUCGACCAAUCCAUGCCAAGAAUUAGAUCAAAUUCAUCAAAUGGUAGUAGCAUGAGGUUAGCCAGAAAACAAUGACCUCUAAUCAUUAAAGGACAGUCUCUAUACACUUUAUCAACUAUCACAUGCCUACCUAACGAGUUUGACACUUUUAUCACAAAUUCGGUAGACUCAAUAGACAUAUUUGUACUGGGUACUAAUUUCAUACAAACAUAAGAAUGGGUAGACCCCAGAUCAAUUAAAGCAACAAUAGAAAUAUCGUAAAGAGACAGAGUAUCCAUAAUCACAUCUGGUGAAGAUACCUCUUUUUGAAUGCGAAUCGCAUAAAUUCUUGUAGGCACUCGGCGCUCGGACCUUACAGUUGAACCUCUAGGGGCACCUCUACUACUAGCCCCACUACCCAGGUUCUUUUGUGGUCUACCCCUCGAAGGAGCACUAUUCACCCUCAUAUCUUGCUUUUUCUCAUUGUUAUCUACUUCCGGACAGUUCUGGAUAAAGUGGUCUAGUGAUCCACAUUUGAAGCAACCUAUUUCAUUCCCUUGGCACUCACUGAAAUGAUGGCUACCUCAUUGCGAACACUCCGGCCUAUUUGGCCGAGCACUACCAACACUCGCAAUAGAAGUAGUUUAGGCUUUGGACACCGUGUACUACUUAUUCUUGCUCUUUCGAGAACCACACUGACGUGUUUGAUCAAGUAGGAAACUCUCUCGACCUCUUAGAUAGGGUCUGCAGUGAUUUCCCCAUCAUUCUUUUCCUUGAGUCUCAAGACUCAAUGUCAACUUUUCUCUUCUCUUUGGCCAAUUCCUCAGCCUUACAUGCUCUCUCCCCGAGCACCACAAAUUCCCUCAAUUCUAAGAUGCCAACUAAUAAACGGAUAUAUUCAUUCAAACCAUCUUCAAACCUCUUCCACAUGAUAGCUUUUGUAGAUACGCACUCCCAUGCAUAUUUGCUGAGUCUCUCAAACUCGCGCUCGUACUCCAUCACCUUUCUACGGCCUUGCUUCAACUUUAAAAAUUCUUUCCUUUUAUGGUCUAUAAACCUAUGGCUAAUGUACUUCUUCUGGAACUCUUCGUGGAAGAAUUUCCAAGUUAUCCUCUCUCUCGGUACAACAGACACGAGAGUAUUCCACCAUUGGUAGGCUGAGUCUCGUAGGAGUGACACUGCGCACUUCACGUACUCCUCAGACGUGCACGUUAGCUCAUCAAAUACCCUAAUGGUAUUUUCCAACCAGAACUCUGCUCUUUCUGGGUCAUCAUCAAUAUUAGCUUGAAAUUCCUCGCCCCUUUGCUUUCGUAUUUUAUCUACUAGGGGUUUCUCCUUCCUAACCAUAUCCACUCCUUAAGCAGCUACAGGGGCAUACUGAGGAAUCAGAGGAGGUGGGGGAGCUGGAGUGUUUGGAUUCGCACGAACAAACUCUGUGUACCAAGCAUCUAUCGUGUGGAGGUAAGCUUCUCUAGCCCCUCCGCCCCGACCUAGUGUCACGGGCCCACUAUCUAUCAGCCUGGUCCCUUUAGUGGGAGCUGGCGCAUUAUUCUCCACAUCAUCUAUCGUAGCUACGUCAAGAUCCAUUUACUAUAUAAAUAAAAACAAAAUUUAUCUUAUCAGGAGUCGUCACACUAUCAAUAUACAAUUAUGGCAUGUAUAGCUAGACUCGUACUCACACUAGGUUAGUCCUAGAACUGACUAAACCAUAGCUCUGAUACCACUAAAUGAAGCACCCCUUACCCGAGUCUGAGGCCGAGACUGGGCACGAGGCAUUACCAUACUUAACCACAUGCAUAUAAUCAUUUUCGAGUCACCAAGACUUGAUCAAAUUUAAAACUUUUUUGAACCUUGUUUAAACUCCUUAUUGUAGGCCUACGGGGCCUCAAACUCUCAUUGGAAACCAUUCAGAACUAACUCGAGUCCUUAAACCGACUAAAUAAAAAUAACCCUUGAAACAGGGCACACGCUCGUGUGGAAGGGCAACAAGCCCGUAUGGUCAUUAUAACAUGGCCGUGCUGAUGGCCCGUGUGACACACACGGCCAAGCAUCUAGGGACACGCCCAGGUCCUAUGCCCGUGUGAAUUAAAUUCUAAAAUUUGAACCUACAGGGGUUUAUACAUGACCUGUCACAAGCCCGUAUCUAUAACCCGUGUCCAUCACACGGCCAAGACACGCCCGUGUCUCAGCUCAUGUUUGAAAACCUUGACAUUCUGUUUCUGACGUCAACAACCCUUAAGGGUCACACGGCCAAGGCACAUGCCUGUGUGCUAGGUCGUGCCCUUAAUACAGCCAUGCAUCUGCCCGUGUGUUUACUACCAUGCAUACUGACUUGCAAUUUUUACGUGAAGGGGACGCAUGGCCUAGCAACACGCCCGUGGGGCAGACCGUGUGUCACACACAGCCUAGACACAUGCCUAUGUGUCUUCCCAUGUUGACAAAAAUAAGGUUAUCUACCAAGCCUUUUGCCACCCUAAAACACAAUCUAAUACCAAUCAACCUAUCCAAAUCUAACUUAUUAUGAUUUCUCAACCAAACAACCAUAGCUAAGGCCCACAUACAUUUCAUAUAUUCAACCAUGCCAACAAUUUCACAUUCAUGAAAGAGUAUCUUGCAUUCAUAUAAUAACUUUCAAUAUUAGCCAUUUUUCAUGGCCUUAUACAAAAUGAAUCAAAUGCUAAGGUUAGCCAUCACAUUUGGCCAAUUAACAUUGACGCAAAAUUCAAAUGUCUAAGUUCCUAUACAUGCCAUAUUCUAAAUGAUAAAUCUAAUUAAAUCGAGUGCUUUAGCUGAUAGUGUGAUUGAUGCCUCCGACAUCUAUUGAUCCUCCAACUAGUUAAGCGGCACUAAAAGAAAAUGGAAAAGAGAGGGAGUAAGCAUAAAGCUUAGUAAGUUACAUGCAAAAAAAUAUAACAACAACUUUACCAUUCAUCAUCAUGCUUAUGGUACAAAAGUAAGCAUAAGCACAACAAACUCAUCACUAACCAAUAUAAUUCACAUAGCAUAUAUAUAUUGGGCUCACGUCUCAUACAUCUCAAAUAAGUACCUGUACUACUCACAACAUGGUUAUUCUUUUCUCGUUUAACUUUAACUGUAACUAUCACCAGUGAACCAUUUGGAAAGCUAUCAGAUAUUCACUAUGCCUCAAACAUAAGGACUAGUAUCGAUGCCAUGUCCUAGACAUGGUCUUACACUGGUGCAUCCAUCAAGUCGAUGCCAUGUCCCAGACAUGGUCUUACACUGACUAUCAAAAUCGAGGCCGAUGCCAUGUCCCAGACAUGGUCUUACACUAGCACUCACAUAUCCGUGCUGAUGCCAUGUCCCAGACAUGGUCUUACAUUGACACAUAUCAUAGCCGAUGCAUGUCCUAGACAUGUCUUACACUGGCUUACAUUUCGAGGCCGUUGCAUGUCCCAGACAUGUUUUACAUUGGCUUUCGUCUCAAUGCCGAUGCCAUGUCCCAGACAUGGUCUUACACUGGCUCUUAUAAUGUGGCCAAUGCAUGUCCCAGACAUGUCUUACACUUGCACACAAAUAACCCAAAUGUCAUGGCAUGAAUAUUCGAUUUAUUUCCUAAGGUUAAAAUGGGAAUUCUACUAUCUCAAUAUUCAACAUACAUAAUCAUUUCCACAAACAAGCAAUUUAUGCUAUAUCAAUUCAAAUGCAUAUAAUAACAAUGUAGUUGUAUUAUUUACAUACAACUUACCUCGAAUUACAAAAUGUAGACGACUAGUUCGACUUAGUCCACUUGCUUUACUUUUCCCCAGUCUAGGCCUAAAUUUUGUAAUUCUUGAUCUAAAAUGGCAACAUUUAGUCAUUUAAUCAUGAAUUAAAUCUAAAUGUUCAAUAAUUUAUAAUUUGGGCAAAAUAACCAUUUUGCCCCUAGACUUUCACAAAAUGACUAUUUUACCCCUAGGCCUAAAAAUUAAUUUUUAUCGAGUUUCCUUAUUAGUCAAGCAUAAUCGACCAUUUAUCUCUAUUAUGACAACCCAAAUUUUCAAUAUUUCAGAAUAUUACUAUCUAUUUUACAAACUUUACAAGAUGGUCCUAUUAAGGUUUUCAUGAGAAGUCCCUUCACAAAUGUUGUUUAUUUCAUAACCAUGAUUCAUUUUCUUCCAUAAAAUUUUAGAAAACAACAUGAACACUCUCAUGGUAAAACCCUAGACUUUCAACCAUUUUGCAAAACAGCCCCCUCAUUUGAAAGCUCAUGCUACAAGGGUUCUAAAAGUACAAAAGUCAACAAGAAAGACUAUCAAAAUCACUUACUUGUGAGGGUUAAAAGUUGCUGAAAUUUUCAAGAUUUCAAACCUCUAAUUUUUUUGAAAAUUUGGUGGAGAAGAAGAUGGGGAAAAAGAUUAUAUCUUUUCCCUUUAUUUUAUUUUUAUUUUAGUCAAAUAAGCUACCCAAACCCACCUAAUUUGACUUUUCGACCAUUCUUGUCCCCAUGGCUAGCCAAGCACUCUUUUUAGGGUCUAUUUUCCCUUUAAAGACCCCCAAUUUUGGUUCCCUAGCUAUUAGACACCUUUAACUAUCAAAAUAGGACCUUUGUACUUUAUGCGAUUUAGUCCUUUUUCGCAAUUACGCUCACAAACGCUAAAAUUAAUUGACCAAAAGUUUCAUGCACCUUUAUAAACAUACCAUCACACAUAGAAUAAUAUUAAUAAUAAUUUCUCCAACCUUGGGUUACUGGUUCCAAAACCACUAUUUUGACUAGCCCUAAAAUUAGGCUAUUACAUUACUAAUGCACUAAGUGUGCGAAUUCUUAAAGUAUGGAAAGACUUCCAAAUAAAUUAAUGUAUUUGAAUGAGUGUUAAGAAUGAAAUGAAUAAAUAUGGGAAAGUUCAGGUAUGUUCGAUACCUAUGUGGUAGAUGAUACUAUGUGUAUGAAGCUUGAUGAAUUCAUAUGAACAUAUUAAAUGAGAUAGAAUAGAAUUGAUGGAUAAAUUGUGAAUUACUAAGUGCUUAUUAGUUGAUGUUUCGUUAUUAUAAACUGAUGAUUAUUUAUGGUAUGAAAUUACUAAGCUUUAAAGUUUACUGUGUGAAAUGUUCUCUGUUUUACUGUGUUAUACAGCUAGCUCGGCUCUGGGGAUCGUCACCGACAUCAAUCACACUAUCAAACAUCUAUUUUGGUACCAUUUUGAGAGUUGCAAUAUAGUAUAUGGCAUGUAUAGGUUAGUGUCAUUUUAGUAUGUUUUGUGUUGUGAUUAGCCAUAAGACUUGGCUUGUAAAUAUUGGUAUGUAUGGCCUCUUAAGUCGGCCUAAAUGGUAUGUUUGAUAAGUAAGAAAUAUGAUGUUUAUAAUGUUUAUGUAAUGGUUUAUUAUGGGAUAUUGAAGUAAUGAGUUUGUUCAUUUGGAACUUUGGUAAAUUGUGAUGAUGUUGGCAGAUUGAAUUGAUGGAGGUUUUUGAUAAUUUUUACGUUUUUAAGAUCGUUGCUUCGAGUACUACAAAACCCAUGCUUAAAUUUUUGAUUUUGGUGAAUAUUUUUAGUUAUGCCAUUGUUGAGAGCUUGUGAUUUUUGUUGUUUGAUGAUGAAAUAUGAAAGAUAUGUUUUAGAUUAACAUGUUUUGUAUUGGAGUUUUUGAUGAUUUUGAGUAAUUAGGACUAAAUUGCAAAAAUAAUAAUUUGAGGGGCUAAAAUGUGAAAUAAAUGAAAUAUAUGGGCUUGUAUGGAUAUGGGUAAUAUUUGGCCAAACAUCGGUAUAGGGAAAUUUUUUCAUAUUUGUGUUUUGUACAAUAGGGACUAAAUUGUAAAAAGUGUAAAUGUCAGGGUAAAUGGUAAUUUUCCCAUUUAUGUGUUUUUGGACUAAAUUGAAUGAAAAUAUGUUUGAAUGAGCUUAAUUUGAAUAUGUUUAUAUCAAGAACCAAAGAAAUCAGAUUUGGAUCGGGGGAAAGCGAAAGUUGUCGACUAGCUGCCCUGUUCCAUUUUGUAUCGUCCGAGGUAAGUUUAUAAGCAAAUAGACGUAUUUAGUUUUAAUUAAAUGCAAGGUAUAUAUGCUGAAAUGAAAUAUAUGAUUUUAUUUAUGCUAAAUUUGAAUGUGAGUAAGCUUGAUUACUAUGUUUGUGAAUUGGUUUCGACCGAGUUACGAUGUCCGAAAGCCCCGUGUGAACCUUAGGAAUAGCUAUGAUACAUAUGUCAUGAUAUAAGAUUCCGAUAUAUGUGUACGAGUAAGACCAUGGAAUCGACAUGUGAUUACAAUACGUGUGUGAGUAAGACCCUGUCUGGGACAGUGGCAUCGAUAUCUGAUUACAUGUAAGACCACAUCUAGGACGUUGGCAUUGUAUAAUAUAUGUGAUUAUCCGCGUGUCCUAUCCAAUUCCGAAUGGUUCAUCGAGAAAUGAUAAGUUUUGAACAAAUAUGAAAUUUGAGCUGAAAGACCAGGUAAGAAAUAGUCUGUUAUCUGUUGAAAUGAGGUAAGUAAGCUACUUGAUAUAUGUUACAAAUUGUGUGUGAUACUAAUAAUGAUUAUAUGCGAAUAUGGUAUGUGAAUUCGACCUUGUAGUUAAAUAACUUAAGUAUUAUUAAAAUGAUUUUUAACUAUGUGUAUAUACAUGUGUGUGACUAUGUAUAUUCGGCUAAAUAAGAAGUAUGCAUACAAAAUGUGAUAUUAUGUUCCUUGAGCUUAUUUGAAUGUGCAUACGUAUGUUUGAUUAUAUAGUGACAUUUUGGCUUAAAAUUUGAAUGACAAUUGGUUGGUUAGUUUAGGUGAGCAUUCAGCCAAGGUAAAAAAAUGAUGUAUGGAAAUGUAUUAUUUUAUCUCAUUUGUAGGUUAAAGGUUAAGCAUUGAUAAUGAUAAUGUAAUUUGGUUUAGCUUAAAACAAGUUGAAUAUAUUAUUGAGUUGUUUAUUUGGUUAUGACUUACUAAGCUAUAAUAGGUUAUUGUGUGUAUUUUGCCUCUGUUUUAAAGAUUUUGGAUUCAAGUUACAAGCUUGGGGAUCGUUAGCAAAAUCUACCACACUAUCGAUUUCCUUCGGUAUUUUAUAAGUUGCAUUUUAGAACUAUGGCAUGUAUAGACUGGAACAUACUUUGAAAUGCUGAAUGUUGGUUAUGUAUAUAAGCCAUGCGAAAAUGGCUAAACUUUUAUUUUUAAAUUCUUUUAUGUUAAGUUUGGUUUAUGUUCGCUUUAGUUUCAUAGUUACGUGCCAUGAAUGUUUAAUGUUUGUGGUAGGUACCAUGUGCUUUGAAAAUGGUUUGCUUGUUCUGUCUAAAUUUGGUUUUAUAUACCCUUGGUUAAAUGUUCAUUGAACUUUAUUGUUGGUAAAUAUUGCAUGUGUUUCAUGGAUAAUUUGGUCUAUUGAUUGGUAUGUAUUCUAUGUUAAAUGUGAUCUUUAUUUUAGGUAAGUUGUGUAUAUUAUACAUGUGCAUUAUUAACAGGUUCGGGUAUGGUAUAAUGUAUUGAAAACAUAUAUGAUUAGUUAUUGGAUUAUAUAAUAUGAUUGUAUACGUAAACAUGGUUACUAUGAAAUUGUUGUAUGAGUUAAGACAAGAGUGAUAAUAAGUAAUCAAUAAUUUAAAAAGUCUGAAUAUUGACCAAUAUUUUGUUAUUCAAUAUGUAAUUUAGACAUAUUAACUAAUAUAUACAAUAAGUGUACCUUUUAAUGACGUGUGCUUAAAAUAGUUAAAUUUACUAAGGUCAAAUGCACAAAAUCUAAUGAUUAAAUGGUAUGUGUAGACAUUAAUGAUUAUUUACUUUGAAUAAAGUAUAUGAAAAUGCAUGAUUAUUACCGUAUGAAUGCUUUAAUUAGUAUUAAAGUGAAAGGCAUGAAAGAUUAAUUUGCAUAUGGUCUAAGUCGUAUAAGUAAGUGGUUUAAGAUGUGAAUUAUGGCUUAUUAAAUUAUAAGAAUAUGUACAUGAUUUAGUGGCUAUAUGCAUAAUUACAUAAGUGGUAAUAGAUGUAUGUUUAACCAUGUUGGUAAUAGAUAAUGCAGUGCAAAUAAAUACAUUAUAUGCUGUUAGUAACAAAUUGAAAUUGGUUGUGACCUGUAUAUGCAAGGUGUAAAUUGAUGUAUAUUCUGAAAUGUGAAUCGAUUGUAUUUUUAAUUAGAAAUGGGUUUGACUUGAGUGAUUAUAUAUUAAUUAAUGUUUUGAAAUUGUGUUUUUGAUCGGAAAUGCCUCGUAACCCUAAUUCAGUGACGGAUAUGUGUUAGGGGUGUUACAACAUGUGCAUGUGUCUUGACCCUGUGUCUGUUAUAACUUAGUUAUGCAAGUCAGUCUUGAGCAUGGCCUAGACACACGGGCGUGUCUAGUGGCCGUAUGAGACACAUAACCUUGGCACAGAGGCGUGUGUGGCUAUUUCGAAUGGUACACGGGCUAGACACACAGGCGUAUGGUUGGUCGUGUGACCCAAGUCAGUUUUGACCACGACCAAGGCAUACGAGUGUGUCUUGUGGCCAUGUGGUUAAGUCAGUAUGUAUGCCCUGUUUUUCCAUGGUUUAGACACACAGGCAUGUCUAAAGCUAUGUAAGGCACAUAGUCUAUUCACACAAGCGUGUGACUUGUGAAACUUUGAAAAUUUUGUUAAGUUUCUAAGAAAAUUUGUAUAUGCUCGGUUUAGUCCUGACCCCUUUCUAAAGCAUGUUUAAGGUCUUGUUGACCUAUGUAGGGGAUUUUGUAAUAAUGUGUGAUGAUGAUGCUAUGAUGAUUGAGAAAUGAAUGUUAGAUGUUUAGAUUUGUCCUGUAACGUCUUUAACCCUAGUCCGGCGACGAAUACGGGUUAGGAGUGUUACAUUUUAUUGGUAUCAGAGCUACAUUUUAGUCGAUCUAGGACUAACAUAGCGUAUGUUAGUUUAGCUAUACAUGCCAUAUAUAUGAAUUGCGAUAGUGUGAGUAUUCCUGGUAGUUAAAGUGUGUUUUUAUCUAGCUAAUUGAUCCCGAACGAGCGAUAGCUCAUGAUGUUGAGAGCAAUACACCUGCUCCCACUCAAGGGGCAGUGCCGGUCGAGUUUAGGCCGAUAUCUAGUAGUUAGGGUGGAGAGGCUAAGCAAGCCUUCUUCCAAAUGAUGACUGAGUGGUUCACGAAAUUCGUAUGAAUGAAUCCAGGUGCUCAACAACCUUCACUCCCACCUGUUCCUCAACAAGUCUCGGUUGUGCCACCAGUAAUAGAUCCGAUUCGACUGAGUAAGCCAUGUAAUAGACCAAAAUAGGGUCUAGUUGAAACAGAGGUUUCGGGACCACAAAAUUUGAGAUAGAAAUAAUUAUUUUAUGAUUAUUUUGAGGUCUAUGAUAUGAUUGCAUGAUUGUGUGAAAAUUUCGUGAAGAAAUUCUAUGCAUAAAGUGCUCAAUUUGAAGUUAGGGACUAAAUUAGAAUAAGUUGCAAAACUUGCAUUCUAGAAGUUUCUAGUAUGAAAUUGCUUUGAAAUAAUAAUUAGGUCUUAAAUAGCAAUUUUACCAAUUUCUAAGUGAUGGACAAAAAUUGGACAUGGAUGGAAUUUUUGAAAGUUUAGUAAGAAGGGCAUUUUGGUCAUUUGGUAAUUAAAAGAAAUAAGAAGGGAAAAUUAAGCCAAAAUUGACUCAUCUUUUUCAUGGAGGCCGAAAUUAGCAUGGGGGAAGCCAUGGCUAGGGUUUUCAAGCUUUCCAAGCUCAAUAGUAAGUCCGUUCUAACCCCAUUUUUCAAGUUCUUUUCAUUUUUAGAAUCUCGGUAAUUUGAUUAAGCUUAUUUUAGCACUAAUUUAAGCAAGGGUUCAUAUUUGGUAAAAUACCCAUAGGUGAAAUGUGUUUAUUUUGAUGUUUUAUGAUAGAAUAUGAGGUUUUAAAUUAUGUUAGACAACUUGUGCUGCUCGGUUUUGAGUGAAAACGAGUAAAAGGGUUUAAUCGGUGAAAAUACCUAAUAGUCACAAGUAUAUGUUAGAGUGAGAAUUUGAUGUUGCCAUAGAAGAGAAAGUGAUCAUCAUGUCAUAAAACAUAAGAAUAAGGGAUGAAGUUUAAUUCCCGAGCCUAGGGGCAAAAGUGUAAAUAUGCAAAAGUUUAGGGGAAAAAUUGUAAAUUUGCCAAAGUUUGAGUUAGGGACUGUUUUGAAUAUUACAUUAAUUAAAUAAGUAAAAUAUGAUAUUUUAGAUCCCGAAAAAUGAGAUUUGAACCUAGAAUGAGAGAAAAAUCAAAAAUUGGGAAAGUUGGUUAAAUGGCCGUUUUAGUAUCGAGGUAAGUUCAUAUGUAUAAUAAGCAAUAAUUUAUGCAUGUUUCAAUGUGAAAUUGAUACAUUUACUAAGAUUUUCGAGGUGUUGAAAGUAUGUAAGUUGGUAUGAUAAUAAUACAGCAAUAAUGCUGCAAUUUAUAUUUGAAAGUUUAAUUUAGUGAAUUAAUUGAAUUAUGUUAAAUUAAAUGAUUAUGGUGCCAAGUUUAUGAAUUGAUUUAAAAAUAUGUCUAUGGUACAUGAAGUGCAUUGAAUUAUCAUACAUAAAUGUGAUUUCUAUGAUUAUGGAUAUUAUGGGAAAUUGUAAGUUCAUAUGAUUUUUAAUAAGGUAAUGUGUAAUUUAAUGUUAUUGCCUUGAUAUUAAAUGAGAUGUAAGUUUAUAUGUAAGUAAUACAUCAAUAUUACUUGUAUUAUGAUAUUUUAUAAUAAUAUUGGAAAUAUGUUUGUGGAUAAUUACUUGAUUGGUGAAAUUGUUGGAAAAGAGAGAUAAAUCCCGGUUGAACCUUCAGAAAGAUUGGAUGAUACAGAUAGUAUGUAGCUAGGUCACAUGUAUGGUGCUAAGUGCACAUCAUGUGUACAAGAGAGCUACAAGACAUUAUGAUGUAGCUAGGUCGCAUGGGUGAUACUAUGUGUACACCAUGUAGACAAGAGAGCUACGGGAUAUAUGUAGCUAGGUCGCAUGUGUAGUACUAAGUGCAGGCUACUACAUGUAUCAGAUAGUUAGGUCACGUGUGUAGUACUAAGUGCAGGAUACUACGUGUACCGGAUAAUUGGUCGCAUGUGUAGUACUAAGUGCAGGCUACUAUGCAUACCAGAUAGUUUGGCUACAUAUGUGGCACUUAUGUGCAAACUUUCCAUGUAUCCGAAUUAUAUUCCGAAGUGUUCAAUGGGAGACUCUCUAUGUAUUGCUUUGUGAGUGUUGUGAUGAAUAAGUGCAAGAACUUGGUUAUGUGAAUGAUGCAUUCAUUAAGUGACCAGGAUGUGGUAAGAUUAUAAACAAGUAAGUUAUACAUGAGGAUGAUUUUAUGGUGAUCUUGUGAUCAUGGCCCUAUACUUGUGAUGUAUGAAAUGUGGUGAAAAUGAUUUGUGAUAUGUAUGUUAAAAUGAGGUUAAUACAAAGAAAGUGUGAAAGAGUGAAUAAGCAAUAAAACUGUGUUGGAUAGUAGCAGUGAUGUGAUUUUAAAAAAUCACCAAAAAUUGUAGAAAUUGAAUCAGAGACUGAAUGAGAUAUCAAAUUAAAUCUUAAUAAGCCUAUUUUCAUAUAAAAGAAACAGAGCAAGCAAAGGAGUUCUAUAUUUUGAGACAUUUAUGUUUUUGUGAGACUGGUUCAGAAUGAUUACGUGAUCCCCUGUUCUGACUUUGGAAAAUCACAAAAAAUUGGAAAAAAAUAAUUAGAGGCUCAAAAUUAUAUUUUUAAAAUUCAUAAUGAGUCUAUUUUCAAGAUAAAUGAACAAUAAUAUUAUCCGAGUUCUUUACUAUGAGAUAAUUAAUUUUUAGUGAAGAGAGGUCAGAACUGUCAGAAAGUGAAACAGGGGAAACUUUAAUGAAUAAACUGUACUAAUUGGCUAAACAAAAAAUGAUGAAAAUUUUAUGGUGGAAAUAUAUGUGAGUCUAGUUUAAAUGAAAAUUUACGGAUCUUAAUUUGGAGCUUUGUAGCUUGAAUUAUAAAUAAGUAAGUGACUAUGACUCGUGUGGACAGUUUGAUGUGAGCAUUUAUUAGUAAAUUGUGAAAUCGUACUUACAAGAAUUCUAUAUACAUUAAGGAUGUGGAAUGGAGAGGAGGAGAAGGGAAAUAAAUGUAUGUGGAAUACAUGGAAACUAUGGUAUAUGAAAUAUUGAUAUAAUGAAAUAAAUGAUAUGUGUUUAUAAGAAAACAGAAAGAGAAUGAUAUGUAUCAUGACAUGUAUAUAUAUGACUAGUCUCAAUGUAAUGCUUGUUGGGUAUGGAGUUGAAUUGAAAUGUUUCAGGCAAACAUGUUAUUCUGCGCAUCUAAAUUGUGGUAUUUUAUAAAGAUAUGAUCUAGCUUUAAAUAUGAAUGCUUGAUGAUUAAGCUGAAGAUACUUGGUAAGAUGAUAAUCUUGGUAUAAAUGUAUAAGUGGUACUAUAAUAGACAAGGUAAAAUGAGUAUGAGAGACACAUGUAUGAUGACAUACAAAUGCUAUGUUUGUGGUUUAAUUGAGAAUGUUUAAUCAUUAAAUGAAUACCAUGUUAUAUGCUUUUGAUUUUGUAUAAGUGUGUAAGAGAUUAAGGUUGACCAAAGCUUGGAAAAUAGCAUAGGUAUAUUCCACAUAGGUAGAGACACGACCAUGUGCCUCAGCCGUGUAUGGAAUACAACUUUGGGACACGGGCGUGUGGAGCCUUAAAGUAUGAAAUUUCCAAGAUUUUCAUAAGCUCUCGGUUUAGUCCCGAACCCUUUCUAAAGUAUGUUUUGGGCUUUGUAGACUCAAAUAAGGGACUAUGUUUUAUGGCCCGUAUUUUAGUUUAAUGUUUGUAUGUUUGUCUGGUAAUGCUUCGUACCUUAUCCCGGCCUUGGGUACGGGUAAGGGGUGUUACAAGCCACCUAUUAAUAAGAUUUGUAAACACAUGCUUAAGAGUUUCGGGCUACGGUUGAUGAUAAUGCCGAGAAGGCUAAGUUCUAGCUUGAGAACACUAUCAAAGUAUUCGAUGAGUUGUCCUGUACUCCAGACGAAUGUAUUAAAUGCAUAGUUUCUUUGCUUAGAGAUAACACAUAUCACUGGUGGAAAACGUUGACAUCGGUAGUUCCUAGGAAAUGAGUUACCUAGGAAUUCUUUCAGACUGAGUCUUAGAAGAAGUACAUAAGCCGGAGAUUCCUCGAUCAAAAAAAUAAAGAGUUUUUGGAAUUGAAACAAGGCCGGAUGACUGUAACUGAAUAUGAAAGAGAAUUUGUACGUUUAAGCAAAUAUGCUCAAGAAUAUGUGUCUAUUGAAGAGAUCAUGUGUAAAAGAUUUGUUGAUGGAUUAAAUGAAGAUAUAAAGCUGUUAGUUGGGAUACUUGAGUUGAAAGAAUUUUUAGUACUGGUUGAGAGGGCUUGUAAAGCUGAGGACCUCAGCAAAGGAAAGUGAAAAGUUGAUGUAGUGGCGAGAGAUUCGAGGAAGAGAUCGAUGAAUAAAUCUUAUCAUUCCUCGUCAAAGAAAUCAAAUUACUUUAAUCGACCAACAACUUCAACUAGAUAUCGAAUAGAGAUCGUGGAAAGCAAUACACUAAUCCUAAAGCUCAAGUCACAUUGGUAUCGAGCGUUGGUAACAUAAAAGAUGCUAAGCCUGAGUGUCAACAAUGUGGAAGACGGCAUUUUAGAGAUUAUUGGGGAAAAAGUAAUAACCGAGCUUGUUAUAGUUGUGGUUCACGAGAUCACUUUAUAAAAGAUUGUCCAGAGUUAGUUGAAAAAGAUAAUGCUUAGAACACAAGGCUGAGUAACACUGCAGCUAAAGGUAGACCACUGAGAAACACAGGAAACGCGAGUGGUGGUAGAGGUGUGACGCGAGACACUGCAGCUAGAUCUGAUGCUAGAGCACCUGCACGAGCCUACGCUAUUUGAACACGUGAGGAAGCGUCAUCUCCAAAUGUUAUUACCGGUACUUUUACUCUUUAUGAUACUAAAGUUAUGGCAUUGAUAGAUCCAGGGUCUACUCACUCGUAUAUAUGCAUCAAUUUAGUAUCCAGUAAGACUUUGCCUGUAGAGUCUACUGAAUUCGUAAUAUUAAAGUAUCGAACCCCUUAAGCAAGUGUGUAUUGGUUGAUAAAGUGUGCAAGAAUUGUCCAUUGAUGAUUCGGUGUAAUUGCUUUCCGGCCGAUUUGAUGUUGUUACCAUUUGACAAGUUUGACAUAAUCCUGGGUAUGGACUGGUUAAUAUUUCAUGAUGCUGUUGUAAAUUGAAAAUGAAAGAUGAUUGAUUUGGGAUGUUAGAGUAAUGAGAUUAUUCGAAUUGAAUUAGAUGUUUCUAAUGGAUUGCCAGCAGUGAUUUCAUUGAUGUUAGCUCAGAAAUAUGUGAGAAAGGGUUGCGAAGCCCAUUUAGCUUAUGUGCUUAACACGAAAGUGACUAAAAAGAAGAUUGAAUCAGUGGCAGUUGUAUGUGAUUACUCAGAUGUGUUUCCUGAAGAGUUACCAGGUUUACCACCGAUCCGAGAGGUUGAAUUUGGUAUUGAGUUAGUGCCUGGAACAACUCCGAUAUUGAUAGUCCGUACAGAAUGGCACCGACUGAAUUAAAAGAGUUGAAAGCUCAGUUGCAAGAAUUGACAGAUAGAGGCUUCGCAUGAUCAAGUUAUUCUCCCUGGGGUGUACCGGUUUUGUUUGUGAAAAAGAAAGACUGCACGAUGAGAAUGUACAUCGAUUAUCGUCAUUUGAAUAAAGUGAUGAUCAAGAACAAAAAUCAUUUAUCGCAGAUAGAUGAUUUGUUUGAUCAGCUAAAAGGAGCUACCGUGUUUUCAAAGAUAGAUAUGAGAUCAGGUUAUUAUCAGUUGCGAGUAAAAGAUUUAGAUAUUCCAAAAAAUGUAUUCAAAAUAGACAUUAUGAGUUUUUGGUUAUGCCUUUCAGAUUAACAAAUGCACCUACUAUUUUUAUGGAUUUGAUGAAUAGAAUUUUCAGACCGUAUUUAGAUCGAUUUGUUGUCGUAUUCAUUAAUGACAUUUUGAUUUAUUCGCAUGAUGAAACUGAGCAUGCCGAACAUUUGAGAAUAGUGCUACAAACUUUGCGAGAUAAGCAAUUGUAUGCGAAGUUGAAUAAAUGUGAGUUCUGGUUGCGCAAUGUUGGUUUUCUAGGCCAUAUUGUAUCAGCAUUUGGUAUUCAAGUUGACCUGAGCAAAAUUUUAGCUAUUUUGGAUUGGAAGCCUUUGAGAAAUGUUUCUGAAGUCCGCAGCUUUUUGGGACUUGCUGGUUAUUAUCGACGGUUCGUAAAGGGCUCUUUGAUGAUCGUGACUCCGUUGACGAAACUACUUCAAAAUGAUGUGAAAUUUGAAUGGUCUGAAAAGUGUCAGAAAAUUUUUGAUCAGUUGAAAGCCUUAUUGACUGAAGCUCCACUGUUAGUACAAUCAGAAUCAAGUAAAAAAUUUGUGACCUACAGUGAUGCAUUGUUGAACAGACUAGGUUGUGUUUUGAUGGCUUAUGCCUCGAGACAGUUGAAGCCUCACGAAAAAAACUAUCCGACAUAUGAUCUGGAAUUGGUGGCUAUUGUGUUUGCUUUGAAGAUUUAGUGCCAUUAUCUAUUUGGUGAAAAAUGUCAUAUAUAUUCCGAUCGGAAAAGCUUAAAAUAUUUGAUGACUCAAAAAGAUUUGAAUUUACGAUAGAGAAGAUGGCUAGAACUGCUAAAAGAUUACGAGCUUAUUAUCGAUUAUCAUCUGGGAAAAGCAAAUGUUGUUGCUGAUGAUUUAAGUCAGAAAUCAUUGUUUGCAUUACGUGCCAUGAAUACUCAUUUAGCUUUUUCUGAUGAUAGUUCUGUUUUAGCAGAAUUGAAGGCGAGACUGUUGUUUUUACAACAGAUUACUGAUGCUCAAAAGGUUGAUAAUGAGAUAAUAGCAAAACAAGCUCAGUGUGAUUUGGAUUCUAAUUCUGAAUUCCAAGUUGAUAAUAAAGAUUGCUUGAGAUUUUGAGAUCGGAUUUGUGUUUCAAGAAAUUCAGAGUUGAUUCAGAUGAUUUUGAACAAAGCUCACAACAGUCAAUUAUCUGUACAUCCAGGUAGUACAAAAAUGUAUAAUGAUCUAAAACAUCUUUAUUGGUGGCAUGGUAUGAAACAAGAUAUCUCUAAAUUUGUUUCUAAAUGCUUAAUUUGUCAGCAAGUUAAGGCUGAGCAUCAGGUUCCGUCUGGGUUACUUCAACCGAUUAUGAUUCUUGAGUGGAAAUGGGACAAAAUCACGAUGGAUUUUGUAUCGGGUUUACCUCUGACACUGAGUAAGAAAGAUGCAAUCUGGGUUGUUGUUGAUAGAUUGACUAAAUUAGUUCAUUUCAUUCCGGUUCGCACAGAUUAUUCACUUGAUAAGCUUGUUGAGUUGUACAUUUUUCAGAUUGUGAGAUUUCAGGGAGUACAUAUUUCUAUUGUUUUGGAUAGAGAUCCGAGAUUCACAUUGCGCUUUUGGCAGAAACCGCAAGAUGCGUUAGGUACGAAACUACAUUUUAACCCUGCAUUUCACCCACAAACAGAUGGUCAAUCCGAACGGAUUAUUCAAAUACUUGAGGAUAUGUUGAGAUGUUGUAUUCUUGAGUUUGAAGGUACGUGGGAAUGAUACUUUCCAUUGAUUGAAUUUGCAUAUAAUAAUAGCUUUCAAUUGAGUAUCAUAAUGGCUCCUUACGUGGCUUUGUACAGUCGUAAAUGUCGAACACCUUUGUAUUAGACCGAGUUGAGUGAGAAAAAGAUAUACGAGGUUGAUUUGAUAACAGAGACUGAGCAAAAACUAAAAGUGAUUCGUGAUAGUCUAAAAGCAGCGUCAGGUCGUCAGAAAUCUUAUGCCGAAUUGAAACGAAAAAAUAUUGAGUUUAAAAUUGGCGACAAAGUGUUUUUGAAAGUAUCUCCGUGGAAGAAAAUACUCCGAUUUGGCAGAAAAGGCAAGUUGAGUCCAAGAUUCAUUGGACCGUAUGAGAUCAUUGAACGAGUCAGGGCAGAAGCAUAAUUUUGCCAAAAUGUGUGUAAUGUGUGAAAUUGAAUUGUUUAGAAAGUUAAUAUGCUAAUUUUGAUAUAUUAUUUAGAUCAAGAUAAGCUGAGAUCAAGCUUAGAUCGAGAAAAAAAAGGAAAAAUGGACUAAUAACCAAUAAUUACCAUCCGAGUGACUCAAGGCAAGUUCGUAUAGCUAGAAUCGAACUAUUAAUACUUGUAAUUGUUUAAAAUAAAUGUGUAUAAUUUGAAUGAAUAACCUAAUUGAAAUUUGAAUUACUGAUUAUAUGAUUAAAUUACUGUUGACAUUAAUAAAAGUGAAAUGCUAUAAUUGUUAUAUAUGUUACUUGGAUUCGGUAUGAUAAUAUGCAUUAGGUAUGCGAAUUGAGUAUUUAAAUGUAUGUAUUUAAUUGAAUUGAAUAAAUAUAUGAUUUGAGAAAUUGAAUUAUUGAUCAUUGAAUGCUUAAAUGAUGAAGUUGGAUAAUUGUCGGACCCCAUUUCAAUUGUAGGAAUUUGUUAGAUACGAGUGACAUGUCACUAGGGUUACCAUAUUGGUCGGGAUCUUGCAUGUGUUGCAGACUCACCACAUCUCAUAUAAGCUUACCAAUAUAUCAGCUCACUAGAGCUUCCUGUUCUCAGCUCGUUAGAUCUUACUGUUCUCAGCUUAUUAGAUCUUACUGUUCUCAACUCGUUAGAGCUUACCGUUCUCAGCUCGUUAGAGCUAACUGUUUCAGCUCGAUAGAGCUUACUGUUUAAAAUCUCAGUAGGAGCUUAUCGAUCAUGGUUCAAAUGAGCAAAAAUGAUAAUGAAUUGACGGAUUUUUGAUAAAUACACUUAGUAUGUAUCACCUGAGUAUCUAUCCAUAUUCUACAUAGUUCAAUGCGCAUAAUUACUGUUACUGAUCAUAUGAAUAAGAUAUGUGUUUAUAUGGAUGAAUUACUAUUGAUAUGGAUGAAUUACUGUUAUUAUUGAUGAACUACUGUUUAUAUAGAUGAAAUACUGGUUAUAUGAAUGAAGUACAGUUUAUAUGAAUAGAAAUGAAUUGCAAUAAUGUUAUGUGAAAUACAAUGUAUUGAUGAUUUUAUAUGCUUAUACAUUUGGAAAAUUUGGUUGGAUUGUAUUGAAAUGGCUAUAUAGGUUAUAAUGAUGUACGAAAAAAUGUUAUAUAUGUGAAUCGAGAUAUAGGUGGUUUGACCACAUAUAUGCCCAUUAGUGUACAAGAUACAAAAUAUUCGAUGUUAUUUCCAUGGAUCAACGGAGAAGAUAAUGGUACGGGAAUUGAAAUGAUGAUAUGAAUCAGUUCAGGUAUACAUGACACGUUCGACAAGUAAGUGAUAUUUAAUAAUUUCAUAUGAUAUGUAAGUGAAAACCGAUGAAUACAUAUGUGUUGAUUUUGGUGGAGCUAAUUUAUAUGUCCUCAUGUUUCUCUAAUUCUGAGUUAAUUGUUAAAUUGUAAUAGUACAUACUAGUCAUACGAGCUUACUAAGCUUAUUAGCUUACUCUAUUUAUUUUUCGUAUUUUACAGUAAUUUGAAAGCUCGCUCGGGUUGGAAGUCAUCGAAGAUUUCAUCACGCUAUCCAAGAGUUGUUUUGGUGUUUUUGAACUCUUUAAAAUUGGUAAUAUGGCAUGUAUAGGCUAGUUGAUGAUAUGAGAUGUUUGAGUUAUUUCAGCUAUUGAAUUUUAUAUGCAUUGAUGUGUUUAAGCCAUGUGAUUUGGCUUAACUUGGCUAAAUAUUGGUUAUGUAUAUGUGUACAAUAUGGCAUGUUUUGGCAAGUAGUUGAUGAGAUGAAGAUAUGCAAAUUGUUUGAAUUACUGAAUAGAUUAAAUGCAUAUAUUGGCUUACAAGUCAUAUUGGUUUGGUAUGUGUCUGAUGGCACAAAUGGUAUUAAUUUGAGUAUAUAGAUGCUUGGAUUUUUAAAUGGCACAUAAUAUGUUUUUUAAAUGGUUAUUUUGGCUACCAAAUUGAAUGAGAGUAUGGUGUUAUAUGUAUGCUUAUAGGUGAUUGAAUUUGGGUGAGGAAAAUUGGCUUAAAUAAGCCUAUUUCUCGUCCAGACGGUUGAGCAUACAAGCAUGUGAGUCGACUAUGUGUCUGCUGAAGCUUAGUUAAAACAAGUCAGUGAGUUACACGACCUAAACACACGAGCAUGUUUAUUGGCCGUGUAACCCAAGUCAGUAUGUAUACCUUAUUUCCACACGGUCUAAGACACUGGCGUGUCUAUUAGCCAUGUGGGGCACACGGCUUGUUCACAUGAGCAUGUGAGACUUGAAAUGUUGAAAUUUUUCUACGUUUCCAAAUUUUUCAUAUGUUACCGAUUUAGUCCUAAAUGCAUGAUUUAAACUUUGAAUGCUCGAUUUAGGUACAUAUUAAACAUGAAUGAAUGAUAUUUACUGAAAUGUAAUGACAUUUGAUAAAUGAUUGUUCUGAAUUAAGUUACAAGUCCGGUAAUGCCUCUUAACCUAUUCUAGCGAGGGUUACGGGUUAGGGGUGUUACAUUAAGCCCUGCCCAGGCUCUCUAUUAUGUAGGUUUAACCCAAACAGGUAGCCAAAAACUAUUGAUUACAAUAGCUCAGAUGAGCAAUUUUUACUUUUCGUGUAGGUUUUACUUGAACGGAUAACCAAACACUAUUAUUCAUGAUUUGCUAAGAUGAGAAAAUGAUAACUAUCAUGUAGGUUUAACCCAAAUUGUAACGCCCCGUACCCGAGACCGUUGCCGGAGUCGAACACGAGGUGUUAACGGACUUAAUUCAUUACAUAAACAGCUCAUACAAUUCAUUUUAAAAUUUCCAGACAAGCUGGCUAACUGCAUUACAGUCGUUUUAAAAAUCAUAUCUCGAGUUCCGAAACUCGAAAUCCAAUUCCGUAAAUUUUUCCUGAAACUAGACUGAAAUAUCUAUCUACUAAUUGUUUUCUAGAAUUUUUUGUCAGGUCAAUUAGUACAGUUUAUUAGUUAAAUUCUCCCCUGUUAAAGGGUUUGACUACUCUGUCCUCUGUGUAUUACGAAUCAGAUAUCUCCUUGUACAGAGCUUCAAUGACUAUGCCGUUUGUCUCUAACAAAACUAGACUCAAUAAUGAAUCUUUACAUAUAAAUCAUGACUUCUAAUUAUCUUUUUAAAAUUUAUGGUGAAUUUCCAAAGUCAGAAUAGGGGAUCCAGAAAUCGCUCUGGCCCUGUUUCACAAAAAUUAAACAUCUCAUAAAAUAUAGCUCAUAUACCUGUUUCGCUUCUUCCAUAUGAAAAUAGACUCAUCAAGCUUCGAUUCCAUAAAUUAUUCAUUAUUUAAUUUCAUUUUUACUAUUUUUAGUGAUUUUUCAAAUUCACGUCACUACUGCUGUCUGAAUCUAUUUUAUGGUAAAUCUUACCUAUUUCAUGGUUUCCAUGGAUUAGCUAGCAAUUUGACAUACAUAACACCAAAUAUGAUCAUGAUUAGCCAUUCCAAUGGCUAAUCAUUACCAAGCAUUUCCAUACCACUCAAUAACCAUAUCAUAAGACCAUAUAUACAAAAUGAUUAUAAUGCUAUACAUGCCAUACUCAAAAUAUACAAGCCAUUAUGCCAAGAUGGUAUACGGAUAGUGUGAGCAAGCCUCCGACCGUUCCCGAUUUCCGAGCUGGCUUGUCAAAACUACAAGGAAUGAAAAGGAGGGAGUAAGCAUAAAUGCUUAAUAAGUUCACAUGCAAAUAGCAAGUAACAUAACCAUAUAAGCAAACAUAAAACAUCAUUUGCAUAAUCAUCACCAAGACAUUCAUAUCACAUUUUCAUUUAUCAUCUUACCAUAUUGUUGUUAUAUCGAGUUUUCAACCCGAGGGUUAAGUACAUACCUGUUCAAAGUAUCCAUUUCACAACACUUACCAAUACGUCCCUUUCAUCUUGAGUAUUCCUCCAUUUGAGUAGAACUUUACCCGUUGAACACAUCGGAAUAUAAUUCAGAUACAUGGAAAGUUUACACAUAAGUUCCACAUAUGUAGCCAAGCUACUAUGUAACCCGCCCAUAAGCGAACUCGGACUCAACUCAACGAGUUCGGAUGCCUAGUUACAUCUCACGAACUCGGACUCAACUCAACGAGUUUGGACAUUUGCAUCCAUAAGUGAACUCGGACUCAACUCAACGAGUUCGGAUGCUCAACCAUCCUAGUGACAUGUCACCUAUAUCCUAAUCCAUUCCUAAGGUUCAACGGGACCUUUUUCCCAAUCAUGUGUCUCAACCAUCUUCUACGGAAUGCCGAUACCGAUACUCGGUAGUAUUUCACAUUUUCCAAGUAUAUCACAUAAUUUGACAUAUUAUCAAACAAUUGUCACAAGUAUGAUAUUCCAUAAUAAUUAUCAUAUCAUUUAAAUAACAUUAAAACAUUUAAAAUAAUAACUAUGUUACCAACAUUUACAUAUGAACUUACCUCGUAUGCGAAAAUGGCUACUUUUACCAUUUCGUCCACAACUUGGUAUUUUCUCCCUUUUAGCCCGAAUUUUAGUUUUCCUUGCUCUAUCAUUUAAAAUAUAGCCUAAUUAGGACUCACAUUAUUCAAAUUGACCCAAAAUCAAAUUUUGGAAAAAUUACAAUUUUGCCCCUAAACUUUUGCAUAUUUACACUUUUGCCCCAAAGCUCGUAAAUUAAACUUCAGCCUAUUUUCUUAUGUUUUAUGACAUGCUGAUCAUUUUUCCCUUCUAUGGCAACAUCAAAUUCUCACUCUAACAUGUACUUAUGACUAUUAGGUAUUUUUACCGAUUAAACCCUUUUGCUCGUUUUCACUUAAAACCGAGUAGCACAAGUUGUCUAACAUAAUUUAAAGCCUCAUAUUCUAUCAUAAAACAUAAAAAUACACAAAUUUUACCUAUGGGUAUUUUUCCAAAUAUAAACCCUAGGUUAAAUUAUUGCUAGCAUAAGCUUAAUCGAGCUAUCGGACUCCAAAAACGUAAAGAACUUGAAAAACGGGGCUAGAAUGGACUUACAAUCGAGCUUGGAAGCUUGAAAAACCCUAGCCAUGGUUUAUCCUUGCUAUAUUCGGCCAUGGGGUUGAAGAUGAGCAAAAAUGGAUUUUAAAUUUUGUAUCUUAAUUCAUUUUACCCCUAAAUGACCAAAAUGCCCUUACUACUAAACUUUCCAAAAAUUCCAUCCAUGUAUAAUUUUUUUCCAUAGACUUAGAAAUUGGUAAAAUUGCUAUAUAAGACCUCCUAAUUAAUAUUUCAAAACAAUUUCAUACUAGAAACUUCUAGAAUGCAAGUUUUGCAAAUUAUUCGAUUUAGUCCCUAAUUUCAAUUUAAGUACUUUAUGCAUAAAAUUUUUUCACGAAAUUUUCACACAAUCAUGGAAUCAUAUCACAGACCUUAAAAUAAUUAUAAAAUAAUUAUUUCUAUCUCAGAUUUUAUGGUCACGAAACCACUAUUCCGACUAGGCCCAAAAUUAGGAUAUUACAACUCUCCCCCCCUUUAGGGAUUUUCGUCCCCAAAAAUCUUACCAGAAAAGUGGUCUUCACUUUUAAUCUCAUAUUCAGUGCCAAAGAACUUUCACUUAGACUGUACCUCCAAUACAUCUCUUUAAUUUCUCAUAUGAUCUGAAAGCUUACAGUCUCAACUCUCAAAUGUUCUUAAAUUUUCAACCCUUCUCAGUUUCCCAUGAUAUCAUGACAUAAAACCCGGAUCUCAACUUGAUUUAAUGGAGACCGAAAUUCCAAGAAAUCCAACAAUCAAAGAGACUUGAAAUUCCAUGAAUCUGAUGAGUAGGAAUUCAUUCAAUACAGAUAUGAUUUAUAGAUCUCGCCAAACAUUUAACAAUAGGAUACAUCACAUUUUCCUCUUUCCGCCAUAGAAAUAAUUCUGAUAUGGCCUCAAGAAUAAUCCUUCUCAUUUCCAUCCCAAUAUCAACAUUGACAAGGAUAAUUUUGAUAGAUCCCAAUGCUCGGCUUUAACCCCUUUAACAACUCCGAUUUUAUGUAACAUCGGAUGCUCUAAACUAUCACAUUACCUCACUGUCUUGAAACACAUCACAAUUCAUACAACAGUACAUUACUGAAAGUCAAGAAGUCUUUACUCAAUGUAGACUAGUCUAGUUCAGACGCUUCGGUUACCAAUAUUCUCAUCUAUCCGAACUCUGUCAACUUGUAAUAAACUUUUCAGCUUUCACAAGACGAAAACCUUAUCAUUCGUUGUGACUUUAACUAAUAUCAAACUCUUUCUAAUAAAUAUACACUUCUCGUUCAGACUAUUUACUCUUUUAUUCGUACAAAAUGAAAUUCUAUUAUCAGACUUGGGAAAAAUAAUCCUGAAAUAAUUGUCCCAUGAAAUCUUUCAAAUAGAAAAUUAACCAUACCAACUAAAACUCGCGCUUUUAUCACUUAUGCCUUUACUGAUGUCAAAUCCUUACACAGAAAUUAGAAAAAAAUACCCCAAGACUAAAAUCACCACAUUACCAAGAUCAAAUUGGAAGUAUAGUCAUAUUUGACAUGAUUAUCACGAGCUGAAGAACGCACUUCGAACACGAGUCAUAAUUGACAAAUUAUGGAACAAAGAUAACAAGGAAACCGAAUAAAGAAAUCCAAGAUAGAGAAAUCCAGAAUAAAGAAACCCAAGAUACGAUACUAUGCCGGAGAAUCGAAAACCAAACUCAUAGAGAAAAUACAGAAUGCCCUGAUAAUUUUUCAAAGAAAGAAAGUCCAGAAGAAAACAUCAUUUAAUCCCACUGAAAUCAAAUAUAACAAGAUCAAUAAAUCUUCCCAUACAUAUAUAUCAGAUGAAGCAUCAAGUAGAAGAAACAGAAUCAUAAUAUCAUAUGUAUUCUCUCAUCAAUUCUUAUCAGACGAAAUGAAAUAGAAUACCCGAUGAAAUAGAGCAAUAUAAAUUAUAAACCGGUCAGACUACCAAUGCUUUCAUCCAACACCAGAAUUAGAAGACAUUCCCAUAGAACAAGAAUUUCUUCAGAAGAUCAAUAGCCAUAGAAAUAUUUUUGAGAACAGGUAAACACAUAGAACAUCUCAAAAGAGACUGCUAAAUCUGUCGAGUCAUAACUGUCACACUCAGAUAGUUCACAUUUCAAUUAUCAUUUCCCCAACUAGUUCUGCCGUCACAAAUUUCAUAUUAAACCAUUCACUAAAGAGGGCCAAUUCUGAAUAAAUUUCGAUUUACACUUUUCUUGACCUUGAACCUGAGUAAUUCGGUUUACCAAGAAGAAUUCCUUUUCUAACUGGGACAGUGCAUAACUCCAAUAAUCUUUACGUCAAUCCGAUACUUUACUGGCUCUGACUUUACUUAUCAGCUCAUUUUCAAUCUCUAAUCAUACUUAUAAUUAUUCUAUCACUGUACUCUUUGGGUUCUCAACCGGAAACUUAUUCAAUACAAAUCUCAUGAAAUUCCAUUAUAAGUACCAGUUCGGUAAGGGGGAGGGGUUGUAGGACUUCUGACUCGACUUUCUUAUACAUACACAUAUGACACAACUUCCAUCAUCAUAGUAACAUCAUCAAAAUCAUGUCAUUCAUUCAUGUUGGCUUACACCAAUUUUCCUAUUGUCCCAUUUAGACAAUAUACUUAUACAUACAUUCUAUGUUUUCUAGAUAGCUUUACUUAUCCAUUCAUUUAAUUAAUUUAAUUCAUGCUCAUGACAUCAUAUAAGGCCAAACAAACAUAGAUAUUUGCAUCACAAUCACAACUUUCAUUUCGUGCAUCAUCGUGUACAUAUCAUUACAAUCAUAUAAUUCAGUCCAACAAUUUAACAUAGAUAAGUUCAUUUCAUUAUAAUCCUUUAUCUCAUAAAAAUUAUAUAUCAUUAACAUUCAUCAACAUUCGACGUCCAAAUCAAGACAAGGACAUUUUCAUUCGUAUCAUAAUAUUAUGAUCUUUAUUCAUACCUCUACUACUUUCUAUUUAUUUCGUUCAUCUUAUCAAGUAAGACACAUACACUACAUCAUAUGAGCAUUAAGCAAAUAUGAAUAUUUAUCACAUAUGUAUCAUAAACCUUUAUUCAUACUUUUCUGAACCGAUACUUAUCAUAAUCAUAAUUUUACUCAAAUACCUUCACAUAACAUUGAACAUGGUCGGCGCAGCUCGGUUGGAGAGUACCCUGUCUAAAUAAGACUGUACUCAAACGCGUCGGAAGACAUCACACUAUCACAGAUAAGCGGCAUGUAUAGCUAAACUUUUACACAUGCUAAGUUAGUCCGAGAACCGACUAAACCUGCUCUGAUACCACUAAAUGUAAUGCCCCGUACCCGAGACCGUUACCGGAGUCGAACACGAGGUGUUAACGGACUUAAUUCAUUACAUAAACAGCUCAUACAAUUAAUUUUAAAAUUUCCAGACAAGCUGGCUAACUGCAUCGCAGUCGCUUUAAAAAUCAUAUCUCGAGUUCCGAAACUUGAAAUCCAAUUCUGUAAAUCUUUUCUCAAACUACACUCAUAUAUCUAUCUACUAAUUUUUUUCUAGAAUUUUUGGUCUGGCCAAUUAGUACAGUUUAUUAGUUAAAGUGUCCCCUGUUUCAGGGUUCGACUACUCUGACCUCUGUGUAUUACGAAUCAGAUAUCUCCCUUUACAGAGCUUCAAUGACUAUGCCGUUUGUCUCUAAUGAAACUAGACUCAAUAAUGAAUCUGCAAAUAUAAAUAAUGACUUCUAAUUAUCUUUGUAAAAUUUAUGGUGAAUUUCCAAAGUCAGAACAGGGGAUCCAGAAAUCGCUCUGGCCCUGUUUCACAAAAAUUAAACAUCUCAUAAAAUAUAGUUCAUAUACCUGUUUUGCUUUUUCCAUAUGAAAAUAGACUCAUCAAGAUUCGGUUCCAUAAAUUAUUCAUUAUUUAAUUCCAUUUCUACUAUUUGUAGUGAUUUUUCAAAUUCACGUCACUACUGCUGUCUGAAUCUAUUUUAUGGUAAAUUUUACCUAUUUCAUGGUUUCCAUGGAUUAGCUAGCAAUUUGACAUACAUAACACCAAAUAUGAUCAUGAUUAGCCAUUCCAAUGGCUAAUCAUUACCAAGCAUUUCCAUACCACUCAAUAACCAUAUCAUAAGACCAUAUAUACAAAAUGAUUAUAAUGCUAUACAUGCCAUACUCAAAAUAUACAAGUCAUUAUGCCAAGAUGGUAUACGGAUAGUGUGAGCGAGCCUCUGACCGUUCCCAAUUUCUGAGCUGGCUUGUCAAAACUACAAGGAAUGAAAAGGAGGGAGUAAGCAUAAAUUCUUAAUAAGUUCACAUGCAAAUAGCAAGUAACAUAACCAUAUAAGCAAACAUAAAACAUCAUUUGCACAAUUAUCACCAUAUAAGCAAAUAUUUCAAAACAAUUUCAUACUAGAAAGUUAUAGAAUGCAAGUUUUGCAAAUUAUUCGAUUUAGUACCUAAUUUCAAUUUAAGUACUUUAUGCAUAAAAUUUCUUCACGAAAUUUUCACACAAUCAUGGAAUCAUAUCACAGACCUUAAAAUAAUCAUAAAAUAAUUAUUUCUAUCUCGGAUUUUAUGGACACGAAACCACUAUUCCGACUAGGCCCAAAAUCAGGAUAUUACAACUCUCCCCCCUUUAGGGAUUUUCGUCCCCGAAAAUCUUACCAGAAAAGUGGCCUUCACUUUUAAUCUCAUAUUCAGUACCAAAGAACUUUCACUUAGACUGUACCUCCAAUACAUCUCUUUAAUUUCUCAUAUGAUCUGAAAGCUUACAGUCUCAACUCUCAACUGUUCUUAAAUUUUCAACCCUUCUCAGUUUCCCAUGAUAUCAUGGCAUAAAACCCGGAUCUCAACUUGAUUUAAUGGAGACCGGAAUUCCAAGAAAUCCAACAAUCAAAGAGACCUGAAAUUCCAUGAAUCUGAUGAGUAGGAAUUCAUUCAAUACAUAUAUGAUUUAUAGAUCUCGCCAUACAUUUAACAAUAGGAUACAUCACAUUUUCCUCUUUCUGCCAUAGAAAUAAUUCUGAUAUGGCCUCAAGAAUAAUCGUUCUCAUUUCCAUCCCAAUAUCAACACUGACAAGGAUAAUUUUGAUAGAUCCCAAUGCUCGGCUUUAACCCCUUUAACAACUCCGAUUUUAUGUAACAUCGGAUGCUCUAAACUAUCACAUUACCUCACUGUCUUGAAACACAUCACAAUUCAUACAACAGUACAUUACUGAAAGUCAGGAAGUCUUUACUCAAUGUAGACUAGUCUAGUUCAGACGCUUCGGUUACCAAUAUUCUCAUCUAUCCGAACUCUGUCAACAUGUAAUAAACUUUUCAGCUUUCACAAGACGAAAACCUUAUCAUUCGUAGUGACUUUAACUAAUAUCAAACUCUUUCUAAUAAAUAUACACUUCUCGUUCAGACUAUUUACUCUUUUAUUCGUACAAAAUGAAAUUCUAUUAUCAGACUUGGGAAAAAUAAUCCUGAAAUAAUUGUCACAUGAAAUCUUUCAAAUAGAUAAUUCACCAUACCAACUGAAACUCGCGCUUUUAUCACUUAUGCCUUUACUGAUGUCAAAUCCUUACACAGAAAUUACAAAAAAACCCCAAUACUAAAAUCACCACAUUACCAAGAUCAAAUUGGAAGUAUAGUCAUAUUUGACAUGAUUAUCACGAGCUGAAGAACGCACUUCGAACACGAGUCAUAAUUGACAAAUUAUGGAACAAAGAUAACAAGGAAACCGAAUAAAGAAAUCCAAGAUAGAGAAAUCCAGAAUAAAGAAAUCCAGAAUAAAGAAACCCAAGAUACGAUACUAUGCCGGAGAAUCGAAAACCAAACUCAUAGAGAAAAUACAGAAUGCCCCGAUAAUUCUUCAAAGAAAGAAAGUCCAGAAGAAAUUAUCAUUUAAUCCCACUGAAAUCAAAUAUAACAAGAUAAAUAUAUCUUCUCAUACAUAUAUAUCAGAUGAAGCAUCAAGUAGAAGAAACAGAAUCAUAAUAUCAUAUGUAUUCUCUCAUCAAUUCUUAUCAGACGAAAUGAAAUAGAAUACCCGAUGAAAUAGAGCAAUAUAAAUUAUAAACCGGUCAGACUACCAAUGCUUUCAUCCAACACCAGAAUUAGAAGACAUUCCCAUAUAACAAGAAUUUCUUCAAAAUAUCAAUAGCCAUAGAAAUAUUUUUGAGAACAGGUAAACACAUAGAACAUCUCAAAAGAGACUGCUAAAUCUGUCCAGUCAUAACUGUCACACUCAAAUAGUUCACAUUUCAAUUAUCAUUUCCCCAACUAGUUCUGCCGUCACAAAUUUCAUAUUAAACCAUUCACUAAAGAAGGCCAAUUCUGAAUAAAUUUCAAUUUACACUUUUCUCGACCUUGCACCUGAGUAAUUCGGUUUACCAAGGAGAAUUCCUUUUCUAACUGGGACAAUGCAUAACUCUAAUAAUCUUUACGUCAAUCCGAUACUUUACUGGCUCUGACUUUACUUAUCAGCUCAUUUUCAAUCUCUAAUCAUACUUAUAAUUAUUCUAUCACUGUACUCUUUGGGUUCUCAACCGGAAAGUUAUUCAAUACAAAUCUCAUGAAAUUCCAUUAUAAGUACCACUUCGGUAAGGGGGAGGGGUUGUAGGACUUCUGGCUUGACUUUCUUAUACAUACACAUAUGACACAACUUCCAUCAUCAUAGUAACAUCAUCAAAAUCAUGUCAUUCAUUCAUGUUGGCUUACACCAAUUUUCCUAUUGUCCCAUUUAGACAAUAUACUUAUGCAUACAUUCUAUGUUUUCUAGAUAGCUUUACUUAUCCAUUCAUUUAAUUAAUUUAAUUCAUGCUCAUGACAUCAUAUAAGGCCAAACAAACAUAGAUAUUUGCAUCACAAUCACAACUUUCAUUUCGUGCAUCAUCGUGUACAUAUCAUUACAAUCAUAUAAUUCAGUCCAACAAUUUAACAUAGAUAAGUUCAUUUCAUUAUAAUCCUUUAUCUCAUAAAAAUUAUAUAUCAUUAACAUUCAUCAACAUUCGACGUCCAAAUCAAGACAAGGACAUUUUCAUUCGUAUCAUAAUAUUAUGAUCUUUAUUCAUACCUCUACUACUUUCUAUUUAUUCCGUUCAUCUUAUCAAGUAAGACAUAUUCUCUACAUCAUAUGAGCAUUAAGCAAAUAUGAAUAUUUAUCACAUAUGUAUCAUAAACCUUUAUUCAUACUUUUCUGAACCGAUACUUAUCAUAAUCAUAAUUUUACUCAAAUACCUUCACAUAACAUUGAACAUGGUCGGUGCAGCUCGGUUGGAGAGUACCCUGUCUAAAUAAGACUGUACUCAUACGCGUCGGAAGACAUCACACUAUCACAGAUAAGCGGCAUGUAUAGCUAAACUUUUACACAUGCUAAGUUAGUCCGAGAACCAACUAAACCUGCUCUGAUACCACUAAAUGUAAUGCCCCGUACCCGAGACCGUUACUGGAGUCGAACAUUAGGUGUUAACAGACUUAAUUCAUUACAUAAACAGCUCAUACAAUUCAUUUUAAAAUUUCCAAACAAGUUGGCUAACUGCAUCAUAGUCGCUUUAAAAAUCAUAUCUCGAGUUCCGAAACUUGAAAUCCAAUUUUGUAAAUUUUUCCUCAAACAAGACUCAUAUAUCUACCUACCAAUUUUUUUCUAGAAUUUUUGGCUGGGCCAAUUAGUACAGUUUAUUAGUUAAAGUCUCCCCUAUUUCAGGGUUUGACUACUCUGACCUCUGUGUAUUACGAAUCAGAUAUCUCCCUUUACAGAGCUUCAAUGACUAUGCCGUUUGUCUCUAAUGAAACUAGACUCAAUAAUGAAUCUGCAAAUAUAAAUAAUGACUUCUAAUUAUCUUUGUAAAAUUUAUGGUGAAUUUCCAAAGUCAGAACAGGGGAUCCAAAAAUCGCUCUGGCCCUCUUUCACAAAACUUUAAACAUCUCGUAAAAUAUAGCUCAUAUACCUGUUUCACUUCUUCCAUAUGAAAAUAUACUCAUCAGUUUCGAUUCCAUAACUUAUUCAUUAUUUAAUUCCAUUUUUACUAUUUUUAGUGAUUUUUCAAAUUCACGUCACUACUGCUGUCUGAAUCUAUUUUAUGGUAAAUUUUACCUAUUUCAUGGUUUCCAUGGAUUAGCUAGCAAUUUGACAUACAUAACACCAAAUAUGAUCAUGAUUAGCCAUUCCAAUGGCUAAUCAUUACCAAGCAUUUCCAUACCACUCAAUAACCAUAUCAUAAGACCAUAUAUACAAAAUGAUUAUAAUGCUAUACAUGCCAUACUCAAAAUAUACAAGCCAUUAUGCCAAGAUGGUAUACGGAUAGUGUGAGCGAGCCUCCAACCGUUCCCGAUUUCCGAGCUGGCUUGUCAAAACUACAAGGAAUGGAAAGGAGGGAGUAAGCAUAAAUGCUUAAUAAGUUCACAUGCAAAUAGCAAGUAACAUAACCAUAUAAGCAAACAUAAAACAUCAUUUGCAUAAUCAUCACCAAGACAUUCAUAUCACAUUUUCAUUUAUCAUCUUACCAUAUUGUUGUUAUAUCGAGUUUUCAACCCGAGGGUUAAGUACAUACCUGUUCAAAGUAUCCAUUUUACAAAACUUACCAAUACGUCCCUUUCAUCUUGAGUAUUCCUCCAUUUGAGUAGAACUUUACCCGUUGAACACAUCGGAAUAUAAUUCGGAUACAUGGAAAGUUUGCACAUAAGUGCCACAUAUGUAGCCAAGCUACUAUGUAACCUGCCCAUAAGCGAACUCGGACUCAACUCAACGAGCUCGGGCGUUCGCAUCCAUGAGUGAACUCGGACUUAACUCAAUGAGUUCGGAUGCCUAGUUACAUCUCACGAACUCAGACUCAACUCAACGAGUUCGGACAUUUGCAUCCAUAAAUAAACUCGGACUCAACUCAAUGAGUUCGGAUGCUCAACCAUCCUAGUGACAUGUCACGUGUAUCCUAAUCCAUUCCUAAGGUUCAACGGGACCUUUUUCCCAAUCAUGUGUCUCAACCAUCUUCUACGGAAUGUCGAUACCGAUACUCGGUAGUAUUUCACAUUUUCCAAGUAUAUCACAUAACUUGACAUAUUAUCAAAAAAUUGUCACAAGUAUGAUAUUUCAUAAUAAUUAUCAUAUCAUUUAAAUAACAUUAAAAAAUUUAAAAUAAUAACUAUGUUACCAACAUUUACAUAUGAACUUACCUCGUAUGCGAAAAUGGCUACUUUUUUUACCAUUUCGUCCACAACUUGGUAUUUUCCCCAUUUUAGCCCGAAUUUUAUUUUUCCUUGCUCUAUCAUUUAAAAUAUAGUCUAAUUAGGACUCACAUUAUUCAAAUUGACCCAAAAUCAUAUUUUGGAAAAAUUAUAAUUUUACCCCUAAACUUUUGUAUAUUUACACUUUUUCCCCAAAGCUCGUAAAUUAAACUUCAGCCGAUUUUCUUAUGUUUUAUGACAUGCUGAUCAUUUUUCCCUUCUAUGGAAACAUCAAAUUCUCACUCUAACAUGUACUUAUGACUAUUAGGUAUUUUUACCGAUUAAGCCCUUUUGCUCGUUUUCACUUAAAACCGAGUAGCACAAGUUGUCUAACAUAAUUUAAAACCUCAUAUUCUAUCAUAAAACAUAAAAAUACACAAAUUUCACCUAUGGGUAUUUUUCCAAAUAUAAAUCCUAGGUUAAAUUAUUGCUAGCAUAAGCUUAAUCGAGCUAUCGGGACUCCAAAAACGUAAAGAACUUGAAAAACGGGGCUAGAAUGGACUUAAAAUCAAGCUUGGAAGAUUGAAAAACCCUAGCCAUGGUUUAUCCUUUCUAUAUUCUACCAUGGGGUUGAAGAUGAGCAAAAUUGGCUUUUAAAUUUUGUAUUUUAAUUCAUUUUACCCCUAAAUGACCAAAAUGCCCUUACUAAACUUUCCAAAAAUUCCAUCCAUGUCCAAUUUUUGUCCAUAGACUUAGAAAUUGGUAAAAUUUCUAUCUAAGACCUCCUAAUUAAUAUUUCAAAACAAUUUCAUACUAGAAACUUCUAGAAUGCAAGUUUUGCAAAUUAUUCGAUUUAGUCCCUAAUUUCAAUUUAAGUACUUUAUGUAUAAAAUUUCUUCACGAAAUUUUCACACAAUCAUGGAAUCAUAUCAUAGACCUUAAAAUAAUCAUAAAAUAAUUAUUUCUAUCUUAGAUUUUGUGGUCACGAAACCACUAUUCCGACUAGUCCCAAAAUCAGGAUAUUACACAAAUGACUAAACAGGCACUAUUAUUUUCACCUGUAUUUUGAGUGCUUUUAUGAUGUUUCAUUGGGUAAAAUUAUAAAAUGUAAAUGUGAUGAUAUGAUGUUAUAUGUAUGUUUUGAGCUCAAAAUGUUGUGCAUUUAAUGAUUUUGUAUUGUAUCUUGUUAAGGAUAAUUGUUUGGCAUAAUGAACUUGUACGUGUUAAGUAAUUGAGGUAAGUAAAUGCUUAUAUUUUAUGAGCUUACUAAGUAUUUUAGAUACUCACUCAUGUUACUACUUUUCUAUAGAUUUUGGAUGUCUGAAACUGUCGAUCGAAUCAGUGAAGAGCACACACCUACCGUCCCUCAUUUUGGUAGAUUUUUUAUGUUUUGAAAUUGGUUACUUCUGGCAUGUACAUAGGAUGGUUAAAACUUGUCCUAGUGAAUGUAUAUGUUUUGGUAUGAUUAUGUUUGUAUAAAAUUUUAUGGAGUAUUUUGUUAUCUGAUGUAUGCCUUGAUGUCAAGUUUGGUAUUUUAAAGGUUAAAAGAAAUGACAAAGUUUGAAUUGUAUUGUGCAUAUGAAUUAGAUUGUUGCAUGAAUGGUAAAAGAUUUUGUAUUUGUCUUGAGUUUAAUGCUUUGAUGGCGCCAAUAAGGGCAUAUUAGUUGUAUGUUCAAUUAGUUAUAUGAAUGGAUGUUUUAGGUUUGAAAAAUGCAUGUUUGGUAUAGGUACAAUUGGCUUGAAUUGGUAUUUUAGGUCCCUAUGUGAGUAAUGGUAUCUGCUUUGCACCAAAAGGGUCAAUAUUGUUGCAAAUGGUCUACCACAUAGCCACGUGUCACACACGAGUAGUUGACAUGGCAGUAUGCUUUUCUUGUUUAGUGUGGUUUUGUUUCCACACGGCCACAGUUAGUGAUAUGGCCUGGUGACAUGGCUAUGUUACUCAGGUUUACACUGCAUUAGUCUGUUACACAAUUUGGGGACACAAUUGUGUGAUAUAGCCUCGCAUGGGCUCAUCUUGUCACACGAUUGUGUGACCCCUGUUUUGCUUUUUUACCUAUCUUUUUGUAAAAGUUUCAAAAUGGACUCGAUUUGGUUUCGAGUUAGUUUAAGGGCUUUUGUAAGCUUGAUUGAGACUCGGAUUUGUUUGUAAUACAUGUUAAACAUAUACUUAACUCGCAUGUAUUGAUUAAUUGAGUACUAUUGAGCAAAUUGCAUAUAAUUGUUUCUGUUUAUUGUUGUAACAUCCUAUAGCUCGAGCUUGACGAUUGGACUGGGUAAGGGGUGUUACAAUUUUAUUAACCAAUCUAUUCAAAAAAAUUACAAGUGUAUAUUGAUGAAAAUAGUACACUUAGGGCACCUGAUCCAAUAGUCUCCCACUUGCCCUAGCAAAGUAGAUAAGGCAUGUUUCUUAUUCUUGUGUCCCUCCAUAUGUUUCCCAAAGAGCUAUCUAGCUAGUAGAGUAUUGGCAAAACAAACUCCUAGAGUUUGUCCUCAUGUGCAAUCUUUGGCUAUAUCCACUGUUCUGUCAAACACUACUAUCUCCCUUAUGAUACUUUGUAUCAAUGUGUUUUGUCCUUCUGUGGUUUCUUUGAGCUUUAGCUAUAUCCAUACUAUUACAAUGCCAUAGAUUUCUCAUACCUCAUAUUCAACCCUCCAUAGUGAAAUUAGCAGUGCAAUCUUUCUUCCAACUUAUUCACACUAGAGAUCUAUUGUCUGAGACAAAAACACAGCCAAAUGUCAAUUUCCUCAAAUCUCGACACGUUUGGAAGCCAGAAUCAGUAUAUCCAAUAGGAGUAAGAAUUCUGCUAGAAAUACAAGCAUAUAAUUCCUCAUUCUUCAUAAAUACUUGAGUAUAUGCUUAACUAUCUAUCAAUAUCUUGGUCCUGGAUUUGCUUAAUAUUGAUUUACCAACCUCACUGCAAAACAGAUAUCUGGGCUUGUGCAUAAAAUAACAUACAUAACACUUCUUUUUGCCGAAGCAUAAGGCACCUUUAUCAUGUUCUCACUUUCUUCUCUUGUCUUAGGACAGUCCUCCAAAUAGAAAGGAAAUCCCAAUACGGAGGGUUGAUUUCCCUUCUUCGAAUCAGUCAUUGCAUAAGCUCCAAUAUCUCGUCUAUGUGUGUCGCCUGAGAUAGUGCUACCACUUUAUUCUUUCGAUCCCUUAAUAUUCAAAUUCCUAGAACAAAAUUAGCUUCUCCAAGUUCUUUAUGCUAAACUGUUGGGUUAACCAUAAUUUAACCUAUGAAAAUGUUCCUACACCAUUCCCAAUGAGUAGAAAGUCAUCGACAUAUAGAACAUGUAAGACCACCUUUCCAUCCCCUAAAUGUUUGUAAACACAAGGUUCAUCUACAUUUUGUACAUUUUGCUCAAAUCCAAAAGUCUUGAUUGAUUAAUAAAAUCUUUGGUUCCAUGAGUGGGAUGCUUGCUUAAGCCCAUAUAUGCAUAUAACUAGUUUGGAAACUUUAUGCUCAUUUCCUUUAGCUAUAUAUUGGAUAGGUUGCAUCAUAUAGAUGCUCUUUUUAAGAUAGUCGUUCAAAAAUGCUCCCUUGACAUCCAUUUGUCAGAUCUCGUAAUCGAGAGUCAUUGCAAUGGAUAACAAUAUGCAGAUUGACUUGAGCAUGACAACCAGAGAGAAGGUUUCUUCGUAAUCGAUACCUUCUUUCUGAGUAUAACCUUUUACUAUAAGUUUGUUGUUAUAGGUUUCCACUUUUCUAUUCGCAUUUCUUUUCCUCUUAUAGAUCCACUUACACCCUAUGGGUUUUAUCCCUUUUGGUAAGUCUACAAGUUCCCACACUGAGUUGGAAUACAUAGACUCCAUCUCAGUUUUCAUAGCUAUUUCCUAGAGCUUGGAAUCAACACUCUACACUACUCCGUCAUAUGUGAAUAGGUCAUCAUCUUCCCGUUCAACAAACUCAAUGUUAAAAACACUUCUGCCAAAUUGGAAGAACUCGGGCCUACGAGAGACUUCCCACUAUGGUGAAACAACAUAUAUUGUUGAUCGUUUGCAAGUAUACUAUUAGGAGUUGGCUCUGCAAUCGUUUCUAUAAGGUUUUGUAUAUUUCCAUGAGUAUUUCUUUACUUCAAGGUUUGAAGUCAUUUAUAUAACUUUUGUCAAGAAAAGUAGCAUGAGUUGACACCAUAAUAGUUUUCUCUUUCGAUUAUAAAACAAACUUAAAAAAACAUAAGCCCUAAAAACCUUAAAAACCAAAAACCCUAAAAUAUAACAAAUUAUAAAAACCCAAAAACCUUAAAACACCUAAAUCCUAAAUCCCAAAACACCAAAUCUUAAAACUACCCUGUAGCAGGCGAAUUUCAGCCUAGGCCCAUAAGGAAAUAAAACCAAAAAAAAAAUUAAACAAUCCAGCAAAGCCCAAUUAACCUAAACCCUAGCUCAUUACAAACCCAACAGAAACAAAAACAGUAAAUUAAACCCUAAGUAUGCCGUACCUAGGUCUGCCUAGCCUGCCACCACCACUAUCACACAACCCUUGCCACUGCCACCUGCAAAAAUCAAUAGCAAAAGUGACAGCCAACAAUAAUAAACAAUGUAUAAUGUAUUGCAUUUGGGCUAUAAAAGCCUAAAAAUUGUAAACUUUUUUGGGUUACACAAUGAAUGAAAUCAAAAACAAAAAUUCAUAUAGAAAUCAAAACAAACAGUAAAUCAAAUAGGUGAUUCUCUCCUUUUUUUUAUUUUCAAGGAUAAAAAAAAAUAAAGUAAAAACCUUUUACCUGCGUUGAGGCACCCUCCACGGCGGUUGGAUCUCUUCUCCUGUGUCGAUACCUGCAGAAAGGGGGCCAAGGUCGAACCUUUUCUCUUUUUUUUCUUUUUUUAUUCUUUAUUUAUUCUUUAUUUUAUUUUAUUUUAUUUAUUUUUUAGGGCAUUUGCCUCCUAGAUCUAAAAUCUAGGUUGAAAACUAAAAAUUUUGUGAUUUUUGGCUUUUUGGUCACCGUAAACGGUGGCACCGACGCUGACAACCAAUGGUCGACACGGCGGUAAUUCGCUGGAGCCCAAACCGACCAAGGCCUGCUGCAGAGAGAAAGAAAAAAACUUUUUAAAAUUUUUUUCUUUGAAAACAAGUUAAAAUGAAAUUUUUGAAAAAAAUACUUGAUUUAUAUAGAUAUGUAAAACGACGUCAUUUUUAGCCACAGCUCUAGGCACCAAAACGAUGUCAUUUUGGGGCUAACCCAGGCGCGACCUGACCCGAUCUUGGAGGAUCCGUGUUUUUUUUAAAAAGGGUUAUUUGCCCUUUUGGUCCUUUCACAUUUUUGGGUUGUUUUCAUUCAAUCCUCUUUCUUCUUCUUUUUUCUCUUUUUAAUUUUACCCCGUAAUUUUUGCGCCUGUUUCAUUUUAGUUUAUAUUGGAACUGCGCGUUUUGGAGGACAGGGAAUAUUUCCCAUUUGAUCCUUUUUGUUAUUCACGUGUUACAACUCGAACCUUCACCCUAUUUUUAUUCUCGAUUUUUACCCAAAAUUCUAUUUUGAUUUCAAUUUAGUCUUUUUUUUGUUCAUAUGAUUAUUGUAUUAUUAAACUGAUUAAUUUAAUAUUUAAUGUUUAUUUUUUGUUUAUUUACUUAUUAUUAUUAUUUUCUAAAUAGACUUGUUUUAUUUUAUUAUUUUAUUAUUACUUCUAUUAUUGUCAUUUUAUUAUUUAUUUAUUUAUAUAUAUCUUUUUAUAUACUUUCAAAAAUUAUUAUUAUUAUUAUCAUCAUCAUCAUCAUCAUCAUCAUCAUCAUCAUCAUCAUUCAUUUUUUUAUUUGUUUUAUUUAAUAUUUAUUAUUCUCUUAUUUAUUUGCUUAUUUUCAAUUUUUUAUUUAAAGUUUUAUUAGUUUUAUUUGUUUAUUUACUUAUUUUUUAUUAUCUUGUUUUUUUUAUUUAUUUAUCUUAUUAAUUAUUUUUUACUCUUAUUAUUGUUAUUUAUAUUAUCGCAUUUAUUAUAUUUCUAUUUUGCAUAUUAGUACCGUAAUUUAUUAUUACUAUCAUAUCUUUGGUAUUUUAUUAAACAUUUAUGCCAUUAUUACUCCAAAUUCGUGUCACAUUGAUCUUUACCCGAUACAUAACUUUUUUAAAAAAAAAUAGGCAAUGUUUCGUAUUUCAAAAUUUGAAAAGUCGUUCAGUAACUUAUGGGGUUUUGAUUUUCUCGAUGAAUCCAAAUAACCAAACAUCUUUUUUUUAAACAUGAAAUUUUAAUUAAAAUAUUCUCGAGAAUUAAGAAAAAUCGUGUUCGAACUUACGAAAUAUGACUUCUUUCUAAAAUCGAGAUGGUCAUCUAUUUUACAAAUAAUUUUUUUUGUAUUUACCUUCGUUUCGAUAGUUUAAGACAUUAUGUCCUACCUUACGGGAUGUGAUCUUUUUUAUCGAUUAACUCAAAAAUAAAGUCAUUUUCGUGCUAAUAAUGUUUUAACAAAAGGAUCGUAUUUUUAAAAUUUCCUCAAAUUUUUAACUUUCGACACUAAAGAUGCCAAGUAAUCAACUAGGUACCAAUUUUGGGCGUAUCGAGGGUGCUAAUCCUUCCUCGUACGUGACUGACUCCCGAACCCAUUUUCUGGAAUUUUUUAGCCCAAAAAUCAUCUUUUAGUAAACUUAAACUUUUAUUAAAAUGAUUGAAUUACGAAGUGAUCCGAUCACACCUAAAUAAAAAUGAUUGGCGGUGACUUCUAGUUUUUGUUUUCAAACAAAAAGCCGAUCCUUUCAAAAAAAAAUGGUUUCGACAGCUUGGCAACUCCGCUGGAGAGAAAAUAAGAGAGUCAAGGCACGAUUUGAUUAUUUCUUGUCUUUUUGUCGAAAAUUGAUAAUUUGAUUUAAAUUUACGAUCCUUUCAUUGCAUUUCAUUUUUGUGGUCUGGAUCAUUUUGAUAUGGUUGCUUUAACUGGUUCAAGUCUCCGCAUAUUGCAUCAAAUAAUCGGUUGAUCUUGCCUUUUUAAGUGGGAGUGAGAAACUAUUCCUUCGUGAGGUCUUCACCUCCGUAUAGGAUAGCGGAUCGCUUUCGGGAUACAUCGUACCUAUGUCUUCGUGAGAUUUUCAUCUCCGUAUAGCCAUAGGGAAAUGUAUUCCCCUGAAUUGAAUUUGGUCGGUAUGAGCCUAUAAUGGGUGAGGAUUGAGAAAUCUAUCGGUUUAGGUAUCCUUACUUUAGAAUCGAACUGCAUAUAAUGAGCCUUAAGAGCCUACCCUAGGUAGAACCAUACCGAACCUCUAGUGGUCACCUGAUUAGGCGUUUUAUUUAUUAUUUCUUGCUUACUUUAGGUUUGUAUAAAAUGUAUUGACUUGUUUUGUUUUGCUUUGACUGUGAUUGCAUGACAUUUGCAUAAUAAAAAAGGUGUUGAUUCACAUUCAGUUACUAAAUAGAGAGCUUGUCAUGGAAAACAAAUUUCUUGAUAAAGUGGGAGAUAAUGCGGUUGUCCGAAUAUGGUCCGAAAAAGCGCAACUAGAGAAAGGUGAUAGUCUGACGAAGGGGUACAUAUCAGAAUUGUGGGACUUCACUCGAAUCAGCGUGACCCAGAACAAUCUUCAAGAAUUGAAAGAGAUAUGGGUCCAAUGGGAUGAUGAAAUCAAGUAGCUAUUUUAUUGUAAUUAUGGUGAUUUGCCUUAUCUACUCGAUAUCAAAUUGGACAAGCAUUUGUUUCGAGCUCUUACUCAAUUUUGGAAUCUUGGCUACAGCUAUUUUACUUUUGGAAAAGUGGAUUUAGUACUUGCUAUGGAAGAAUACAUGACCCUACUUCGUUCCUCAAAAAUUUGACCCGACAAGGUUUAUUCUAGAGUCGCCAAUGUCUCGACUUUCCUAAAAAAACUAGUGACCAUGAAGAGGAUGAGUAAGCAAUGGGUAGUAGCUCAGAUCAAGCAAAAGGGAGAUGGUAAGUGUAUCCCUUGGAAUAGUUUAUGAGAUUUGAUCUUGGCACACCCAGAUAUGAAGAAAAGGGUCGAUAUCUUCGCAAUGAGCAUUUACGGUGUAACAGCCCGAUUUAGACCUUAAUUGGAAUGGUGGUUUCGAGACCGUGAAUCCAAGUCAAAAAAAUAUUUUAAAAUUAUUUUCUGUGUUUAUUUUGUGUGAAUUUAUAUCUGUGAAAUUUUCGUGAUUUAAUUUUAUAGUUUGAGUGUCCGAUUUAAUAAAAGGACUUAAUUGCUUAAAUUAAAAAUUGGGUAGUUUAAUGUAUAACGGGCCAAAAUGCUAUUGGCUUUUAUGUUGCAAUUGGCCCAUUACUUUAUUAAGUGGAUGGCAAUAGGUUUAUAUUAUAAUGUUUUGAUAUAAAUAUAUUAAGGUUACUUUAGUAAACUAAUAUUAUAAACCAUUAUAAUAUAACAUAUAUCAUAAAAAAAUAAGCCAUGAUUCAUUUUAUAUUCUUUUGACCGAAACCAAAAUAAGAAAGAAAAAAAAACCUAGUUUGGCCAUAAACAAGCUUGAUUGAGGUAUGUGUUUAGCUCGGUUUUUGAUAAUUUCUACGUUUUUUAGAUUGUUGCUUCUAGUACUACAAAACUCAUGCUUGAAUUUUUUAUUUUGAUGAAUAUUUUUAGUUAUGCCAUUGUUGAGAGCUUGUGAUUUUUUUUGUUUGAUGAUGAAUUAUGAAAGAUAUGUUUUAGAUUAACAUGUUUUGUAUUGGAGUUUUUGAUGAUUUUGAGUAAUAAGGACUAAAUUGAAAAAAAUAAUAAUUUGAGGGACUAAAAUGUGAAAUAAAUUAAUUAUAUGGGCUUGUAUAGACAUGGGUAAUAUUCGGCCUAGCUUGGGUAUGGAGAAAUUUGGUGUAUUUUGUGUAUUGUGCAAUAGGGACUAAAUUGUAAGAAGUGUAAAUGUUAGGGAAUGGUAAUUUACCCAUUUAUGUGUUUUUUGACUAAAUUGAAUGAAAAUAUGUUUGAAUAAGUUUAAUUUGAAUAUGUUUAGAUCAAGAACCAAAGAAAUCGGAUUUGGAUCAGGGGAAAACGAAAGUUGUCGACUAGAGGCCCUAUCCCGUUUUAUAAUGUAUGAGGUACGUUUAUAAGCAAAUAGACAUUUUUAAUUAUAGUCAAAUUCUAUAUAUAUCUAUAUAUAUAUGUUGUUAUGAAAUGUAUGAAUUUAUAUUUUUUAUGGCCGAAUAUAAAAAGGCUUGACCAUUACAUUUCUGAAUUCGUUUCGACCGAGUUUCGACAUCCGAAAGCCUAGUAUGAACCUUAGGAAUAGCUAGGAUACAUAUGUCAUGACAUAGGAUUUCGAUAUAUGUGUGCAAGUAAGACCAUGGCAUCGAUAUGUGAUUCCGAUAUAUGUGUACGAGUAAGACCUUGUCUAGGACGGUGGCAUCGAUAUGUGACUACAUGUAAGACCACGUCUAGGACAUUGGCAUUGUACGAUUUAUGUGAUUAUCCGAGUGUCCUACCCAAUUCCGAAUGGUUCAUCGGGGAAAGGUAAAUUGAGUUCGAAUGUGUAAAACGAGCUAUAUGCCAGGUAUGAACUAACUUGUUACUUACUUGAGGUAAGUUAAGAAAACACCUUGGUUAUUCGUUACAAAUCUUGUAAGAUGCAAAUAAAGAAAAUAUGUGUAUGUGAUAUGUGUAUUUGGUUUAUUGAAUGAGCAAUUUGUAUGUCAUGAAUAACCCUUAUAUAUGUGUUUAUAUGAUGAGGUAUAUUCGAUUAUAUAAUUAAUAUAUGUAUAUGAAAUAUUAUUUCGAUACUUGAGUUUAUGUACUUGAGUGAAUAUGUACUAAGUUUUAAUAUGUCUAUUUGGCUUUGUAAGUUGAUUAUUAAUAUGUUAAAGUGGCUAUAUGAGUAUUCGGCCAAAUAAGAAAUAUGUGUGUAAAAUGUCAUAUUAUGAUUCUUGAACUUAUUUAAAUGGUAUAAAUAUGCGUGAUUAUAUGGUGAUAUUUUGACCUGAAAGUUGAAUGACAUUUGGUUAAUUAGUUUAAGUGAGUAUUCGGCCAAGGUAAAAAAAAUGGUACAUGGAAAUGUAUUAUUGUAUCUCAUUUGUAGGUUUAAGGAUAAGCAUUAGUGAUGAUAGUAUAAUUCGGUUUAGCUUAAAAUGGCUUGAAUAUAUUUUUGAGUUGUUUAUUUGCUUAUGGCUUACUAAGGUAAGAUAGCUUACUCUGUGUAUUUAUGUUUACUCUGUUUUAUAGAUUUGGAGUCAAGCUACGAGCUCGGGGACUGUCAGCAAAGUUCAUUACACUAUCAGCUAAUUUGGUAUCUUUAUAAGUUAAACUUCAAUUAUGGCAUGUAUAGGCCGGAAUGUGAUUUGAAAAUUAGUAUUUUGGUUUGUAUAAUCUAAGCCAUGCGAAAAUGGCUAAUCUUUUAUGUUGAGUUCGGUUAGACGUGGUUGUGGCUUAAAUUUAUUUUGGUUAUGAUGUUGAGUGUUAUAAUGGAAUGAUGUUUGUGAUAGGUGGUUUUAUGAUUUGAAAAUGGUUGAUGAUUUGGAUGAAUACAUGGCUGUUUUUGUUAAGGUAUACAUAGAAAAAAAAUAUGUGCGAAUAUGUAGUAUUAUUUAAAUAAUGUAUAAUGUGUAAUUCGGUAAUAGAGGUUGUUAGCUAAGUUCGAAUAUAAUAUAAGCUUGUUAAAAUAUGGUUAUUACAUGGCAUGAUAUACUCAAGGUUUAAUUGUAUGCCUAAUUAUGGUUAAUGUCCUAUUCUUGUGAUGUUUAAUUAGUAAUAUGAGUUGGUCUGGAAAUUAUAUAGUAAUGUAUUAAAAAUUAGUUCAUAAUAUAAAAGUAUGUGAGUUGGUUGUACCUAACUUGUGAUUCGGAAAAUGCUUUUAUAAAUAUUUAUGAUAUGAGAAACUGAUCUAAUAUGUAUUUUAUCUUAAGGUAUAUAUAAAUAUGAUGAUGAUAUAUUAUAUGUUUGAUUAUACAUUGAUAGGGAAUGUAUAUUGUGUUAUAACAAGUUAUGUAUUAAUAAAUUACAUGCAUGUUAUUUAUAGGAGAAGAAUUUAUAGUCAGUUGACAAAAUAUGUACUACUGUAAUGAGCCGAAUAUGACAUGAUGAAAUUGGAAUGUUUUGAUGUACUUGAUUUUAUGAGUUCUACUUAUGAAUAAAUUUUCAGAUUGUAAUGAAGGUAUAAUAUUGAUUGUAUAUUUUGUAUAAUCUAUAAGUUGAAUCCAUGUUACAUUCGGUUAUGUGAUGUUAAUGAAUAAAUUGACUAUUCCUACCAAUAAUAAAUUACUUAAAAAUUUGUUUAAGUAUAUUCUUAUGAUUAUUUGAAUCUGUAACUUGACUGGUAAUACCUCAUAACCCCAGUCCCGCAACGGAUACGGGUCCAGGGUGUUACAUACGGGCUGGUUGUAUUCCCUAAAGCACUAGGGCACGUGGAUGAGGUAGUUUCAAAUUUGUUCGACAGACUUGAUAAGAAGGUCACGCCCGUCCCUACAAUUUUGGCCGAAACAUUCAGAUCUUUAAAUGCAUGCUGGAGAGCUAGUGAAGGAAGAUUCAUUAGAUGUGCACAACUCUUUUUGGCAUGGUUUCAUAGCCAUUUUUGGAAGGUAGAAAAAGUUUAUUAUCGAGUAGUCUCCGAAAACUACUCUCCAUUAAAAGAAUUAGUGGCUACACUGAGGUGAGACAACAUUUCGGAAGAAAAAUGGAUGGCGAUACUUUAGAAUCUCCAAGAAAAGGAUGUCAAAUGGAGAGCCCCUUGGAUGAUCCCCGAUGAGAUUCUGUAUCGGUGUGGAGAUUUCAAAUGGGUUCCUCUACUUUGGAUUUAGGGAGCUGUUGGAUAUGCUCCUCUACUUGUGUUGAGGUAGUAUAGAUCGAGGCAGUUUGUACUAGCAGCGCAAGGGCUGGCCCAGUGUGAGUUUUCAUAUAAAGGGGAUAAUACAAGAAAAAGGUUUGAGAAAUGUCUAACGCCUGGAACCAAACCCGCCAAGUGAAUAGAUUUACUGCAGGGCUGAUGACGACCCCCAGAUACUGUUGGUGGUGGGGUCAAAGAUUCAAUGACAACAUCCCUAUGCCAAAUUGAGAAACCACUCGACCAUUGGAAGAACACCUGCAAGUGAUUCCAUCGGAGCUAGAGAUCAUCAAGGAAGAUUUUGAAAAGAGGAAUUUGGAGUUAGGAAAGAAGAUAGAGCAAUUGGAAGAGAAAAAGAAGCAAUUAGGACUAGAUGUCGAUGUUCAGAAGCUAGAGGCUGAUAAAUUAAAAAAAAGGAAAGAACAAGGCCGAGGAAGAUAUGGACAGUUUAAAAAUGGAUUACAAGAAGCUACGCUUAUUAAUAAGGACUAUCGAGCUGGGAAAGACAUCAGAAUAAUGGCGGCUAGAGAUCAAAGAAGAAAAGAAUAGAGCCGAUCAAUGGGAAAAGAAAUGCCAAGAUGCCCAGGUUCGAGAAAAUGCUCUAGAAAAAGACCUAUUGAAAUGCCAAAAUGAAAAUGUCAGAUUAAAAGCCAGGCUAGCAGAGCUAGAAAAGUCACUUCAUCAGUAUCGUGGUCGCAACUCCACAAUUGAGCUCAAAGCGAGCCUAAAAAAAUUGAAGAGCUGAAAGGGAAGAUUGAAGAGCUCGAGACGGCAUUACAAAAUUGUGAACUCUGAGCUGAACUCUUUGAAGCAAAUAAUGAACAUUGGAAGAAGCAACCCCACCAUUCUCAAGGUCAAGUUAGGGAAGAGAUUAUAUCAUGGGUGAAGCUGUGGCUCAAAUACGAGAGGUGGCCGAUCAUUUGCAAACCAUGCAGUUCAGGCUGACGUACUAAGCUUGAAGUAUGAAUCAGAAUCGGAUUGGGGUCAAGAGUUAGCUUGGCGUCUUAGGAAGGUUAAGGCCUUGAAUAUUAGGGCAAAGCCGUAAAAGUAAUCCGUUUUAUGUAAAGAAAUUUGUUUUCUAGUAAAGUUGUUCUAGUAGAAUUGAAUCAGAGUCAAUGCCUCUUUUUGCAUUCAUUUCAUGCAUUUGCAUUACAUUGCAUCAUAUGCAUUAAACUUCACAAAAAGACCCUAAUUAAACGAAAUAAAUACAGUUAAUCUGGAAACCAACAAGAGUCAACGAACCGAACAUCGUUACAGUACUCGCGCCAAAACCAAAGUAAUAGACCAAAGAUUGGAAAUGCUAGAACAGAUUAAAAAAGAGAUGCAAGACCAGUUGCAAGCACAACUGCAAGAACAAUUAGCGAAAGUACAACAUGAGAUAAGGGAUUAGAUACUAGAAUCCCAAAGAAAUAUAAUAAGCUAAUUAGUACAGUUGCCAGCUAAAGAACGUGAAAAAGGGAAGAGGCCGCGGUCAACUCAGGGGAUGAUAAUGAGGAUCCUAUUAACCCCUCGGGUUUUACCCCGAUAAGUGCCCAAGCACAACUAGAGGCGUACCCACAAAGGGUACUCGUUACAAUCAAACCCCAACAGUAUCAAACUGGCACCUCGACCCCGAUGAACUACCAAACAGGCCCAAGUUCCAAUCCGGGGGAUAACCCAACCAAUCCCCUUGUUCCUGAUCUAGAUGAUAUGACAGAAAUGGAAAAAACAAGAGAGGAACUACCAAAGCAACUUGAAGAUCGAUACAGAUGGCUAGAAGAAAAAUUCAGAGAAAUGGAAAAUACUGAUUAUCAUUGCAGAAUUGAUGUCAAGGACCUAAGUUUGGUCUCAGAUUUAGUGCUCCCCCCGAAGUUCAAAACUCUAGAGUUUGAAAAGUAUAAUAGAACUAGUUGUCUAGAAGCUCACAUCACCAUGUUUUGUCAAAGGAUGAUAGGAUACGUCAAUAAUGAUCAACUGUUAAUCCACUGCUUUUAAGACAAUCUGAUUGGGUCAGCAGCUAAAUGGUACAACCAACUGAGUCGUACCAAAAUCAAUUCGUGAAAAUACCUAGCACAAGCUUUUAUGAAGAAAUAUAGUCAUGUGACGGACAUGACACCCGACAGAAUCACGUUGCAAAAUAUAGAGAAGAAGCAAAGUGAGAGCUUCAGGCAAUAUGCCCAAAGAUGGAGAGAGGUGGCAACGCAAGUCCAGCCACCUCUUCUAGAGAAAGAAACCACAAUGCUUUUCAUCAAUACUUUAAAAGCCUCGUUAAUUAAUAUUAUGUUGGGAAGCGCUACUAAGAGCUUUUUGGAUAUAGUGAUGUUCGGUGGAAUGAUCGAAAUUGUGGUGAGAAGUGGUAAGAUUGACACGGGGGAAAACUCUAAAAGAUCGGCCCCGAGAAAGAAAGAAAACGAGGUGAAUAAUGCAAGGAUGUAUAAUAAUGGUUCUUCGAAAUUAAUCACUGUGGGCCAGCCAAAGGCAGUGACUACCAGCCAUUAGGGCCCCCCAAGGCAAGAAUCCAACCUGAGGCCAAAUACAGAAAGGCUCCAAUUCACACCCAUACCAAUGACAUAUAGAGAGCUGUAUCAAAGUCUAUUUGAUGUACAUGUAGUAUUCCCCUUCUACCUGAAACCUAUGCAACCUUCAUUCUCCAAAUGGUACGACUCAAACGCUCAAUGUGAAUACCAUGCAGGAAUUACAGGACAUUCAAUUGAGAAUUGCACCGUAUUUAAAAAAUUGAUCGAAAGGUUCAUUAAGAUGGGAAUUAUAAAGUUCGAUGGCCUAUCAGGACCUAAUGUGGUAGGGAAUCCGUUACCCAGUCAUUCUGAUAAAGGGGUAAACGCGAUAAUUGAAGGUUGGGGAAAGAAAACCAAAUUUCAUGUGGUGGAAGUAAAAAUCUCACUAAGACGGGUUUGGAAAAAGAUGGUAGAAAGAGGAUUAAUAGGGAAAAAUUUAGAGGAAAGUCCCGAAAGGAUGAGGAACUAUUGUGAGUUUCAUAAUGAAGAGGGUCAUAAGAUCAAAGAGUGCAUCGAGUUCAGGGCCCUAGUGCAAAACCUAAUGGAUAAUAAAGAAAUUGAAUUUUAUGAAGAUGUCAAAGGCCCAGGAGAAGGAAAUAUAUGCGCAUCAGAGGAAGGGUCAACUACGAGGGUCUAGAAGGUCAAUUAUCCAGUGGUCAUUUUUUCACGACCAAGAAACAAUGAAGUUGGAGCACAGAUGGCAUCAAAGGUCAUAAUCUAGAAACCUACAGCCUUUUCCUAUAAAGACAGCAAGAGGGUUCCCUAGAAUUAUGACUGCAACGUGACUAUUCUGGGAGAGGAGAACCUGGUUAGCACUUUAAGGAAGGACCAGGAUGUGGGUUUCUACACGCACAGUGGAAGGCACUAUGAUCCAUCAAAUGCAAAAGCUGAGCCUGCAAAGGGAAAAGCCUUGGCGGUUGAACAAAAGAAAGAGAAUAUGGGCAGACUUGAAUCGUCUGUUAACGAGUCAAUAACUGAGAAAGAGGCUACAGUAUUCUUGAAAUUCCUAAAGCACUGCGAGUAUAGCAUUGUAGAGCAGCUACAUAAACAACCAGUUCAUAUAUCAUUGCUAGCUUUACUUUUAAGCUUAGAAACCCAUCGUAGCGCAUUGAUGAAGGUGCUGAAUGAAACUUAGGUCACUAAUGAUAUCUGUGUGAACAAAUUGGACCACCUGGUUAACAAUAUAAGCGUCGAUAAUUUCAUCUUUCUUAAUGAUGAUGAAAUACCGCAAUGGGGCAUGGGAUCGACUAAGGCUUUGCACAUCACGACCCGCUGCAAGGGAUAUACAUUGCCAGGGGUGUUAAUUGAUAAUGGAUCGGCUCUGAAUAUCUUACCCUUAUCCAUACUGAAUAGAUUACCUGUGGAUAGCUCUCAUAUGAAGACAUGCCAAAACAUAGUGAGAGCAUUUGAUGGCACUAAAAUGAGGGUAAUUGGAAGGAUUGAAAUACCCCUUUUAAUUGGCUUAAACAUGUAUGAAGUAGAAUUCCUGUUGAUGGACAUUAAUCCUUCUUAUAACUACUAGUUGAGGAGGCCUUGAAUUCACUCAGCGGGGGCAGUGCCUUCAUCACUGCACCAAAAGUUGAAGCUAGCAACAGAAGGUUGGCUGGUAAUGAUAAACACAGAAAAAGACAUCAUUGCAUCCAUAACUAGUAAUGCGCCAUACAUAGGGGCAGACGAUGAAAUGAUAGAAUGUUCCUUUCUAUCACUGGAAUUUGUGAACACGGCUUUCAUUGUCGAAGGGAACAAUAUCCCAAUGCCUAAAAUCUCCAAAACUACAAGGAUGGGCCUGCAACUGAUGGUUGGGAAAGGAGCCUUGACUGGAAGAGGACUUGGACAAGCAAAGGUCGAGGCACCCAUGUUAAUGGACAAACGAGACCGCUUUGGCUUAAGAUAUAAGACAGAUGCAAAACAAAGUAAGAAAGAGCUAGAAAAGAACCAAGAAAGGAGAAGAGCAUGACUGAGUGAAGAAGAGGUCAAAUGGGAACCGAUAACCUUUCCCCAUAUAUCCAAGACUUUCUUGUCAGGAGAAACUAUUCACCCUGAACGGAAUAUGUCAAGAAAAAAAGACCACUGAAGAAAUGUUAGGAAAUCUGAACAUCAAUGCCAUAUCCGAAGAAAAAGUUGGGGGAGAAAAUUUAUCAAGCAUCCGCCCCUACCUGAAAGUAUUUUGAACAACUAGACUACGGAAAAGACUCUUGUAGUUUUUAUAGCUAACUCAGAGUAAUGUUCAGAACACAUGCUAUUACUCGAAGCCUAGGAGCAAUAAGAAUCCUUUUGUGAAAUAAGCCUAUGUCCAACAUCUUUAUUUCAAUAAAAUGCAUCUUUGCGCAUCAUUUUGAGCAAAUAUUGUAACACCCCGAACCCGAGUCCGACACCGGAGUCGAACACGAGGUGUUAACAAACUUUGAAAAAUUUCCAGACACUGCCCAAUCUGCGUACUAGUCGCUUUAAAAAUCAUAUCUUGAGUUUCACAACUUGAAAAUCAGUUUCGUGAUUUUUCCCUGAAACUAGACUCAUAUGCCCAUCUACAUAUUUUUUUAUAGAAUUUUUGGUCGGGCCAAUUAGUACAUUUUAUUAGUCAAAGUCUCCCAUGUUACAGGGAUCGACUACCCUGACCUUUGCGCAUUACGACUUGGAUAUCUCCUUGUACAGGGCUACAAUACUGAUGCCGUUUGUUUCUAUAGAAACUAGACUCAGAGAGAAAUCUAUAAAUAUAUGGUAUGACUCCUAAUUAUCUCUGGUUAAUUUAUAAUGAAUUUCCAAAGUCAGAACAGGGAAUCCAGAAACCGUUCUGGCCCUGUCUCACGAGAACCUGAAUAUCUCUUAACAUACUGUCCGUAUGAUUCUUUCGUUACUUUCCUAUGAAAGUAGAUUCAUCAAGGUUUGUUUACAUAAUUUAUUCACUAUUUAAUUCCAUUCCUACUAUUUUUAGUGAUUUUCCAAAUCUACAUCACUGCUGCUGUCAGCAUCUGCCUUUAAGGUAGACUUUACCUAUUUCAUGGUUUCCAUGAUUCAACUAGCCCUUUUUGCAUAAAUAGCACAAUUUAUGAAAGUGAUUAACCAUCCCCGUGGCCAAUCCUUGUCAAGCAUAUCCACACCAAAUGAUUAUAACAUUAUACUCAAACACAUAUAAGCCAUUUUCCCAUGGCUAUCCAAAAUUUAUACAAGUCCAAAGGGUCCACGACCCACAACAAACGGGUAGUCCUAUACAUGCCAUUUCGAAGUUCAACCAAAAUUGUACCAAAGGGGGGGCUUUGAUAGUGUGGGCGACUUUGACUUCAAGAUCCCGAGUCCGAUAGCUGGAGAACCAAAUCUAUAAAACAGAGGAGCAAUGAAACGGAGUAAGCAAUUUAUGCUUAGUAAGUUUUGAGCAAGGAAUUCCAGCACAACAAAAGUAUAGCAUUCAUAUAGCUAAACGGAUAAUUUCAUAUGCACAAAUUUACGAUAUCGUACUUGCUUCACAUUAUCAACCCUUAUGUACAUACACAAAAGAUCAACUCAGCCAAAGGCCGGUAGCUCGUUUAUCAACUGAGCGAAUACUUAUUUGUAAGGGCUCGAUUAAAUUCAACACAUACGUAACAUAUCCCAAUAUUGGGAUGUUUUUCGAGUAUUAGCUGGAAUUUUACAGCAAGCUCAUUCAUUACCAAAAUCACGUACCUUCGGAAUUUAACCGGAUAUAGCUCCUCGUUCAAGUGCCUUCGGGACAUAGCCCGGUCAUAGUAACUCAUUCAAUGCCUUCGGGACUUAACCCGGAUUUUAAAACUCGCACGAAUGCCUUCGGGACUUAACCCGGAAUUGGUAUCUCGCACAAAGGCCUUCGGGACUUAACCCGGAAUUAAUAACUCGCACAAAUACCUUCGGAUCUUAGUCUGGAUAUAGUCACUUAGCACAAAGCCUUCGGGACUUAGCCCGGACAGCAUUCAAUUAAUCAUGCACAUCUAACAAUAAUUCAUGGCACAUUCGUAUUUCUUUUUCAUUAGCAAAACUCAAACACAAGGCACAUACCAUCCUUGCACAUUCGGCUCAAUAGCCACACAUAGAGCAUGAUUUUAAUUUGCUUAAAACAUGAUUUAAUCACAUUGUAAUUUAAGCUCUCUUACUCAAGAACUUACCUCGGGUGUUGUCGAACGAUUCCGCUAACUAUUCGACCACUUUUUCCUUCCCUUUAUCGGAUCUAUUUCCCCUUUGCUCUUGAGCUUAAUUCAACAAAUAAAUUGAUUUCAUCAUUUAGGCAUCAAAAAGAUGAACACGAAGCACUUAGCCCAUAUUUAUACAUUAGACAUCAAAGUCACAUACAUGUGAAAUCAUGCAUCAACACAACAUAUUAGCUAAUUUUUUUCCCCCUUGGCCGAAUAUGCAUGUCUAUUUUUGGGGUCGAUUUCAACACUUAAUACACACAUAUACACACUAGUAAAGCAUCCUCCCCCUUUCCAUCAAUUUAACACAUGCAUUGCUCAUUAACAUGCAAAGUUACAUUCGGCCUUAGCACACAACUUGCUAGCCGAUUCUUCUCCAUUUAGCAACCAAUGCACAUAUGUGCUCACACAAAAAUGCUAAAAAGGAGGUUCAAGAAUCAUCAAGUCAUCAUCACAUGCAUCAUUAACAAACUUCAUAUUUAGCAUGCAAUGGCAUUAACACAACCUCCACCUAGGCCGAAUUUUAACUCAUCCUCUUGCCUCAUCACCACCACAUCAAACAUCAACCAAGAAUGAUGCAUCCAUGGUCAAAUGUCAUUUCCAUCACAUAGCAAGAUUUAGACCAUGGGCUAGGUAGAACUCAAGCUAACAACUAAAACAUGCAUGCAUCUCAUGGAACAUCAUCAACAUGCCUUAGCCUAGCUACAUGCAUGGCCGAAUCUCUUCACCUUUCUUCUUCUUCCUCCUUAAAAUUUUUGGCCAAGGAUGAACCAAAGGAUGAGCAUUUUUUUUUCUUUGUUUUUUUCUUUCUAGUUUCGGCUAAAUGAAGAUGAGAAAGGAUGAACAAAAAUUUUCUCCUUUCUUUUCUUUAGCUCACGGCAAUGGGGGGGAAAACAACUACACACAUUUUUUUUUUGUAUUCAUCAUACUCCUUUUCAUUAUUUUAUGCCCAUGCCCCUUAUUUUAUUUUUUUCCUACAUACCUCACUAGGCCAACAUGUUCCCAACAUGUUUCCACCCAUAGCAUGGCCAACCACUAGCUCAAAUUUUGGGUAAUUUGACAUGCAAACCCAUCAUUUUCACAACAUGCAUUAAUAGACCAUUUUAAAUUAGCCUAUCAUAUUUUCACCAUGUCUCAUAUCAAUCCCUAUUUAAUAAUUUCUCAUGCAAUUGGCAAAAUUGGAGAAUGAAACUUCCACAUACUCAUGUACACACAUAAUAAGCAUAGAAUAUGGAAAUCAAUUAUUUUUAUGACUCGAUUUUGUGGUCCCGAAACCACUUCCCGACUAGGGUCAAUUUUGGGCUGUCACAACUCUCCCCCACUUAAGAAAUUUUUGUCCCCGAAAAUCUUACCGGUAAAUAGGUUUGGGUAUCGUUCUUUCAUUGAGCUCUCAGUUUCCCAAGUAGCUUCCUCGAUCCCGUGUUUGAGCCAUAACACCUUCACUAACGGAACCCUUUUGUUUCGCAACUCCUUCACUUCACGAGCUAGGAUAUGCAUCGGCUCUUCUUCAUAACUCAUAUCGGCUUGAAUUUCAACCUCUGAUGGGCUAAUUAUGUGCGAUGGAUCAGAUCGAUAGCGUCGAAGCAUCGAAACAUGAAAGACGUCGUGAAUCUUUUCAAGCUCCGGGGGCAAAAUCAAUCUAUACGCAACCGGACCAACUCGUUCAGAGAUUUCGUACGGCCCAAUGAAUCUUGGGCUCAACUUGCCCUUACGGCCGAACCUGAGUAUCUUUUUCCAAAGUGAAACCUUAAGGAACACUUUGUCUCCCACCUGGUACUCGAUGUCUUUUCGUUUCAAAUCUGCGUACGACUUCUGACGAUCCGUGGCUACCUUCAGACUUUCACGGAUUACCUUUACUUUCUGUUCAGCAUCUUUAAUCAAAUCAACUCCGAAAAUUUUACUUUUACCGAGCUCGGUCCAAAACAAUGGUGUACGGCAUUUACGACCGUACAAAGCCUCGUAAGGUGCCAUCUUAAUACUUGAUUGAAAACUAUUGUUGUAAGCGAAUUCAAUCAAAGGUAAAUACCGUUCCCAUGAACUACUGAACUCGAGGAUGCAACAUCUCAACAUAUCCUCAAGUAUCUGAAUUAUCCGCUCGGAUUGACCAUCGGUUUGGGGGUGAAAAGCAGUGCUAAAAUGCAGAUUGGUACCCAGAGCUUCUUGCAAUUUCUUCCAAAAUCAUGAGGUGAAUCUCGGAUCUCUAUCCGACACGAUAGAAACAGGUACCCCGUGUAAUCUCACAAUUUGAUAAACGUACAAUUCAGCUAGUUUAUCCAAUGAAAAAUCCAUACGUACGGGGAUGAAAUGAGCCGACUUAGUCAGUCUAUCAACAACAACCCAUAUCGCAUCCUUCUUACUUGCUGACAAGGGCAGUCCGGACACAAAGUCCAUUGUGACUCGAUCCCAUUUCCACUCGGGUAUCAUGAUCGGCUGGAGUAAUCCUGAAGGCACUUGAUGUUCCGCUUUCACUUGUUGACAUAUUAAACAUCUCGAAACAAAGUCGGAGAUGUCCCGUUUCAUACCAUGCCACCAAAAUUGACGUUUCAAAUCAUUGUACAUUUUCGUACUCCCCGGGUGAAUUGACAUUCGGCUACAAUGGGCUUCGUUCAGAAUCAUCGAAAUGAGUUCCGAAUUUCUUGGAACACACAAACGAUUUCUGAACCUCAAACAAUCAUCAUCAUCAAUUUGAAACUCCGAUUCCUCAUUCGGAACACACUUAGCCCGUUUUGCAACCAAUUCAUCAUCGACUUUCUGAGCUUCACGAAUUUGGUGAGUCAAUAAUGGUUUAGCUUUUAAUUCAGCUACUAACACAUUGUCUGGUAGAACAGACAAAUGCACAUUCAUCGCUCGUAAAGCAAACAAUGACUUCCGGCUUAAGGCGUCCGCAACCACGUUAGCCUUUCCCGGGUGGUAAUCAAUGACAAGCUCGUAAUCUUUCAACAACUCAAGCCAACGUCUUUGUCGCAGAUUCAAGUCUCGUUGAGACAUCAAAUAUUUGAGACUUUUGUGAUCCGAAAAUACAUGGCACUUCUCACCAAACAGAUAAUGUCGCCAUAUUUUUAAAGCAAACACGAUGGCAGCUAGUUCGAGAUCAUGGGUCGGAUAAUUCCUCUCGUGUGGCUUCAAUUGUCUCGACGCAUAGGCCACGACUCGACCUUCUUGCAUCAAUACGCAACCCAACCCAAGUAGGGAUGCGUCACUAUAAAUGACAAACUCUUUACCUAAUUCGGGCUGCACCAAAAUUGGAGCUUCAGUCAAAUGAGUUUUCAGUUGGUCGAAACUUUUCUGACAUUUCUCCGUCCACUCGAACUUAACACCCUUUUGAAGUAGCUUCGUCAUUGGUGUGGCUAUCAUCGAGAAACCUUUCACAAAUCGUCGGUAAUAACCGGCGAGCCCCAAAAAGCUUCGAACUUCAAUAAUAUUUCUCGGAGGUUUCCAGUCAAGUAUGGCUGAAAUUUUGUUCGGGUCAACACGAAUACCUGACGCGGAUACCACAUGACCCAAGAAGCUAACCUCUCUUAACCAGAACUCACACUUACUGAACUUAGCAUAUAACUGCUUAUCCCGCAAAAGUUGCAGCACUAGCCUCAGAUGCUCAGCAUGUUCGGUCUCAUCUCUUGAAUAGACCAAAAUGUCGUCAAUGAACACAACUACGAACCGAUCCAAAUACGGUCUGAAGAUCCGAUUCAUCAAAUCCAUAAAUACCGCAGGGGCAUUAGUGAGCCCAAACGGCAUCACUAAGAAUUCGUAGUGACCAUAUCUCGUUCUGAAAGCAGUUUUGUGUAUGUCCGAAUCUCGAAUUCGCAACUGAUAAUAGCCCGAUCUCAAAUCUAUUUUUGAGAACAUUGAGGCUCCCUUCAGUUGGUCGAACAAAUCAUCGAUGCGCGGCAACGGAUAUUUGUUCUUUAUCGUCACUUUAUUCAGCUGACGAUAGUCAAUGCACAACCUCAUGGUUCCGUCCUUCUUUUUCACGAACAAUACUGGUGCACCCCAAGGUGAAAAACUUGGUCGAGCGAAACCUCUAUCCGUCAGUUCUUGCAACUGAGCUUUCAACUCCUUUAACUCGGUUGGUGCCAUACGAUACGGGGCUAUCGAAAUUGGCGUAGUCCCAGGUACAAGCCCAAUACCAAACUUUACCUCCCGAACAGGUGGUAAACCCGGUAAUUCUUCCGGAAAAACAUCCGGGUAUUCACAAGCCACCGGCACAGAUUCGGGUUUCUUUUCUAAUUCUUUGUCAUCAAGUACAUACGCAAGGUAUGCUUCGCACCCUUUUCUUACAUAUUUCUGUGCCAACAUUGCUGAUAUUACAGCUGGCAUCCCCUCCAAGUCCGCAGACUCAAUUCGGAUUACUUCGUUAUUUGCGCACCUCAAAUCAAUAGUAUUGCUCUUGCAAUUCACAACCGCAUCAUGCGCGGUCAACCAAUCCAAACCAAGGAUAACAUCAAAUUCAUCAAACGGCAAAAGCAUCAAGUCCGCCAGAAAACAGGAACCUCGAAUUUCUAGGGGACAUUUCUUACACACUUUGUCGACAAGCACGUAACGACCCAAGGGAUUUGACACCCGAAUUACGAACUCAGUAGACUCAAUAGGUAAAGUCUUACUGGAUGCUAAGUUUUCACAUAUGUAAGAAUGAGUAGAACCGGGGUCAAUCAAAGCAAUUACAUUAGUAUCAAAGAGAGUGAAUGUACCGGUAAUAACAUCAGGCGAAGAAGCAUCCUCGCGGGCACGUAUAGCAUAAGCUCUAGCAGCCGCACGAGCUUCGGAUCUGGUUAUAUCAUCUCUAGAUCCUCUCUGACCACCACCAUCAUUGCCCGCAUUUCCAGAUGGUCUACCCCGAGCAGUGGUAGCACCCGGUCUCCCACUCUGAUUUGCAUUCUGUCCCGACAACCUCGGGCAAUCUUUAAUGAAGUGGUCAACUGAUCCGCAUUUGUAACAGGAGCGGUCAGGGAAUCUACAACUCCCCGAAUGCCAUUUACUGCAAUAUCGGCAUUUCGUUCUGUCUCGACGUUCAUUCCCAACACUGGCGACUGAAGUGCCUCGUGUACCCACAAGGGGUCGAUCACGAUCUCGUCUAAAAAAGCCCGAAGUGCCUCUAAACUGGCCCGCAUCAUCCCGAAAUCUCUUCGAUGUCUGUUGAAGAGACCUUCCCGAGGAUCUUUUACGAAACUCUCCAGUUCCCUCAUCAACUCUUUGCUUUUCUUUUCUAAGCUCUUCGGCUUUACAAGCUCGUUCAACAAGUACCACGAACUCUUGUAUUUCAAGAACGCCAACGAACAUUUUUAUAUCUUCAUUCAGCCCAUCCUCGAAGCGUUUACACAUAAUAGCUUCGGACGAAACACAUUCCCGAGCGUAUUUGCUAAGUCUAACAAAUUUUCGCUCGUAAUCAGUAACCGACAUGGAGCCUUGCUUAAGCUCAAGAAAUUCCUUCCGUUUUUGAUCAACAAAUCUCUGACUGAUAUACUUUUUCCGAAACUCAGUUUGGAAAAACUCCCAAGUUACUUGCUCUCGGGGCACAACAGAAGUCAGAGUACUCCACCAAUAGUAGGCAGAAUCACGUAGCAAGGAGAUAGCACACUUUAGGCAUUCAUCGGGUGUACAAGAUAGCUCAUCGAGUACCCGGAUAGUGUUGUCCAGCCAAAAUUCAGCUUGCUCGGCAUCAUCGCUAUCCAUAGCCUUAAAUUCAGUAGCCCCAUGUUUUCGGAUUCUGUCAACUGGGGGCUUAUUUGACCUUAUUUGGUCCGUUACCGGUGGUAUUGUAGGUGCGGGGGUAGUAUUUGUUGGGAAUGGAGGUUGUGGAACAGCCAUAUUAGUUCGAAUGUAUUGGUUGAACCAAUCAUUCAUCACGCUAUAGAAUGCUUGUCUAGCUUCAUCAUUCGGAUUACUAGCAUUAGGUUGAGAGUCUGCCGGCACUGUCCCUUGUGCGGGAGCAGGCGCUACACUCUCAAGAUCAUCAGCUACCUCUUGGUCACGAUCGGGAUCCAUUACUAUAAAUAAACACAUUUACAAUUGUCAGAAAUCACCACACUAUCAAGCAAUCACAUAAAAUGGCAUGUAUAGCUAGACCCAACACAUUACGGUAGUCCUAGAAUCGACUAAACCGUAGCUCUGAUACCAAUAAAAUGUAACACCCCGAACCCGAGUCCGACACCGGAGUCGAACACGAGGUGUUAACAAACUUUGAAAAAUUUCCAGACACUGCCCAAUCUGCGUACUAGUCGCUUUAAAAAUCAUAUCUUGAGUUUCACAACUUGAAAAUCAGUUUCGUGAUUUUUCCCUGAAACUAGACUCAUAUGCCCAUCUACAUAUUUUUUUAUAGAAGUUUUGGUCGGGCCAAUUAGUACAGUUUAUUAGUCAAAGUCUCCCAUGUUACAGGGAUCGACUACCCUGACCUUUGCGCAUUACGACUUGGAUAUCUCCUUGUACAGGGCUACAAUACUGAUGUCGUUUGUUUCUAUAGAAACUAGACUCAGAGAGGAAUCUAUACAUAUAUGGUAUGACUCCUAAUUAUCUCUGGUUAAUUUAUAAUGAAUUUCUAAAGUCGGAACAGGGAAUCCAGAAACCGUUCUGGCCCUGUCUCACGAGAACCUGAAUAUCUCUUAACAUACUGUCCGUAUGAUUCUUUCGUUACUUUCCUAUGAAAGUAGAUUCAUCAAGGUUUGUUUACAUAAUUUAUUCACUAUUUAAUUCCAUUCCUACUAUUUUUAGUGAUUUUCCAAAUCUACAUCACUGCUGCUGUCAGCAUCUGCCUUUAAGGUAGACUUUACCUAUUUCAUGGUUUCCAUGAUUCAACUAGCCCUUUUUGCAUAAAUAGCACAAUUUAUGAAAGUGAUUAACCAUCCCCGUGGCCAAUCCUUGUCAAGCAUAUCCACACCAAAUGAUUAUAACAUUAUACUCAAACACAUAUAAGCCAUUUUCGCAUGGCUAUCCAAAAUUUAUACAAGUCCAAAGGGUCCACGACCCACAACAAACGGGUAGUCCUAUACAUGCCAUUUCGAAGUUCAACCAAAAUUGUACCAAAGGGGGGGCUUUGAUAGUGUGGGCGACUUUGACUUCAAGAUCCCGAGUCCGAUAGCUGGAGAACCAAAUCUAUAAAACAGAGGAGCAAUGAAACGGAGUAAGCAAUUUAUGCUUAGUAAGUUUUGAGCAAGGAAUUCCAGCACAACAAAAGUAUAGCAUUCAUAUAGCUAAACGGAUAAUUUCAUAUGCACAAAUUUACGAUAUCGUACUUGCUUCACAUUAUCAACCCUUAUGUACAUACACAAAAGAUCAACUCAGCCAAAGGCCGGUAGCUCGUUUAUCAACUGAGCGAAUACUUAUUUGUAAGGGCUCGAUUAAAUUCAACACAUACGUAACAUAUCCCAAUAUUGGGAUGUUUUUCGAGUAUUAGCUGGAAUUUUACAGCAAGCUCAUUCAUUACCAAAAUCACGUACCUUCGGAAUUUAACCAGAUAUAGCUCCUCGUUCAAGUGCCUUCGGGACAUAGCCCGGUCAUAGUAACUCAUUCAAUGCCUUCGGGACUUAACCCGGAUUUUAAAACUCGCACGAAUGCCUUCGGGACUUAACCCGGAAUUGGUAUCUCGCACAAAGGCCUUCAGGACUUAACCCGGAAUUAAUAACUCGCACAAAUACCUUCGGAUCUUAGUCCGGAUAUAGUCACUUAGCACAAAGCCUUCGGGACUUAGCCCGGACAGCAUUCAAUUAAUCAUGCACAUCUAACAAUAAUUCAUGGCACAUUCGUAUUUCUUUUUCAUUAGCAAAACUCAAACACAAGGCACAUACCAUCCUUGCACAUUCGGCUCAAUAGCCACACAUAGAGCAUGAUUUUAAUUUGCUUAAAACAUGAUUUAAUCACAUUGUAAUUUAAGCUCUCUUACUCAAGAACUUACCUCGGGUGUUGUCGAACGAUUCCGCUAACUAUUCGACCACUUUUUCCUUCCCUUUAUCGGAUCUAUUUCCCCUUUGCUCUUGAGCUUAAUUCAACAAAUAAAUUGAUUUCAUCAUUUAGGCAUCAAAAAUAUGAACACGAAGCACUUAGCCCAUAUUUAUACAUUAGACAUCAAAGUCGCAUACAUGUGAAAUCAUGCAUCAACACAACAUAUUAGCUAAUUUUUUUCCCCCUUGGCCGAAUAUGCAUGUCUAUUUUUGGGGUCGAUUUCAACACUUAAUACACACAUAUACACACUAGUAAAGCAUCCUCCCCCUUUCCAUCAAUUUAACACAUGCAUUGCUCAUUAACAUGCAAAGUUACAUUCGGCCUUAGCACACAACUUGCUAGCCGAUUCUUCUCCAUUUAGCAACCAAUGCACAUAUGUGCUCACACAAAAAUGCUAAAAAGGAGGUUCAAGAAUCAUCAAGUCAUCAUCACAUGCAUCAUUAACAAACUUCAUAUUUAGCAUGCAAUGGCAUUAACACAACCUCCACCUAGGCCGAAUUUUAACUCAUCCUCUUGCCUCAUCACCACCACAUCAAACAUCAACCAAGAAUGAUGCAUCCAUGGUCAAAUGUCAUUUCCAUCACAUAGCAAGAUUUAGACCAUGGGCUAGGUAGAACUCAAGCUAACAACUAAAACAUGCAUGCAUCUCAUGGAACAUCAUCAACAUACCUUAGCCUAGCUACAUGCAUGGCCGAAUCUCUUCACCUUUCUUCUUCUUCCUCCUUAAAAUUUUUGGCCAAGGAUGAACCAAAGGAUGAGCAUUUUUUUUUUCUUUGUUUUUUUCUUUCUAGUUUCGGCUAAAUGAAGAUGAGAAAGGAUGAACAAAAAUUUUCUCCUUUCUUUUCUUUAGCUCACGGCAAUGGGGGGGAAAACAACUACACACAUUUUUUUUUUGUAUUCAUCAUACUCAUUUUCAUUAUUUUAUGCCCAUGCCCCUUAUUUUAUUUUUUUCCUACAUACCUCACUAGGCCAACAUGUUCCCAACAUGUUUCCACCCAUAGCAUGGCCAACCACUAGCUCAAAUUUUGGGUAAUUUGACAUGCAAACCCAUCAUUUUCACAACAUGCAUUAAUAGACCAUUUUAAAUUAGCCUAUCAUAUUUUCACCAUGUCUCAUAUCAAUCCCUAUUUAAUAAUUUCUCAUGCAAUUGGCAAAAUUGGAGAAUGAAACUUCCACAUACUCAUGUACACACAUAAUAAGCAUAGAAUAUGGAAAUCAAUUAUUUUUAUGACUCGAUUUUGUGGUCCCGAAACCACUUCCCGACUAGGGUCAAUUUUGGGCUGUCACAAAUAUUCUUUUAUUAUUUCCAUUUCAUUUAUAAUCAUACCAUACAGAUAAUCAUUCGUAGAUUCUUUUAUUCUUUGUAUCUUCUUUCAUCCCUAUAACAAGUCUCCAGAUAUCAAUGAUAUAAGUAACGCUGCUACUGACUCAGAAUCUCCUUUUGAGCAAGAUAUGUGAAUGGAGGAUUCUCAAGAUUUUGAAGAUGAUCGAGACUGUAACUUAUCUCCUGAUUUGUUGAGGAUGGUAGAACAAGAUGAGAAAUAAAUCCUACCUUACAAAGAGUCAGUGGAAAUUGUGAGCUUAGAAGAGGAAAAAAAGGUGAAGAUUGGAGCUUCCAUUACCACAAUGACAAAGCAAGACCUCAUUGAAUUACUCCAAGAAUUCAAGGAUAUCUUUGCAUGGUCAUAUCAAGACAUGCUCGGGUUAAGUACUGAUUUCGUUGUACACUGGAUCCCCAUAAAGAAAGAGUGCAAGCCAGUUCAACAGAAGCUCCGGAGGAUGAGACCCGACGUUUUGCUGAAAAUAAAAGAGGAGGUCAAUAAGCAAUUCGAUGCUGGUUUCUUACAAGUGGUUAAAUACUUAGAAUAGGUAGCCAAUAUCGUCCCCAUCCCUAAAAAAUAUGGGAAAGUACGGAUGUGCAUAGACUACAGGGAUUUGAACAAAGCCGGCCCAAAAGAUAAUUUCCCAUUAUCUCACAUUGACACUUUAGUAGACAACACAUCAAGUUACUCACUGUUCUCCCUCAUGGAUGGUUUCUUGGGAUACAACCAGAUAAAGAUGCAUCUACAAGACAUGGAGAAGACCACAUUUGUAACCAUGUGGGGAACAUUUUGCUAUAAGGUGAUGCCGUUUGGGCUGAAAAUGUGGGAGCAACGUAUCAAAGAACCAUGGUAACCUUUUUUCAUGACAUGAUGUACAAAGAAAUUAAAGUUUAUGUCGAAGACAUGAUUGAAAAGUCCAAGAUAGAUAAGGAGCAUGUGCAAGUCUUGAGGAAGUUGUUCUUAAUAUUGAAAAAAUUCUAGCUGAAGCUCAAUCCAAAACAAUGUACCUUCGAGGCUAGGUCGGGAAAAUUGUUAGGAUUUGUAAUCAAUGAAAAGGUGAUUGAGAUCGACCUAGAUAAAGUUAAGGCUGUACAAGAAUUACCUCCACCGAGCACUCAAAAAUAAGUUCGAGGUUUCCUAGGAAGACUAAAUUACAUCAUCCGGUUCAUUUCACAAAUAACUAAGAAAUACGACCCCAUGUUUCAUCUCCUUAAGAAACACAAUCCAAGUGUUUGGGAUGAGGAGUGCCAGAAGACUUUCGGCAAGAUUAAAUGUUACCUGUCCAAUGCCCCAGUAUUGAUGGCUCCUAGCCUAGAUAGACCACUGAUACUAUACUUGGCAGUAUUCAGGAAUUGCAUGGGAUGCCUUGCUUAGUCAAAAUGAUGAGUUAGGAAGAAAAGAAAGAGCGUUAUAUUAUCUCAGUAAGAAAUUCAAUGAAUGCGAGACAAGAUAUUCGCCAAUCGAGAAGUUAUGUUAUGCCUUGAUCUGGACAACCCAAAGACUGAGACAGUACAUGUUGUACCACACAACUUGGCUCAUCUCAAAACUGGAUCCUCUAAAGUACAUGAUGGAAUCGACUGCUUUAAAUGGAAGAAUAGCCCUGUGGCAAAUUUUGCUUUCUGAAUUUGAUAUAGUCUAUGUAAAUCAAAAAGCCAUAAAAUGGAGCACAAUAGUAGAUUUUCUGGCUAGUAGAGCUCUUGAAGAUUAUGAACUUUUGAACUUUGAUUUCCCGAAUGAAGUUUUAAUGUACGUGGCAACCAUCGAAGAAGACUCUCAAGAAGGUUAUCCUUGGAAGCUAAAUUUCAAUGGAGCCUCAAACGCUGUGGGUAAUAGAAUUGGGGCAGUCCUGGUAUCUCCAAAUGAAGAUCAUUAUCUCUUUAGUAGCAAACUGGAUUUUGAUUGCAUGAACAAUAUGGCAGAAUACGAAGCAUGCAUCAAGGGUAUCUGUUCAGCCAUAAAAUGUAAGAUCAAAGUGUUAAAGGUAUAUGGGGAUUCUACACUAGUGAUCUAUCAACUCAAAAGUGAAUGGAAGACGAGAGACCCCAAGUUGAUCAAUUAUCGAAGGCUGGUUAUGGAACUAACUAAAGAGAUUUAUGACAUCACCUUUUGCUAUCUUCCACGAGAUGAAAAUCAGAUGGCUGAUGCCUUGGCUACUUUGGCUUCCAUGAUCAAAGUGAACAAACAAGAGGAUGUAAAACCUAUCCAGAUGAGUAUUUAUGAGGCUCCGACUUAUUGUUACAAUAUCGAAGAAGAAGAAGAAAAGGAUGAUCACCCUUGGUACCAUGAUAUACUGCGAUAUGUGAAGAAUCGUGAAUACCCCUACCAAGCAACUAAGAAUGACAAAAGGAUGCUAAGAAAAAUGGCCAAUGACUAUGUCUUAGAUGGGAAGAUCCUAUAUAAAAAGAGAAAGGAUCAGUUGCUACUAAGAUGUGUAGACGUUGUUGAGGCUAAGAAAAUUCUAGAAGAAGUAUACGAAGGUGUCUACCGAACACAUACCAAUGGUUUUACAGUGGCCAGGUUAAUCAUGAGAUUCAGGUAUUAUUGGUCCUCUAUGGAAGGAGAUUGCAUCAGUUAUACUAAGAAAUGCCAUAAAUGUCAAAUUUAUGGAGAUAAAAUUCAUGUACCUCCCUCACCUCUUCAUGUUAUGACUUCUCUAUAGUCUUUCUCUAUGUGGGGCAUGGAUGUCAUUAGGUCAGUCUCACCCAAAGCAUCUAAAGGGUAUUAGUUCAUCUUCGUGGUCAUCAAUUACUUUACAAAGUGGGUAGAAGCCACUUCAUAUGCCAAUGUCAUGAAGUCGGCAGUCAGCAAGUUUCUAAAGAAAGAGAUCAUAUAUCGAUAUGGAAUGCCAGAAAGGAUCAUAUCCGACAAUGCACUAAAUUUGAACAAUAGCAUGAUAUCAGAAGUCUGCAGUCAGUUCAAGAUCAAACACAACAACUCAUCACCAUAUCGCCCAAAAAUGAAUGGAGCAGUGGAAGCAGCCAAUAAGAACAUUAAGAAAAUCGUGGGGAAAAUGACUGAGACUUACAAAGAUUGGCAUCAGAAGUUACCAUUUGUCCUCUAUGCUUAUCGAACAUCUGUCAGGAUCUCAAUCGAGGCAACGCCUUUCUCUUUAGUUUAUGGAAUGGAGACAGUUUUACCCAUAGAAGUCGAGAUUCCUUCUCUCUGAGUUUUGGCAGAAUUAAAGUUGGAUGAAGCAGAAUGGAUCCAAUCCUAAUAUGAUCAGCUAAACUUGAUUGAAGAAAAAAGGUUGAAAUCCAUCCGUCAUGGUCAGAUGUACCAAAAGCGAAUGAUGCGAGCUUACAACAAAAAGGUUCAUCCCAAAGAAUUCUAUGAAGGGAACCUAGUAUUGAAAAAGAUCUUGCCCAUACAAAAGGAAUUCAGAGGGAAAUGGAUGCCAAAUUGGGAAGAACCUUAUGUGGUAAAGAAGGUCUUUUUUGGGAGCGUUGAUUUUGACUGAGAUGGUUGGCAAAAACUUUCCCAAUUCUGUGAAUUUAGACUUGGUUAAGAAAUACUCUACCUAAAAAAAUGGAGAGGCCAAGGUAAAAACCUGCAAAGGGUGCCUUAAGACCAAAGGGAUUUUGAGCUGAAAUCCCAAAAAAGGGCAAUUCAAAUUUUGGUCAAAGGUAGGCCAUAUGGAAAUCCUAUCUUACCAGAAUUAACAAAAAAGGAGAUGGUACAUCUUGGGGCAUCAACAAAGUGUUUUAGAUCUCUAAAAACAUGUAUCAAGUUCAAAAGGGUCCUCGAGAAGUUAAUGUGAAGAAGCUCAUGCUAUGAUAUCUAGGGCACCUAUUUUCAUCUUAUUCAUUUUUUAUUUUAGCAAUGUUUUCUAUCUUUGAUUAAUUUAUUCAUUUCAAGCUUAGCUCCUAGUAAAAUUCCCUUUUGUCCAUUAUGAUAAUCUUUUACAAGCAUUUUUCAUUGAAAUAACGAUUAAUGGACUGGUAAUAUUCAAGUAAAAGGAGUUCUGCAUAUUACUCUAAAAGGUUUUCUAAAUAGUACAGGGAUCUGAGAAAAGGACCACUAUUCAGAACUAACUAAACUUAAGGGUUGGAAACAUUUGAUAAAGAAUAGUCUAAAUUAUGACUACUUCUUUAGAUUUUCUGUUAAAGAUACCAGCUGAACAAGAAAGCAUGGUAACACAUCAGUGAUAGAACCUUGACAAACAGUAAGCAAUGACAACCUAAUCAUUAAAAAGGGAUUAUUGUCAAAAAAUGACAUUCUGCAUUCAUGCAAAUAUCAUUCAUACACAUCUAGUUAGGAGCAUUUGAUUCAUCCUGAUCAUGAGAUUCUAAUCAUUAGGCAUAAAUAGGCCCAAGAAAUGGAUUCUACAAGUCAUGUUCCCCAGAGAACGGUGUAACAGAUCAGUAAAACCACAAAUCCACACCCCUUGUAACAGCUCAAUUUUGGGGAUAGUCAGAACGGUGGUUUCGGGACCACUAAACUAAGGUUAUAGAAAUUAUUUUUGAUAUUAUUUUAUGUGUUGUGGUAUUAUUAUAUGAAUGCAUGAAAAUUUUGGCGAGGUAAUUUUUGCAUUUGUGAGCUUAAUUGCGAAAAAGGACUAAAUCGUAUAAAGUUCAAAAGUCUUAAAUUGAUAGCUAAGGGUGUUAAAUUGUCAUGGAACUUAAAUUGGGGGUAUUUAAAGGGAAAAUAGACCCUAAAAAGAAGUUUGGCCGGCCAUAGGGACAAGAUUUGACCAAGUUGACUAGGUUAGGUGGGUUUUGGUGACUAAAUUGGUUAGAAAAAUAAAAUUGAAUAAGAAGAGAAUAAUAUUUUAUUUUCUCUCAUCUUCUUCCCACCGUUCAUACUAGGAAAAAAGGGGUUUUUAAGCUUCAAAAAUUUUAGCCGCUCUCUAUUCUCAUAGGUAAGUAAUUUUGAUAGUUUUUCUUAAUGAUUUUUGCAUUUUUGGACCCUUGUAACAUGAGCUUUCUAAAGAGAGGACUAUUUUGCAAAAUGAUUGAGAGUCUAGGGUUUUUCCAUGAAAGUAUAUGUUUUUUUAACUAAAAUUUUAUGGAAAAAUAUGAGUCUUGGAUGUGUAAUAAACAACUUUGGUGAAGAAGUUUUCAUGGAAACCCUAACUAGGGACCAUUUUGCAUAAGUAAUAAAAUAAGUGAUAAAUGUGUGUAAUAGUGGAAAUUUGGGGUUGUUAUAAGAGUAAAAAGGGUUUUUCUAGGCUUGAUUAAUGAGAAAAUGUGAUAAAAAUUGAUUUUCAGACCUAAGGGUAAAAUGGUCAUUUUGCAAAAGUCUAGGGGCAAAAUGGUUAAUUUUCCCAAUUAUGAAUUCUCGAGUAUCUAGAGUAAUAUGCUGAUGAGAUGAAUGAAUUUCUAUUAUUUUAGAUCAAGAAUUACAAAAACUGGGCCUAGACCGGGGAAAAGCAAAGCAAUUGGACUAAGUCGAACUAGUCGUCUACAUUUUGGAUACCAAGGUAAAUUGUAUGUAAAUAAUACAACUACAUUGUUAUUAUAUGUGUUUGAAUUGAUAUAGCAUAAAUUUCUUGUUUGGGAAAUGAUUAUUUAUGAUGAAUAUUGAGAUGGUAGAACUCCCGUUUGAACCUUAGGAAAUAAAUCAGAUAUUCAUGCCAUGACAUUUGAGUUAUUUGUGUGCCAGUGUAAGACAUGUCUGGGACAUGCAUCAGCCACAUUAUGAGAGCCAAUGUAAGAUCAUGUCUGGGACAUGGCAUCGGCAUUAAGAUGAGAGCUAGUGUAAGACAUGUCUGGGACAUGCAUUAGCCUCGAGAUGUAAGCCAGUGUAAGACAUGCCUGGGACAUGCAUCGGCUACAAGAUGUGUUAGUGUAAGACCAUGUCUAGGACAUGGCAUCGGCACAAAUAUGUGAGAGCUAGUGUAAAACCAUGUCUGGGACAUGGCGUCGGCCUCGAUUCCGAUAGUCAGUGUAAGACCAUGUCUGGGACAUGGCAUCAACUUGAUGGACAAGCCAGUGUAAGACCAUGUUUGGGACAUGGCAUCAACUUGAUGGACGAGCUAGUGUAAGAUCAUGUCUGGGACAUGGCAUCAGCAUUAUACCCUCUGUUUGAGGCUUAGUGAAUAUCCGAUAGCUUUCCAAAUGGUUAAACUGUGAGAGUUACAGUUUAAGUUAGACGAGAAAAGUAUAACCAUAUUAUGAGUGGUACAGGUACCUAUUUGAAAUGUAAGAGACGUGAGCUCAAUAUAUAUUAUGUGAAUUGUAUUGGUUAAUGAAGAGUAAGUUUUACUUAUGCCUACUUUUGUAUUAUGAGCAUGAUGAUGAAUGGUAAAGUUGUUGUUAUAUUUAUUUUCAUGUAACUUACUAAGCUUUAUGCUUACCCUAUUUCUUUCCAUUUUUUUAUAGUGCUGCCCACUUAGCUCGUGGAUCAACGAUUGUCAGAGGCUUUGAUCACACAUCAAUCGAAGCACUUGGUAUAGUUAGAUCUAUUUAUUUAGAUUAUGGCAUGUAUAGGACCUUGACUUUAGAAUUUUGUGUCAUUGUUAAGUGGCCAAAUGUGUUGGCUUACUUUAGCAUUUUGAUUCAUUUUGUAUAAGGCCAUGGAAAUGGCUAAAGUUGAAAGUUGUUAUACGCAUACAAGAAGUUACUUCAUGAAUGAAUAAUUAUUGGUUGUCUUAGUAAAUAUGAAAUGUGUAAAGGCCUUAGAUGUGGUUGUUGGACUGAUGAAUCAUACUAUGAUGAUCUUUAGCAUGAUGGAUGUUGUUAUUUUGUGUUUUAGGGUGGCAAAGGGCUUGGUAAAUAGCCCUAUGUUGUCCACACGGGUAGACACACGGGCAUGUGUCUAGGCCAUUUUUUUUCCUGCCAUGUGUCUCCUACACGUAAAAAUUUCAAGUCAGUAUGCAUGGUAGUAAACACAUAGGCAGAGAUACGGCCGUGUGUCUCAGCCGUGUGAAGGACACGGCCUAGCACACGGGCGUGUGCCUUGGCCGUGUGACCCUUAAGAAUUGCUGACAUUAGAAACAGAAUGUCAAGGUUUUUAGACACACGCUAGGACAUAGGCAUGUCAUGGCCAUGUGAGGGACACGGGCCAUAGACAUGGGCGUGGGACACGGGCAUGUCCCUAGAGGCUUAGGUCAUGUGUGUCGCACGGGCCAUCAACACGAACGUGUUAUAAUGAACACACGGGCGUGUUACCCUUUCACACGGGCAUGUACCCUAUUUCCAGGGUUAUUUUUAUUAGGUCAAGUUAAGGACCUGAGUUAGUUCUGAAUGGUUUCCAAUGAGAGUUUGAGGCCUUGUAGGCCCACAUUAAGGAGUUUUAAACAAGGUUAGAAAAAGUUUUAAAUGUGAUCAAGUCUUGGUGACUCAGAAAUGAUUGUAUGGAUGUAGUUAAGUAUGAUAAUACCUCGUGCCCGGCCUCGGCCUCGAACUCAGGUAAGGGUUGUUACACCCUUAAAGUUGCAGUGGGAGGGAUUGAAGUUAUUAUGGAAAAUCUCAUCUCCCUGAAGUUGCAGUGGAGCAGAGUAAAGCUAUAAACCUUAUCUUCCUAAAGUUGCAGUAAGGCGAGUUAAAGUUACAAGUCUUAUCUCCCUGAAGUUGCAAUAGAGCAGGUUGAAGAUAGCGAAUCUUAUUUCCCUGAAGUUACAGUGGAACAUAUUGAAGCUACAAGUUACAAAUCCCAUACCCUUGAAGUUGCGAUGGGAUGGAUUGAAGUUAUUAUGGUGAAUCUUAUCUCCCUGAAGUUGCAGUGGAGUAGAUUGAAACAAUAAGUCCUAUACCUCUGAAGUUCCAAUAGGUCAGAUUAAAUCUACCAUAGCAAGUCUUAUCUCCCUGAAGUUGCAGUCGAAUAAACUCAAGCUACAGGUUACAAAUCUUAUCUCCCUAAAAUUGCAGUGGAACAAAUUAAAGCAGCAAACCUUAUCUCCUUGAAGUUGCAAUGCAGUAGGUUAAAAAUAAAUAAAUCUUAUCUCCCUGAAAUUACAAUGGAGCAGAUUAAAAAUAGGCUACGAAUCUUAUCUCCCUGAAGUUGCAGUGGAGCAGAUUGAAGACAGGCUACAAAUAUUAUCUCUUUGAAGUUUUAGUGGAGCAAAUUAAAGCCACAAACCUUAUCUCUCUGAAGUUGUAGUGGAGCAAGUUAAAAUUAAACAAAUCUUAUCUUUCUGAAGUUGUAAUAGAGCAUAUUGAAGACACAAUCUCACCUCCUUGGAGUUGUAGCGGAGCAGAUUGAAGCUACAUGUUUUAUCUCCCAAAGGUCGCAGUGGAAUGGAUCAAAGCAACAAUUCCUAUACCUUUUAAAAUGCAAUGGGUUGAAAUGAGGCUACUUGAAGAAGAUAAGCACCAAAAGAAGUCGAAGCUUGGCAAGACUAGGCAAAAUUGGCCUUUUCAAAAGUCUUUGCUCUAUUCCCUUUACACGGUAAUGAGCAAAGAGGGGCAGUUGUAAUAGGCCAAUUUUAGUCCAGACCCAUAAGGAAAUAAAAUCAAAAACAAAAAAUUAAACAGUCCAACAAAGCCCAAUUAACCUAAACCCUAGCCCAUUACAAACCCAACAGAAACAAAACCAGAAAAUUAAACCCUAGGUGCGCCGCACCUAGGUCUGCAUAACCUACUACCGCCACUGUCACACCACCUUUGACACCGCCAUCUGCAAAAAUCAACAGCAGAAGUGGCAAUCAACAAUAAUAAACAAUGUAUAAUAUACUGCAUUCGGGCUAUAAAAGCCUAAAAUUUGUAAACUUUUUUGGGUUACACAUUGAAUGAAAUCAGAAACAAAAAUUCAUAAAGAAAUCAAAACAAACAACAAAUCAAAUAGGUGAUUCUCUCUUUUUUAUUUUCAAGGAUAAACAAAAUUAAAGUAAAAACCCUAUAACAGCCCGAUUUAGGGCCUAGUCAGAAUAGUAGUCUUGAGACCACAAAUUCGAUGUUAGGAAAAUUAUUUUAUUAUUUUGAUGUAUUAGCAUGUUUUUAGGAGUACGUGAAAAAAAUUUGGUGAGUCAAUUUUAGUAUUUGGAAGCCUAAUUGAGAAAAAUGACUAAAUCGCAUAAAGUACAAAAGUCCUAAAUUGAUAGCCAAAGGUGUCAAAUAGCUAGAGAAUAAAAAUUGAGGUUCUUUAAAGGGCAAUUGACCCUUUCCUAAGAGCUCGGCCGGCCAUAAGAAACAAAUUGGUCAAAAAGUCAAAAGUUUAGGUGGUUUGGUGACUUAAUUGAAUAAAUAAAAGAAAGAUUAUAUCAUCCUACUUCCCCAUUUCUUCUCCAUUGAUUUUUCAACCAUUUUUGGGGAUUUUGAGCUUCAAAAAAUUCAGCAACUUAUUACUCUUGCAAGUAAGUGUUUUACAUACUUUUUUUUGAAGAUUUUUGCAUUUGAAUUAGUUGAGCCCUUACAAAUAAGUAUUCGCUCAGUUGAUAAAUGAGCUACCGGCCUUUGGCUAAGUUGAUCUUUGUGUAUGAAUAAAAUGGUUGGUAAUGUGAAGUAAGAAUGAUAUUGAAAAAUUGUGCAUAUGAAAUUAUCCGUUUAGCUACAUGAAUGCUAUACUUUUGUUGUGCUGGAAUCCCUUGCUCAAAACUUACUAAGCAUAAAUUGCUUACUCCGUCUCCUUGAUUCUCUGUUUUAUAGAUUUUGGUUCUCCAGCUAUCGGACUCGGGAUUUUGAAGUCGAAGUUGCCCACACUAUCAAAGCCCCCCCUUUUGGUACAAUUUUGGUUGAACUUCGAAAUGGCAUGUAUAGGACUACCCGUUUGUUGUGGGUCAUGGACCCUUUGGACUUGUAUAAUUUUGGAUAGCCAUGCGAAAAUGGCUUAUAUAUGUUUGAGUGUAAUGUUAUAAUCAUUUGGUAUGGAUAUGGUUAUUGAGAGGUGUGGAUAGGCUUGACAAGGAUUGGCCAUGGGAAUGGUUAAUCACUAUCAUAAAUUGUGCUACUUAUGCAAAAAGGGCUAGUUGAAUCAUGGAAACUAUGAAAUAGGUAAAGUCUACCUUAAAGGCAGAUGCUGACAGCAGCAGUGAUGUAGAUUUGGAAAUUCACUAAAAAUAUUAGGAAUGGAAUUAAAUAGUGAAUAAAUUAUGUAAACGAACCUUGAUGAAUCUAUUUUCAUAGAAAAGUAACGAAAUAAUCAUAUGGACAGUAUGUUAAGAGAUAUUCAGGUUCUUGUGAGACAGGGCCAGAACGGUUUCUGGAUUUCCUGUUCCGACUUUGGAAAUUCAUUAUAAAUUAACCAGAGACAAUUAUGAGUCAAGCCAUAUAUGUAUAGAUUCCUCUCUGAUUCUAGUCUCUAUAGAAACAAACGGUAUCAGUAUUGAAGCCCUGUACAGGGAGAUAUCCAAGUCGUAAUGCGCAAAGGUCAGGGUAGUCGAUCCCUGUAACAUGGGAGACUUUGACUAAUAAACUGUAAUAAUUGGCUCAACCAAAAAUUCUAGAAAAAAAUAUGUAGAUGGACAUAUGAGUCUAGUUUCAGGAAAAAUUUACGGAACUGGAUUCCGAGUUUCUGAACUCAGGAUAUGAUUUUUAAAGCGACUAUUACGCAGAUUGGCAGUGUCUGGAAAUUUUUUUAAAAAAAGUCUGUUAACACCUCGUGUUCGACUCCGGUGACGGUCUCGGGUUCGGGGUGUUACAUUUGAUUGGUAUCAGAGCUACGGUUUAGUCGAUUCUAGGACUACCGUAAUGCGUUGGGUCUAGCUAUACAUGCCAUUUUAUGUGAUUAUUUGAUAGUGUGGUGAUUUCUGACAAUUGUAAAUGUGUUUAUAUAGAGUAAUGGAUCCUGAUCCCGACCGAGCGGUAGCUGAUGAUCUUGAGAGUGUAGCGCCUGCUCCCGCACAAGGGACAGCGCCGGCAGACUCUCAACCUAAUGCUAGUAACCCGAAUGAUGAAGCUAGACAAGCUUUCUAUAGCGUGAUGAAUGAUUGGUUCAACCAAUACAUUCGAACUAAUACGGCUGUUCCACAACCUCCAUUCCCGACUAAUACCACCCCCGCACCUACAAUACCUCCGGUAACUGACCAAAUAAGGUCAAAUAAGCCCCCAGUUGACAGAAUCCGAAAACAUGGGGCUACUGAAUUUAAAGCUACGGAUAGCGACGAUGCCGAGCAAGCUGAAUUUUGGUUGGACAACACUAUCCGGGUACUCGAUGAGCUAUCUUGUACACCCGAUGAAUGCCUAAAGUGUACUAUCUCCUUGCUACGCGAUUCUGCCUAUUAUUGGUGGAGUACUCUGACUUCUGUUGUGCCCCGAGAGCAAGUAACUUGGGAGUUUUUCCAAACUGAGUUUCGAAAAAAGUAUAUCAGUCAGAGAUUUGUUGAUCAAAAACGGAAGGAAUUUCUAGAGCUUAAGCAAGGUUCUAUGUCAGUUACUGAUUACGAGCGAAAAUUUGUUAGACUCAGUAGAUACGCUCGGGAAUGUGUUUCAUCCGAGGCUAUUAUGUGUAAACGCUUCGAGGAUGGGCUGAAUGAAGAUAUAAAAAUGUUCGUUGGCAUUCUUGAAAUACAAGAGUUCGUAGUACUUGUCGAGCGAGCUUGUAAAGCCGAAGAGCUUAGAAAAGAAAAACAAAAAGUUGAUGUGGGAACUGGAGAGUUUCGUAAAAGAUCCUCGGGAAAGUCUCUUCAACAGGCAUCGAAGAAAUUUCGAGAUGAUGUGGGCCGGUCUAGAGGCACUUCGGGCCUUUUUAGACGAGAUCGUGAUCGACCCCCUGUGGGUACACGAGGCACCUCGGUCGCCAGUGUUGGGAAUGAACGUCGAGAUAGAACGGAAUGUCGAUAUUGCGGUAAAUGACAUUCGGGGAGUUGUAGAUUCCCUGACCGCUCCUGUUACAAGUGCGGAUCAGUUGACCACUUCAUUAAAGAUUGCCCGAGGUUGUCUGAACAGAAUGUAAAUCAGAGUGGGAAACCGGGUGCUACCACUGCUCGAGGUAGACCAUCUGGAAAUACGGGUAAUGCUAGUGGUGGUCAGAGAGGAUCUAGAGAUGCUACGACCAGAUCCGAGGCUCGUGCGCCUGCUAGAGCUUAUGCUAUACGUGCCCGCGAGGAUGCUUCUUCGCCUGAUGUUAUUACCGGUACUUUUACUCUCUUUGAUACUAAUGUAAUUGCUUUGAUUGACCCCAGUUCUACUCAUUCUUACAUAUGUGAAACCUUAGCAUCCAGUAAGACUUUACCUAUUGAGUCUACUGAGUUCAUAAUUCGGGUGUCAAAUCCCUUGGGUCGUUACGUGCUUGUCGACAAAGUGUGUAAGAAAUGUCCCCUAAUAAUUCGAGGUUCCUGUUUUCCGGCGGACUUGAUGCUUUUGCCGUUUAAUGAAUUUGAUGUUAUUCUCGGGUUGGAUUGGUUGACCGUGCAUGAUGCGGUUGUGAAUUGCAAAAGCAAGAUGAUUGAAUUGAUGUGCACAAAUAACGAAGUAAUCCGAGUUGAGUCUACGGACUUGGAUGGGUUGCCAGCUGUAAUAUCCUCAAUGUUGGCCCAGAAAUAUGUAAGAAAAGGGUGCAAAGCAUACCUUGCGUAUGUACUUGAGGACAAAGAAUUAGAAAAGAAACCCGAAUCUGUGCCGAUGGUUUGUGAAUACCCAGAUGUUUUUCCUGAAGAAUUACCGGGUUUACCACCUGUUCGGGAGAUAGAGUUUGGUAUUGAGCUUGUACCUGGGACUACGCCGAUUUCGAUGGCUCCGUAUCGUAUGGCACCAACCGAGUUAAAUGAGUUGAAAGCUCAGUUGCAAGAAUUGACGGAUAGAGGUUUUGCUCGACCAAGAUUCUCACCUUGGGGUGCACUAGUAUUGUUCGUGAAAAAGAAGGACGGAACCAUGAGGUUGUGCAUUGACUAUCGUCAACUGAAUAAAGUGACGAUAAAGAACAAAUAUCCGUUAUCGCGUAUCGAUGAUUUGUUCGACCAACUGAAGGGAGCCUUAGUGUUCUCAAAAAUAGAUUUGAGAUCGGGCUAUUAUCAGUUGCGAAUUUGAGAUUCGGACAUACCCAAAACUGCAUUCGGAACGAGAUAUGGUCACUACGAAUUCUUAGUGAUGCCGUUUGGGCUCACUAAUGCCCCUGCGGUAUUUAUGGAUUUGAUGAAUCGGAUCUUCAGACCAUAUUUGGAUCGGUUCGUAGUUGUGUUCAUUGAUGACAUCUUGGUCUAUUCAAGAGAUGAGACCGAACAUGCUGAGCACCUGAGACUAGUGUUGCAAAUUUUGCGGGAUAAGCAGUUAUAUGCUAAGUUUAGUAAGUGUGAGUUCUGGUUAAGAGAGGUUAGCUUCUUGGGUCAUGUGGUAUCCGCAUCGGGUAUUCGAGUUGACCCGAGCAAAAUUUCAGCCAUACUUAACUAGAAGCCUCCAAGAAAUAUUACCGAAGUUCGGAGCUUCCUGGGGCUCGCCGGUUAUUAUCGACGAUUUGUCAAAGGUUUCUCGAUGAUAGCCACACCAAUGACGAAGCUACUUCAAAAGGAUGUUAAGUUCGAAUGGACAGAGAAAUGUCAGAAAAGUUUUGAUCAACUAAAAACUUAUUUGACUGAAGCUCCAAUUUUAGUGCAACCCGAAUCUGGCAAAGAGUUUGUCAUUUAUAGUGACGCAUCCCUACUUGGGUUGCGUUGCGUAUUGAUGCAAGAAGGUCGAGUGGUGGCCUAUGCGUCGAGACAAUUAAAGCCACAUGAGAAAAAUUAUCCGACCCAUGAUCUUGAACUAGCUGCCAUUGUAUUUGCUUUAAAAAUAUGGUGACAUUACUUAUUUGGUGAAAAGUGCCAUGUAUUUUCGGAUCACAAAAGUCUCAAAUAUUUGAUGACUCAAAGAGACUUAAAUCUGCGACUAAGACGUUGGCUUGAGUUGUUGAAAGAUUACGAGCUUGUCAUUGAUUACCACCCGGGAAAGGCUAAUGUGGUUGCGGACGCCUUAAGCCGGAAAUCAUUGUUUGCUUUACGAGCGAUGAAUGUGCACUUGUCUGUUCUACCCGACAAUGUGUUAGUAGCUGAAUUAAAAGCCAAACCAUUAUUGAUUCAUCAAAUUCGUGAAGCCCAGAAAGUUGAUGAUGAAUUGGUUGCAAAACGGGCUGAGUGUGUUCCGAACAAGGAAUCGGAGUUUCAAAUUGAUGAUGAUGAUUGUUUGAGGUUCAGAAGUCGUUUGUGCGUUCCAAGGAAUUCGGAACUCAUUUCGAUGAUUCUGAACGAAGCCCAUUGUAGCCGAAUGUCAAUUCACCCGGGGAGUACGAAAAUGUACAACGAUUUGAAACGUUGGUUUUGGUGGCAUGGUAUGAAACGAGACAUCUCCGACUUUGUUUCGAGAUGUUUAAUAUGUCAACAAGUGAAAGCGGAACAUCAAGUGCCUUCAGGAUUACUUCAGCCGAUCAUGAUACCCGAGUGGAAAUGGGAUCGAGUCACAAUGGACUUUGUGUCCGGACUGCCAUUGUCAGCAAGUAAGAAGGAUGCGAUUUGGGUUGUUGUUGAUAGACUUACUAAGUCGGCUCACUUUAUCCCCGUGCGUACGGAUUUUUCAUUGGAUAAACUAGCCGAAUUGUAUGUUUCUCAGAUUGUGAGAUUAAACGGGGUACCUAUUUCUAUCGUGUCGGAUAGAGAUCCGAGAUUCACCUCACGAUUUUGGAGGAAAUUGCAAGAAGCUUUGGGUACCAAGCUGCAUUUUAGCACUGCUUUUCACCCCCAAACCGAUGGUCAAUCUGAGCGGAUAAUUCAGAUACUUGAGGAUAUGUUGAGAUGUUGCAUCCUCGAUUUCAGUAGUUCAUGGGAACGGUAUUUACCUUUGAUUGAAUUCGCUUACAAUAAUAGUUUUCAAUCAAGUAUUAAGAUGGCACCUUACGAGGCUUUGUACGGUCGUAAAUGCCGUACACCAUUGUUUUGGACCGAGCUCGGUGAAAGUAAAAUUUUCGGAGUUGAUUUGAUUAAAGAUGUCGAACAGAAGGUAAAGGUAAUCCGUGAAAGUCUGAAGGCAGCCACAGAUCGUCAAAAAUCGUAUGCGGAUUUGAAACGAAAAGACAUUGAAUAUCAGGUGGGAGAUAAAGUGUUUCUUAAAGUUUCGCCUUGAAAAAAGGUACUCAGAUUUGGCUGUAAGGGCAAGUUGAGCCCGAGAUUCAUUGGGCCGUACGAAAUCUCCGAACGAGUUGGUCUGGUUGCGUAUAGAUUGAUUUUGCCCCCUGAACUUGAAAAGAUUCACGAUGUCUUUCUUGUUUCGAUGCUUCGACGCUAUAGAUCUGAUCCAUCGCACAUAAUUAGCCCAUCAGAGGUUGAAAUUCAAGCCGAUAUGAGUUAUGAAGAAGAACCGAUGCGUAUCCUAGCUCGUGAAGUGAAGGAGUUGCGAAACAAAAGGGUUCCGCUAGUAAAGGUGUUAUGGCUCAAACACGGGAUCGAGGAAGCUACUUGGGCAACCGAGAGCUCGAUGAAAGAAAGAUACCCAAACUUAUUUACCGGUAAGAUUUUCGGGGACGAAAAUUUCUUAAGUGGGGGAGAGUUGUGACAGCCCAAAAUUGACCCUAGUCGGGAAGUGGUUUCGGGACCACUAAACCGAGUCAUAAAAAUAAUUAACCGUCAUAAUUGAUGCUCAUUAUAUGUACAUGUGCAUGUGUGAAAAUUUCGUGUUUGAAUUUUGUUAAUUGUAAGUGAAUUUUAUCAAAUAGGACUUAUGUGAGAAAAUUUUGAAAUGUGAGAGGUCAAAGCAUAAGGGCCUAUUAGUGCAUGUUGAAAAAGGGGGGACUUGCAUGUCAAUUUCCCCCCUAAUUAGUAGUGGCCGGCCAUGACAAGCAUGGUAGACCAAGUGUGAUGGGCAAGACAUGUCAUAGACAUGUUGUGUUGGUGUAUCAUGGGUGGAAAAAAAUAAAAUAAGGAGCAUGGGCAUAAAAUAAUGAAAGGGAAUAUGAUGAAAAAAAAAAGUGUGUGGUUGUUUCCCCCCCCAUUGCCGUGAGUUAAAGAAAAGAAAAGAGAAAAUUUUGCUCAUCCUUUUUCAUCUUCAUUUGGCCGAAAAUUCUAAGGAAGGAGGAAGGAGUUCUUGCUUCAUGUUUGGUUUGGAAGAGGAUUAGGAGGAGGUUUGGCCAUACUUGUAUCUAGAUCAAGGUAUGUGUGAGGUUGUGCCAUGAGAUUCAUGCCUGUUUUUAGUUGCUAGCUUGAGUUCUAAUUAUCCCAUGGUUCAAAUCUUUGCUAUGUCAUGGGGAUGAUAUUCGGCCUAGGUAGAUUUUGUGUUAAUGCCAUUGCAUGCUAAAUAUGAAGCUUGUUAAUGAUGCAUGUAAUGGUGGAUUGAUGAUUCUUGAAUCUUCUUUUUAGCAUUUUUGAGUGAGCACAUAUGUGCAUUGGUUGCUAGAUGGAGAAGAAUCGGCUAGCAAGUUGUGUGCUAAGGCCGAAUAUAAUUUUUGUAUAUUAAUGAGUAAUGCAUGUGUUAAAUUGAUGGAAAGGGAGAGGAUGCUUUACUAGUGUAUAUAUGUGUGUAUUAGCCAAGUUUUGAACUUGAAACAAAAGGGUGUUUAGUCAAUACAAGUGACCAUACUUGUAGAAUGUAUUAAGUGUUGAAAUCAGCCCCAAAAUAGACAUGCAUAUUCGGCCAAGGGGGAAAAAUUAGCUAAAAUGUUGAGUUUGAUUCAUGAUUCCGUACAUAUGUGACUUUAAUGUCUAAUGUAUAAAUAUGGGCUAAGUGCCUUGUGUUCCUCUUUUCGAUGCUCAAAUGAUUAAAUCAAUUUAUUUGUUUAAUUAAGCUCAAGAGCAAAGGGGAACUAAAUCCGAUAAAGGGAAGGAAAAAGUGGUCGAAUAGCUAUCGAAAUCGUUCGACAACACCCGAGGUAAGUUCUUGAGUAAAAGAGCUUAAAUUAUGAUUUGAUUAGAUCAUGUUUUAAGCAAACCAAAAUCAUGCUCUUUGUGUGGCUAUUGAGCCGAAAUUGCAAGAAUGAUAAAUGUCUUGUGUUUGAGUUUUACUAACGAAAACGAAAUACGAAUGUGCCAUGAUUUAUUGUUAAAUGUGCAUGGUUAUUUGAAUGAUGUCCGGGCUAAGUCCCGAAGGCUUUGUGCUAAGUGACCAUAUCCGGACUAAGAUCUGAAGGCAUUUGUGCGAGAUACUAAUCCGGGCUAAGCCCGAAGGCAUUUGUGCGAGUUACUAAAUCCGGCUUAAGUCCCGAAGGCAAUUGUGCGAGUUACUAUAACCGGGCUAUGUCCCGAAGGCAUUUGAACGAGUAGCUAUAUGCGGUUAAAUUCCGAAGGUACGUGAUUUGGGAAUGAAUGAUCUUGCUGUAAAAAUUUCAGUUAAUACGCUUGAAACAUCCCAACAUUGAGGUAUGUUUCGUAUGUGCUUUGAAUUAGUUGAGCCCUUACAAAUAAGUAUUCGCUCAGUUGAUAAAUGAGCUACCGGCCUUUGGCUAAGUUGAUCUUUGUGUAUGAAUAAAAGGGUUGGUAAUGUGAAGUAAGAAUGAUAUUGAAAAAUUGUGCAUAUGAAAUUAUCCGUUUAGCUACAUGAAUGCUAUACUUUUGUUGUGCUGGAAUCCCUUGCUCAAAACUUACUAAGCAUAAAUUGCUUACUCCGUCUCCUUGAUUCUCUGUUUUAUAGAUUUUGGUUCUCCAGCUAUCGGACUCGGGAUUUUGAAGUCGAAGUCGCCCACACUAUCAAAGCCCCCCCUUUUGGUACAAUUUUGGUUGAACUUCGAAAUGGCAUGUAUAGGACUACCCGUUUGUUGUGGGUCAUGGACCCUUUGGACUUGUAUAAUUUUGGAUAGCCAUGCGAAAAUGGCUUAUAUAUGUUUGAGUGUAAUGUUAUAAUCAUUUGGUAUGGAUAUGGUUAUUGAGAGGUGUGGAUAGGCUUGACAAGGAUUGGCCAUGGGAAUGGUUAAUCACUAUCAUAAAUUGUGCUACUUAUGCAAAAAGGGCUAGUUGAAUCAUGGAAACUAUGAAAUAGGUAAAGUCUACCUUAAAGGCAGAUGCUGACAGCAGCAGUGAUUUAGAUUUGGAAAUUCACUAAAAAUAGUAGGAAUGAAAUUAAAUAGUGAAUAAAUUAUGUAAACGAACCUUGAUGAAUCUAUUUUCAUAGGAAAGUAACGAAAUAAUCAUGCAGACAGUAUGUUAAGAGAUAUUCAGGUUCUUGUGAGACAGGACCAGAACGGUUUCUGGAUUUCCUGUUCCGACUUUGGAAAUUCAUUAUAAAUUAACCAGAGACAAUUAGGAAGUCAAGCCAUAUAUGUAUAGAUUUAUCUCUGAGUCUAGUUUCUAUAGAAACAAACGGUAUCAGUAUUGAAGCCCUGUACAGGGAGAUAUCCAAGUCGUAAUGCGCAAAGGUCAGGGUAGUCGAUCCCUGUAACAUGGGAGACUUUGACUAAUAAACUGUACUAAUUGGCCCAACCAAAAAUUCUAGAAAAAAAUAUGUAGAUGGGCAUAUGAGUCUAGUUUCAGGGAAAAUUUACGGAAUUGGAUUCCGAGAUUCUGAACUCAAGAUAUGAUUUUUAAAGCGACUAUUACGUAGAUUGGCAGUGUCUAGAAAUUUUUUUAAAAAAAGUCUGUUAACACCUCGUGUUCGACUCCGGUGACGGUCUCGGGUUCGGGGUGUUACAAAUAUAGCAUGAAUUUCUUGAUUUUGAAGUUGAGAAAGUAUGAUGAUAAUAGAGAUAGUAAAGUUCCCGUUUGAACCUAGGAAAUAUAUUUGAUAUUCAUGCGAUGACAUAUGGGUUAUUGUGGGCUAGUGUAAGACAUGUCUGGGACAUGCAUCAGCCAUAUUAUGAGAGCCAGUGUAAGACCAUGUCUGGGACAUGGCAUCGGCAUCAAAACGAGUGCUAGUGUAGGACAUGUCUGGGACAUGCAUCGGCUAUGAGAUGAUAGUUGAGGUAAGACCAUGUGUGGGACAUGGCAUCGACAUGAGAUAUAAGCUAGUGUAAGACCGUGUCUGGGACAUGGCAUCGGCACUUUACCCACAUUUGAGGUUUAACGAAUAUCCGAUAGUAUUUUGAAUGGUUCAACAGUGAAUAGUAUGACUUUAAGUUAAUGAGCAUGGUAUAACCGUGUUGUGAGUGGUACAGAUACCUAUUUGAAAUGUAUGAGAUGUAAACUCAAUAUAUGCUAUGAGAUUUAUAUGGAUAGUGAUGAGUAAGUUAUGCUUGCGCCUACUUUUGUGUUAUGAGCAUGUUAAUGAAUGGUAAAAUCAUUGUUGUACAUUUAGUUAUAUGCAACUUACUAAGCUUUAUGCUUACUCCCUCUCCUUUCUCUUUUUAUUAUAGUGCCGCCCAGUUAGCUUAAGGAUCAAAGGAAGUCAGAGAUAUCGAUCACACUAUCAAUUGAAGCAUUCGGUGUAGUUUGAUUUAUACUUUUGAAUAUGGCAUGUUUAGGGAACUAGUCUUAUGUUUGUGCUAAUAUUAACUUGGCCAAAUGUGUUGGCUUGGGAUAAAUAUUUCAUUUUGUAUUAAGCCCCAAAUGAUGGCUAAUAUUCAUUUUGAUAUGUAUGGAAUGUUGUCUAUUCUGGAUGAUAUGGUUGCUUGAAAUAGUCUUAUAUUGGAUUUGGUAGUUCUUGUGUAGGUUGUGUAAGUAAGGGUGGAAAAGAGGCUUGGUAAAUAGCCUUAUAUUGUUCACAUGGGUCGACACAAGGGCAUGUGUCUAGGCCGUGUGUGACACAUAGCCAGCCCCAUGGGUGUGUUGUCCAGCCGUGUGUCCCCUGCACGUAAAAAUUUCAAGUCAGUAUGCAUGGUAUUAAACACACAGGCAGAGAUACAGUCGUGUGUCUCAGCCGUGUGAGGGACACGGCCUAGCACACGAGCAUGUGCCUUGGCCGUGUGACAUUUUGGGGUUGCUGACGUUAGAAAUAGAAUGUCCAUGUUUUUGUACACGGGCUAGGACACAGGCGUGUCAUGGCCGUGUGAAGGACACGGGCCAGGCACAUGGGCGUGUGCCAGGCCGUGUGAAAACCCCUGUAGGUGUGCAUUUAAAAUAAAUUCCACAUGAUUGGAGGACACGAGCAUGUCCCUAUAUUGCUUAGGCCGUGUGAGCCACACGGGCCAUCAACACGACCAUGUUGAAAUGGCCACACGGGCGUGUGCCCCUUUCACACAGGCGUGCGCCCCUAUGUCAAGUGACAUUUUUCUAUAGUUGGAAAAAGUACCCGAGUUGGUUCCGAGUUAUUUACAAUGUGUGUUUUGGGCCUCGAAGGCCCGUAUUCAGGAUAUGUUGAUAUGUUUGAGAAAGUUUUAAAUUUGUCCAAGUCUUGAAGACUUGGAUAUGGUUGUAAGCACGAGUUUAAGUGAGGUAACGCCUCAUAUUCUGUCACGGUGUAGGAUACGGGUUUGGGGUGUUACAAAACCUUUUACCUGCGUUGAGGCACCCUCCACGGUGGUCGGAUCUCUUCUCCGGCAUCGGUACCUACAGAAAGGGGGCUAAAGCCGAACCUUUUCUCUUUUUUUUUCCUUUUUUUUUAAAUUCUUUAUUUUAUUUUAUUUUAUUUAUUUUUAGGGAAUUUUCCUCCUAGAUCUAAAAUCUAAGUUGAAAAUUGAAAAUUUUGGUAUUUUUGCCUUUCCGACCGCCGUAGGUGGCGGCGCCAUAGCUGGCAUGGCGGCGGUUCACCGGAGCCUAGACCAACGAAGGCCUGUUCAGAGAGAGAGAAAAAAAAACUUUUAAUUUUUUUUUUGAAAACAUGUUAAAAUGAAAUUUUUGAACAAAAAAACUUGAUUUAUAUAGACAUGUAAAACGGCAUCGUUUUGGGCUAUAGCUCUAGGCGCCAAAACGACGUCAUUUUGGGGCCGACCUGCCCAUGGCCCAACCCGAUUCUGGAGCAUCCGUGUGUUUUUGUUUAAAAAAGGUUAUUUACCCUUUUAGUCCUUCCACAUUUUUGGCUUGUUUUAAUUUAGUCAUCUUUGUUCUUUUUUUCUCUUUUUAAUUUUAUCCCGUAAUUUUUGCGCCUGUUUCAUUUUAGUUCAUAUUGGAACUGCACGUUUUGGAGGACAGGGAAUAUUUCCCAUUUGAUCCUUUUUGUUAUUCGCGCUUACAACUUGGACCUCCACCCUAUUUUUAUUACCGAUUUUUACCCAAAAAUUCUAUUUUGAUUUCAAUUUAGUCUUCUUUUUGUAAAUAUUAUUAUUGUAUUAUUAAACUGAUUAAUUUAAUAUUUAAUAUUUAUUUUUUUGUUUAUUUACUUAUUAUUAUUAUUAUUAUUAUUAUUUUCUAAAUAGACUUAUUUUUUUUAUUUUAUUAUUAAUUCUAUUAUUGUCAUUUUAUUAUUUUAUUAUUUAUUCAUUUAUAUAUAUCUUUUUAUAUACUUUCAAAAAUUUAGAUUAUUAUUAUUAUUUUAUUUGUUUUGUUUAAUAUUUUUUAUUCUCUUAUUUAUUUGCUUAUUUACAAUUUUUUAUUUAAACUUUUUAUUAGUUUUAUUUGUUUAUUUACUUAUUUUUUUAUUAGCUUGUUAUUUAUUUAUUUUUCUUAUUGAUUAUUUUUUGUUCUUAUUAUUGUUAUUUAUAUUAUCGCAUUUAUUAUAUUUUUGUUAUGCAUAUUAGUACCAUGAUUUAUUAUUACUAUCAUAUCUUUGGUAUUUUAUUAACAUUUAUGCCAUUAUUACUGCAAAUUCGUGUCACAUUAAUCUCUACCCGAUACAUAUUUUUUUAAAAAAAAAUGGGCAAUGUUUCGUAUUUGGAAAUUCGAAAAGUCAUUCCCUAAUUUACGAGGUUUUGAUUUUCUCGAUGAAUCCCAAUAACCGAACAUCCUUUUUUUAACAUAAAAUUUUAAUUAAAAUAUUCUUGGAAAUUAAGAAAAAUCGUGUUCUAACUUACAAAAUAUAACUUCUUUCUAAAACCGAGAUUGUCAUCUAUUUUAAAAAUAAUUUUUUUAAAAAAUAAUUUUUUUCGUAUUUACCUUCGUUUCGUGAGUUUAAGUCAUCGUGUCCUACCUUACCGGAUGUGAUCUUUUUUCUCAAUUAACUCAAAAAUAAAGUCAUUUUCGUGCUAAUAAUGUUUUAACAAACGGAUCGUAUUUUUAAAAUUUCCUCAAAUUUUUAACUUUCGACACUAAAUACGCCAAGUAAUCAACUAGGUACCAAUUUUGGGCGUAUCGAGGGUGCUAAUCCUUCCUCGUACGUAACCGACUCCCGAGCCCGUUUUUUGGAUUUUUUAGGCCAAAAAUCAUCUUUUAGUAAACUUAAACUUUUAUCAAAAUGAUUGAAUUACGAGGUGAUCCGAUCACACCUAAAUAAAAAGGAUUGGUGGCGACUCUCAUUUUUCGUUUUCAAACAAAAAGUCGACCAUUCCAAAAAAAAUGGUUUCAACAUACCGAAACCCUAAAAAUCCUAACUUUUAAAUAAUCUAACCUUAAAAACCCUAAAGAAAAAAAUUAGCCAAGGAGAGAGAAAGGGAAAGCACGUUCUGAACGUGCUUUCCUACCUAGUCAGAGAAAAAUGCGUUCAAUUAGACGCGCUUUCCUCCCAACUGUAUAGAAAAUACAUCCAUCUAGACACGUUUUCACACUCUCUCCAUAUCAACCUAUUUCCCUAAUUUUCAAAAAAUCAACCUAUUUUUAAAAAAAAAAAUCAAAAUUUUCGGCCAAUUUAGCCCAGAUUUCAUGCUUUAUACUAAAAAAUCAUCUUAAAAUAAUUUUCAUAAUAAUAAUAUUAAUAUUAUUAAAAUAAUAAAAUUAAAUAAUUAAUUAAACAAUUUUAAUCCUCGGGCCAACAAUUCUAGUUUAAUUCUCAUAGAUGAUGUAUAAUAUAUGAAGUAAUUAUACAUGAAGUAGAUGACAAGUAGGGUGGUGAAACGUGUUAUUGAGCCUUUGCUUUUUUAUCAAGUUUUCUCGUAUUCGCUAAUUAACUUUAUGACUUCAGUUCCAUCUUUUUCCUAAAACGUCACUUGGACGAAAAGAAAAAGCUCUCCUUUUGUCUUUUUCUUCUUAAAAUAACCAUCAUUGUUUCAUCUUAUGAUUAUUUUAUCAUUUCUUCUCCAAUUUCUUAAGGUGGCUUGGAAACAUGUCGGCAGAAAUUUAGCCACGAAUUUGAAGGAGAUUAUAUGAAUUAAUUAAAUUUGUUGAGAAUAAUUCCUUUUAUCUCUCCUGCUCUUUAUACUAACAAAUAGGUUGGUAAUGACCGACUAACAUUGAAGUGUAAAUUAAGAACAACCUCAUUUACAAUAUCAUACAUCGAUAAAUAACCACAACAAAAAAAGAAAUCUAAAAAUGAAAUUCAGAAAUCCAUCUCUGUGACAACCAGUUGCUAUCCCCUUGAACUCUUUUACCUGGUCGUGUUCUAGCAAAUUCAUAGAGAGAUUAGUCCAUGACCCACACUUAUACCUCUUCUCAACAAAUUGUCAGUGGUUACUUUCCAUGUUUCCAGGCCUCUAUUGAUGUUUCAGGGAGCCCCAAGUUGAGAGUUCCCCGGUAGACAUUGAAAAUAUUGUUGAAGGGAAGGGAGUGUCAAGUCCAAAAGUUUAACCACUGACAAUUGAUAUACGAAUGAUCGAACAUGUCAACCGAAUGAAGCCCGUAAAAUUUGUCAGGUGAAGCUGGGGAGUCGUUCCUAUACUCGUCCAUUAUUAGGAAUUCUUCUCCGCCUUGCCCUGCUUGCUUUAUAUCACCUCUUUCGUUUUCAGUUUGCAAGCCCAGGCAUUCCUUGUGCUGGAAACUUGGUUGCACUUCAGCUUCAGUC